UUUUUCUCGUGGUUCCGAUAGGUGGUGCUAUCGUACUUCCACGUUGAUGGAGACUUCAACCCACGGAGGGUAACGGCUGCGAGAGUCCACGGAGGGCUCCACCCAUGAAGGGUCCACGAAGAAGCAACCUUGUCUAUUCCAUCAUGGCCUACGCCCACGGAGGGCUAGCCUUACUCGGGGUAGAUCUUCACGAAGUAGGCGAUCUCCUUGCCCUUACAAACUUCUUGGUUCAACUCCACAUCUCGACGGAGGCUCCCAAGCGACACCUAACCAAUCUAGGAGGCACCACCCUCCAAAAGGUAAUAGAUGUUGUAGAUGAUGAUGAACUCCUUGCUCUUGUGCUUCAAAUGAUAAUCUCCCCAACACUCAACUCUCCUCACUGAUUUGGCUGUGGUGGAAGAAAGGAUUGAGUGGAAAGCAACUUGGGAAGGCUAGAGAUCAAGCUUCAUAUGGUGGGAGUGGAGCAACUUGAUCUCAACACAAGGGUAGGUAGUUCUCUUCUCAGAAAUGUAAGGUAGGAGUGGUAGUUCUUUCUGAUGGCUCUCUCCACGAAUGAAGAGGGGGUGGAGGGGUAUAAAUAGCCUCCACACAAAAUCCAACCAUUACACACAUUUGAGCAAUCUCGGUGGGACCGAAGUUGACAACUCGGUGAGACCGAUAGUUCAAAUAAUGUGAACGUUGGGAUUUUCGGUGGGACCGAAAAUACAAUCUCGGUUAGUCCGAUUCGUGCAAUGACAAGAGCAUGCCAAUUUCGGUGGGACCGACUUCAUCAUCUCGGUGACACCGAUUUGAUGACAGAAGGUUACAGAAGCUUGGCAACUCAUUUUUCGGUGAGACCGAGUUCAGAAUCGGAAAAUCCGAGUUUGCUAGGGUUUGGCUUUAUGGCUGAGGUGGUUCAUCUCGGUGUGACUGAGUUUGGAAUAUCGGUGGGACCGAGACUACUUAUGAGUGUAUAUGGCAGUGAAAGUUGCUGAUAGUUUAGGAGAUGUAUCACUAAGCACUUGAGCAACCAGAUCAUCAUCAUAACCUCAUCCCCUUCUAAUAGUAUUGGCUUUUCCUAUGGACUCAAUGUGAUCUUGGAUCACUAAACCAAAAAUGGAGUCUUGAGCUUUUGCCAAUGCUUGCCUUAGCAUUUUGAGGGGUCCACUUCUUCAGUCCUUGCCAUACCCAUAUCACUGAACUCUCUGAAAUGAUUCUCAAGUAACUAUUAGUUCAAUGAUAUAUAUGUUGUUAUUAAUUACCAAAACCACCCGGGGAUUAGUUGCACUUUCAAUCUCCCCCUUUUUGGUAAUUGAUGACAACAUAUAGAUCAAAGCUUCGACAAAGGAUAUAAUCAAUGAAUAAUAUCGUCGCUUUGAGAAGUAUGUGAUAAGCAAGAGCUCCCCCUAAAUUUGUGCAUUAUUUAAGAUUUGCGUUUGAAUGCAAAUGCACAAUCGAUUAGGAUCAUGGGUCACUCUUCCAUAUCACAUACAUCUUGGUGGAGCGCACAAAAUGAUAAGAAUGAACAGCAUGCACCCAAUCACCAAGACAUGAGUAAAUGGUCAUACGAGAUAGGAAUGGCAUAUGAUAAUCAUUAAGCACACAUUAAAACAUAGUACGACCAAGCACUCAUUAAGGUAGAAUCAAACGUAGUAUCAAACACACUGAAUGUCUCGAAAACCAAAAGUAUCUCAAAGAAACCGCAAAAGAACGAAAGAGCAAAAGCGACAACAGCACUCUCUCUCUCGAAGUCCUAUGAUCUAUACAAUUUCUCACCCUUUGGCAACAAGUUACCAAAAAGUUCGAAAAAGCAUAGAGCUAAGCGUCACUGGGGACUCUGCUGGCGGCUCCCGUCUGGGUUGAUGUUGGAGUGGAUAUGACAGCAUCGGCGAAGACUUCAGCUGAUGUCUGUGCUGGAGGAGUGGUCACUGGAGUUGGAGUUGGAGUAACUGCUGGAACUGUGGGAGGUGCUGAAGCUGUAGUCCUGGUGUCUGUCACUGGAAUAGCAGCUGAUCGGGGUCCUGUGGGAACCGGAGCAGUCUGCUGAUAAGCAUCCUGGACUAAGUCAUCCUGCAUCUCACGCAUGAGCUCUUCCUUCUCCCGCUUUUCUUCCUCAAUGUCUGCCUCGAGCUUGUUGACAGUCACUCGCAUUUCAGUCAGCUUCACGUCCAGAGCGUGGAUCUUGUCCUCAACAAUCCUCUCUAGGCUCUCCUGAGACUGUACAAUGCUGGCCAGGCGUUGUUCAAUCCUUUGGGUAGCUUCAAGAAUCUUCUCUCCGAAACUCUUUGGUUUAGCUGCUGCUGCUGCUGCUUCCUUGUCAGCUUUGGCUUUCUUAGCAGCUUCGAUCUUGGAUUGACCUUCAACAGAUGUUGGAUCCUCCUCAUCCAUCACAACAACAUUGUCUUCAUGCUCUGGCUGCAACGGUAAAUGUUCUCUAUCCAACAAGAAUGUGCCCGUGCCAAACUUGGCAUUGAUAAGCAUCUGAAUCUGCGGGGCAAAUCCACACGACCAUUUCUGGUCAGCUGCAGUCCUCUUAAUGGUCUCUACCAUCAAGUCCAUCACCUUGAAAGGUGCUUUCUCAUCAAGUAGGUGCAGCAUGUUGAUAGAGUAUCCUCUGAUCAUGCGAUGAUCUCCAGACUUGGGCAUCAAGGUAUGCCUCAAAAUGGUAUUAGUGGUAGGUAAGCCUGCCUGGAGAUAGUAGACUGAGCCGAGCUUCCAAAUUCCCAAGUCCUUUGCUGGAACCUCUUUGUACAUGUUCUUCAUGGAUUCAUGAUUCUUCUUUGGAAUCCCAUAUACAUCAAUAUCAUCUUCUCGUUGCAUUGGAGCAUUCAGAAUUUCUGCCCAUUCUUCAACAGUAGAAGAAAAUCUUUGACCUUCAGUCAUCCACGUAAUCUUCCCAUCAGGGUAGAAGUGAGCUGUGGCAUAGAAUUGCAUUAUCAUCUCAUCGUUCCAACUGGUCAAUUUCUGACCAACAAAAUCUGCAACACCACAUGCAGUGAAACUUUCAUGCACAUGUGGAAAGAAAUCUCUGUGCUCUUCGCUUUCAAUGUACUUCCAGUCAACAUAUCUUGUGUCUGCGACUAUGGGCUUCUUGUCCAUCAGCACGGUCUCAUAGAAGUCCUGCUGCUCUCUGUUGUGAAAUCUGGGAUCUACAGCAGUUCUUCUCCUCACGGCAUAUGGGUCAGUUUGUCUCCAUAGCCUGAGACCUCUAUCUUUCAUUGCCUUCAUAUCCUCAGCUUGAGGAUGAGCAUCAUCAUGGACUGGCAGUUUUGGACGAAGUUUCAGCAAAACUGGUCCUUCAUCAUCUGACACAGCUGGUGGCACAUCAUCCUUGUUCUUUUCAGACGCUGGAAUGUUUCUGACGGUCUUCUUGGGCUUGGCAGCAGGCUUUGCUGGAGCUGCCUUAGCUGGAGCAGAUUUCUUGGGCUUUGAUGUGGCUCCAACCUUAAUGGCAUCACCCAUGAACAUAGGCUUCUGAGGAGGAGGCUGGGGUGCUCCCUCAUCCUCAUCUUCUUCUGCUGCAUCAUGCACUAUCCUCUUUCUCUUGGACGUUUUCUUCACUUUGCUUGCAGCUGCCUCUCCCAAAUUCAGCUUCUGAGCAACAGUUGACUGCUUGACUUUGCUGGUGCCCUUCUUAGUUUGUUGACCUUGUUUCUCUUUGGCAACAACCUUCCUUUUGGGCUUUGAGGUCACCUCUUCCUCAACGACAAAAUCUGAAUCUUCAUCAUCUGAAUUCCUCUUCUUUCUAGCUCUGGUGGCUGCAGGAGGCAAGCCACUUGGUGUACUCCUCUCACCAUCAUCAGAUGAGCUGCUAGGAUCAGGACUAGUGCCUGCCUCUGGAAUAUCUGCAAUGGGUGUCUCUGACCUGUUCUGACUGUCACUGGCAUCUGACAUGGCUGACAACCUGUGAAUAGAUAAGGUGUAGGCAGAGAAGAAGAGUCAUCACAAAAUGCAGAAGUUUUUGCAAAAAAUAUGAGUUCAAAUUCUAGUAUUAGGUUUUCACAUAAGACAUUUCGGUCAAACCGAGUUUAAGAUUCGGUGAAUCCGAAGUGUUAAACAGGAGCUGGCACACCACUUUCGGUUUGACCGAAGUGGGUUUCGGUCCUGCCGAAAACACUAGGGUUUCAUAGAAUUUUCAUUUCGGUCACACCGAUUUUGCACAACUCGGUUGGACCGAAAGGUGCAGUGCAAUGGCCAUAGGCCAAAUCGGUCAUACCGAAAUUAUAAAAUCGGUCUCACCGAGAUGUGUUCGGCGGAAACCUAACCCUAAAACUUUUACUCGAAUCUAGUCCAAACGAACUAAUCUGGUGUACAGGAGGAUUUCAAUCGUGGCAAGAUUCUAGGCAAUCCAAACGUGCAUUGAAUCGGAGCUGGGAGCACGAGUGGGAUCAAAACUCACCCUAACUUGGUGGAGUUUUUCUACGGCGGCAACGGCGCGGAGGAGAUGUCCGUUGACGGCGACGGAGACCUGCGGCGAGGGCGCACAGGCGACGAUGGCGAUGAUCCGGAGACCAAGGCGACGGCAGCAAGGGGUGUGGGGGCGAAACGUUUGAACGAGGAAUCAACACGCGUGGCCCUCGGAGUAUAUAUACCCCUUUGCUGUCGGUGGGACCGAGUUGUAAAACUCGGUGGCACCGAGAUGGAUAACUGCUAGGCAGUUAUGCACUUCGGUCAUGCCAAAAAUCACAACUCGGUUUCACCGAGGUGAAAACCUAGAUCAGUCCAAAUGCUUUCGGUUCGACCGAGUUUGAGUGAGUUGGUCUGACCGAAAUCAAUUAGAAGGUUUUGGAAGUUAGCCUUUGACGGAUCGGUGGCUCCGAGUGCUCCUCACCCGGAGGGUCCGAAAAUGACUUGUUCAAAAUUUGUGAUGUAAGCAUGAAUAGAAUUUGAGACAAGAAAGCAUAGAUAGCUAGGGGAGGUACUUAGGAUUCUUGUCCAUCCAUUUGGUCAGAAAAAUCAAAACGACCAAAGCAACAAAUGGAUGUCCUCGAAUGGAUAAAAUCAUGCAUCCAACAUGCUCCCACAAUAAGAUAGCAAAUGAAAUAUGUGUCAAACAUGCACAACCAAAACUCUAGGUACUAUCACACAAUUUGUCGAUGACUAGGUCAUCUUUAUAUGAGUAUAUUGACUUAGGAGCCAAAUGAGAACAUUUGAUCAUAGGUCAUACUCAUCGUUUAAGCACAAGUGGGGUUACCACUUUUACAUAAAGCAUUGAUGUGUUCACAUCAUUUGAAGAUGCCUUAGCUCAAUUUUUAGAGCAAAGCUCCCCCUAGAUGUGAGAACCCCUUUUAAAGGGUCAAACUAACCUUGGCAUGUCUUAGAAGACUUCAUGUAGAUGUUGAAGAUGUGGAUGCUCAAUGUUGAUGUAGAUCAUCAAGAGUUGAGAGCUAUCCCUUGGAUUCGGGCACUUUCAAUACCUACAUGGGUUAGUCCCACAAGGAACAAACAAGGAUAUCCAUGGACAUAGAUUGAAGUUCACAAUAGAUGAUGUCCAUGAAAGCAAUGAUUACCUUGUCCCUUGACUUACCAACAAGAGGGUUUGUGACUCCAUGAACUAGUGCACGAUGUGGAAGUUGAUUGCACAAGUUUUUGCCAAAAUGAAUGUGAGUGAAGUAUGUUGGCGGAGUCACCCUCAAGAACUUUCUAGUUCUUCUUCUUCGGGAUCCACAUCAUCUUGAUGGGAAUCCUUGGGGUUGUAGUUGAGCUUGACGAAGUAGAACUUGACGUUUCCUUGGGAACCCACUUGACCAUGGCUUGAGGUGCUUCAACAAAUGCAUCAAUCUCCUCUUGAAGCUUGUCCUUGCCUUUUAGCUUGUGGUCUUGUGGUGGAAGGUCAUCUUGAGCUUGUUCCACCUUGGAAGAAGUAGGAUCAUACUUCUCCUUUUGAGGAACAAACUGUGGAGUAGGAUAUUGACCUUCUUCCCAUUCAACACCUUCGGCGUUGAACUUUCGCUCAAAACCAAUUCCUUGAUUCUUCCGGUGCCUUCCUUGCUUGCGAACAAUUUCCUCAAAGUUCUUGCUUCCGGCAAGGCUCUUGUAGACACCUUUCUCUAUGAUCCCUUUCAAUAAACUAUUUUCUUGCUCAAGUGUAACUUGGCUUGAAACAUGGUUAGUGGAAUCAAGAGAACUACUAGAAGCAACAACAUUGGAUUUAGCAUGGUUAUUGUUACUACUAGAAAAGGAAUUUUUCUUAUGCUUGUCAUGCUUAGUCUUAAUGGGUGGCAAGAAAUUAGACAAGAGAAGUCAUUUGGCAAGAUAUGAAGAACUAUUCUUUCGAAGAUCGUCAUUGAUUGCUUUUAGAAACUCAUGUUCUUGCUCUAGAGUGAGCUUCUCGAAGCGUAGCUUCUCAUGCGAUCUUAGGAGCUCUCUAUGAUCUUCUUGAGUUGUUUCAUGAGCUAACUUAAGAGUUUUUAGUUCUUUAGUUAGACGCUCAAUCUCCUUCAUAGCAUUGUCAUUCGACUCUUCUCGACUAUAAAGACUACUAGCAUGUUCAUCGUUACUAGGUUCAUUGGAUUUAUCAAGUAAGAGCUCAUCUUCACCAAGCAAGUCAUCCUCAUCACUAUCGAAGUCAAUGAAUUUAGGGUGUGAUACCUUGGGGCCUUUAGCCAUGAAGCAUCUUCCAAUUCCCUCAUUUGGUGAAUCAAAUAAGUCGUAGGAAUUGGAGUUGGAGGAUACGAGAGCAAGACCGGCAACACCUUCAUCUUGACUGUAGUCGGAGUUGGAGUGAUAGCUUCCUUCGGAUUGAUUGUCGGAGUCGGAGCCGGAGACCCAUUCACCUACAUGAGCUUGAUGUUUUCUUCUUGUGUAGCUCCUUGAUGACUUGUCUUUCCUCUCCGAAUCCUUGCUUCUCUGAGAGGGUCUUCGUUCAUAACGAUCAUCUCUGCUCCUUCUCUCUUUCCGAGGUGACUCAUAUCUUGAGCUUCUUCUUCUUGGAGAUUCUUCUCUUCUCUUGUGGGGAGCCGUACACUCAUUUGAGUAGUGUUCGGGUCUUCCACAAUUGUAGCAGUUUCGAUCACGACUAGAAGAUCUCUUUUCAUCAUAUGAUCUAGACUUUGAGCUUCUCUCUUUGCCUCUAUUCUUGUAGAAUUUGUUGAAGUUCUUGACCAUUAGGCUUAUCUCUUCAUUGGAAACUAACUUGUCACUUGAGGUUGUGGGAGCAUCACUUGUAGCUUUGUAAGCACCACUUGACUUGUUGUGAAGCUCUUCCUUAUCCUUAAGUGUCAUCUCAUGAGCAACAAUUCUUCCAAUGACUUCGGUUGGCUUGAGAUUCUUGUAGUUUGGCAUCAUUUGGAUCAAAGUGCACACGGUGUCAUACUUUCCAUCCAAAGCUCUGAGAAUCUUCUUGAUGAUGAAUCGGUCGGUCAUUUCUUCGCUUUCUAAGCCGGCAAUUUCAUUUGUGAUGAGAGCAAGCCUAGAGUACAUUUCAGCGACUCCUUCACCAUCCUUCAUCUUGAACUUGUCAAGUUGACCUUGAAGAAUAUCUAGCUUUGACUCCUUCACGGACUCGGUACCUUCGUGCAUUUCAACCAAAGUAUCCCAAAUCUCUUUUGCAUUCUCAAGACGGCUGAUUUUGUUGAACUCCUCGGGACACAAGGCAUUGAAGAGAAUGUCACAAGCUUGAGCAUUGUUUUGCAACAUCCGCAAUUCUUCCGUUGUAGCUUCGCUAUCCGGAACUUUUCCUUCCUCGAAGAAUUCACCUUGCAUACCAACACAAAUAAUGCCCCAUGCGGCUGGGUUAUGACCAAGAAUAUGCAUUUUCAUUUUAUGCUUCCAACUAGCAAAAUUUGUACCAUCAAAGUAAGGACCUCUACGAAAAUUACCCUCACUAGACGCCAUACUCUCCUAGGUUGUGAAACCAAGCUUAUGGAGUCCAAUGCAAUGGAAACCAAUACAAUGGAGACCAAAGCUCUGAUACCACUUGUAGGAUCGAAAGUAUGUCUAGAGGGGGGGUGAUUAGACUACUUGACAAUAUAAAAAUUCUGCCUUUUGACAAAGAACAGUUUUUGGCAGAUUCACAAUUAUGAGCAAGUCAAGCAUCACCCUACACAUGCAAUUCUAGAGUAUAGGCAGCGGAAAGUAAAUUGCACAUGUAGUAAAGAGAGGUGGAGAAGAGCAAACGCAAUUUUGGAGACGCGGUGAUUUUUCUCGUGGUUCCGAUAGGUGGUGCUAUCGUACUUCCACGUUGAUGGAGACUUCAACCCACGAAAGGUAACGGCUGCGAGAGUCCCAGGAGGGCUCCACCCAUGAAGGGUCCACGAAGAAGCAACCUUGUCUAUUCCAUCAUGGCCUACGCCCACGGAGGGCUAGCCUUACUCGGCGUAGAUCUUCACGAAGUAGGCGAUCUCCUUGCCCUUACAAACUUCUUGGUUCAACUCCACAUCUCGACGGAGGCUCCCAAGCGACACCUAACCAAUCUAGGAGGCACCACCCUCCAAAAGGUAAUAGAUGUUGUAGAUGAUGAUGAACUCCUUGCUCUUGUGCUUCAAAUGAUAAUCUCCCCAACACUCAACUCUCCUCACUGAUUUGGCUGUGGUGGAAGAAAGGAUUGAGUGGAAAGCAACUUGGGAAGGCUAGAGAUCAAGCUUCAUAUGGUGGGAGUGGAGCAACUUGAUCUCAACACAAGGGUAGGUAGUUCUCUUCUCAGAAAUGUAAGGUAGGAGUGGUAGUUCUUUCUGAUGGCUCUCUCCACGAAUGAAGAGGGGGUGGAGGGGUAUAAAUAGCCUCCACACAAAAUCCAACCGUUACACACAUUUGAGCAAUCUCGGUGGGACCGAAGUUGACAACUCGGUGAGACCGAUAGUUCAAAUAAUGUGAACGUUGGGAUUUUCGGUGGGACCGAAAAUACAAUCUCGGUUAGUCCGAUUAGUGCAAUGACAAGAGCAUGCCAAUUUCGGUGGGACCGACUUCAUCAUCUUGGUGACACCGAUUUGAUGACAGAAGGUUACAGAAGCUUGGCAACUCAUUUUUCGGUGAGACCGAGUUCAGAAUCGGAAAAUCCGAGUUUGCUAGGGUUUGGCUUUAUGGCUGAGGUGGUUCAUCUCGGUGUGACUGAGUUUGGAAUAUCGGUGGGACCGAGACUACUUAUGAGUGUAUAUGACAGUGAAAGUUGCUGAUAGUUUAGGAGAUGUAUCACUAAGCACUUGAGCAACCAGAUCAUCAUCAUAACCUCAUCCCCUUUUAAUAGUAUUGGCUUUUCCUAUGGACUCAAUGUGAUCUUGGAUCACUAAACCAAAAAUGGAGUCUUGAACUUUUGCCAAUGCUUGCCUUAGCAUUUUGAGGGGUCCACUUCUUCAGUCCUUGCCAUACCCAUAUCACUGAACUCUCUGAAAUGAUUCUCAAGUAACUAUUAGUUCAAUGAUAUAUAUAUGUUGUUAUUAAUUACCAAAACCACCCGGGGAUUAGUUGCACUUUCAAUCUCCCCCUUUUUGGUAAUUGAUGACAACAUAUAGAUCAAAGCUUCGACAAAGGAUAUAAUAAUUGAAUAAUAUCGUCGCUUUGAGAAGUAUGUGAUAAGCAAGAGCUCCCCCUAAAUUUGUGCAUUAUUUAAGAUUUGCGUUUGAAUGCAAAUGCACAAUCGAUUAGGAUCAUGGGUCACUAUUCCAUGUCACAUACAUCUUGGUGGAGCGCACAAAAUGAUAAGAAUGAAUAGCAUGCACCCAAUCACCAAGACAUGAGUAAAUGGUCAUACGAGAUAGGAAUGGCAUAUGAUAAUCAUUAAGCACACAUUAAAGCAUAGUACGACCAAGCACUCAUUAAGGUAGAAUCAAACGUAGUAUCAAACACACUGAAUGUCUCGAAAACCAAAAGUAUCUCAAAGAAACCGCAAAAGAACGAAAGAGCAAAAGCGACAACAGCACUCUCUCUCUCGAAGUCCUAUGAUCUAUACAAUUUCUCCCCCUUUGGCAACAAGUUACCAAAAAGUUCGAAAAAGCAUAGAGCUAAGCGUCACUGGGGACUCUGCUGGCGGCUCCCGUCUGGGUUGAUGUUGGAGUGGAUAUGACAGCAUCGGCGAAGACUUCAGCUGAUGUCUGUGCUGGAGGAGUGGUCACUGGAGCUGGAGUUGGAGUAACUGCUGGAACUGUGGGAGGUGCUGAAGUUGUAGUCCUGGUGUCUGUCACUGGAAUAGCAGCUGAUCGGGGUCCUGUGGGAACCGGAGCAGUCUGCUGAUAAGCAUCCUGGACUAAGUCAUCCUGCAUCUCACGCAUGAGCUCUUCCUUCUCCCACUUUGCUUCCUCAAUGUCUGCCUCGAGCUUGUUGACAGUCACUUGCACUUCAGUCAGCUUCACGUCCAGAGUGUGGAUCUUGUCCUCAACAAUCCUCUCUAGGCUCUCCUGAGACUGUACAAUGCUGACCAGGCGUUGUUCAAUCCUUUGGGUAGCUUCAAGAAUCUGCUCUCCGAAACUCUUUGGUUUAGCUGCUGCUGCUGCUGCUUCCUUGUCAGCUUUGGCUUUCUUAGCAGCUUCGAUCUUGGCUUGACCUUCAACAGAUGUUGGAUCCUCCUCAUCCAUCACAACAACAUUGUCUUCAUGCUCUGGCUGCAACGGUAAAUGUUCUCUAUCCAACAAGAAUGUGCCCGUGCCAAACUUGGCAUUGAUAAGCAUCUGAAUCUGCGGGGCAAAUCCACACGACCUUUUCUGGUCAGCUGCAGUCCUCUUAAUGGUCUCUACCAUCAAGUCCAUCACCUUGAAAGGUGCUUUCUCAUCAAGUAUGUGCAGCAUGUUGAUAGAGUAUCCUCUGAUCAUGCGAUGAUCUCCAGACUUGGGCAUCAGGGUAUGCCUCAAAAUGGUAUUAGUGGUAGGUAAGCCUGCCUGGAGAUAGUAGACUGAGCCGAGCUUCCAAAUUCCCAAGUCCUUUGCUGGAACCUCUUUGUACAUGUUCUUCAUGGAUUCAUGAUUCUUCUUUGGAAUCCCAUAUACAUCAAUAUCAUCUUCUCGUUGCAUUGGAGCAUUCAGAAUUUCUGCCCAUUCUUCAACAGUAGAAGAAAAUCUUUGACCUUCAGUCAUCCACGUAAUCUUCCCAUCAGGGUAGAAGUGAGCUGUGGCAUAGAAUUGCAUUAUCAUCUCAUCGUUUCAACUGGUCAAUUUCUGACCAACAAAAUCUGCAACACCACAUGCAGUGAAACUUUCAUGCACAUGUGGAAAGAAAUCUCUGUGCUCUUCGCUGUCAAUGUACUUCCAGUCAACAUAUCUUGUGUCUGCGACUAUGGGCUUCUUGUCCAUCAGCACGGUCUCAUAGAAGUCCUGCUGCUCUCUGGUGUGAAAUAUGGGAUCUACAGCAGUUCUUCUCCUCACGGCAUAUGGGUCAGUUUGUCUCCAUAGCCUGAGACCUCUAUCUUUCCUUGCCUUCAUAUCCUCAGCUUGAGGAUGAGCAUCAUCAUGGACUGGCAGUUUUGGACGAAGUUUCAGCAAAACUGGUCCUUCAUCAUCUGACACAGCUGGUGGCACAUCAUCCUUGUUCUUUUCAGACGCUGGAAUGUUUCUGACGGUCUUCUUGGGCUUGGCAGCAGGCUUUGCUGGAGCUGCCUUAGCUGGAGCAGAUUUCUUGGGCUUUGAUGUGGCUCCAGCCUUAAUGGCAUCACCCAUGAACUUAGCCUUCUGAGGAGGAGGCUGGGGUGCUCCCUCAUCCUCAUCUUCUUCUGCUGCAUCAUGCACUAUCCUCUUUCUCUUGGAGGUUUUCUUCACUUUGCUUGCAGCUGCCUCUCCCAAAUUCAGCUUCUGAGCAACAGUUGACUGCUUGACUUUGCUGGUGCCCUUCUUAGUUUGUUGACCUUGUUGCUCUUUGGCAACAACCUUCCUUUUGGGCUUUGACGUCACCUCUUCCUCAACGACAAAAUCUGAAUCUUCAUCAUCUGAAUUCCUCUUCUUUCUAGCUCUGGUGGCUGCAGGAGGCAAGCCACUUGGUGUACUCCUCUCACCAUCAUCAGAUGAGCUGCUAGGAUCAAGACUAGUGCCUGCCUCUGGAAUAUCUGCAAUGGGUGUCUCUGACCUGUUCUGACUGUCACUGGCAUCUGACAUGGCUGACAACCUGUGAAUAGAUAAGGUGUAGGCAGAGAAGAAGAGUCAUCACAAAAUGCAGAAGUUUUUGCAAAAAAUAUGAGUUCAAAUUCUAGUAUUAGGUUUUCACAGAAGACAUUUCGGUCAGACCGAGUUUAAAGUUCGGUGAAUCCGAAGUGUUAAACAGGAGAUGGCACACCACUUUCGGUUUGACCGAAGUGGGUUUCGGUCCUGCCGAAAACACUAGGGUUUCACAGAAUUUUCAUUUCGGUCACACCGAUUUUGCACAACUCGGUUGGACCGAAAGGUGCAGUGCAAUGGCCAUAGGCCAAAUCGGUCAUACCGAAAUUAUAAAAUCGGUCUCACCGAGAUGUGUUCGGCGGAAACCUAACCCUAAAACUUUUACUCGAAUCUAGUCCAAACGAACUAAUCUGGUGUACAGGAGGAUUUCAAUCGUGGCAAGAUUCUAGGCAAUCCAAACGUGCAUUGAAUCGGAGCUGGGAGCACGAGUGGGAUCAAAACUCACCCUAACUUGGUGGAGUUUUUCUACGGCGGCAACGGCGCGGAGGAGAUGUCCGUUGACGGCGACGGAGACCUGCGGCGAGGGCGCACAGGCGACGACGGCGACGAUCCGGAGACCAAGGCGACGGCAGCAAGGGGUGUGGGGGCGAAACGUUUGAAGGAGGAAUCAACGCGCGCGGCCCUCGGAGUAUAUAUACCCCUUUGCUGUCGGUGGGACCGAGUUGUAAAACUCGGUGGCACCGAGAUGGAUAACUGCUAGGCAGUUAUGCACUUCGGUCACGCCGAAAAUCACAACUCGGUUUCACCGAGGUGAAAACCUAGAUCAGUCCAAAUGCUUUCGGUUCGACCGAGUUUGAGUGAGUUGGUCUGACCGAAAUCAAUUAGAAGGUUUUGGAAGUUAGCCUUUGACGGAUCGGUGGCUCCGAGUGCUCCUCACCCGGAGGGUCCGAAAAUGACUUGUUCAAAAUUUGUGAUGUAAGCAUGAAUAGAAUUUGAGACAAGAAAGCAUAGAUAGCUAGGGGAGGUACUUAGGCAUUCUUGUCCAUCCAUUUGGUCAGAAAAAUCAAAACGACCAAAGCAACAAAUGGAUGUCCUCGAAUGGAUAAAAUCAUGCAUCCAACAUGCUCACACAAUAAGAUAGCAAAUGAAAUAUGUGUCAAACAUGCACAACCAAAACUCUAGCUACUAUCACACAAUUUGUCGAUGACUAGGUCAUCUUUAUAUGAGUAUAUUGACUUAGGAGCCAAAUGAGAACAUUUGAUCAUAGGUCAUACUCAUCGUUUAAGCACAAGUGGGGUUACCACUUUUACAUAAAGCAUUGAUGUGUUCACAUCAUUUGAAGAUGCCUUAGCUCAAUUUUUAGAGCAAAGCUCCCCCUAGAUGUGAGAACCCCUUUUAAAGGGUCAAACUAACCUUGGGUUGUCGUAGAAGACUUCAUGUAGAUGUUGAAGAUGUGGAUGCUCAAUGUUGAUGUAGAUCAUCAAGAGUUGAGAGCUAUCCCUUGGAUUCGGGCACUUUCAAUACCUACAUGGGUUAGUCCCACAAGGAACAAACAAGGAUAUCCAUGGACAUAGAUUGAAGUUCACAAUAGAUGAUGUCCAUGAAAGCAAUGAUUACCUUGUCCCUUGACUUACCAACAAGAGGGUUUGUGACUCCAUGAACUAGUGCACGAUGUGGAAGUUGAUUGCACAAGUUUUUGCCAAAAUGAAUGUGAGUGAAGUAUGUUGGCGGAGUCACCCUCAAGAACUUUCUAGUUCUUCUUCUUCGGGAUCCACAUCAUCUUGAUGGGAAUCCUUGGGGUUGUAGUUGAGCUUGACGAAGUAGAACUUGACGUUUCCUUGGGAACCCACUUGACCAUGGCUUGAGGUGCUUCAACAAAUGCAUCAAUCUCCUCUUGAAGCUUGUCCUUGCCUUUUAGCUUGUGGUCUUGUGGUGGAAGGUCAUCUUGAGCUUGUUCCACCUUGGAAGAAGUAGGAUCAUACUUCUCCUUUUGAGGAACAAACUGUGGAGUAGGAUAUUGACCUUCUUCCCAUUCAACACCUUCGGCGUUGAACUUUCGCUCAAAACCAAUUCCUUGAUUCUUCCGGUGCCUUCCUUGCUUGCGAACAAUUUCCUCAAAGUUCUUGCUUCCGGCAAGGCUCUUGUAGACACCUUUCUCUAUGAUCCCUUUCAAUAAACUAUUUUCUUGCUCAAGUGUAACUUGGCUUGAAACAUGGUUAGUGGAAUCAAGAGAACUACUAGAAGCAACAACAUUGGAUUUAGCAUGGUUAUUGUUACUACUAGAAAAGGAAUUUUUCUUAUGCUUGUCAUGCUUAGUCUUAAUGGGUGGCAAGAAAUUAGACAAGAGAAGUCAUUUGGCAAGAUAUGAAGAACUAUUCUUUCGAAGAUCGUCAUUGAUUGCUUUUAGAAACUCAUGUUCUUGCUCUAGAGUGAGCUUCUCGAAGCGUAGCUUCUCAUGAGAUCUUAGGAGCUCUCUAUGAUCUUCUUGAGUUGUUUCAUGAGCUAACUUAAGAGUUUUUAGUUCUUUAGUUAGACGCUCAAUCUCCUUCAUAGCAUUGUCAUUAUGUAGAAUAUGUAGGAACCAAUAUGAGCAUCCAGGUUCCGCUAUUGUUUAUUGACCGGAGACGUGUCUCGGUCAUGUCUACAUAGUUCUCGAACUCGUAGGGUCCGCACGCUUAACGUUCGAUGACGAUUGGUAUUAUGAGUUUAUGUGUUUUGAUGUACCAAAGGUAGUUCGGAGUUCCGGAUGUGAUCACGGACAUGACGAGGAGUCUCGAAAUGGUCGAGACAUAAAGAUUGAUAUAUUGGACGACUAUGUUUGGACAUCGGAAAGGUUCCGGAUGAGUUCGGGCAUUUACCGGAGUACCGGGGGGUUAUCAGAACCGCUUGGGAGUGUAUGGGCCUUAUUGGGCUUUACUGGGAGAGAGGAGGAGGCGGCCAGGUGGAGGCCCCCCCAAGCCCAAUCCGAAUUGGGUCGGGGGCUGGCCCCCCCUUCCCUCUCUCUCCCCCUUCCUUCCUCUCCUACUCCAACUUGGGAAAGGGGAAUCCUACUCCCACUGGGAGUAGGACUCCCCCCUUGGGCGCGUUAUAGAGGGCCGGCCCUCCCCCUCCCCUACUCCUUUAUAUACGGGGGAGGGGGCACCCCUUAGACACACAAGUUGACAAUUGUUUAGCCGUGUGUGGUGCCCCCCUCCACAGUUAGACGCCUCGGUCAUAUCGUCGUCGUGCUUAGGCGAAGCCCUGCGCCGGUAAAUCCAUCAUCACCGUCACCACGCCAUCGUGCGGACGAAACUAUCCGUCGGCCUCAACUGGAUCAAGAGUACGAGGGAGGUCUCCAAGCUAAACGUGUGCUGAACACGGGGGUCCGCACGUUUGGUGCUUGGAUCGGUUGGAUCGCGAAGACGUUCGACUACAUCAACCGCAUUAACUAAAUGCUUCCGCUUUCCGCAUUAACUAGAGGGUACGCGGACACACUCUCCCCUCUCGUUGCUAUGCAUCACAUAGAUAGAUCUUGCGUGAUCGUAGGAUUUUUUUUUUUGAAACUACCGCGUUCCCCAACACUUCCAUCCCUCCCAAUGCCGCCGCCCAUGGCUCCCAUGGCUCUCAUGCUUGUUUCCAUGCGCCCCAUGGUAGCUCCCAUGACUCCCAAGCCUCCCAUGGUAGCUCCCAUGACUCCCAAGCCUCCCAUGGUAGCUCCCAUGCCUCCCAACUCUCACGUGGUAGCUCCCAUGCAUCCUAGGCCCAUCAAUCUUUUUUGGACAAGGACUUGAUCAUGACAAAGGUUGAUGUACUCCUUUUGCCUAUCAUCGAAGUUAGCUGUGUCCAUGACGAAGAAGUACUUCUCAUAUUCCAAUAAGCUAGCUUGCUCCUCCGUGGCUAAUUUCUUCUCCUCCAAUGCAACCUUCCUCCCCUCGGCUGCCAUCGUCCUCUCCCCAGCCUCCGACUCUUGGCUUCUUCUUCUUCUUCUUCUUCUUCUUCUUCUUCUUCUUAUUCUUCUUCUUCUUCUUCUUCUUCUUCUUCUUCUUCUUCUUCUUCUUCUUCUUCUUCUUCUUCUUCUCUUUUGCUUGUUUACCUCCAUUUGGUCUUUUUGGCUUGGAGUAGGCAAACGAGUUUGUUGUAGGGCUCCUCUUGCCACCAUCACUUGAUGCAUCAUCAUCAUCUUCUUCAUGAUCAUCAUCUAAGACCAUAUCAAUAGUUGACUUGCCUUUAUUUGGCACCUUUAGGCAAUCUCUGUUGAUCAUCGACCACCAGGAUCGAAUAUAUCUAUCGGUGCGCUCAAUUCCAAUCUUGUUGUGUGCAUCAAAGUACUCCUUCAUCCUAAACCAAUAUGUAUCUCUAGUCCGUCGCAACGGUGGCAUCCAUAGAUACAUUCAACCAUGUAUUGCUUAGCCAGAUGUCUUCAUCCACGGUGUAGUUGGAUGCCCUUCCUUUCGGUGCAUCGACCAUACCCUCACCCUCCUCAUCCACUUCAUACUCAUGAUCAUCUUGAUGCACUCCAUUGGAUUGAGAUCAAUGGGAAUUGUUGGAGCCAACACCCAUAGUUGACAAAUAUGUGUCAUCAUUGAAACUACAGAGUAUGAUAAAGAAAACAAAUCAAGAUAUCCAUAUGUACACAUUUAUCUAACAACAAAAAAAAGAAAAAGAAAAGCAUACCUUGUGGGCAUUUCAUCAAACACCAUCUGGGCAUUGGCCGCCGAUGCACUAAAUUGCGAGCUAUCCGGCGCUCUGGGCGGCGUAGGCGCUACUGGAUUCCUCUUCACGCGCCUAGAAGCGCCAUCCACUUUCCUCUUCAUUUCGACCGUAGCCAUUGGUCGCUUGGAGAAGGAGCUCCGUCGCUUCUAGCUCUGUUGUGGUUGAUUGGGCUGGUAUUGUGAUCGGGCCGGUGCACUAAAUCCAUUGGCCUGUUUAGAUGGCCCACACCUUCUUUCAUCCCCGCACCCCUGUCCCUGCUCUCCCGUCCAUCUUCGGCCGUCACAGACGCAGUCGUUCCCCUCCUCUUCGCCAGCACCGCUCAGGCAGCCACCUCGCCUAAAAAAUAAGAUCACGAAAAAAAUCUCAAUUGGUGCCAGGCAUCUCCUCUAAUGCUCCCGUCAUAGGCGGGCUUCGAAUAUAGAGCAGGCAGCGACGGAUCGGCCUGGGCGGGGAAGUGCAGCCGACCAGGUUACGCCAUUGUGAUCGCCUUGAACAAUCAGGUGGAGGAUGUGGCUCGGUUUUUCUGGUGGGUGCCCGAUGGACCUAUUCCGCUGCACGGCAUUGCCACCAGUGUGGGAGGGCAGUUACACUGGCGUUGGUGUAAGAAGGCAGAGCUUCCGAGAGCGAUAGGAUGGCGGUUCCCCUAGGACGUGCGAGAGAGGAGAGGUCGACAUCGAGGUGCACUUCCACUCCGGCCGCCCAGAGCUCCCACGCCACUGCCUCCGUCAGGCGCUUCUCUGUGCUGGGCGAUGGGAAGAUGAAGAUGAGAUGCGGAUUAUGGGAAGGCACAUAAAACUGGGACUGGGUUGAGGACUUAUGCUUGCCGCAACUGUUCGCGGCCAAUGUCUCCUACUAACGUGCUUGUGUGGCUUGCGGGCAGACACAUGUUCAAAUACCCAUUGACUCAAAUAUCACGGGCAACAAGGAAUCAUGGAUGACAAAGCACAAUGUUGUACUAGGCGUGAGGUAAUUUUAUUCUGCACCUAUUCGACACUUCAGUUCUAGCAAGCAUUUUUUGUAAGCAUGGACGUUUUUCAGUUUUAUGGCUCUUGCCAGGGGAUCCAUGUGGCCAGUCACAUGGCUUGAUCGAGCGGCCUCCCAUAGAACUUGCACUGCCUGCGCCUAGAUUCCUUUCUUGGUCUGUGCUACGUCUUGAGCUUGCGUUGGUUUUCCUUGAAGAGGAAAGGGUGAUGCAGCAAUAGUAGCGUAAGUAUUUCCCUCAGUUUUUGAUAACCAAGGUAUCAAUCCAGUAGUAGGCUCCUCAAAAGUCCCACGCACCUACACAAACAAACAAAGAACUCGCAACCAACGCAAUAAAGGGGUUGUCAAUCCCUUCACGGCCACUUCCGAAAGUGAGAUAUGAUAGAGAUAGUAUGAUAAGAUAAACUAGCAAAAGAGCCCGUGCAUUGCAACGGGAGAGAAAACAUAACACACACUCUUAACUUAACAACCAUCACUCAAGACCACAAAUAGGUCCAUCUCUUUUAUUUUUGCGAGGCAUCAUAUUUGUGUUGCCGCUUAUCCUCCUUCUCACCCUCGCCGACGAUGGCCUCGGUGUUCACACAAAACAACAAAAAACGUGUGUUGAAUAUGGUUAAUCCUAAGGCGUCUCUCUCUCCCUCCCUCCUCCCUCUCCCUCUCUCUCCCGCCUCUCUCUCCCGCUCGCUUUCUCUCACUCCCGUGAUGAGAAAUCUGUUGUUUUCCCUUGCGACAUUUUUCAGAGGUAUGCACAUGUGGUUAUCGAUGUUUUCUUUUCCAUAUAUGGUUAUAGUGGGGUAUUUAUUUGCAAUCCAGAUCGCCGCCGGUAUGAAAAAACGGAUCUUGCGCUAUAAAUUAUAAGUUUGCUUCCAUAACAAUAUUUUAAAAAUAUGUAACAGAUAAAAUUAACAUGAUAUUUAGAUUCCACACAUUUUUCUAAUAAAAUUUCGUAUAUAAUAUGUUAAAAUCGAAGUUACGGUUUAAAAGAUACUGAUAAUUUAGAAAAUCAUUUGGUUUGACUCAAAUAUAUUCCAAAAUAAUAUUUAAAAAUACUUAACAGGUAAAAAUAAUCUCAUAUUCAUAUUCUACAUAUUUUUCUAAUCAAAUUUCAUAUAUAACAUGUUCAAAUCGGAGUUACGGUUUAAAAGAUAUGGAUGAUUUUAAAAAGCAUUUGUUUUACUUAAAUAUGAUCCUCGGAUGAUUUACCUAAAACAUUAGGGGGGUUUUCAAAAAAUGUAAAAUAACGGUUCGGGUGUGACUUAAAUCCGGACGGCGGGUUGAUUUCAAGAGAAGACAGGGACUUUUGUGUAAAAUAUGAAAAUAACGCUUCGUUUUAACUUAAAACAGGACUGCGGGUUGAAUUCUCUGAAAUAGAGGGACUUUUCUGAAAAAAAUGUCAUGACGGACAAAAGAAACCCAAUUUGCUUUAUUAUUAGGUUAAGAUAUAUUUUUGGUAUUUUAUAAUAUAGAUGCAAAAAGUAAAGACGCAAAUAAAAGUAGAUUGAAAGCUUAUAUGAUAAAAGAUAGACCCGGGGGCCAUAUGUCUCGCUAGUGGCUUCUCUCAAGAUAGCAUAAGUAUUACAGUGGGUGAACAAAUUACUGUCGAGCAAUUGAUAGAAAAGCGAAUGAUUAUGAGAUUAUCUAGGCAUGACCAUGUAUAUAGGCAUCACGUCCGCGACAAGUAGACUUACUCUUGCCUACAUCUACUACUAUUACUCCACACAUCGACCGCUAUCCAGUAUGCAUCUAGAGUAUUAAGUUCAUAAGAACAGAGUAACACAUUAAGAAAGAUGACAUGAUGUAGAGGCACUACUAGGGAAAAGCCUAGCAGCAGCGCGGGUUUUGGGCCUAUUAGUAGCGCGGGGGCCGGCCCCCACGCUACUACUACGUCCUUUAGCAGUAGCGCGGGUGCCAACCCGCGCUACUACUAAUCUCUAAUCUUUGAUUUUUUUUGAAUUUUUUCGAAAAAAGAAUCAAUUUUUUCCCUAAUUUUCAAAUUUCUAAAUUAUUUUAACCUCAAAUCUCUAAUCACCCCUCAUCGCUGCUCAAUUAAAUCUCUAAUCACCCCUCAUCAUUCCAAAUUAUCUAACUUCCCGGACGGUCACCCAUCCUCUCACUACUCCAGCCUGAGCACGCUUAACUUCCGGGUUCUAUUCACCCUCGUUUCCAAGUGUGCACUUGUUGUUUUCCUGACAAUAGUAAAAUGUCAAUCCUAUUAACCUCAGGAAUUUAGCUUGAGCAUGAAGUUACACAUUUCACUGUUUGAGUUUGAAACUAUUGUUCUAAAAAAUAAGUAACACUAAUAUUUCUUGAAUAAUUAGUUUGACCAUAGUUUGACCAGAUUUGACCACAGUUUGCCAUAGUUUGACAAGAUUUGACCAAAAUUCAAAAAAACUAAAAUAAUUAUUAAGUAACACUAAUAUUCUUGAAUAAUUAGUUUGACCAUAGUUUGACCAGAUUUAACAAAAAUUAAAAAAAACUGAAUUUUUUUUUUAAUUUUUUUGCCUCCAGAUCUUAAAAGCCCUGUAACUUUUUUUCUGUUAGGUUUUUGAGGAUUUUAAAAAUGUUUAACGGGGUUCCCCCUGUUAAAUUAGGAUGUAACUUUUCGAGUAGAUGAUUUUUCAUAUAAAAAACUUUUUCAUCCAAGUUAGUAUGCAAAAGUUAUGCCCAUUUUUACAAAUUCUCGAGAGAUUUUGCAAAUAAAGUCAAAAUUCAUAUUUGCAAAUUUUCCCAACAACUAGACCACAUAUCACAUGGGAACUUAUUUUCUUUUAUUUUUUUUUGACAUUUUCAUCAUUUUCUUUUAUUUUUUUUAAACUGAAAAGGCGAUCCAGGGGGGUAGAGUUUGAAAAUGGGACCUUUAGUAGUAGCGCGGGUUUUAACCCUCGCUACUGCUAUGGCACCACUUAGUAGUAGCGAGGGCUAAAAACCGGUGCUACUGCUAUCUCCCUUAGUAGUAGCGAGGGUUACAAACCCGCGCUACUACUAUGGCAUGUCCCGGGGGGCACGGUAGAGACCGCUUAGUAGUAGCGAGGGUUAAAAGCCCGCGCUACUGCUAUCAACUUAGUAGUAGCGAGGUUUAAAAACCUGCGCUACUAGUUGAUAGCAGUAGCGAGGGUUUUUAACCCUCGCUACUAGUAAGAUUCUUUGUAUAGGCUUUUCCCUAGUAGUGAGGGAUAAACUCAAGCAAUAUGAUAUAAACCCCAUGUUUUUAUCCUCGAUGGCAACAAUACAAUACAUGCCUUGCUGCCCCUGCUGUCGCUGAGAAAGGACACCGCAAGAUUGAACCCAAAGCUAAGCACUUCUCCCAUGGCAAGAAAGAUCAAUCUAGUAGGCCAAACCAAACUGAUAAUUCGAAGAGACAUGCAAAGAUAACUCAAUCAUACAUAAAAAAUUAAGAGAAGAUUCAAAUAUUUCUCAUAGAUAAACUUGAUCAUAAACCCACAAUUCAUCGGACCUCGACAAACACACCGCAAAAAGAGUUACAUCAAAUAGAUCUCCACAAGAGAGGGGGAGAACAUCGUAUUGAGAUCCAAAAGAGAGAGGAAGCCAUCUAGCUAAUAACUAUGGACCCGAAGGUCUGUGGUAAACUACUACUCACAACUCAUAGGAGGGGCUAUGUUGUUGAUGUAGAAGCCCUCCGUGGUCGAUUCCCCCUCCGGCGGAGUGCCGGCAAAGGCUCCAAGAUGGGAUCUCGCGGAUACAGAAGGUUACGACGGUGGAAAUUGUGUUUCGUUGGCUCCCUGGAUGUUUUCGAGGUACGUAGGUAUAUAUAGGAGGAAGAAGUACGUCGGUGGCCGCUCGUGGGGCCCAGGAGACAGGGGGCGCGCCCAGGAGGGGUGGGCACGCCCUCCUAUCUCCUGGACGCCUCGUUUGCUUCUUGACAUGCACUCCAGGUUCUCCGGAUCACGGUCGUUCCAAAAAUCACGCUCCCGAAGGUUUCAUUCCAUUUGGACUCCGUUUGAUAUUCCUUUUCUUCGAAAUACUGAAAUAGACAAAAAAACAGGAAUACGGGCUGGGCCUCCGGUUAGUAGGUUAGUCCCAAAAAUGAUAUAAAUGUGUAAAAUAAAGCCCAUAAACAUCCAAAAAGGGUUAAUAUAAUAGCAUGGAACAAUCAAAAAUUAUAGAUACGUUAAUGUUGGAGACGUAUCAAGCAUCCCCAAGCUUAAUUCCUGCUCGUCCUCGAAUAGGUAAAUGAUAAAAACAGAAUUUUUGAUACGGAAUGCUACCUAGCAUAAUUCUCAAUGUAAUUUUCUUUAUUGUGGCAUGAAUGUUUAGAUCCAAAUGAUUCAAAAUAAAAGUUCAUAUUGAUAAAAGAAAUAGUAAUACUUCAAGCAUACUAAUAAAAGCGAUCAUGUCUUCUCAAAAUAACAUGGCUAAAGAAAGUUCAUCCCUACAAAAUCAUAUAGUUAGGCUAUGCUUCAUUUCCCUCACACAAAAAUGUUCCCAAAUUCUACACCCCUGAUGACAAGCCAGGUAAUUGUUUCGUACUUAAAUAAUCUCAAACUUUUUCAACUUUCACGCAAUACAUGAGCGUGAGCCAUGGAUAUAGCACUAUGGGUGGAAUAUAAUAUGAUGAUGGGGAUUGUAUGGAGAAGACAAAAAAGGAGAAAGUCUCACAUUGACGAGGAUAAUCAACGGGCUAUGGAGAUGCCCAUCAAUUGAUGUCAACAUGAGGAGUAGGGAUUGCCAUGCAACGGAUGCACUAGAGCUAUAAAUGAAUGAAAGCUCAACAAAAAAAUAGUGGGUGUCCAUCCAACUUGCUUGCUCACGAAGACCUAGGGCAUUUUGAGGAAGCCCAUCAUUGGAAUAUACAAGCCAAGUUCUAUAAUGAAAAAUUCCCACUAGUAUAUGAAAGUGACAACAUAUGAGACUCUCUAUAUUAAAAACAUGGUGCUACUUUGAAGCACAAUAUAUGAGACUCACUAUAUGAAGGACAUGGUGCUACUUUGAAGCACAACUAUGGAAAAAGAGAUAGUAACAUUGCCCCUUUUUAUUUAUUUUCCCUUUUUUUUCUUUUUUUUUCUUUUUUCUUUUUCUUUUUUUUUCUUUUUAUUUUUUUCUUUGGCCUUUUUUUGGCCUUUUUUUUCUUUUUCUUUUUUUUGUUCUUUUUGGGGACAAUGCUCUAAUAAUGAUGAUCAUCACACUUUUAUUGAUUACAACACAUGAAUUACAACUCAAAACUAGAACAAGAUAUGACUCUAUAUGAAUGCCUGCGGCGGUGUACCGGGAUGGUGCAAUGAAUCAAGAGUGACAUGUAGGAAACAUUAUGUAUGGUGGCUUUGCCGCAAAUACGAUGUCAACUACAUGAUCAUGCAAUGGCAAUAUGACAGAAGUAAUGUAUGUCAUGAUGAUAAAUGGAACGGUGGAAAGUUGCAUGGCAAUAUAUCUCGGAAUGGCUAUGGAAAUGCCAUAAUAGGUAGGUAUGGUGGCUGUUUUGAGGAAGAUAUAAGGAGGUUUAUGUGUGAUAGAGCGUAUCAUAUCACGGGGUUGGAUGGAACGGCAAAGUUUGCACCAACUCUCAAGGUGAGAAACGGCAAUGCACGGUACCGAAGAGGCUAGCAAUGGUGGAAAGGUAAAAGUGCGUAUAAUCCAUGGACUCAACAUUAGUCAAAAGAACUCGUAUACUUAUUGCAAAAAUUUAGAAGUCAUCAAAAACCUAGCACUACACGCAUGCUCCUAGAGGGAUAGAUUGGUAGGAAAAGAUCAUCGCUCGUCCCCGACCGCCACUCAUAAGGAUGCACAAUCCAAGUACACUUCAUGUUUCAAAUUUGUUACACAACUUUAACCAUACGUGCAUGCUACGGGACUUGCUAACUUCAACACAAGCAUUCUUUAAAUUCAUAAUCACCCAACUAGCAUGACUUUAAUAUCACUACCUCCAUAUCUCAAAACAAUUAUCAAGUAUCAAAUUGAUCAUAGCAUCCAAUUCACUUCCUAUGAUAGUUUUUAUUAUACCCAGCUUGGAUGCCUACCAUUCUAGGACCAAUUUUAUAACCAUAGCAAAUACUAUGCUGUUCUAAAGACUCUCAAAAUAAUAUAAGUGAAGCAUGAGAGACUAGAAAUUUCUACAAAAUUAAGCCACUGCCGUGCUCUAAAAGAUAUAAGUGAAGCACUAGAGCAAAACUAUCUAGCUCAAAAGAUAUAAGUGAAGCACAUAGAGUAUUCUAAUAAAUUACUAAUAAAGUAGGCUUCUCCCAAAAGGUGUGUACAGCAAGGAUGAUUGUGGUAAAAUAAAAAUAAAAUACUAAUGUCAUACACGACGCUCCAAGCAAAACACAUAUCAUGUGGCGAAUAAAAAUAUAGCUCCAAGUAAAGUUACCAAUGAACGAAGACGAAAGAGGGGAUGCCUUCCCGGGGCAUCCCCAAGCUUAGGCUUUUGGGUAUUCUAGAAUAUCUUGGGGUGCAUGGGCAUCCCCAAGCUUAGGCUUUUGCCACUCCUUAUUCCAUAGUCCAUCAAAUAUUUACCCAAAACUUGAAAACUUCACAACACAAAACUCAACAGAAAAUCUUAUAAGCUCCGUUAGUGAAAGAAAACAAAACCACCACAUAAGGUACUGUAAUGAACUCAUUAUUUAUUUAUUUUGGUGUUAAACCUACUGUAUUCCAAGUUCUCUAUGGUUCAUACCACUUAAUACUAGCCAUAGAAGCAUCAAAAUAAGCAAACAACACACGAAAAACAGAAUCUGUCAAAAACAGAACAGUCUGUAGCAAUCUGUAACUAACGCAAACUUCUGGAACUUUAAAACUCCUACAAAAAUAGGAAGUCCUGGGCAAUUUUUCUAUUGAUCAGCAGCAAAAAGAAUCAGUAAUUGAUCACGUUUUGGUGAAUUUAAACAAUUGUUUUCGUGAACAGAAAGUUUCUGACUUUUUCAGCAAGAUCGAAUAAUUACUACCCAAGAAGAUCCUAUAGGUUAAACUUGGCACAAACACUACUUAAAACAUGAAAACACAUCUAAACAGAAGGUACAUGAAAAAUUUAUUACUAAACAGAAACAAAAACAAAAAACACAAAUAAAAUUGGGUUGCCUCCCAACUAGCGCUAUCGUUUAACGCCCCUAGCUAGGCAUAAAAGCGAAGAUAGAUCUAAGUAGUGCCAUCUUUGGCACUAAAUUCAUAAGUAGCCCGCAUAAUAGAUUCAUAAGGUAAUUUGACUUUCUUUCUUGGAAAGUGCUCCAUGCCUUUCCUUAAUGGAAAUUGGAAUCUAAUAUUCCCUUCCUUCAUAUCAAUAAUCGCGCCAGUCGUUCUAAUGAAAGGUCUACCAAGAAUAAUAAGAUCAAUAGCUUGCGUUGUUGCUUUCAUAUGUUUAUUUUGAUAUGUUCCUAGAGAAAAUUGAGUUGAAAGAUGUUAGUAGCAAUGAUGCGGAUUGGAUCCGUGAUUUGAGGUUUAUCCUCAUUGCUGCACAGAAGAAUUAUGUCCUUAAUGCACCGCUAGGUGACAGACCUAUUGCAGGAGCAGAUGAGGACGUUAUGAACGUCUGGCUAGCUCAAUAUGAUGACUACUUAAUAGUUUAGUGCACCAUGCUUAACGGCUUAGAAUCGGGACUUCAAAGACAUUUUGAACGCAUGGACCAUAUGAGAUGUUCCAAGAAUUGAAGUUAAUAUUUCAAGCAAAUACCCGAGUUGAGAGAUAUGAAGUCUCCAACAAGUUCUAUAGCUAAAAGAUGCAGGAGAAUCGCUCAACUAAUGAGCAUGUCCUCAGAUUGUCUGGGUACUACAAUCGCUUGAAUCAAGUGGGAGUUAAUCUUCCAGAUAAGAUAGUGCUUGACAGAAUUCUCUAGUCACCAUCACCAAGUUAGUAGAACUUUGUGAUGAACUAUAGUAUGCAAGGGAUGACGAAAACGAUUCCCAAGCUCUUCGUGAUGUUGAAAUCAACGAAGGUAGAAAUCAAGAAAGAGCAUCAAGUGUUGAUGAUUGACAAGACCACUAGUUUCAAGAAAAGGGCAAAGGGAAAGAAAGGGAACUUCAAGUAGAAUGACAAGCUAGUUGUCACUCCCACGAAGAAGCCCAAAGUUGGACCAAUGCCUGAAACUGAGUGAUUACACUGCAAAGGAAAUAGUCACUGGAAGUGGAAAUGCCCUGAAUAUUUGGUGGAUAAGAAGGAUGGCAAAUUGAACAAGGGUAUAUUUGAUAUACAGGUUAUUGAUGUGUGCCUUACUAGUGUUUAUAGUAGCCCCUGAGUAUUUGAUACUUGUUCGGUUGCUAAUAUUAGUAACUCGAAAUAGGAGUUACAGAAUAAACAGAGACUAGUUGAAGGGGAAGUGACGAUGAGUGUUGGAAGUAGUUCCAAGAUUGAUAUGAUCAUCAUCGUACACUCCCUAUACUUUCAGGAUUAGUGUUAAACCUAAAUAAAUGUUAUUUGGCGUUUGCGUUGAGCAUGAAUAUGAUUUGAUCAUGUUUAUUGCGAUACGGUUAUUCAUUUAAAGUUAGAGAAUAAUUGUUAUUCUGUUUACAUGAAUAAAACCUUCAAUGGUCAUACACUCAAUGAAAAUAGUUUGUUGGAUCUCGGUCGUAGUGAUACACAUAUUCAUAAUAUUGAUACCAAAAGAUGCAAAGUUAAUAAUGAUAGUGCAAGUUAUUUGUGGCACUGCCGUUUGGGUCAUAUCGGUGUAAAGCGCAUGAAGAAACUCCAUAAAGAUGGAUUUUCGGAAUCACUUGGUUAUGAAUCAUUUGAUGCUUGCGAACCAUGCCUUUUGGGCAAGAUGACUGAAACUCCGUUCUCAGGAACAAUGGAACAAGUUACUGACUUAUUGGAAAUAAUACAUACCGAUGUAUGCGAUCCAAUGAGUGUUGAUGCUUGUGGCAAGUAUCGUUAUUUUUUGACCUUCACAAGAUGAUUUGAGCAGAUAUGGGUAUAUCUACUUGAUGUAACAUAGGUUUGAAAUAGUUGAAAGGUUCAAAGAAUUUCAGAGUGAAGUGGAAAAUCAUCAUAACAUGAAAAAGAAAGUUUCUACGAUCUGAUCGUGGAGACGAAUAUUUGAGUUACGAGUUUGGUCUUCAAUUAAAACAAUGUGGAAUAGUUUCACAGCUCACGCUACCUGGAACACCACAACGUUAUGGUGUGUCCGAACGCCGUAACCGCACUUUAUUGGAUAUGGUGCGAUCUAUGAUGUCUCUUACUAAUUUACCACUAUUGUUUUGGGGUUAUGCAUUAGAGACAGCUGCAUUCACAUUAAAAGGGCGCCAUCUAAAUCCGUUGAGAUGACACCAUAUGAACUGUGAUUUAGUAAGAAACCCAAGUUGUCGUUUCUUAAAGUUUGGGGCUGCAAUUCUUAUGUGAAGAAACUUCAACCAGAUAAGCUCGAACCCAAAUCGGAGAAAUGUGUCUUCAUAUGAUACCCAAAAGAAACUAUUGGGUACACCUUCUAUGACAGAUCUGAGGGCAAGAUUUUCAUUGUUAAAUUCGGAUCAUUUCUAGAGAAGGAGUUUCUCUCGAAAGAAGUGAGUGGGAGGAAAGUAGAACUUGAUGAGGUAACUGUACCUUCUCCCGAAUUGGAAAGUAGUUCAUCACAGAAAUCAGUUCCAGUGAUUCCGACACCAAUUAGUAAGGAAGCUAAUGAUGAUGAUCAUGAAACUUCAGAUCAAGUUACUACAAAACCUCGUAGGUCUUCCAGAGUACGGUCCGCACCAGAGUGGUACGGUAAUCCUGUUCUGAAAGUCAUGUUACUAGACCAUGAUAAACCUACGAACUAUGAGGAAGCGAUGAUGAGCCCAGAUUCCGCAAAAUGGCUGGAGGCCAUGAAAUCUGAGAUAGGAUCCAUGUAUGAGAACAAAGUGUGAACUUUGGUGGAUUUUCCCGAUGAUCAGCAAGCCAUAUUGUAUAAAUGGAUCUUCAAGAGGAAGACAGAUGUUGAUAGUAGUGUUACUAUGUACAAAUCUCGACUUGUCGCAAAAAGGUUUUCGACAAGUUCAAGGUGUUGACUACAAUGAGAUUUUCUCAACUGUAGCGAUGCUUAAGUCUGUCCGAAUCAUGUUAGCAAUUGCCACAUUUUAUGAAAUCUGGCAAAAUGAUGUCAAAACUGCAUUCCUUAAUGGAUUUAUUAAAGAAGAGUUGUAUAUGAUGCAACCAGAAGGUUUUGUCAAUCCUGAAGGUGCUAACAAAGUGUGCAAGCUCCAGCGAUCCAUCUAUGGACUGGUGCAAGCAUCUCGGAGUUGGAAUAUACGCUUUGAUAAGUUGAUCAAAGCAUAUAGUUUUAUACAGACUUGCGGUGAAGCCUGUAUUUACAAGAAAGUGAGUGAGAGCACUACAAUAUUUCUGAUAAGUAUAUGUGAAUGAUAUAUUGUUGAUCGGAAAUAAUGUAGAAUUAUUCUGCAACGCAUAAAGAAGUGUUUGAAAGGAGUUUUUUCAAAGAAAGACCUCGGCAAAGCUACUUACAUAUUGAGCAUCAAGAUCUAUAGAGAUAGAUCAAGACGCUUGAUAAGUUUUUCAAUAAGAACAUACCUUGUCAAGUUUUUGAAGUAGUUCAAAAUGGAAUAGUCAAAGAAAGAGUUCUUGCCUGUGUUGCAAAGGUAUGAAAUUGAGUAAGACUCAAAUCCCGACCACGGCAGAAAAUAGAAAGAGAAUGAAAGUCAUUCCCUAUGCAUCAGUCGUAGGUUCUAUAAAAGUAUGCCAUGCUAUGGACCAGACCUAUUGUAUACUCUGCCCUAUUUUGGCAAGGGAGUACAAUAGUGAUCUAGGAGAAAAUCACUGGACAUUGUUCAAAAUUAUCCUUAGUGGAAUAAGGAGAUGUUUCUCGAUUAUGGAGGUGAUAAAAGAGUUCGUUGUAAAAGUUACAUCGGUGCAAACUUUUACGCUGGUCCAGAUGACUCUAAGUCUCAAUCUGGAUACAUAUUGAAAGUGGGAGCAAUUAAGCUAGAGUGGCUCCAUGCAGAGCAUUGAAGACAUAUAAUAUUUGCAAAAUACAUACGGCUUUGUAUGUGACAUACCCGUUGACUAAGCCUCUUCCACGAGCAAAACAUGAUCACACCUUAGUACUCUCUGGGUGUUAAUCACAUAGCGAUGUGAACUAGGUGUUGGUCACAUGACGAUGUGAACUAUGGGUGUUAAUCAUAUACAGAUAUGAAUAUUGGUGUUAAAUCACAUGGCGAUGUGAACUAGCUUAUUGACUCUAGUGCAAGUGGGAGACUGAAGAAAAUAUGCCCUAGAGGCAAUAAUAAAAUUAUUAUUUAUUUUCCUAAUAUCAUGAUAAAUGUUUAUUAUUCAUGCUAGAAUUAUAUUAACCGGAAACAUGAUACAUGUGUGAAUACGUAGACAAACAUAUAGUCACUAGUAUGCCUCUACUUGACUAGCUCAUUAAUCAAAGAUGGUUAUGUUUCCUAACCAUAGACAUGUGUUGUCAUUUGAUUAAUGGUAUCACAUCAUUAGAAGAAUGAUGUGAUUGACAUGACCCAUUCCGUUAGCCUAGCACUUGAUCGUUUAGUAUAUUGCUAUUGCUUUCUUCAUGACUUAUACAUGUUCCUGUAACUAUGAGAUUAUGCAACUCCCGUUUACCGGAGGAACACUUUGGGUCCUACCAAACGUCACAACGUAACUGGGUGAUUAUAAAGGAGUACUAAAGGUGUCUCCAAAGGUACAUGUUGGGUUGGCGUAUUUCGAGAUUAGGUUUUUUCACUCCGAUUGUCGGAGAGGUAUCUCUGGGCCCUCUCGGUAAUGCACAUCACUAUAAGCCUUGCAAGCAAUGUAGCUAAUGAGUUAGGUACGGAAUGAUGCAUUACGUAACGAGUAAAGAGACUUGCCGGUAACGAGAUUGAACUAGGUAUUGGAUACCGACGAUCGAAUCUCGGGCAAGUAACAUACCGAUGACAAAGGGAACAACGUAUGUUGUUAUGCGGUUUGACCGACAAAGAUCUUCGUAGAAUAUGUAGGAGCCAAUAUGGGCAUCCAGGUUCCACUAUUGGUUAUUGACCGAGAAUAGUUCUAGGUCAUGUCUACAUAGUUCUCGAACCCGUAGGGUCCGCACGCUUAAUGUUACGAUGACAGUUAUAUUAUGAGUUUAUGAGUUUUGAUGUACCGAAGGAGUUCGGAGUCCCGGAUGAGAUCGGGGACAUGACGAGGAGUCUCGAAAUGGUCGAGACAUAAAGAUCGAUAUAUUGGACGACUAUAUUAGGAGUUCGGAAAGGUUCCGAGUGAUUCGGGUAUUUUUCGGAGUACCGGAGAGUUACGGGAAUUCGCCGGGGAGUAUAUGGGCCUUAUUGGGCUUUAGGGGAAAGAGAGAGGAGAAGUUGGGCGCCCCCCCCCCCCCCAAGGCCUAGUCUGAAUUGGACUAGGGGGAGGGGCUGCGCCCCCUCCUUCCUUCUCUUCUCUUCCCCCUUUCCUUGACUCCUACUCCUACUACUUGGAAGGGGGUAAUCCUACUCCCGGUGGGAGUAGGACUCCUCCUUGGUGCGCCUCCUCCUAGGCUGGCCACCCCCUCCCUUGCUCCUUUAUAUACGGGGGUAGGGGGGCACCCUAGAACACACAAGUUGAUCUUCGUGAUCGUUCCUUAGCCGUGUGCGGUGCUCCCCUCCACCAUAUUCCACCUCGGUCAUAUCGUCGCGGAGUUUAGGCAAAGCCCUGCGCCGGUAGAACAUCAUCAUCGUCACCACGCCGUCGUGCUGACGGAACUCAUCCCCGACACUUUGCUGGAUCGGAGUCCGGGGAUUGUCAUCGAGCUGAACGUGUGCUGAACUCGGAGGUUCCGUACGUUCGGUACUUGGAUCAGUCGGAUCGUGAAGACGUACGACUACAUCAACUGCGUUGUCAUAACGCUUCCGCUGACGGUCUACGAGGGUACGUGGACAAUACUCUCCCCUCUCGUUGUUAUGCCAUCACCAUGAUCUUGCGUGUGCGUAGGAAAUUUUUUGAAAUUACAACGUUCCCCAACAGAAAUUGUGUUUCGUUGGCUCCCUUGAUGUUUUCGAGGUACGUAGGUAUAUAUAGGAGGAAGAAGUACGUCGAUGGCCGCUUGUGGGGCCCAGGAGACAGGGGCGCGCCCAGGAAGGGUGGGCGCGCCCUCCUAUCUCCUGGCCGCCUCAUUUGCUUCUUGACUUGCACUCCAAGUUCUCCGGAUCACGUUCGUUCCAAAAAUCACGCUCCCGAAGGUUUCAUUUCGUUUGCAAUCCGUUUCAUAUUCCUUCUCUUCGAAAUACUGAAAUAGGCAAAAAACAGCAAUACGGGCUAGGCGUCCGGUUAGUAGGUUAGUCCCAAAAAUUAUAUAAAUGUGCAAAAUAAAGUCCAUAAACAUCCAAAAAGGGGUAAUAUAAUAGCAUGGAACAAUCAAAAAUUAUAGAUACGUUGGAGACGUAUCAAGCAUCCCCAAGCUUAAUUCCUGCUCGUCCUCGAGUAGGUAAAUGAUAAAAACAGAAUUUUUGAUGUGGAAUGCUACCUAGCAUGAUUCUCAAUGUAAUUUCCUUUAUUGUGGCAUGAAUGUUUAGAUCCAAAUGAUUCAAAAUAGAAGUUCAUAUUGAUAAAAGAAAUAGUAAUACUUCAAGCAUACUAAUAAAAGCAAUCAUGUCUUCUCAAAAUAACAUGGCUAAAGAAAGUUCAUCCCUACAAAAUCAUAUAGUUAGGCUAUGCUUCAUUUCCGUCACACAAAAAUGUUCCCAAAUUCUACACCCCCGAUGACAAGCCAAGCAAUUGUUUCAUACUUAAAUAAUCUCAAACUUUUUCAACUUUCACGCAAUACAUGAGCGUGAGCCAUGGAUAUAGCACUAUGGAUGGAAUAGAAUAUGAUGAUGGGGAUUGCGUGCAGAAGACAAAAAAGGAGGAAGUCUCACAUUGACGAGGAUAAUCAACGGGCUAUGGAGAUGCCCAUCAAUUGAUGUCAACAUGAGGAGUAGGGAUUGCCAUGCAAUGGAUGCACUAGAGCUAUAAAUGAAUGAAAGCUCAACAACAGAUGACCGCCGGAUCUAGCUCUUUGACUUCCGCCGGACUGGGUCUGACCGGUUGACCUUUUCACCUGGUUGUCGUAGCCCAGCCCAUAGCUGCACCCCCAACACCAUCCCGGCCCAACCAACCCAAAGAUACCCUCCGUGUCGACCCGACGUGGCCGUUUCCCCCCUCCGGGACACGGCGGCAGCCACAUCGGCACCUGGAGGGGGGAAACAGACGCGUCGGGUCUACACGGAGGGGAUCUUGCUGUGGGUCUGGCCCGGAUGUUGCUCCAAAGUGUUCCUAUGGGCUGACCUAACACAAUCGGGUGGAGAGGUCCACUGGUCAAAGCCCGUCCGUGCAAAGUCAAAGGGCUAGAUCCUGUGGUCAAACGCUACAGGGUUAGGCGGGACGGGGGCCCUAGGGGGUAGCAAUGCCACCGGAGCGUCGCAUCGGGCCCUCAUACAUGCAGGGUGGUGUGGUGGCAUGUCCGAAGAGGCGGCAUGAUUCUCCGGGGAGUGCCCCCCUCACGGACGGUGCCGCCGCCGGCACCUCGAGGUGGGAAAUGGACGCGUUGGGUCUACACGGAGGGGAUCUUGCUCUGGGUCUGGCCCGGAUGUUGCUCGAAAGUGUUCCUAUGGGCUGUCCUAACACAACCGGGUGGAGAGGUCCACUAGUCAAAGCCCGUCCGUGCAAAGUCAAAGGGCUAGAUCCCGUGGUCAAACGCUACAGGGUUAGGCGGGACGGGGGCCCUUGUGGGGUAGCAACGCCGCAGGAGCGUCGCACCGGGCCCUCAUACAUGUGGGGUGGUGUGGUGGCAUGUCCGAAGAGGCGGCACGCGUCUUCGGGGUGUGGCCCCCCCCUCACGGACGGAGAUGACACGGUAGUAGACGUUCUGCGGUAACGAUGCGGCGUGAAUAUUAUUAAAUAGUCAGAGCGCGAUGAAAUCAUGAGAUUUUUACACAACGUGGGCACAUGUGUUAUAGGCUGAUGGUAAUUUUUCAUAAUUUUUGGGGAUGGAGAAGUAUCUGAACACUUCCCUCUAUGCGGAUUGCUGUCGGCGUGUCUACAUUGAGGCCGGUGGCCUCCGGGGGCUCGCAUGCCGCCAAAUCUUGCGUAGGCGGCCUCUCACAAGUCUGGAAGUGUUGUGGCGGUUGCAGAAGCCCGACACGCGUCUCCGGGGUGUGGCCCUCCUCACGGACGGUGUCGUCGAUGGCCGUGAGGGGGGGAACGGACGCGUCGGGUCUACAUGGAGGGGAUCUUGCUGUGGGUCUGGCCCGGAUGUUGCUCCAAAGUGUUCCUAUGGGCUGACCUAACACAACCGGGUGGAGAGGUCCACUGGUCAAAGCCCAUCCGUGCAAAGUCAAAGGGCUAGAUCCUGUGGUCAAACGCUACAGGGUUAGGUGGGACGGGGGCCCUGGGGGUAGCAAUGCCACCGGAGCAUCGCACCGGGCCCUCAUACAUGCGGGGUGGUGUGGUGGCAUGUCUGAAGAGGUUGCACGCAUCUCCGGGGUGUGCCCCCCUCACGGACGGCGCCGCCGCCAGCACCUGGAGGGGAGAAANNNNNNNNNNNNNNNNNNNNNNNNNNNNNNNNNNNNNNNNNNNNNNNNNNNNNNNNNNNNNNNNNNNNNNNNNNNNNNNNNNNNNNNNNNNNNNNNNNNNNNNNNNNNNNNNNNNNNNNNNNNNNNNNNNNNNNNNNNNNNNNNNNNNNNNNNNNNNNNNNNNNNNNNNNNNNNNNNNNNNNNNNNNNNNNNNNNNNNNNNNNNNNNNNNNNNNNNNNNNNNNNNNNNNNNNNNNNNNNNNNNNNNNNNNNNNNNNNNNNNNNNNNNNNNNNNNNNNNNNNNNNNNNNNNNNNNNNGGAGCGUCGCACCGGGCUCUCAUACAUGCGGAGUGGUGUGGUGGCAUUUCCGAAGAGGCGGCACGCGUCUCCGGGGUGUGCCCCCCUCACGGACGGCGAUGACACGGUAGUAGACAUUCUGCGGUAACGAUGCGGCGUGAAUAUUAUUAAAUACUCGGAGCGCGAUAAAAUUAUGAGUUUUUUACACGCCGUGGGCACAUGUGCUAUAGGACGGAUGGUAACUUUUCAUAAUUUUUGGUGAUGGAGAAGUAUCUGAACACUUCCCUCUACGCGGAUAGCUCUCCGCGUGUCUACGACUGUGGCCGACGGCCUCAGGGGGCUUGCAUGCCGCCAAAUCUUGCAUAGGCGGCCUCUCACAAGUCUGGAAGUGUUGUGGCGGUUGCAAAAGCCCGGCAUGCGUCUCCGGGGUGUGGCCCCCCUCACGGACGGCGCCGCCGCCGGCCGUGAGGGGAGAAUCCGACGCGUCGGGUCUACACGGAGGGGAUCUUGCUGUGGGUCUGGCCCGGAUGUUGUUCCAAAGUGUUCCUAUGGGCUGACCUAGCACAACCGGGUGGAGAGGUCCACUGGUCAAAGCCCGUCCGUGCAAAGUCAAAGGGCUAGAUUCCGUGGUCAAACGCUACAGGGUUAGGCGGGACGGGGGGGCCUGGGGGUAGCAAUGCCACCGGAGCGAUGNNNNNNNNNNNNNNNNNNNNNNNNNNNNNNNNNNNNNNNNNNNNNNNNNNNNNNNNNNNNNNNNNNNNNNNNNNNNNNNNNNNNNNNNNNNNNNNNNNNNNNNNNNNNNNNNNNNNNNNNNNNNNNNNNNNNNNNNNNNNNNNNNNNNNNNNNNNNNNNNNNNNNNNNNNNNNNNNNNNNNNNNNNNNNNNNNNNNNNNNNNNNNNNNNNNNNNNNNNNNNNNNNNNNNNNNNNNNNNNNNNNNNNNNNNNNNNNNNNNNNNNNNNNNNNNNNNNNNNNNNNNNNNNNNNNNNNNNNNNNNNNNNNNNNNNNNNNNNNNNNNNNNNNNNNNNNNNNNNNNNNNNNNNNNNNNNNNNNNNNNNNNNNNNNNNNNNNNNNNNNNNNNNNNNNNNNNNNNNNNNNNNNNNNNNNNNNNNNNNNNNNNGGCAUUUCCGAAGAGGCAGGACGCGUCUCCGGGGUGUGCCCCCCUCACGGACGGCGAUGACACGGUAGUAGACGUUCUGCGGUAACGAUGCGGCGUGAAUAAUGCGGCGUGAAUAUUAUUAAAUACUCGGAGCGCGAUAAAAUCAUGAGUUUUUUACAUGCCGUGGGCACAUGUGCUAUAGGACUGAUGGUAAUUUUUCAUAAUUUUUGGUGAUGGAGAAGUAUCUGAACACUUCCCUCUACGCAGAUUGCUCUCCCCGUGUCUACGACUGUGGCCGACGGCCUCCGGGGGCUCGCAUGCCGCCAAAUUUUGCGUAGGCGGCCUCUCACAAGUCUGGAAGUGUUGUGGCGGUUGCAAAAGCCCGGCACGCGUCUCCGGGGUGUGGCCCCCCUCACGGACGGCGCAGCCUUCGGCCGUGAGGGGGGAAAUGGACGUGUCGGGUCUACACGGAGGGGAUCUUGCUGUGGGUCUGGCCCAGAUGUUGCUCCAAAGUGUUCCUAUGGGCUGACCUAACACAAUCGGGUGGAGAGGUCCACUGGUCAAAGCCCGUUCGUGCAUAGUCAAAGCGCUAGAUCCCGUGGUCAAACGCUACAGGAUUAGGCGGGAUGGGGGCCCUGGGAAGGGUAGCAAUUUCACCGGAGCGUCGCACCGGGACCUCAUACAUGCGGGAUGGUGUGGUGGCAUGUCCGAAGCGGCAACACGCGUCUCCGGAGUUUGGCCCCCUCCAAGUGAUGGCGGCACUGCCUUGCGUGGAGGGGGGCACGCUGCGGAGCCCCAAGACGGGCAUCUACGCAUGCCUGAACACUUUCACAUAUGCAUCGGGAUCCGUGCGAUGUUUCGGUGACAUAGCUACACCCCGAAUCCUCCCAUAACCAGAUUCCUUCCGUGUCGACCGUUCCCCCUCCCCCCCAGUGACACGGCGACAGCGACGUUCGUAACGGGGGGCAAUCAAUAUACCAUAGGGGUAUGUUUUUUUAAAUAAGGCAUAAUUAUCUUAUGGAAAAACAAAAAAUAAUAUAAAGUAAAAUAAAAAAAUAAAAAUAAAUUAAAUAUAUGCCGACGGCAAGGACGUCGGCAUAGAUAGGCAGACGGAGGUGCAGUCCCACGGAUCGAUGACGUGUCAUCGCACACACAUCGAUGACGUUGCAGAGGGGCAUGGGCCAGACCUAUGCCGACGACUAUGCCGUAGGCAUACCUCUGCCAUAGAUAGUAUAAAGUAAAAUAAAAAAUAAAAUUAAAAUAAACGUAUGCUGACGGUAAGGCCGUCGGCAUAGCUUCGCACACGGAGGUGCAGUCCCACGGAUCGAUGACGUGGCGUCGCACACAGAUCGAUGGCGUGGCAGAGGGGCAUAGGCCAGGCCUAUGCCGACGGCUAUACCGUAGGCAUAUCUCUGCCAUAGAUAUGCCAACGGCCGCCGUUACCUCCCGUCGGCGUAGUUUCAACGCCGUCAAACGGUCAGCGCUGACCGGUUAUGUGGGCCCGUGCUAUGCCAACAGCCUAGCCUAUGCCGACGGCCCCCGUAGGCGUAUAUCUAGCUGUCCCGAUGGCUCCGUCGGCAUAGGGAGACGUAUGCCGACGGCUUUUCUAUGCCUAUGGCCUAUCCUGGGCCGUCGGGAUAGGUCUAUCUAUGCCGACGGGGGCCGUCGGCGUAAGCAGUUAUUCUGGUAGUGAGUGUAGGUAAAUAAAUAGCAACCUCACACAUAUUGAUGCAAGGAUGAAUGGUGGAUGUGGUACCGGUAGGUGACAUUAAACGCGCAAACUGACUUUCUGGCGGCGCUAGGGCUGUGGGGUUUGUUCACCGAACGUUUUUCGCAAUCAUAAGAAUUAAGUACGAAGUUCUCCAAUACACAAUAAAUUCUUGUUGCAAGAAGCAAAAAGAAACAAAUCCAAAAGCCAAGUGAUAUAUAGUAGUGGAGUUCAUUCAUUGAGUCUAAAGGGGUAAAAGCAUUGAGGAUGCAAAGCAGCAAACAGAAAGGGUAUGAGAACUGUAGGAAGUAGCCGAGCACCAUCAUGCACCGCACUACUUCCUCGAGAUAGCCAUAGAAACAUCAGAUAUCUCAUGAAGGGGGGCUCAGCUUAGACAUCGAGUAUCGAUGUCUCACUAGGCUCACAGAUGUUCCCUUGUUCAUAGAGGGAUAUAGACGGGGAUGGCUCUUUGGUCCAAAUAGGUUUCAGGAUGUUCCUUCUGAAGUACUCCACCAAAAGGGCAGCGAUAGUGAGGAACUCGCCACCGUUGCUCAGCUGCUUGGCAUGAGAAUACCCGCUGCAUCUGUACCCCGCGUAGCACAAAACUUCCGCCCACACUUCCGAAAGCAUCUUCAGCAUAGCAGCGGAUGGGACAGAGUCAUGAGAGACCAGCUCACGAGCAAGUUCGCGUGCUAAAACCAUUGUUUUGUUAUCGCCAAUGCUUGGUCGUUCUUUGAUCUCCUCUAAAUGUUUCAACAACUCAGCCCUCGAUGUUAGCAAGCUGGCCAAAUGUUGGGCUCUGCUGCAUUUGAGACUAGUGAGACAAUAACACAAUUCAACGUACCUAGUGUGGCUGACGGAGCCCGCUAGCAUGUAGGGGCGUGUGGCAAGGAGGAAAAGCAUGUAAUUGGAGAUCGCCUCGGUUGCCUCAACAAGGCGAUGCAUCUGAUCUGCAGCAGCUUGCCCCUGAUCUCUGUGCUUACGGAGGUAGAUAUCGGUGGCGAUGUGCCAUGCGAGGAUGCUCUCGUCCAACUCCUUAUCCAGGAACCUGCCUAGUCUCUCGUACAAACCCCACUUCUUUAAAGCUGCCCGGCCCCGUGAAUUGAUGAUGUGAUCUGGCUCCUCCUCAUUGAUCUUGGAGUAGAAGUGUGCAUCCCUCCACCUGGAGUAGGACUGCGCAUCCGUCCUGCGGUGACUAGUUCCGAGCACUUGUUCCACCACUACUUCCUUGAUGAUAGUUGCAGAGACACAUACAAAGCUGGAAUAGACCAUUGUGUUCCACCAGUCCUCGACCCCCAUCCAGCCCGCGAUUCUGCUUCUUCGACUAACCUUACUGAGAACACACAUGUCAAUCAGGUUGUGCUGCCCCAUAGAGUCCGACCACCACCAUCUCGAUUCGUCCCUCUUUGGAAGGAUGAAUAGGCGGAUAGACGCGAUUGCACGGUCAAGCAAACGCCAAAUGUACUUUCUUUUUCUCAAGACAUCACCUUUUCUCAAGCCAUCACCAGCCGGCACAACAUGCUUGAGCCCCCCGCUCAGGUCCGUUCGUAUCACGUUUUGCCAUCUAGAGAACAUGGCCCUUAGCACCGAUACCAUCUCCAGCAUAACAGCCCCACCUAACAGAACAUAUGUAAUGACAACAUCUGCUCUGCUGUAGUGGUCACCCGCUGACAAAUCUGACAAGUGGAAUAACACCAACGCGAUGGCGGUGAACACCGGAGAAAUGACGCGGAUGCAAAGGCCAUACCAUGUGUGGAUCACCUCAGCCUUGCUGUAGAGGACAUCGUGCAUCAGGCUGAGCUGCAUCUGCACCACCUUGUACAGCUCGUCCACGGAGAUUGCGUCGUCGUGUCGGUACAUGACGAUGGGCAAUGGCCCCUGCAACAAAUCCUUUGGAAUAUUGAGCAGGAGGUGGGCAAUCCGUAGCAGGCACUCUGUGUCCCGCCGAUUUGUAUAAGGUUCCGUCGAAAUCAAGGCCGUCUUCUCAAAGGACCGGUAGUUCUUGUCCGAAGCGCUAGUGCCGGCACGCUUGAGCGCCCACACCCUCUCCCCGUACUUGACAAUGCCCACCAUAAACAUGAUGGCGGCGGCCUUCUGGAGCAGGGCCUGGGUGCCGACGAUGACAGACUCAUAGAGGACGUAGGCAGCCGCGGCUACCUGCACGGUGAGUGACUGCAGGUGCCGCAGCCAGAGCCGGUUGUCCUCGAUGGCGUAGGCGGUGAUGUUGUCCUGCCCGCCGAGAUGCACCAGCAGGAACGGCGCCCAGAAUGCCAUCAGCUGGUGAUCGCCUGAUCUGCUUGUCAAGGACAGGUGUCCCAGGAUGUAUAUCGCGGUCGAGUCGGCCAGCAUGUAGGCUGUCCAAAUCACAGCCCUUAGCAUGCCAGAGUCUUUUCGCCGGCGGAACUCCGCCAGGAUGAGAAGCACUAGCUGCAUCGCGAAGCUGAGCAGCACCAUCACUUGGAUCCCGCGUUCUUGCCAUUGCUCCACUUGCACCUCCACCGUUGCCAUUGUUUCUCCACUGCAGUAACAAGUACUAUGAAAAAAAUUACAUACAAGAAACAAACUGGACUGCAUGUUGUAUGUCGGUGUAAUUAUGUUUAAAUUUGCCUUUUUAAGUGGUACUCCCUCUGAUGCAAAAUAAGUGUCGCAGUUUUGACACUUAUUAUGAAUCGGAGGUAGUAUCUUUCUCUCUACAGUACACCGAAAAAUUAGAGCUUCUUAAUAUUAAGUUGCUAAAGAAACAUUGCGGAGCCCCCUCUCAAAAUCUCCCUCUUUCUCACACACACAAACGUGCGCACGCACACGCUGAAGAAACUGAUUUGCCAUCUAAUGUUUGGAGUGCGGCUACAUCUAAUUAAUAAAGAAACUGAUUUGUUGGAUGAAGUAUGAAAUAUAGGUGUUGGUGCGAUCGAGUAACUUACAUGGAUGAUAUAUAGCAGGAGAAGUGAAGGAGCAAUGACCCUGCCCGCCCCCUUUCUUGCUGCCGCUAGUCUAGGUACCAGAAGCAAAAUUUGAGGUUUGUCGAGAAGAGAAGUGAAGAGAAGCUAGCUUUGGAGGAUUAGUCCUCGGCGCACAGCAUGAUGAAUGGAGCCUCAGAAAGAGGAAUGCAAUGAGACGUAUUCUCUGCUGGUGAGGACAAUAGAUCUACACCCACUGUACAUAAUAAAUAAAUGAUCCCACGUGGUACUAGCAGAAGACUAAAUAUAGAGACCCCAUCUAGUCUUUGCUUAAAUUAAGAAGCCUCCUCUCGAGAACAACGCAUCCACACAUGGCCCCCAAGAAGCUGACAAGCUGUGAGUGAGUGUGCGUGUGUAGACUGUAGAUACAGUCUGGCAGUAUUCGCUGUGCGUAUCGGCAUCAUGUUAAUGGAGCAUCUUGCACAUGUUCUCAGACGCAAGUGAUUUUAGUUUUCAAUCCCCGAAGAAAGAAGUUGUUUUAUAUUUAGCAUGAGCUGGUGGCGAUGAAUGGAAAUUGCCUGCUUACUUGGUUUUGGUGUGUGCAGAUUAAUUUUGAAAGUCGCAUGCGCCUCGCGCCCGGUGACCCGCCCUGAUGGAUGACAUGUGGCAUUCACAAAUCACAAAGCAUCUAAUCUCUCCCCUCUGAUUUCAGGUGGGGGUGGGGGUAGGUGCUUUGUGAUUUGUGAAUGCCACAUGUCAUCCAUCAGGAUGGGUCUCACCUGCUAACCCGUGAGACCUGCUCUCAUAGAAUUUUUUUCCGUCGCACGCCCUGACUAGGAAGGCGUCCUCUUCAUUAGGUGGCAUUUAUUCCUGUCAUGCCCGUUCGCUGCUUUGGUUUGGAGCACAGUUCACGUUACUCCCUCUGUCUAGGUGUGUAAGUCAUCUUACAAAAACCAAAUAAUCCCAAAACACUUUGGCGCGGUGCGUUAACUUCUACCUCGUUUUUCAUUUUUUAACAUAUCAACCAAUAAAAGAUAAAGGGUGUGCAUGCUUUUAAUGACUUGAGACUAUCAAACACGACAUGCAGUGGUUAGUUCAUUGCAUGCAAUACUAUUAAUUAGCAAAUAAACAUUAAUGUUUCUUAUUUUCCCCUCCUCCUUGGUCAUGGUGCACAGUCUAAGAUGACUUACUCACCUAGAUGGAGGGAGUAGUUUCAAUUUAUCACCACCAAUAACUAUAUCAAAUUGUCUCCUCAAAAUAAAAGUAUAUCAAAUUUGUUUGGUAAUAUGAAGGGCCAAAUUUGCGUGGAAGUUUGUGCUAUUCUUUGGGUAAUUUGGAAUUGCCGAAAUGAAUGCGUUUUUAAUUGAUCAUCGGGCUAAGAAUAUUGAAUGAGCUCAAUCAGACGUAUUAGCCCGAUGAUCAACAGAGAAUGGAAGUGCAUUGAGGACCGUUUAGAUCAACCAGACGUAUUAACCCAAUUCACCAUCGUAAGCUGACCAACAGAGAAUGGAAGUGCAUUGAGGACCGUUUUGAGAAGAAACUGAGUUGCUGGUGUCGUGGUUCUAAGUCUGACAGAAGAGUGGGGGGUAGGUAUGGAGAGGCAAGGUCCUAGCUAUGGAGAGGUUGUAAACACAAGCGAUGUACGAGUUCAGGCCCUUCUCGGAGGAAGUAAAAGCCCUACGUCUCGGAGCCCUGAGGCGGUCGAGUGGAUUAUGUAUGUAUGUGUUACAGGGGUGCGAACCCUUCUGCCUGUGGAGGGGGGUGGCUUAUAUAGAGUGCUCCAGGACUCCUGCCAGCCCACGUAAUGAGGGGUUUAAAGUACAUUAAGUCUGGGCCGUUACUGGUAACGCCCUACAUAAAGUGUCUUAACCACCAUAAAGUCUAUUCAAUUACAGGCCGUUGUAGUGCAGAGUGCCUCCUGACCUUCUGGUGGUCGAGUGAGUCGUCAUGGUCGAGUCCUUCAAGUCAGUCGAGUGAGUUCCUCCUUAGUCGACUGGAAGGUGAUCUCUUCUAAGGGUGUCCUUGGGUAGGGCCCUUGGAUCAGGCCUAUGACCCUACCCUAGGUACAUGAAUCCAUCAUUAGCCCCCGAAUGGAUUGAGGCUUGAGUGAGGAAGGAGUUGGUGUUGUUUCCGAUUGACUUUUGCAUACUGGCUAUGCGUUGUUCUGGAUCAAGACCCUCUUUGUUGAUAACGAGCAACUUUUCUUCAGUCGACUCGAUCCAUUCUUGUCUUUCGUCGAGUGAUCUUUUGGACUUUGCCGGUUCCCGAGCGACGGAUCGCAGGAAAUCUCGCGUCUGACAGAUCGAUCUGCCAUUCGCGGAUUCUACGGGAUACGAAAUUUGGGGAAGCGCGCGAAGCGGAACGGACCGCGUCGCUCGGACGGGACAGGACAUAGACGCCUCGAUCUCCGCGCCGCUUUUUCCGCCACAUAUCACGUCAAUGCAACUGUUUCGGGAUAUGAUUAGACUGACCGGGCCCACCCGUCAUCCACUCGGAAGGGACCUUAUAAGUGCGGCCGGCGAGGGUUUUCUGAACAGUGCUUCAUCAUUUCCUCUCUGCUCUCUUUGUCUCCGCCCAACGCGUCCACUUUCGCCUCCGCAAAGCUUCUCUUCGCGCAUCUCGCUGGCAGCCAUGGUCAAGGAGAAGACGGCGGUGCUGGAGCGCGCAAAGAAGGCAUCGGCGGCGGAGAAGGCAAAGGGGAGAUCCACCAGUCGCAGCGGGUCUUCGUCUAGAUCUCGCCUGCCGAAGGGCUGGGUCCAGGGAGAUUGGAUCCAGUCGACCAUCACGGAGAAGGAUCUCCUCGACAUGGCCAACGACGGGCUGAUCCCCCACGGCGUCGCAAGGCUUCCGGGGAAAGAGUGGCAGCCCCAGCCGGAAGAGGGUGAGUGCGUGCUUCUGGCCACCCAUAUCGACCGCGGAUUUUCCUUGCCACCGAGUGUUUUCUUUCGUGGUUUUCUGAACUUCUUUGGAGCCCAACUUCACCACUUCACCCCGAACUCCAUCGCAUAUCUUGCUGCGUUUGUAUCCAUGUGUGAGAAUUUUCUGGGCUGUCGACCGCACUGGGGCUUGUUCAAGCACAUAUUCACAUGUCGCUCUCAGACCGUGAAGAAGGCGAGCCCAGGCGAUGAAAGAACCCAAGUUGUCCAGAUGUGUGUGGGCCUGGGAAUCCAAGUGAGGAACAAGAGCACUUUCCCAGCAAUGACGUUUCCUGAGUCGGUCAGAGGCUGGCAGUCGACCUGGUUCUACUGCCAGAAUGAGUCGACGCCGGGGCAGUCGAGUGGACUUCCUCCAUUCACCAUGGACCGAGUGAACAAGCCUUCCUCUCUGAAGGUGAUUCCGGAGGAGAGAGCUGACGUGAAGAUGUUGAUGGAUCGCGUGGUGCAGCUGGUUCGAGACGGAGUUACUGGCAUGGACCUUUUGGAGGUUUUUCUUAGGCGGCGCAUCUAGCCCCUUCAGUUCCGGAGCCACUGCAUGUGGUUGUACUGCGGAACUGAAGACGAGACUCGGAUCCACCCGGAACCAGUCGACGACGCCACGGUGGAAAAGUGGAUGGCCGCGGUCACUGGGAACAAGGAUAAUCCCCGCGGAUCCAGAAGAAUUUCUCCACUCGACCACCACAGCGUUCCAGACAAGGUAUGUUUGCUCUAUCUUCCAUUGUAUUCUUGUCAUAUUUAUUUCUAUUCCAUACGCAAGUUGGUCGAUUGAUCUCUGUCUUGACGUCUUUCAGGCCCUCACCGAGCUGUACUCAAUGCCCAAUGGAGCUCAGGCUCCGACUGAAGAAGGAGAAGCGAGCGGGGGCGAGAGCCAGGAGGAGUGGCACUCGGACACUGCUGAAGAUGACGACGACGAUGAUGAGGACGAAGAUGAGGAGGAGGAGGAGGUUGCUCCACCGCGCUCGGAAAGGCGGUCGAAACUUGUCCAUGACCCAGCGACUGAACGUGGUAAGGGGGUUGAGACUGCCUCGCACUCGACCAAACUCCCUCGGACCGCUUCUCCGGCGCCGACUGAAAAGGCGCCGAAGCAGUCGAAGGUGGCUCCGUCAAAGCCAACCAAGCUCCUGCCGAAGAUGAAGGUGUCCAUCCCCACCAUAUCAGGGUAAACAUGCUGCUUAAGUCUUCUUGUUUUGUACAAGCUUUAUCUCUGGUUGGUACUUGAGUUAACCGACUGAUUCUUUGGAACUUGAGUGCUGCAACUUCUGAGACCUCAGGAAAGGCUGACGACCAUGAGAUGGAGGACGCAGCAACCUCAAAUCCUGGUACUAUACUCCUAAUUCUGUCUUUAGUCGACUGACUCACGAUUUCUAACUCUGAUUCUUUUCUGAAGCUCCAUCCAAUGUCGUUAUCACCCUUCCUGAUGAUGAUGAUGAGGAUGAGGAACCGCUGAAGCAUAGGAGGAGCAGGAAGGCGUCUACUGGUAAGGCGGCCCAGGAUGUGACGGUGCCCGAGACUGUGGUCACGGAGGGGGAGAACACCACUCGACACACCGUGUCUUUCGCGGUGCCCUUGACGAGUGCUCAUCCCACUUCAUCGAGUGCCGCUCAACCUUCGCUCUUCACAACGCACCACGUCCCAGAGGACCAAGCCAGCGCUGCUAAGGAAGCGAUACGCCAAGCAGGAGUCAUGAUGGAGAAGGUGAAGGCCAUCCGGGACGCGAGUCAAGCAGCUUAUGACGCCAGCUCCGCCCUUCAGAGCAAUGUCCAGGUCAGUCGACCAUCGCUUGUUCUGUUAGGAUAUGCUAUCAAAACUUCUCUUUCCGAAAUCUAUAGCAAUCACCCACUGGGAGUGUUGAGUAAAACUCCGUGUUAGCGGGGGCACGCUGAGUGCACCCGCUGGGUGUAGUCCCCAAGGUUAAGGUCGACUACUGGCAGUCGGUCUUAGGCUUUAUAAAUAAAGUCUUUCCGUCAUUCGACUGAGGCGAAUGGAUUUCCGAAACCGGUGGGGGCACGCUAAGUGCACCCACUGGGUGUAGUCCCCGAGACUGUGGUUGACUGCUGGCAGUUGAUUACAGUCUGAAGAAUACGUCUCUUUUUUUUUGGAGGUCGACUGGUCGACUAGUGGGGGCACGCUGAGUGCACCCACUUGGUGUAGUCCCCGAGACUACGGUCGAAUGCUUGCAUUCGGCUGUAGUCUUAGAAACGCAUGAUUUUCUCUUAUCCACUCGGAAGUGAAUUAUCUUUGAUAUUUUGUCGAUUGGCUCUUCUCAGAAAUCCUGUGACCUUGCGGCUCGCUAUACCGAGCUUGAACAGAAGCACAUUCAACUCGAGCUAGAUCUGAAGCUGGUUCAGGAGAAUCUGACGAAGGCGAAGGAGGAGACCAAAGGUAUGUUCGGUGAGACUUCGACGACUCCUUUUUCCCUUCACUUGUUUCAAAAUCUGACCUUUCUGUGACUUGCAGGUAAGGUGAAGGAAGCCCAGAAGAAAAAAGACCUUGAGCUAGCUGAGAAGAUCAAGCUUGCUGACGAGAAGUUAGCUUCAGUCACCAAGCUCGAAGAAGAGAAUACUAAUCUGAAAGCUGCUCUUGGGAUUGCCAACAAGGAAGUCACCCGACUGAAGACUGACAAGACUGCCCUAACCGACAAGAUCAAUCAGCUGACUGGGAAGAAAAAUGACCUGGAGGCCUUCCUGAGUGGACUUGCCAAGAAGUUGUUCCUUAUGCUCGAAGGUAACCCUUUAUACUCGACAACCAUUUUCAACUUUCAUGCUUCCACUCGACCACUGCCUUGACUCGGUGUUUGUCCUUGCAGAAUUCUGUCGAAACUUUGAAGAAGAAACUAGCCAGUUGGAACCAAACCUUGACCCCGUCAAUUCUCCAGUGAAUGAUGAAGUUGCCAUGAACGUCUUCCGACUGGAGUCCCGUGUUGCAGCUGUCGUGGACUAUCUUGCAAGACUGAAGGUCGCCACGUCCCGCAUCGACUCGACGCUAUGGCCCAGGGCGACACUCCAGAAUGACCUCGAGUCGCUGAUGGCUCGGCUGAACACAGUCCCUGACCGAGUGCAGGAGUGGAAGAAGUCCUCGGCUCAUUGCGGUGCAGAUGUUGCUCUGUGUCUGGCCCGAGUCCACUGCAAAGACGCGCGAGAAGACAAGCUGGCGGCUCUCUGGGUGGCCAACACCAAGAAACACGACUUCAGGUCCUUCAUGGAAACCUUCAUCGCUGCAGCCACUCGGAUCGCAGACGGAAUCGACCUUGAUGAGUUCGUUGCUCCUUCCAGCCCUCCACAGGAGGGGUAAAAAACUUCUUUUAAGCCCGACACUUUAAAUUUGCCUCGGUAUGCCGAGUGGAAUUGUAACCGAUAAACCUUAACAGGCUUAGCGCUUGAGCACUUUCGGUUCCUUUAGGUAUCGACCUAAACUUGGAUUUGAUGUUUUAAUAUGAUUGCUUUUGGCUCGAAAUGUCCUUUGCAGGUUCACCGCAAGAUGCCCACUGCAGUCGACUUAUUCCUUAGGCGAGCACUGGGUUGCUGCUAAGCCUCCGAGUGAGAGGUUUGCUCUUCACUCGGUAGGAUUUUUAUAUCUUACGCGAGCACUGGGCUGCAGCUAAGCCCCUGAGUGAGAGGUUUGCUCUUCACUCGGUAGGAUUUUUUAUAUCUUAGGCGAGCGCUAGGCUGCAGCUAAGCCCCCGAGUGAGAGGUUUGCUCUUCACUCGGUAGGAUUUUUUAUAUCUUAGGCGAGCGCUGGGCUGUAGCUAAGCCCCCGAGUGAGAGGUUUGCUCUUCACUGUGUAGGAUUUUUAUAACUUAGGCGAGCACUGGGCUGCAGCUAAGCCCCCGAGUGAGAGGUUUGCUCUUCACUCGGUAGGAUUUUCACGUUGUACUUGUGACGGAGCUCAGAGGAAAGGAUCACAGUCGACCUGCACCUCGUCCCCCUUACAAGCGCACAUUGUACUUAUGGUGUAGCUCGGAGGAGAGGGUCGCAGUCAACCUGCACCUCGUACUCCUUGCAAACGUUCGUUGUACUUAGACGAGUAUUUAAACUGCAGCUAAGCCUCCGAGUGGAAGUCUGGCUUACCACUUGGUAGGAUUUAUAUAACUUAGGCGAGCACUUGGACUGCAGCUAAGCCUCCGAGUGGAAGUCUGGCUUAUCACUCGGUAGGAUUUAUAUAACUUAGGCGAGUACUUGGACUACAGCUAAGCCCCCGAGUGGAAGUCUGGCUUACCACUCGGUAGGAUUUUUAUAACUUAGGCGAGCACUGAGCUGCAGCUAAGCCCCCGAGUGGAAGUCUGGCUUACCACUCGGUAGGAUUUUUGUAACUUAGGCGAAACGGAUUCGCAGCUAAGCCCCCGAGUGGAAGUCUGGCUUACCACUCGGUAGGAUUUUUACAAACUUAGGCGAAACGGAUUCGCGGCUAAGCCACCCACUGGGGGGAAAAUUUUAUGGGACAAAAUAAAAAGUGACAAAAAUUAUGGAGGAAUUAUGACACUAAUAUUUCGAAAUCCAUGAACUAGAAAAGUACUUUAUUACAACUCAUCCGAGUGAAAAACUUUAAGUGUAAAAUGGGCGGAGCAGAUCCGCGUUCCAAGCUCGGGGCUCUUCGAUAUUGUGUUCGACGUUGUAAAGGCGAUAAGCCCCGUUGUGGAGAACCUUGGUGACGAUGAAGGGUCCUUCCCAAGAAGGAGCGAGCUUGUGUUGUUUCUGCUGAUCCACUCGGAGCACUAGAUCUCCUUCCUGGAAGGCUCGACCUCUCACAUUUCUGGCGUGAAAGCGACGCAAGUCCUAUUGGUAGAUGGUCGAUCGGAUCAGAGCCAUCUCCCUUUCUUCCUCUAGAAGGUCGACUGCGUCUUGACGCGCUUGCACUUCAUCAGUCGGUAAAGAGGCAACGCCUUUUCACCGAGUCGUGAGAUGAAUCGACUUAAUGCGGCCAAGCAUCCAGUAAGCUUCUGGACAUCGUGCACUCGCACAGGGCGUUUCAUUCGGAGAAUAGUGCCUAUCUUCUCUGGAUUAGCAUCGAUCCCUCGCUCGGAAACGAGAAAACCGAGUAAUUUUCCACCAGGAACUCCAAAUGUGCACUUUGACGGAUUGAGCUUGAUAUCAUACCUUCUGAGGUUGGCAAAUGUUUCGGCGAGGUCAGCGAGCAGGUCGGAACCCUUUCGUGACUUGACGACGAUAUCAUCCAUAUACGCUUCCAUAUUCCGACUGAUUUGAGUGAGUAGACACUUCUGAAUCAUUCGCAUAAAUGUGGCUCCGGCAUUCUUGAGGCCGAAUGGCAUGGUGAUAUAGCAGAAGCACCCGAAUGGAGUAAUGAAAGCUGUUUUUAUCUCAUCGGGACCAUACAGACGGAUCUGAUGAUACCCGGAAUAAGCGUCUAGAAAAGACAAUCUCUCGCACCCCGCGGUCGAGUCAACGAUUUGAUCUAUGCGAGGGAGAGGAAAAUGAUCUUUCGGGCAGGCCCGAUUGAUGUGCUUAAAAUCAAUGCACAUGCGGAGCGACUUGUCCUUCUUCGGAACCAUGACGACAUUAGCGAGCCACUCGGAGUGGUAUAUCUCGCGAAUAAAUCCGGCCGCCAACAGUCGAGCCACUUCCUCACCAAUAGCCUUUCUCUUCUGGACGGCGGACCGCCGAAGGUGCUCUUUUACUGGUUUUGCUGAUUUGUCGACUCUGAGGCGAUGCUCAGCAAGUCCCCUGGGAACACCUGGCCUGUCAGCUGGCUUCCAUGCAAAAAUGUCCCAGUUCUCACGGAGGAACUGGAUGAGCUCUUCUUCCUAUUUCGGGUCGAGUGUUGUGGAAAUGUGGGUCGGGGCUGCAUUGGGGUCGGUCGGGUGAAUGUGGACAGGCUUCGUCUCACCGGACGACUGAAAUGCAGAUUCUAUGGCGGGUUUCUUGGAUCGCAGCAAAUCACUCGGAUCUGCGUUUUGCUUAUACUCUUCAAACUCGACCGCUGUCACCUGGGAAUCGGCAAUCUUCGAGCCCUUCUGAAAGCACUCUUCUGCCUUUUUCCGAUCACCGGUGACAGUGAUCACUCCUUUGGGACCAGGUAUCUUCAGUUUGAGGUACACGUAACAUGGUCGAGCCAUGAAUCGUGCGUAGGCUGGCCUCCCCAAAAUGGCGUGGUACGCACCCUGAAAAUCCACGACCUCAAACGUCAACUUUUCCUUGCGAAAAUGCUUUGAAUCACCAAACACCACGUCCAGAGCUAUUUGGCCGAGUGACUCAGCUUUCUUCCCUGGUAUGACUCUGUGGAAACUCAUGUUGCUGGUGCUCAGUCGGGACAUCGGAAUGCCCAUUCCUUUCAGUGUGUUUGCAUAUAACAAGUUCAGCCCACUUCCACCAUCCAUCAGCACCUUUGUCAGUCGAGUGCCUUCGACAACUGGGUCGACCACCAAAGCUUGCCCCCCAGGGGUGGCAAUAUGAGUCGGAUGAUCAGACUGGUCGAAUGUGAUGGGUGUUUGGGACCAUCUCAGAUAACUUGCUUUUGCUGGGGCAACCAUGUUCACCUCGCGGUUAAUGACUUUGAGUCGACUCUUGCUUUCCACAUCCGCGUAGAUCAUCAGAGUGGAGUUGACAUGCGGAUAUCCUUCCUCACUGUCCUCUUUGUCUUCGGCCUUGUCCGACUCCUUCUCCUUGUCCUUAGACUGUUUUCCCUGAAACUGCUGGAUCAGGAGUCGACAUUGGCGAGUGGUAUGCUUUGGGUAAAUGAUGUUGCCCUCUUCAUCUUUCUUCGUGUGGAUGUGACAUGGCAUAUCCAUCACGUCGUUUCCUUCUUUAUCCUUCACUUUCUUAGGAUUCCAGGAUCCUUUUGGCUUCCCCUUGAACUUUCCCUGAGUCACGGCCAGGGCCUCUCCAGGAGCUGCUGGUUCGGCCUUCCGCUUCUGUUUCCGACUGGAGUUUCCCUUUUCCGACUGACUUGGCUUGUACUUGCCGCUUCGAAGUCGGUCCUCUUCCUCGCCGUUGGCGUACUUGGUAGCAAUCUCCAUCAUCCGACUCAGGGUCAUGUCCCCGGUUCGACCAAACUUCAGACUCAAUUCUCUGUUCUUGACGCCAUCUUUGAAGGCGCAAACUGCCUGAUGAUCAGACACAUUUUCCACAGUAUGGUGCAAAGUGAUCCAUCUCUGAAUAUACUCUCUGAGAGUCUCAUUGGUCUUCUGCACACAGACUUGCAGCUCUGUCAAUCCAGCUGGUCGCUUGCAAGUUCCUUCAAAGGUUCUGACGAACACUCGGGACAGAUCUUCCCGAGUGUAAAUACUGCUAGGAGGUAACUGAUUCAACCACGCUCUGGCUGAACCUUCCAACAUGAGGGGCAAAUGCUUCAUGGCCACCUCGUCAUUCCCACCACCAAUCUGAACAGCCACUCGGUAGUCCUCAAGCCAAGUUUCGGGCUUAGACUCACCAGUGAACUUGCUGACUCCUGUUGCCAAUCUGAAAUUGGGGGGAUCACUGCGGCUCUGAUAGCCCUGCUAAAACAUUCUGGACCAGAAACAUCCACUCGACUGCUCGUGGGAGCAUCUCUCUCGGGUUCGCCUCGAUGGGCUCUGUUCCGGUCGACCAAGCCUUGCACGAUAAUGGAUCGCGCGUCGAAGCCUGGUUCCCUGGGGUCGACUGGAGCUCUUCGCCCCACACUGAGCUGACGCCUGUCAUCCUGUCGCCGAGGAGCGUAAGACCCAUCCCUCGGAGGGGAAGCGGGCACUCGACGCCUGUCAUCUCGGUCGUGUCGGUCUCCAUACUGAUCUCGCCGAUUGUCGCGCCCUUCCCGCCGCGGAGGCGAUCUGGGACUGUGAGCCGACUGAACCGUAUUCGCAGCGACGGAUCGACUGUGAAUUCUAUUGCGCGACUGCGACACGGCUGAGUUCUGGUCCCCUGCUGCCCGGAGUAAAUCUCUGAUCUGCAUCAAGCCUCUCCCAGCUUCCGACUGAGAAGGCUGGAUGGACUCUGCUAUACGGGUUGCAGCUGCUAAAUUCUAAAUUGGUGUUCGGUAUACCUGAGUCGGCGGGAAGAGUCGACGUCGAUUGGCGUCGGGUACUCGUUGCCGCGCGCGCUCGUUGAGUGCUCGCUGAAGGUUCUCCAGACGAGCGCGUUCAGCCAGAUUGGCCAAACGUGCCUCCUCCAAGGCGCGAGCCUCGGGGGUUUCUCCCGCGAUGGGAGUAUGUAGGGCAUCCAUGUUCCUGCGGCGAAGCUCUUCUCUCUGCAGAGAGUCGAGUGUCUCGGGCUGGUACUCUUCGUGGUCUUGUGCGGGGUCGCCUCCACCGCCUGCUCCGCCCUCAUGGGCGAAGCCAGGAGGACUGCGGGGUCCAUUGACCAUCAGGAUUUCCGCCGCCGGAUCACUGCUAUCGCAUUCGGAUGCAGUCUCUACGGAGCCAGUCGACAGAUCGAACAGGCCGUAGAGAGAUUCGUCGGGCUCGAUUGCCGCAACUUGGGCGAUGGCCGCCUGGCGAUCCACCGCGUGCUUCACCCACCGCUGGAGCCUCGACCGACCAGAGCGCUUGCGCUGGUGGGAGACCGGAAGGGUGGCCGAUAGGGGAGUCGACCGAUACGGGGUCGACGGUUGCCGCAGCAGAACACCGCGAACACAUGCGCGAAAAUGCGUCGCACCGCGGACGGGGAGCGCAUCAACGUCGAGUGGAGCCUCCUGGAGCCACGCGGAGUCGUCGGCGACGAAGGUGAGAGCACCGAGACGGAUCUCGCGACCCUCAACCAAAACUCCAGCAGUCAUCAUGAUGAAAGUACUCGGAAGUAUUGCAACUUCUCCACAAAUCGCUAAAACACCCGCCCCACGGUGGGCGCCAACUGUCGUGGUUCUAAGUCUGAUAGUAGAGUGGGGGUAGGUAUGGAGAGGCAAGGUCCUAGCUAUGGAGAGGUUGUAAACACAAGCGAUGUACGAGUUCAGGCCAUUCUCGGAGGAAGUAAAAGCCCUACGUCUCGGAGCCCUGAGGUGGUCGAGUGGAUUAUGUAUGUAUGUGUUACAGGGGUGCAAACCCUUCUGCCUGUGGAGGGGGGUGGCUUAUAUAGAGUGCGCCAGGACCCCUGCCAGCCCACAUAAUGAGGGGUUUAAAGUACAUUAAGUCUGGGGCGUUACUGGUAACGCCCUACAUAAAGUGUCUUAACUACCAUAAAGUCUAUUCAAUUACAGGCCGUUGCAGUGCAGAGUGCCUCCUGACCUUCUAGUGGUCGAGUGAGUCUUCAUGGUCGAGUCCUUCAAGUCAGUCGAGUGAGUUCCUCCUUAGUCGACUGGAAGGUGAUCUCUUCUAAGGGUGUCCUUGGGUAGGGCCCUUGGAUCAGGCCUAUGACCCUACCCUAGGUACAUGAAUCCAUCAGCUGGAAAGGCAAGCUCAUGUCAUACGGAGGACGAUUAAUUCUUAUUAAUUCGGUCCUCACGAGUAUGCCCAUGUUUCUUCUCUCCUUUUUCGAAGUACCUGUUGGAGUCUUGAAGAGGCUAGAUUUCUAUCGAUCACGCUUCUUCUGGCAGAGUGAUGAACUUAAGCAAAAAUACAGACUUGCUAAAUGGGAUAUCAUCUGUAGGCCGAAAGACCAAGGGGGACUAGAUAUUGAGAAUCUGGAAGUGAAGAAUAGAUGUCUCCUUAGCAAGUGGUUGUUUAAGCUUUCUGUCGAGACGGAGGCCACUUGGGCUCAGAUCUUGCGUAACAAGUACCUUCACUCUAGAACCUUGUCCUAGGUGACAGUGAGGCCGACGGAUUCACCUUUUUGGAAAGGAUUGAUGAGAGUUAAACCACUCUUUUUAAUAGGACAAGGCUCAUAGUUGGAAACGGUACCGCUACGAGGUUCUGGGAGGAUACGUGGCUAGGGGAGACGCCCCUCGCACUCCAAUAUCCUUCUUUGUAUAACAUUGUUCAGCAUAGAGACGCUUACGUUGCAACAGUUCUGCAGUCCACUCCGCUCAAUAUUCAAUUUCGGAGGACGCUAGUGGGAAACCGUUGGGAAGCCAGGCUCAAUCUUGUGAGAAGAUUGAUGGAUAUUCAGUUGUCUCAACAACCGAUCAGUUGUGCUGGAAACUAACUAAGAACAGAGAGUUCUCGGUUAAAUCCAUGUAUUUGGAUGUUAUAAACUCUAGCGUAAUUCCUAGCUUGAAACAUGUUUGGAAAGUUAAAGUACCUUUGAAAAUCAAAGUGUUUAUGUGGUUUGUGCAUAAACAAGUUAUUUUAACUAAGGAUAAUUUAGCAAAACGCAAUUGGACAGGAUCUACAAGAUGUAGCUUUUGUGACCAACAUGAAUCAAUCAAACACCUCUUUCUUGAUUGUCUGCUGGCAAAAAUUAUGUGGCGGUUGGUUCACAUAGCUUUUAACAUUUCUCCACCGAAUUCAGAAAACACACUUACAUAUAGGUAAAGUGAUCUACUCUAGAUAUCCCUAACUAAACCAAGGGACAACAUGAAAUCCGUACGAAGAAAUUAGAUGGUGUUAUCUUCAAAGUGGAUUUUGAAAAAGCGUAUGAUAAGGUCAAAUGGCCCUUUUUGCAGCAAGCCUUGCGUAUGAAGGGGUUCAAUGAGUCUUGGAGAUCUCAGGUGGGUUCAUUCAUACAGAAAGGUAGUGUCGGAAUAAAAGUCAACGAUGAUACAUGACAUUUUUUCCAGACACGGAAGGGGUUACGAUAGGGAGAUUCCAUGUCUCCGGUGCUGUUUAACAUUGUAGCGGAUAUGUUGGCGGUACUAAUUGGUCGGGCUAAAGAGAGCGAUCAAGUACGAGGACUCGUCCCACACCUAGUAGAGGGGGGAGUCUCCGUCCUACAAUACGCGGAUGACACAAUUAUAUUCAUUGAACAUGAUCUUGCAAAAGCUAGGAAUAUGAAGCUUGUAUUGGGUCUUUUUGAGCAACUGUUUGGGCUCAAAAUAAACUUCAAUUAAUGCGAAUUGUUCUGUUUUGGGAGAGCCAAAGAGGAACAAGAUGAUUAUAGAAAUUUGUUCGGUUGUGAAAUGGGAUCCUUAACUUUUAGUUAUCUAGGGAUCCUAAUUCAUCAUAGACGUUUAACAAACAAGGAAUGGAAAUGUAUAGAAGAUCGAUUUGAAAAGAAACUGAGCUGCUGGAAGGGCAAGAUUAUGUCAUACGGAGGUCGAUUGGUUUUGACAAGCCUGCCGAUGUUCCUUCUAUCCUUCUUUGAGGUACCGGUAGGGGUACAGAAAAGACUUGACUUUUAUAGAUCCCGUUUCUUUUGGCAAAGUGAUGAGGCCAAGAAGAAGUACAGGUUGGACAGAUGGGAUAUUAUUUACAGACCAAAAGACCAGGGCGGGUUAGGGAUCAAAAAUUUAGAGGUCAAAAAUAGACGUCUCCUUAGCAAGUGGUCAAGUGGCUAUACAAAAUAUCUACUGAGACCGAGGGUAUGUGGAUACAAAUCUUGCGAAAUAAAUACUUACACUCUAAGACUUUGGCCCAAGUCACUUUUAGGCCAACGGACUCACCCUUCUGGAAGGGAUUAAUGAGGACGAAAACAAUUUUCUUCCAACGAGUGAAAUUCCUAGUUGGUAAUGGCAAUACUACUAGAUUUUGGGAGGAUACAUGGCUUGGGGAGACGCCUUUGGCUUUGCAAUAUCCAUCCUUAUAUAAUAUUGUGCAACAUAAGGAGGAUUAUGUUGCUAUAGUAUUAAACUCGAUACCGCUUAAUAUCCAAUUUAGGAGAUCCCUAGUAGGGGAACGUUGGAAUGCUUGGUUGCACCUGGUUCAUAGGUUGAUGGAAGUUCAUCUAUCUGAUCAGACGGAUAUAAUUCGCUGAAAGUUAACCACGAAUGGAAUCUUCUCAGUGAGACCCAUGUAUUCGGACCUAAUUGAUUCCGGGCCAUUGUCGAGGUUGUUGCACAUUUGAAAGAUUAAAGUUUCGCUUCGUAUUAAAAUAUUUAUGUUGUUUGUCCAUAAAGAGGUUAUUCUAACCAAAGAUAACUUGGCAAAAAGGAAUUGGGUUGGUAACUGCUGUUUUUUGAUCAAAAUGAAAUGAUUAAACACCUCUUUCUCUAAUGUCCUCUUGCGCAAAAUUAUUGUGGCGAUCAAUUCAUAUAGCCUUUAACGUUCAACCUCCAAGGAGCAUACACAUGUUAUUUGGGACGUGGCUUAAUGGAGUGGACGUACAUUUAGCUAACCAUAUUCGGAUAGGAGUAUGUGCAUUAUUUUGGGCUAUAUGGAACACUAGAAAUGAUAUGAUUUUUAAUGGGGCAAAAUUCACCAAUUUUUUAUAGGUUAUCUACAGAGCUACAAUUUGGAUCCGUAUGUGGUCCUUACUCACUCAUGCGGACUUCAUGGAGCCUUUGGUUAUUGGGUGCAACCGUUGGGAGACGGUAGCACGGGCUAUCUUCAGCCGAUUUGUGUGGCGAGCUAAUAAUAGGCUAGGUGUGUAGACAUCAUAGCUUAUUAUUCUAUCGCUGGAUGUGACACUUCUUUAGUUCUAUUUCGCCGGGUGUGGCGUUUGUCAGAUUUAUUUGCUUCUUUUUCAAAAAAGAAGAAAAAACCAAGGGACGGCCAGAGAAGAGAAAUAAAAAUGUGAAGAUGCUCAGGUAACAUGUACUACGAACGUGGAUGCGGCGAGGAAACUGCCAGGCUGUAGGCAACUGGCCAUCGCAAGAGAAGACUUUGUAGACUUGGCAAGAGAAGACCAGAUGUAUGGGGGCUUUAAAUGGUAAUCUAAGCAAGACCAGAUGGGGUCUAUAUGUUUAAUCUUAUGUUUACAUGUGGAUAAUUUAUUAUUGUGCAGUGGGAGUAUACAUAUAUCUAUCAUCCUGCACCGGUACGGUGACUAUCCUCAUUGAAUCUCUGGUGUGGAGGCUCCAUUACUCAUCAUCAUGCUGCGCGCUAAGGAUCAAGGCUGAUCUCUACUUUUCUUGCUCCACCUCAAAUUUCUGGUUGCUAGCGGCAGCACGCGCGGUUGUGUGGAUCAUCGGUCGGUCUACGUCCAUAUAUUGAUGUGAGUUACGACUUUAUUUUUGAAUCAAAUUUGAGUUACUACUUAUAUGUUCUUAUAUCUUGCUUGCAAGAACUCUCGUAGUUUUCUUCUUCUUGUUGAGAAACGCAAGAACACUCAUACUUAUUUGCAGGAAAUGAAAGAACGCUCAUACUUCAUUCAGGAGAUCAGUGUCUUAACUCGCUAGAGCCUAACUCCAGGCACUAGACAGCAAAUUGUAGCAGUCUCUAGGCCCAUUUCGUGUAUGAGAGAGAGAGAGAGAGAGAGAGAGAGAGAGAGUCCAAUUCAACAGUCCUCUUCCUUGCCGCCUGGGCAGAAAAAUGGCACUGACGACGGGUGGUAGGGCGAGCUCCGGACCGGUAGGCAUUGGCAUGCUGAGAGAGAAGCAGGUUUUAGAGAGAAGCUGUACAUACGAGUAGUUUAACACAUACGGAUGGACAAGUACUUGACUACCACAUUAAGUGAUUUUCGUGAACGAUAAUACAUGUCUCAUUCGUAUAAUAUAAAUGUGAAAGUACAAGCCACAUGUAAUUCGACUUGAAAGACUAAAAAGAUAGCAGCACGCUAGCCUUUACACAAAUUGCCACAACCAAUAAAGAAAUUUACAACCAGGAUCAACACAUCCCAUGAUCAUGACUCCAACCCGUGUCACCUACCUCCGGCACCACCAUAGCAGCCACUAAAGAAAAAUAUGAUGAGUGGCGUCGACGGCAGCUAGGCCGGGCAAGGUAGAUGCAGCAGUACAGCUCUGAAGAUGGAUUGGUGCAGGUGGCUGCGGCGGCCUCAUACCCGGCAGGCGUCCUGGUUGAGGAGUGCGCCGGACCGGUGGGUGCCCCAUACCCGGCAGGUGUCCUGGAUAGGACCUCAGGUCUUAGAUGUUAGGUCUGGCUGCGAGGUCUGUUUGGUAUUAGGCCCAAACUAUCGGCAUCCCUUCAUCAAUUGGAUAGGAGUAGCGACAGAUGAUGCCUAGACAGUGGCUUUAGUCUUACUGUUGUAUUUCUUUGUAAGGUCUUGUGUGAACAAUUAAUAAAGUGGCUGCAUGCAUCAUCCAGAUGCAGAGGCCAGGGGUCUUCCUCCUUUUCAAAAAAAAACCUCUUCAGCCGAUCUCGAUGCGGCUCCACCACUGACAUCUAACUUUGCGAACAACAUCCAAAGUAUAGCUUAGCAAAGGCGAAGUGAUUGCCGUUGAAAGAAUCUGAUUCCGGACACGCCAUUAAAUUUCAGAUUAGGCACCUGGAUCAUGUGUUGGGUUCGUUGUUGAUAGCUGGAAGGUACGAUUUCUUUCUCUGGCGUCUUAGCCAUACUAAAUUAAGUGAUCCGCAAAUGCAGAUUGACUGCUGCUUGUCAUUGUAGUCUGGUGUACGUAGUACCACUCGUACAGUUCAUUAGAUGUACUUUUCUUUAUGUUGGCUUGCCACUCGUUUAUUGAUGUCGCACCAUCUAAUUUUGUCACGUCAUGUUGUAAUUAUAAUUAUCACAUUUCCAUCAAGCCUGGUUAGUAUGGUAUUUAUAGAGACCGUACCAAAAUAGUAUGUUAUUACUCAAACCGGACCAUAGAGUUAACUCGUACAACAAUAAACAAAUGGAUGUGGCUAGGACUCAUCUAGAUGUGACAUAACUAUGUCUUAUGUCACAUCUAAGCAUGACACUCACACAACAUCAGCAAAAAAACAAAUUAAAAAAAAUAUUUUAUACAAAUCUUGAAGCCCCUUAUUAUGUGAUGAACUAUUUUUUUUCGAAAAGGGGGGACUCCCCGGCCUCUGCAUCAGAACGAUGCAUACGGCCACAUUAAUAGACAAAUAAAGAGAUUCAACAAGGUCUUAUAGUCUGAAAACAAAAUAACGGCAAGCUCACAAAGAGCCACAACACCAAAAACAAAAUGCCCAAAAGGCACAACCGGCUGGCAUAACAAAGAUAGGUAAACUAAUCGCCUGUCCUAUUGCAUGAUCGCCAUCCAAAUCGGUUGAAGAUAUCCCACACUACCAUCUCCCAUCGGACAGAUCCAGUAACCAAACGCUUCCCGGCCUCCGUCGGAGUGAGUAACGACCACAUACGGAUCAGCGCAGUAGCUCGGAAUAAAACCUGCAAAAAAUAAAUAUUUGUUGUUCUGUUAAAAGCCAAAUCAUUUCUGCAGUUCCAAAUUGCCCACAACAAAGCACAUACUCCUACACGAAUGUGUCUAGCUGUUGCGGACUCUAUCCCAACAAGCCACGCUUCAAAUAACGUACUGACCGAAUUCGGAGGAGUAAUGUUAAAGGCAAUAUGCACCGUGUGCCACAACACUCUCGCCAACGGGCGGUCAAAGAAGAGGUGCUUGAUAGUUUCGUCCCGAUCACAAAAACUACACCUAGUAGAUCCUAUCCAGUUGCGCUUAACCAAAUUAUCCUUUGUUAAAAUGACUUGUUUAUGUACAAACCACAUAAACACUUUAAUUUUCAAAGGAAUUUUGACUUUCCAAACAUCUUUGGAACUAGGAAUAGCACUAGAGUUAAUGACAUCGAUAUACAUCGACUUAACUAUGAACUCUCCAGACCUAGUAAGCUUCCAACACAACUGAUCGGGCUGAUGAGAUAGAUGAACCUCCAUCAGUCUACUCACUAAAUGAAGCCAUGCUUCCCACAGGUCGCCAACAAGCACCCUCCUAAACUGAAUAUUAAGGGGAAUGGACUGCAUAAUCGUUGCAACAAGAGCAUCACGUCGUUGAACAAUACGAUACAGGGAUGGGUACUGAAGCGCCAACGGCGUUUCACCAAGCCAAGUAUCCUCCCAGAAGCGAGUGGUGUUGCCAUUACCGACUAUAAACUUUGUUCUAUUAAAGAAGGCAAUUUUGACUCUCAUAAGCCCCUUCCAAAAUAGCGAGUCAGUCGGUCUCACUGUCGCCUGGGAUAAAGUCUUAGACUGCAGAUACUUACUACGGAGAAUCUGCGCCCACGUGGCCUCAGUCUCAACUGAUAACUUAUACAACCACUUACUGAGAAGACAUCUGUUCUUGACUUCAAGAUUCUCAAUACUAAGGCCCCCUGGUCCUUUGGUCGACAGAUGAUAUCCCAUUUGGCGAGUCGGUAUUUUCUCUUUAGAUCAUCACUCUGCCAGAAGAAUCGGGAUCGAUAGAAGACCAGCCUUUUCCUAACACCAACUGGGACUUCGAAGAAAGAUAAGAGAAAACAUAGGCAUACUCGUGAGCACCGAAUUAAUAAGAAUCAAUCAGCCUCCAUAUGACACGCAACUCAGUUUCUUCUCAAACCGAUCCUCGAUGCACUUUCAUUCUCUGUUUGUCAGCUUACGAUAGUGAAUAGGUAUACCUAAGUACGUAAAAUGUAAUGCCCCCAAUUCGCAUCCAAACAAUUGCCUAUAAGCCUCUUGUUUCUCAUUGGCUCUAUCAAAACAGAACAACUCGCUUUUAUGAAAGUCAUUCUGUAAACAAAUUAUCAAAACCUUAUCUACUGAAAACCGCACAAACUAAACGCCCAAGGACACACGCAAGGGAUAAGCGGGCAACCACAAGGGAAAAAGACUCGAGGGAUGGUAGAAGGAGACAAAAAAAAAACAAUGACAACACAUAUAGUUGUGCUCUAACAAAGGCGCGUCUAGAUGUAUCCUAGAUAGCCCCUCGGUCAAAAUUAGUUUAGAAUUUUCUUUGGAACGAGUCCUUUUGAACAAUAUCCUUUUACGUAAUCUUCCUACCAUAUAUAUGGACCGCAUUAAUAAUUUGAUUUUGCACCGAUAUAUGUCGCGUAUUAGCAAGUUUCUUUCCAUCUACGUUGAUCCUUGCCAUUUAAUUUCUGUUAAUUAAUGUAAACUAUUAAUACUGGAGACACUAUUAGCCUUGACAAUGCCAAAUUGAGCUUUUAGAUAAUAGAUGAUCCUGUCCAUUGGAUUUAUAUAAAUGAACAGACCAGAAAAUUCUGGACAAUCUUAAUAUUUCUCCUUACAUUGUUUCAGCAACAAUAAUGACGAAAGUAGAGGUGCAAGUGGAGCAAUGGCAAGAACAUGGGAUCCAAGUGAUGGUGCUACUGAGCUUCGCGAUGCAGCUAGUGCUUCUCGUCCUGGCGGAGUUUCGUCGGCGCAUAGACUCUGGUGUGCUAAGGGCGGUGAUUUGGUCAGCUUACAUGUUGGCCGACUCAAUAGCGAUAUACAUCUUGGGACACUUGUCCGUGACAAGCAGGUCAGAGGACCACGAGUUGAUGGCGUUUUGGGCACCAUUUCUGCUAUUGCACCUUGGCGGGCAGGACAACAUCACUGCAUACGCUAUCGAGGACAACCGGCUCUGGCUACGGCACCUACAAACGCUCGUCGUGCAGGUCGCUGCGGCUACCUACAUCCUCUAUGAGUCCAUCGUCGUCAGCAACCACACCCUGCUCCGGAAUGCUGCCGUCCUGAUGUUCGUGUUGGGCGUUGUCAAGUAUGGGGAGAGGGUGUGGGCUAUCAAGUGUGCUGACACUAGAGCAUCGGGCAGCAGCUACAAGUUCUACGAGACAGGAGAAUUUAUUAAAACUAAACCUCCAAUAGAACGGCCGGACACAGAGGGCUUGUUGCAGAUAGCCCACCUCUUGUUGGAUGUUCCAAAGGAUCUCUUUCAGGGGCCAUUGACCAACGUAAUGGUGAUACACCAGGACGUCAUCAUCCCCACAAAUGAGCUGUACAAGGUGGUGGAGAUGCAGCUCAGCCUAAUGCACGACGUUGUGUACAGCAAGGCGGGGGUGAUUCACACAUGGUAUGGCAUUUGCAUUCGCUUCAUUUCUCCAGUUUUCGCCACCGCCACAUUCAUUCUAUUCCAUAGGUCGGCCUUGUCGAUGGGUGAUCCACACUAUAGCAGAGCAGAUGUUGCCAUCACGUAUGUCCUGUUAGGUGGGGCUGUUACAUUGGAGAUAAUAUCAGUGCUGAGGGUCGUGUUCUCGAGAUGGCUAAGUGUGAUACUAGGGAAGUCAGCCUAUGACUUCAUGGGAAAAGAAAGGCCCAUGUGGGGUUUCCUUGCUCGUGCAGUCACAUCUGUUCGGCGAUUCCUCCUUCCAGAGAGAAACUGGUCGAGAUGGUGGUGGUCAUGCUCUAUGGGGCAACAUAACCUGUUGAACUUGUGUGUUGGCAGCAGGGCCAGUCGACGAAGCAGGAUCGCGGGCUGGAUGGGGCUUGAGGACCGGUGGAAUACAAUGGUCUACUCACGCUCCAUCCCUGUCUCCACAACUAUCAAGGAACUAGUGAUGAAACAAGUGCAAGGGAGUAGUCCAGGCAAGAGCACUGGGCGGUCCCCCGCCAAGUUGACAGAUGAGAAGCCAGACAACAUCAUCAAUUCGCAAGGGCGGGCAGCCUUAAAGAAGUGGGAUUCGUACGACAGACUAGGCAAGUUCGUGUAUAUGGAGUUGGAUGAGAGUAUCCUCGUGUGGCACAUCGCCACCGAUAUCUACCUACGUUGGUACAAAGAUCAGACGCAAGCUGCUGAAGAUGAUGUGUGUCAACUGGCCAAGGCAACGGAGGCGAUUUCCAAUUACAUGGUUUUCCUCCUCGCGGCACGCCCCUACAUGUUGCCGGACUCUGUCGGCCGCACUAGGUAUGUUAAUGUGUGCUUCGGUCUCACCGCCCUCAAGUACAAGACAAUCUAUGAUUUAACCAGCUUACUAACAUCGCCGCAUGAGGAUGGGUACAUUGGGUUGCAAAACAUAAAAAAUAAUCAUGGAAUUGGAAUAGGAAGAUUCUUUAAAGACAACACAACAGUGAAGGCGGCACAGGAGCUUGCUCGUGAGCUGAUCUCUCCGAAGUCUGGCAUACCUACCGAGCGGGGGAUGCUCGCGGAAGUGUGGGUCGAGAUGAUGUGCUAUGCGGGGUAUAGAUGCAGCGGAUAUUCUCAUGCGAAGCAGUUGAGCAACGGUGGCGAACUCCUCACCGUUGUUGCCCUUGUGGUGGAGUACUAUAGAAGAGGAAUCCUGAAACCUUUGAGUAGUGCAAAAAAGGAGGAGGAGGAAGGAAGGCCAGCAGUCAACCAUGAUGUUGCUGGUAACCUGGAGGCGACGAUAGAGAUCGUCCUGCAACCUACUAGCAUUGAACCGAUGUCCCCAUCUCCCUCUCGCUCUCCUGAGGAACCCCGGAGCCUCUCUUAUGAGUCCAAGGAUGAGAUAUCCCCGGUCUGAGCUGAGCACCUUCAUGGGACAUCCCCGUCAAAUCUUUGGCUCUCUGGAGGAGAGGAAUUAGUGUCAGUUGUCGUUGUGUUUCCAUUUUCUGUUUGCUUUGCUUCAUCUAUGUUUCUUCCCAUGUAAAAUGAAUGAAUGAACUCGAAUAUUAUAUAUAUACAUUUUCGAAUUGAAGUAUAUUAUCUAUCUAUGGCUUUGGGAUUUUUGUUUCCUUUUUUCCUUGCACGGAGAACUUUCUGUGUAUUACAUAGAUCUUUCAUCCUAAGUCAAAGUUAAAAAACUUUGACCAACUUUAUAUGGAAAAGUAGCAACAUUUAUGAAACUAAAUUGGUAUGAGUAGAUCCGUUUUGAAAUGUACUUUCCUAAUAUACGAAUUUGAUGUCAUAUAUGUUACUACUAUUUUCUAUAUAGUUGGUCAAAAUUUUAAAACUUUGACUUGGGACAAAAGGUAGAUGUGUACACUUGUUCGUGGACGGAGAGAGUACUUGAUUGCAAUGUGUACAGUAAGGAACGAUUAUGCAUUUGGUAAUACUAGAAAGAGUUUGAUCCAUGCACAUUUGCUAAUCCUUUGUGUCCUCUCUAUUUAUCACAAGAGCUUUCUUCUGAAAACUGUGUUUCUUUAAGCCCUUAUGAGUUGUGACUACAUCAGACUCGGCAGUAAUAUUUAAGUGUGCAAGGGUGCAUUGCUCAUUACAGUGCAUCCUAUUAGUACAGAAACUUAUCUUUGGAUUCAGUGACGUACAAUCGAAGUUUGGAUAGCUUUCUUGUUGUGCCCGAUAAAAGUGUGAUUAACUUUGUUUUGUGGCCACUGGUAGUCUCGUACCAGCAGAAGAAUCUCGAAUUUAAGAUAUGAGCUGCACCAUCCAGGAGGAAAAGAUUCUGGCUGCAUUGCUCUUUUGCAGGAGCAAUUGCCAUAGUUUGCAACGGAAUGCUAAACAGUUCACCGGCAUCCUCACGAACAGUCAGUCCCAUGAGUCCUGCUGAUACUGAUCAAGAUUUCUUCCUUUUUCUCUUUGCGACAUCUUGUACAGAAAGUGCAAGCACCUGAGCAUUUCUUAGGUAUGCACACUACUGGAAUCAAAAAAUAUUUUAUCAGCCACUUCUUUGCCGUCUGCUAGCGGACGGCAAAGGAGCUCUUUGCCGUCCGUUCCCAAAAAACAGACAGCAAAAAACUGGCUGAUGGCAAAGAUCAUAUUUGCCAUCAGCCACUUCGUUGUCGUCUGCUAGCGGACGGCAAAGGAGGUUUGCCGUCAGCUAGCGGACGGCAAAGAUGGAGGUGGACCCUAAAACGAGCUGCUUACAAAAAAACUAACGGCCCCCUUCAUUGCCGGAGCAGACGGCAAAGAGGAAAAAGGCAGACAGCAAAGGCGGAGUGGGCGGCAAAGAUUUGACUUAAAUAACGGCCGCGCCCCACCCCACCCCACCCUGCCCCUCUCUCUGUUUCUCUCUCUCUCCUCCCCGACCACCCGCCGACGCCGCCCCGUCGUCCCCACCACCCGCCACCGCCGCCCCGUCGCCCCACCACCCUGCCGCCCCACCGGCUCACCGCCCCGACGCCACCGCCACCCCCGGUGCCCCAGCCACCCUNNNNNNNNNNNNNNNNNNNNNNNNNNNNNNNNNNNNNNNNNNNNNNNNNNNNNNNNNNNNNNNNNNNNNNNNNNNNNNNNNNNNNNNNNNNNNNNNNNNNNNNNNNNNNNNNNNNNNNNNNNNNNNNNNNNNNNNNNNNNNNNNNNNNNNNNNNNNNNNNNNNNNNNNNNNNNNNNNNNNNNNNNNNNNNNNNNNNNNNNNNNNNNNNNNNNNNNNNNNNNNNNNNNNNNNNNNNNNNNNNNNNNNNNNNNNNNNNNNNNNNNNNNNNNNNNNNNNNNNNNNNNNNNNNNNNNNNNNNNNNNNNNNNNNNNNNNNNNNNNNNNNNNNNNNNNNNNNNNNNNNNNNNNNNNNNNNNNNNNNNNNNNNNNNNNNNNNNNNNNNNNNNNNNNNNNNNNNNNNNNNNNNNNNNNNNNNNNNNNNNNNNNNNNNNNNNNNNNNNNNNNNNNNNNNNNNNNNNNNNNNNNNNNNNNNNNNNNNNNNNNNNNNNNNNNNNNNNNNNNNNNNNNNNNNNNNNNNCCACCUCUUCCACCGGCCGCCCCACUUCCGAAGGUGAGGUCUAGCUCCUCUUUUUUUCCUUUUCUUUUUCUGUUUUUUUAGUUUUAGGUGCAUGUUUAGUUUAGUUUUAGUUUUAGGUUUAGGUUUAAUUUAAUUUUAGGUUUAGCUUUAUGUUUAGUUUAGAUUUAGUUAUAGUUAUAGUUUUAUUUUUAGUUUUGGGUUUAUGUUUAGUUCUGCAAAAAAAGUAGAAAAUAAGAAUAAUUAGAAGAAGAGUGGUUCUCAAAGGAAUGGCUUGCCCAGCACAACAAUGCCAAGGACAAGCGUGCCCAAAUGGUAGGUGUGCCACACCAUAAGGUAGCUGUCGGUGUCAAAACCGGCGGAUCUCGGGUAGGGGGUCCCGAACUGUGCGUCUAGGCGGAUGGUAACAGGAGACGAGGGACACGAUGUUUUACCCAGGUUCGGGCCCUCUUGAUGGAGGUAAAACCCUACGUCCUGCUUGAUUAAUAUUGAUGAUAUGGGUAGUACAAGAGUGGAUCUACCACAAGAUCAAGGAGGCUAAACCCUAGAAGCUAGCCUAUGGUAUGAUUGUUGUAAUGGAGGUUAUGUCCUACGGACUAAAGCCCUCCGGUUUAUAUAGACACCGGAGAGGGCUAGGGUUACACAGAGUCGGUUACAAUGGUAGGAGAUCUACAUAUCCGUAUCGCCAAGCUUGCCUUCCACGCCAAGGAAAGUCCCAUCCGGACACGGGACGGAGUCUUCAAUCUUGUAUCUUCGUAGUCUUGGAGUCCGGCGGACGAUGAUAGUCCGGCUGUUCGGACACCCCCUAGUCCAGGACUCCCUCAGUAGCCCCUGAACCUGGCUUCAAUGACGAUGAGUCCGGCGCGCAUAAUGUUCGGCAUUGCAAGGCGGGUUCCUCCUCCGAAUAAUCCAAAGAAGAUAGUGAACACCAGGAUAGUGUCCGGCUCUGCAAAAUAAAUUCCACAUUCCACCGUAGAGAGAAUAAAAUGUACACAAGUUCAAUCUGCUGACGUAUUUUGCGGCAUGACGUCACGCCACUACCAAGCCUUUACUUGAAUCGUUUUUUAUUAUACCGCCUCAGCGCGUUUAGCGAAGCGGUUUCCUUGGCACGUCUUGUCGAAGCAGAGAUCGUGUUCCCCUUAUUCCGGGAUUCUCAUCAAUACGGACGUGGGUAACUCAACCGUGCCAUUGAUGGUGGCGCUUGGGAGGUAAGCGAGUUUUACCAGGCUGGUGGGGGACGAAUAGUCUUCGCCCGCCUAUAUAUAAGGGAUAAGGAUUCACCUUUUCACCUACGCCUUCUUCCUCCUUUGCUUAUCCAUCUCCGCGCACUCGAGCUCCAACGCCCAAGUUCGCGCAUCUCGCCUCGACCUUCUCCGACCAUGUCCGGAGCGGGAAGCAAAUGGUUGGCCUCCACCGUUAAGGAGGAGCACAUCACAAGGCUGCGCAGCGCCGGAUACCUUUCCGGCGACGUCGCGCACCGGCUGCCCGUCGAGGGGCAACUCAUCCCCACCCCCAGGCCCCAUGAGAGGGUCGUUUUCCUCCCCCACUUCCUCCGCGGACUGGGCUUUCCACUUCACCCCUUUGUCCGGGGGCUCAUGUUCUACUACGGCAUGGAUUUCCAUGAUCUGGCACCAAACUUCAUCCUCAACAUCUCGGCGUUUAUCGUCGUGUGCGAGGCCUUCCUCUGCAUCCAGCCCCACUUCGGCUUGUGGCUCAAGACCUUCAAUGUCAAGCCGAAUGUAGUGAAGGGCACUCAAGCGGAGUGCGCAGGCGCCAUGUUGGGCAAGAUGCCCAACGUCCUUUGGUUCGAAGGGGCCUUCGUGGAAUCCGUCAAGGGUGGCAGUCGGGGUGGUUCUACAUCACCGAGCCGCGCGACCCUACAUGGGCGGCGGCCCCCGAGUUCAGAUCUGGAAUCCCUACGCAGCUCACCUCCUGGAAAGAGAAGGGCUUGCUGUGGGGUAAUUCGAAGGAGCUGACGGGACUCCAAGCCUGUAUCCAGAAGCUGGUGAAUGAGAAGCUCAGGCUGGUCAACAUGGUCCAAGUCAUGCUCGACCGCCGGAUUCUCCCAUGCCAAGAACGGGCAUUCACUCUGUGGGAGUUCGAUCCGGAACAGCACCAGGCGUUGAGCAGGCUCUUCGAUACGACGUACGAAGGCGCCUGGAGGGUGUUGUUUAAGGGCGCCGAAGCCCCCGCAUCCGCGACGGAAGAUCGCGGAUUUCACUCGCAGCGUCCAGCCGACGAGGUAAGUGAUUCUACCCCUUUACGGAACACUUAUUGUUAAUAGAUUGAUUCUAAGCGGGUUUCAAUCUCUUUUUCCUUUGACAGGAAUGGAUGAAGAAGGCCGAGCAGCUCAUCUGCCCGGCUCCCAUGCCAGAAUUCCCAGUGGACGCCCGUCUAGCGGGGCUACUGGUUCCGGCACCGCACGUGGUGCCGGAGAAGAAGGCCAAGAAGGUGGCCACGGGCACUCGAAAGAGUUCCCGUUUUCAGGUCUCCGACGACUCCGAGGCGGACUCCUCCCCCGAAGACGAGGAGGAGGAAGAAGACUCUGUCCCAGAGGAGGGAGAAAGGAAGAGGAAGGCUUCCCCGACAGGGGAGGCCGAAGGGUCCAAGAGGGGAAGAACUAUUCCCCCGAACAGCUCCGCCAACACCAACGUUGGCGGUGAAGAGUGGCCCUCAAGGGCCAGGCCUCAGGCGAGAUCGUAAGUAUCCGGAUCCCUGAAUGAUUUGUAAUUUCUCUUUUUGUGUCACAUAGUGUCCUUCUAAUGCCGCAUGCUGCCUGCAGUCCGGCCGAUGAUGAUCUCCCCGCUUCAUCGAGCGGGUCGUUGGCUCCGUCAGAUGUGGAUUCCAUCCCGACUGCCUCCAACCCUCACGCCGAUGAGGACGUCGAGGUGGGAUCCCAGAAAGGGACCCAUCAGGAGGAGGCUCCGGAGGCGCCGCAAGGCAGCCUCCCGGACAUUGCGCCGGACUCUACGUCGGAACCUGCAGUGGUUCCGGAGUCCGGCAAGCGGCCCCUUCGCAAGAAGGACAAGACCGUGACGCCGGCGGCCUCCGUCCAACCGGAAGCUCCGGACAACUUGCUGGAGGCGCUCCAAGGUGCCUCCAUUGAGGAAGAACAUCGCACUGUUAUGAGUGCGGUGAUUCAGAAGGUUCAGCUCGCCAAGAGCGGGCUGACCGAAGCCUGCAGUAGCCUUCUAACAGGCUUUGAGGUAAGAAGUUAAAAUUAUGUAAUGUAAUACCGCAUAGACAGUAGCCCCUGAUGCUCGGUUCGGUGUUCGGAAAGAAAAGCCGGACUGAGGAUCUGAAAAGAUAUACGCAGGGUUGCUAAUAAAUUAUGUCAAUAUGGGUUUGCAGGCUACGCUGCUAACCUCUGCCGCACUGACUACGGAGGUUGGUUCAUUGAAGCAAGAUCUCGAGCGGUCCGAGCGAGAGCUCGGCCAUGCCAAGAGGCAGCUCGAGGACAAAGAAGGUGAGUAGCACCACUUUGAAUUUUUACCUUACAGAAAAGGAUUUCGGUUGCAAUAAAAUUAACAAGGAUAACGUGGGUACUGCAGGGGCCAAGAACGAGGUGGCAACCCUGAAGGAGGCUGUGUCCGCGGCCGAACGCAAUGCGGCCGUGGAACGGGCAGAGCGAGAGAAGCUAGAGGCGUGGGUGGCGGAGGUGCGGCAAGAGCUCCAGGCUCUCAUGGAGAAGCAUGAGAGUUUGGAGCACGACUCAAAGACUCGAAAGUCCGAGCUCGCCUCGGCUCUCGAAAGUGCCAAGUCCGCCAAGGCCGAAGCCCAUAAGGCCCUUCAAGAGGUUGAGGAUAUGAAGAAAAUAGCGGCGGGUAAGGCAUUUUUCAUGCAAAGCAAGCAUGUUAAUGUAAAUUACCUGACACUUACCCGAAUUCGGAGCUCUCCAGGGGCGUUUGCAGAUCUGCCUCGUAGCGUAUCCAAUGCCGCCGCAUUCUAUCGUGGCGAGGAGGGGAGCUCAACGGAGAAGGUCUUCUGGUCUCAGUACGCUGAGGCCGGCCAUCCGGUGCCCCCUAGCGACCAGCUAAAGCAGCUGGUCGAGCUCCACAAGGUAGCUGAGGAGGCCAUGAAGGGCCUCAUAGUCUGGCUGUGGCCUGGACAGGCCAUGCCUGGGAGCUACUUUGGCCUCGUGCGGCGGCUGGUGGAUGCAUGCCCCUGGGUGGAGGUUAUCAAGUGCUCCGCCUGUAUUGAAGGUGCUCGUCAGGCCCUUGCCCGCGCAAAGGUGCACUGGGGCAGGCUGGAUGCGGAGAGGCUUCUUACUGACCCGCCGCCAGCGGGCAAGGAGUAUCAUACGCCCGAAAUGUACUAUAAGACUGUCCUGAAGGGUGCCCGCAAUAUUGCGGAUGAGUGCCCCAGAGAUGUAAUUAUUGAGUAAACUCGCUAUGUAUUAUCCUGUGCGCUGAAAACUUUGUUUAUAUGCGCUAAGCAACGCUUAUUGAUUUAAAAUAUUACCUUCUGUGCGGCCGUUUAUAAAAUCUGAGAGAUGGCAAGUCAUUGGCUUCAACCCCCAAGCCACGAGUGCUGGGGUGUUCGGGAUAAACUUGAGCACUCUUGUUCCCAUUUUUGGGUCCAUCUAGGGAGGCGCUCAACACAACGAACAAGGCAACCGGACUUAUAAUGCUUGAACACUCUCACUUAGCCAUAGAAUUCUAUAAUUUUAAAUUUCGGCGAAGCCCCUAGUAUUCGGAAGACCGAAUUCGGGGCGCUAUCCACGCCUUCGUCGGACAUUAUCCGGUACUUCGCUCGAAGCGGCAUGACCCGAAAAGACCUCUCGAACAGCGACCAGUCUCUCGCCUUAUCAUGCCAGUCAGUUUUAGCUUUCUCCACUGAGGCGCUCGCCCAGCUCAACCGGGGCGCAAUCGCAGUGGUUCUCCCAGUGCCACCUUAGCCGACAGAACGGAACGUAAGGCACCAAAACGUGGGAUCCAGGAAAACCCAACUAUUGAACCAAGACAUGAUUCGGAGCCGAUUCAUAUAAUGCUAUAAGUUCGGGGUGCCGCACUUGUGAAAGUGGUCGGACUUAUCACACCAUAAUGCGGGGAACAUAAGCCCCUGGUGUAUUCGGCCGUACCAAAAUAUACGGGUGCGAGAUGUCAUUAAUGAACAUAUGUGUAAAGUAAUGCAAUAACAGGCAAAAAAUGCUGCAUUAUUUAUUCAAGGAAUUCUGCUAUGAGUGCAGAAGGAUACAAAUAGUGCGGUAAGCAAGGGAUUGGACUAAAUAAACAUGUCCCCCUCCAGGGGUGGGCUGCAGACUGGUGUAUAUAAUUGAAUUUAAUGCUAGUAAUGGAGACCACCUGAAUGUUAAUCGCAGCCUUCUUUCUUCCCUGGCUGUUGCAUCGUGAGUUCGGCGGGUCCACCGCCGGACAGGGCUUCUGGUAAAUGGAGUCCUGUAUAUAAAAAGAAAGAAAAUAAUAACAAAAAAGAGUGACACACUUGUGAGCCCCUGGUGUGGUCGAGCCGCACUCUGGGUCUUCUGUGGUCGUGCCCCUUCCCCUAGGCCCAUGGUAUCUCCAGAGCGUAAUGAUGUACAUGGAGGGUAGGUCUUGCGAUUAUGCAGGGGCUGGGGUUGGGGCCGCAUUGCUACGCGUGCUCGGAUCGUGCCAGGUGGUCUUGGUUGAUGUUGCUUUGGGCGCGUUUGGCCGUAUCCAGCCGUUUACCGGCCAGACUCGAAAAUUGCCUUAAAAGGCUGCUCUGUACUUCUGCCGCGAGAGCCGCUGUGUGUUCCUCCGUUCGGAGGGAGCGUUCCGUAUUUCCGUUGACCGUGAUGACUCCACGAGGGCCUGUCAUCUUGAGCUUGAGGUAUGCGUAAUGCGGCACCGUGUUGAACUUUGCAAACGUGGUUCGUCCGAGCAGGGCGUGAUAGCCGCUGCGGAAUGGGACUAUGUCGAAGAUUAACUCCUCGCUCCGGAAAUUGUCCGGGGAUCCGAAGACCACUUCUAGUGUGACUGAGCCUGUACAAUUGGCCUCAACACCUGGUAUGACGCCUUUGAAGGUCGUCUUUGUAGGUUUAAUCCUUGAGGGGUCUAUGCCCAUCUUGCGCACUGUAUCCUGAUAAAGCAGGUUCAGGCUACUGCCACCGUCCAUCAGGACUCUCGUGAGGUGAAAUCCAUCGAUGAUUGGGUCUAAAACCAAUGCGGCGAAUCCGCCAUGGCGGAUACUGGUCGGAUGGUCUCUUCGAUCGAAAGUGAUCGGGCAAGAGGACCAUGGAUUGAACUUCGGGGCCACUGGCUCCAUCGCAUAUACGUCCCUUAGUGCACGCUUCCGCUCCCUCUUGGGUGUAUGGGUUGUGUAUAUCAUGUUCACCAUUCGCACUUGUGGGGGAAACCCUUCUGUCCUCUAUUGUUUCGCGGUCGGGUCUCUUCCUCGUCGUUGCUGUGCAGCCCCUUGUCAUUGCUUUCGGCAAUUAACUUGCCUGCCUUCUUGAAUACUCAACAAUCUCUGUUGGUGUGAUUAGCUGGCUUUUCGGGGGUGCCAUGUAUCUGGCAUAAGCGGUCGAGUAUUCGGUCCAAAUUGGACGGACCCGGAGUGGUUCUUUUGAAUGGCUUCUUCCGCUGACCGGGUUUAGAGCCUCGGAAUCCGGCGUUGACUGCCGUAUCGUCCUUAUCGUUGCCGUUAAUGCGGCGUUUAUUUUUGCUUCGACGUGACCUGCCAUUGUGGUCCUUGGUAUCCGGACUGCCAGAAUUUUUACUGAGGUUGUUGCUGCGAGCUAGCCAGCUGUCCUCUCCAGCACAGAAGUGGGUCAUUAGAGAUGUGAGGGCUGCCAUGGAUUUCGGCUUUUCCUGUCCUAGGUGCCGGGCUAGCCACUCGUCGCGGAUGUUAUGUUUGAAGGCUGCGAGGGCCUCUGCAUCCGGACAGUCGACGAUUUGAUUUUUCUUUGUUAAGAACCGUGUCCAGAACUGUCUGGCCGAUUCGUCUGGCUGCUGAAUUAUGUGUCUUAGGUCAUCGGCGUCUGGUGGUUGCACAUAUGUGCCCUGGAAGUUGUCGAGGAAUGCGGCUUCCAGGUCUUCCCAACACCCAAUUGACUCUGCGAGCAAGCUGUUAAGCCAAUGCCGAGCUGGUCCUUUAAGCUUGAGUGGGAGAUACUUGAUGGCAUGGAGAUCGUCGCGCGGGACAUAUGGAUGUGAAGGAGAUAAUCUUCGAUCCAAACCGCGGGGUCUGUUGUGCCAUCGUAGGAUUCAACGUUUACGGGUUUAAACCCUUCAGGGAUUUGAUGAUCCAUUACUUCGUCAGUGAAGCAUAGCGGGUGUGCGGCGCCUCUAUAUUGAGCAAUAUCACGACGUAGCUCGAGUGAGCAUUGUCUGCUGUGUUCGGCCCGGCCGGAGUUAUUGUAUCCGGCGCGACGGUAUUCGUCCUGGGUCAUGGGGCGCCCACGUGAUCCAUAGAUGGAUCUGGAUUGCCUUGCUUUGUCCUCCAAUAUAUCUCGCAAGUCCGGCGCGUUCCCUCUUGGCUUCGUACUUUUGGAGCGAUGCCGGGGUACGGUCUUGGUGGAGGGCCUAGAUGCCUCUCUGUCGCGACCACGGGGUGGUCGGUCAGCCGUAUUGUGCACUGGUGAUGAAGGUAUGUAUGCUUCCUCCUCUAAUCGGGGGAGCAACUUGCGUUUUGGGUAGCUUUUGGAGGGGCGUUCGAGUUCGUACUCUUCGGCCGCGAGGACCUCGGUCCAUCAAUCAGCCAGCAGGUCUUGAUCAGCUUGAAGCUGCUGCUUCUUUUUCUUUAGGCUAUUUGUCGUGGCGAUAAGCCUGCGUUUAAAACGUUCCUGUUCGACGGGAUCCUCAGGCACGACGAAUUCGUCGUCGUUGAGGCUUGCCUCGUCUUCGGAGGGAGGUAUGUAAUUAUCAUCCUCGACAUCUUCAUCUGCCGCUCUCUCGUGAGGGCUUGCUUCUACAUCCUCCUGCGCUGAAUCUUGCUGGAGGGGAUUGUCUUCGGCACUUUCUGGGGUAUUAUUAUCUCCUGUGCCUGAAUCUCAAUUCUUGCUGUGGCGGGAUUUAGAGCGGUGCCGCUGACGUCGGCGCUUGGACUGUUUCUUUAAGGAAUCUGCCUCCGCUGCUUCUUCGCCGUCCCCCUCUUUUGGGGUGUCCACCAUGUAUAUGUCAUAUGACGAGGUGGUCUUCCAGUGCCCUGUAGGCGCUGGUUCUUUUUCGUCUCCGGCAUCAUCGUCCAUACCGUUGAUGUCUUCGGAGUCGUAGUCUAGCAUGUCUGUUAGAUCGUCGACAGUGGCUACAAAGUGGGUGGUGGGUGGGCCUUGAAUUUCUUCGUCGUCCGUAUCCCAACCGUCCUGGCCAUAGUCCGGCCAGGUCUCUCCGGAUAGCGAGAGAUGUUUUAGCGAAUUCAGGAUGUCGCCAAAGGGCGAGUGUUGGAAGAUGUCCGUGGCGGUGAACUCCAUGACCGGCGCCCAAUCAGAUUCGAUUGGCAGGGGCGCAGAGGUUCGGAGUCCGGCAGGGAGUCCGGCACCUCGGAGUCACGAGCUUUGCAAGGGACAAGGUUAGUGUUCGGCUCCAUCGCCGUGGAAGUUGCAGCCCCCGAGGUGGUGUCCAGCCACCGGUCCUCGAUCUGGGUGAUCGGCUCCGGACUAAGGGCCGGAGCGGAUUCGUGUGCGGCCACCAAGGCACUGUUCGGCAGCAGAGCUAGAUCAUGCCCAUCGUGACAGUGCGGCACGCUCGGCUGUGGCUCGAGCCCGUCGAAGAUCAAGUCCCCGCGGAUGUCGGCCGUGAAGUUUAGGCUUCCGAACCUGACCUGACGGCCAGGGGCGUAGCUUUCGAUCUGCUCCAGAUGGCCAAGUGAAUUAGCCCGCAGUGCGAAGCUGACGAAUACGAAGAUCUGUCCGGGGAGAAAAGUCUCACCCUGGACAGCGUUAUUGAUUGAAGGAUUCAUUGAGCCUAUCGGUGACGACACAGAGGAACUCUCAAUGAAAGCACCAAUGUCGGUGUCAAAACCGGUUGAUCUCGGGUAGGGGGUCCCGAACUGUGCGUCUAGGCGGAUGGUAACAGGAGACGAGGGACACGAUGUUUUACCCAGGUUCGGGCCCUCUUGAUGGAGGUAAAACCCUACGUCCUGCUUGAUUAAUAUUGAUGAUAUGGGUAGUACAAGAGUGGAUCUACCACGAGAUCAAGGAGGCUAAACCCUAGAAGUUAGCCUAUGGUAUGAUUGUUGUAAUGGAGGUUAUGUCCUACGGACUAAAGCCCUCCAGUUUAUAUAGACACCGGAGAGGGCUAGGGUUACACAGAGUCGGUUACAAUGGUAGGAGAUCUACAUAUCCGUAUCGCCAAGCUUGCCUUCCACGCCAAGGAAAGUCCCAUCCGGACACGGGACGGAGUCUUCAAUCUUGUAUCUUCGUGGUCUUGGAGUCCGGCGGACGAUGAUAGUCCGGCUGUCCGGACACCCCCUAGUCCAGGACUCCCUCAGCAGCGCCAACUUAUUUCAGUUUGGGCGGAACUGGGUAUGUGAUUUCUAUCAUAAUUCAUGCAAUUCAUUCUUCAUGCUAUCUUGAGACCUUUAAUUACUAAUUUACUCUGUUCCUUUCUUUCAGCAAAAGACAAUAAGGCGUAGGUGCCAGAGGUGUUCGACCUCUAUGCCAUGGCCCAUACUGGGCCAUACAAGAAGGUAAACGCAUUCGAGCCAUCUAACCUCGAUAAUACAAAGAACUUCACAAACAUCUCCUCCCACAACAAACUCGUGAAGUACAGAGAUGAGGGGAAGGCGAGGAAAGGGGAGGACUUUAACUCGAGAGGGCAGUUUGAUCCGGAGCUAGUGAUGAUAUCUGGUGGCGGGAGGUCCCAUGGCUCGAUAGCCAUUGGAUAUGGACUUAUCCGUUGUCCUCGCACUCUCUCGGAGAUCAAGGUGCGCCAGUCGAGCUCCGCUCCUGAGAUGAGGCCUAGUCAACGGCCAGUAGAGCUCACCAUCCAGCUUAGUUAUGCGGACUCAUCUAUCUUUCCUCUAUUACAUUGUGUGUGCGGCCAUCGAUGAUUAGCAUGCUAACGAGGAGUGAUGUUGCAGGCUGCUCUUCAGAGUGAGAGAGAGAUAGAACCCAGGCGCUUUUGGUGGAGAGGGACCGGAAGGCGGAGCAGAAAUAGCGGGAGUUGGAGGAGAAGACGACAAGGCUGAUGGAGGAGGACAGGGCAUGGAACGACAUGCAGAACCAGGCCAUGUACCAGCUCCUCGUGGUAGUUUCUUCUGCAUAUUAGCCAAAUCAUUCACGUAAUGUUCGUUUCAUUAAUAACUAGUAUGAAUGAACCGUCAAAACCAAAUGUGCAGUUUGUGUGCCAGAAGGCCGGUCAGACCCCUCCGCCGAUGCCAAAUAUUGCUCUGGGGACCAUAGUGCGUUUAAUUUGAAUGGUCAUAAGUUAGUAGUAUUAACAUUUGAGUGUCAUCAUGCUAAUGAGACAUUGCAAAUGAUCUUUGGUGCAGCGUGCCUCCAGAAAAGCAUCACACGAUCCUUCUCCAGGUGGUGGUACCGGCACGAGCCAUGCUGGUGCUUCAACUCCGUGAUGACGGUAAGUUAUCACAUCACAACAAGCCCUGCAAAAACAAGUUAGACGUCCUCUACUUUGUUGUUGCAAGUUUUACAUGGCUGUUAUGGGCUUCUAGCAAGAACCGUUCUUAUCUAAGCAACAAAAUUACAAUGAUUUUUUGUCAAGUGUGUUGUUUUAACCUUCAACAAGGACCGGCCGUAGUCAAACUCGAUUCAACUAAAUUUGGAGAAAUAGACACCUGCCAGCCACCUGUGUGCAAAACACAUCGGUAGAACCAGUCUCAUGAACGCGGUCAUGUAAUGUCGGUCCGGGCCGCUUCAUCCAACAAUACCACCGAAUCAAAGUAAGACGUUGGUGGUAAGCAGUAUGACUAUUAUCGCCCACAACUCUUUAUGUUCUACUCGUGCAGAUCAUCUACGCAUAGACCUGGCUCUGAUACCACUGGUCGGGAAUGUAGUAUGCAAUUUGCAAAAAAUUCGUACGCUCACGCAAGAUCUAUCUAGGAGAUGCAUAGCAACGAUAGGGCAGAGUGUGUCCACGUACCCUCAUAGACUGAAAGAGGAAGUGUUAGUUAACGCGCUUGAUGUAGUUGAAUGUCUUCAUGAUCCAAUCGGUCCAAGUACAGAACGUGUGGCACCUCCGUGUUCAGCACACGUUCAGCUCGAUGACAUCCCUCGAACUCUUGAUCUAGUAGAGGGUCGAGGGAGAGUUCUGUCAGCAUGGCGUGUUGAUGGUUGAUGAUGUGAUCUGCGCAGGGCUUUGCCUAAGCACUACGACGCUAUGACCGGAGGAGUAAACUGUGGAGGGGCACCGAGAAUGGCAAAGAGAACAAUUGAUGUGCCUUUGCGGUGCCCCUGCCAACGUAUAUAAAGGAGGGGGAGAAAGGCUAGCGGCUAGGAGGGGCGCGCCAUGUUGGGGGGGGUCCUACUUGGACUCCUAGUCCAAGUAGGAUUCGUCCACCCUCCUUUACCUUUUUCCAUCGGAGGGAAUAGGAAGGAGAGGGAGAGGGAAAGGGAAGGGCGCACUGCCCCUCCUCCUUGUCCUAUUCNNNNNNNNNNNNNNNNNNNNNNNNNNNNNNNNNNNNNNNNNNNNNNNNNNNNNNNNNNNNNNNNNNNNNNNNNNNNNNNNNNNNNNNNNNNNNNNNNNNNNNNNNNNNNNNNNNNNNNNNNNNNNNNNNNNNNNNNNNNNNNNNNNNNNNNNNNNNNNNNNNNNNNNNNNNNNNNNNNNNNNNNNNNNNNNNNNNNNNNNNNNNNNNNNNNNNNNNNNNNNNNNNNNNNNNNNNNNNNNNNNNNNNNNNNNNNNNNNNNNNNNNNNNNNNNNNNNNNNNNNNNNNNNNNNNNNNNNNNNNNNNNNNNNNNNUCUCUCCCAUAGGCCUAUGUUGGCCCAACACUUCCCUGGGGGGUUCCGGUAACCCCUUGGUACUCCGAAAAAUGUGUGAACCUCUCCGAAACUUUUCGGGUGUCCGAACAUAACUUUCCAAUAUAUCAAUCUUUACCUCUCUACCAUUUCGAGACUCCUCCGUAAUCUCAUCCGGGACUCCGAACAAACUUCGGUCAUCAAAAAUACAUAACUCAUAAUACAAAUCGUCAUCGAAUGUUAAGCGUGCGGACCCUACGGGUUCGAGAACUAUGUAGACAUGAUCGAGACACAUCUUUGAUCAAUAACCAAUAGCGGAACCUGGAUGCUCAUAUUGGCUCCUACAUAUUUUACAAAGAUCUUUAUCGGUCAAACCGCACAACAACAUACGAUGUUCCCUUUGUCAUCAGUAUGCCACUUGCCUGAGAUUUGAUCGUCGGUAUCUUCAUACCUAGUCCAACCUCGUUACCGACAAGUCUCUUUACUCAUUCUGUAAUGCUUCAUCCCGCAACUAACUCAUUAGUCAGAUUGCUUGCAAGGCUUAUAGUGAUGAGCAUUAUCGAGAGGGCCAGAGAUACCUCUUCGAUACACGGAGUGACAAAUCCUAUUCUCGACCUAUGCCAACCCAACAAACACCUUCGAAGACACCUGUAGAGCAUCUUUAUAAUCACCCAGUUACGUUGUGACGUUUGAUAGCACACAAGGUGUUCCUCUUGUAUUCUGGAGUUGCAUAAUCUCAUAGUCAGAGGAACACGUAUAAGUUAUGAAGAAAGCAAUAGCAAUAAAACUUACGAUCAUUAUGCUAAGGUAACGGGUGGGUCUUGUCCAUCACAUCAUUCUCUGACGACGUGAUCCCGUUCAUUGAAUGACAACACAUGUCUAUGGUCAGGAAACAUAACCAUCUUUGAUUAACGAGCUAGUCAAUUAGAGGCAUACUAGGGACACUUUGCUUUCUCGAUGUAUUCACACAUGUACUAAGUUUCCGGUUAAUACAAUUCUAGCAUAAAUAAUAAACAUUUAUCAUGAUAUAAGGAAAUAUAAAUAACAACUUUAUUAUUGCCUCUAGGGCAUAUUUCCUUCAGUCGACCUGUCGGCCUGCUCCUACCAUGCGGUUGCCCGUGUCCUACUGGGUGUUUGCAGUGUUGAUGAGCUCCUAGGGGUGCUCCAUCUGGUCGUGCAGCUCGUCGCCCUCCAGGUGUUUGAGCUCGUCUGCGGCCGCCUGGGCGGCGUGCAAGUUUUGCGUCGGGGUCUCGUAGACCGGGCGUCCGAUUUCCAGCAUGCUGGCAAUCACAGCACUGCGUUGUCGGAUGGCGUCGACCUGGCUAGGCUCAGCCAUAGCCGGCAUCUCAUCGACCACGCGGUCGAUCUCACGCUGAGUGUGUUGGGGAACGUUGCAUAAAAUAAAAAAAUUCCUACGUUCACCAAGAUCAAUCUAUGAGUUCAUCAAGCAACGAGAUAGAGGAGUGCAUCUACAUACCCUUGUAGAUCGCGAGCGGAAGCGUUUAAGAGAACGGGGUUGUAGUAGUUGUACACGUCGUGAUCCAAUCACCAGAGAUCCUAGCGCCGAACGGACGGCACCUCCGCGUUCAACACUCGUACGGUCAGCGUGACGUCUCCUCCUUCUUGAUCCAGCAAGGGGGAAGGAGAGGUUGAUGAAGAUCCAGUAGCACGACGGCGUGAUGGUGGAUGCAGCAGGGAUCUGGUAGGGCUUCGCCAAGCGUCUGCGGGAGGGAGAGGUGUAGCAAGGGGGAAGGGAGGCGCCAAGAUGCAGGGUCCGACUGCCCUCCCUUCCGUCCUCUUUAUAUAGGGUCCCCAGGGGGGGCACCGGCCCUAGGAGAUGGGAUCUCCUAGGGGGGCGGCGGACAAGGGGGGAGCCUUGCCCCCCAAGGCAAGUGGAGGCGCCCCCUCCCCUAGGGUUCCCAACCCUCGGCGCAGGGGGGCCCAAGGGGGGGGGGGCGCACCAGCCCACUAGGGGCUGGUCCCCUCCCCACUUCAGCCCACGGGGCCCUCCGGGAUAGGUGACCCCACACGGAGGACCCCCGGGACCCUUCCGGUGUUCCCGGUACAAUACCGGUGACCCCCGAAAUUCUCCCGAUGGCCGAAACAGCACUUCCUAUAUAUAAUUCUUCACCUCUGGACCAUUCCGGAACUCCUCGUGACGUCCGGGAUCUCAUCCGGGACUCCAAACAACUUUCCGUUUGCUGCAUACUAAUAUCUCUACAACCCUAGCGUCACCGAACCUUAAGUGUGUAGACCCUACGGGUUCGAGAGAUAUGCAGACAUGACCGAGACGCCUCUCCGGUCAAUAACCAACAGCGGGAUCUGGAUACCCAUGUUGUCUCCCACAUACUCCUCGAUGAUCUCAUCGGAUGAACCACGAUGUCGAGGAUUCAAUGAACCCCGUAUUCAAUUCCCUUUGUCAAUCGGUACGUUACUUGCCUGAGACUCGAUCGUCGGUAUCCCAAUACCUCGUUUAGUCUCGUUACCGGCAAGUCACUUUACUCGUACCAUAAUGCAUGAUCCCGUGACCAGACACUUGGUCACAUUCAGCUCAUUAUGAUGAUGCAUUACCGAGUAGGCCCAGAGAUACCUUUCCAUCAUACGGAGUGAUAAAUCCCAGUCUCGAUUCAUGCCAACCCAACAGACACUUUCGGAGAUACCCGUAGUGUACCUUUAUAGUCACCCAGUUACGUUGUGACGUUUGGCACACCCAAAGCACUCCUACGGUAUGCGAGAGUUGCACAAUCUCAUGGUCUAAGGAAAUGAUACUCGACAAUUGGAAAAGCUCUAGCUAAACGAACUACACGAUCUUUGAGCUAUGCUUACGAUUGGGUCUUGUCCAUCACAUCAUUCUCCUAAUGAUGUGAUCCCAUUAUCAAUGACAUCCAAUUCCCAUAGUCAGGAAACCAUGACUAUCUGUUAAUCAACGAGCUAGUCAACUAGAGGCUUACUAGGAACUUGUUGUGGUCUAUGUAUUCACACAUGUAUUACGAUUUCCGGAUAACACAGUUAUAGCAUGAAUAAUAGACAAUUAUCAUGAGCAUAGAAAUAUAAUAAUAACCAUUUAUUAUUGCCUCUAGAGUGAAUAAUCUAGUUACAUUGUGAUGUAUCGAACACCCAUUGCGUUCUGGUGUUGAUCAUGUUUUGCUCUAGGGAGAGGUUUAGUCAAUGGAUCUGCUACAUUCAGGUCCGUAUAUACUUUACAAAUAUCUAUGUCUCCAUCUUGAACAUUUUCACGGAUGGAGUUGAAGCGACGCUUGAUGUGCCUGGUCUACUUGUGAAACCUGGGCUCCUUGGCAAGUGCAAUAGCUCUAGUGUUGUCACAGAAGAGUGUAAUCGGCCCCGACGCAUUGGGUAUGACUCCUAGGUCGGUGAUGAACUCCUUCACCCAGAUUGCUUCAUGUGCUGCCUCCGAGGCUGCCAUGUACUCCGCUUUACAUGUAGAUCCCGCCACGAUGCUCUGCUUGCAACUGCACCAGCUUACUGCCCCACCAUUCAAAAAUAUACACGUAUCCGGCUUGUGACUUCGAGUCAUGCAGAUCUGUGUCGAAGCUAGCGUCAACGUAACACUUUACGAUGAGCUCUUCAUCACCUCCAUAUACGAGAAACAUGUCCUUAGUCCUUUUCAAGUACUUAAGGAUGUUCUUGACCGCUGUCCAGUGUUCGUUGCCGGGAUUACUUUGGUACCUUCCUACCAAACUUACGGCAAGGUUUAUAUCAGGUCUGGUACAGGUCAUGGCAUACAUAAUAGACCCUAUGGCUGAGGCAUAGGGGAUGACACUCAUCUCUUCUUUAUCUUUUGCCGUGGUCGGGCAUUGAGCCGGGCUCAAUUUCACACCUUGCAACAUGGGCAAGAACCCCUUCUUGGACUGAUCCAUAUUGAACUUCUUCAAUAUCUUAUCAAGGUAUGUGCUUUGUGAAAGACCUAUGAGGCGUCUCGAUCUAUCUCUAUAGAUUUUGAUGCCUAACAUGUAAGCAGCUUCUCCAAGGUCCUUCAUUGAAAAACACUUAUUCAAGUAGGCCUUUAUGUUGUCCAAAAGUUCUAUAUCAUUUCCCAUCAAAAGUAUGUCAUCCACAUAUAAUAUGAGAAAUGCUACAGAGCUCCCACUCACUUUCUUGUAAACGCAGGCUUCUCCAUAAGUCUGCAUAAACCCAAACACUUUAAUCAUCUCAUUAAAACGAAUGUUCCAACUCCGAGAUGCUUGCACCAGCCCAUAAAUGGAUCCCUGGAGCUUGCAUACCUUGUUAGCAUUCUUAGGGUCGACAAAACCUUCUGGCUGCAUCAUAUACAGUUCUUCCUUAAGGUGACCAUUAAGGAAAGGCGUUUUGACGUCCAUUUGCCAUAUCUCAUAAUCAUAGUAUGCGGCAAUUGCUAACAUGAUUCGGACGGACUUCAGCUUCGCUACGGGAGAGAAUGUCUCAUCGUAGUCAAUCCCUUGAACUUGUCGAUAACCCUUAGCGACAAGUCGAGCUUUAUAUAUGGUGACAUUACCAUCUGCGUCCGUCUUCUUCUUAAAGAUCCAUUUGUUUUCUGUCGCUCGCCGAUCAUCGGGCAAGUCUGUCAAAGUCCACACUUUGUUUUCAUACAUGGAUCCUAUCUCGGAUUGCAUGGCUUCAAGCCAUUUGUUGGAAUCUGGGCCCGCCAUUGCUUCUUCAUAGUUCGAAGGUUCACCGUUGUCCAACAACAUGAUUUCCAAGACAGGAUUGCUGUACCACUCUAGUGCGGAAUGUGUCCUUGUGGACCUUCGAAGUUCAGUAGGAGCUUGAUCCGAAGUAUCUUGAUCAUCAUCAUUAACUACCUCUCUUGUCGGUGCUGGCACCACAGGAACAUUUUCCUGAGUUGCGCUACUCACCGUUUCAAGAGGUAGUACUUCAUCAAGCUCUACUUUCCUCCCACUUAAUUCUUUCGAGAGAAACUCUUUCUCCAGAAAGGACCCGUUCUUGGCAACAAAGAUCUUGCCUUCGGAUCUUAAGUAGAAAGUAUACCCUGUGGUUUCCUUAGGGUAUCCUAUGAAUAUGCAUUUUUCCGACUUGGUUUCGAGCUUCUCAGGUUGACGUUUCUUGACAUAAGCAUCGCAUCCCCAAACUUUUAGAAACGACAGCUUAGGUUUCUUCCCAAACCAUAAUUCAUACGGUGUCGUCUCAACGGAUUAAGCCAUAGUGACCUGAGAUUAAGAAAAAAAGAAAAAAAAUUGAAAAAAAAUAAAAAAAUCUGAAAAAAAUAUUUGAAAAAAAAUCGUUACUAAUGGCGCAUUUCUAUUUUCUAUGUGGUGCGCCAUUAGUAUACCAGAUACUAAUGGCGCACCAUGGGCUAUUCUAAUGGCGCACCAGCGGUGCGCCAUUAGUAUACCAGAUACUAAUGGCGCACCACAGGUGCGCCAUUAGAAAAAAAAUCUAAUGCGUGGUGCUAGUGGCGCACCUGUAGUGCGCCAUUAGUAGAGAAAACAGGUGCGCCACUAGCAGCCCUUUUUCUAGUAGUGCCACGAUCUGAUCGUAAGAACUUUAUCUUUCGGUCAAGUUGAUUCUCUACCUCAUUCUGAAAUUCCUUGAACUUUUCAAAGGUCUCAGACUUAUGUUUCAUCAAGUAGACAUACCCAUAUCUACUCAAGUCAUCAGUGAGAGUGAGAAGAUAAAGAUAUCCUCUGCGAGCCUCAACGCUCAUUGGACCGCACACAUCAGUAUGUAUGAUUUCCAAUAAGUUGGUCGCUCGCUCCAUUGUUCUGGAGAACGGAGUCUUAGUCAUCUUGCCCAUGAGGCAUGGCUCGCAUGUGUCAAACGAUUCAUAAUCUAGAGACUCUAAAAGUCCAUCAGCAUGGAGCUUCUUCAUGCGCUUGACACCAAUAUGACCAAGGCGGCAGUGCCACAAGUAUGUGGGACUAUCAUUAUCAACUUUACAUCUUUUGGUAUUCACACUAUGAAUAUGUGUAACAUUACGCUCGAGAUUCAUUAAGAAUAAAUCAUUCACCAGCGGGGCAAGACCAUAAAACAUAUCACUCAUAUAAAUAGAACAACCAUUAUUCUCGGAUUUAAAUGAGUAGCCAUCUCAAAUUAAACGAGAUCCCGAUACAAUGUUCAUGCUCAAAGUUGGUACUAAAUAACAAUUAUUGAAGUUCAAAACUAAUCCCGUAGGUAAAUGUAGAGGUAGCGUGCCGACGGCGAUCACAUCAACCUUGGAACCAUUCCCGACGCGCAUCGUCACCUUGUUCUUCGCCAGUCUCCGCUUAUUCCGCAGCUCCUGCUUUGAGUUACAAAUAUGAGCAACCGCACCGAUAUCAAAUACCUAGGAGCUACUACGAGCACUGGUAAGGUACACAUCAAUUAUAUGUAUAUCACAUAUACCUUUGGUUUUGCUGGCCUUCUUGUCCGCUAAGUACUUGGGGCAGUUCCGCUUCCAGUGACCACUUCCCUUGCAAUAAAAGCACUCAGUCUCAGGCUUGGGUCCAUUGCUUGACUUCUUCCUGGCAACUGGCUUACCAGGCGCGGCAACUUCCUUGCCGUCCUUCUUGAAGUCUUCUUACCCUUGCCCUUCUUGAACUUAGUGGUUUUAUUCACCAUCAACACUUGAUGUUCCUUUUUGAUCUCCACCUCCGCUGAUUUCAGCAUUGAAUAUACCUCAGGAAUGGUAUUUUCCAUCCCCUGCAUAUUAAAGUUCAUCACAAAGCUCUUGUAGCUUGGUGGGAGCGACUGGAGGAUUCUGUCAAUGACCGCGUCAUCCAGGAUUUUAACUCCCAGCUGAGUCAAGCGGUUGUGCAACCCAGACAUCUUGAGUAUGUGCUCACUAACAGAACUGUUUUCCUCCAUCUUACAGCUAAAGAACUUGUCGGAGACUUCAUAUCUCUCGACCCGGGCAUGAGCUUGGAAAACCAUUUUCAGCUCCUCGAACAUCUCAUAUGCUCUGUGUUGCUCAAAACGCUUUUGGAGCCCCGGUUCUAAGCUUUAAAGCAUGCCGCACUGAACGAGGGAGUAAUCAUCGGCACGAGACUGCCAAGCGUUCAUAACGUCUUAGUUCUCUGGGAUUGGUGCUUCACCUAGCGGUGCUUCUAAGACAUAGUCUUUCUUGGCAGCUAUUAGGAUGAUCCUCAGGUUCCGGACCCAGUCCGUAUAGUUGCUGCCAUCGUCUUUCAGCUUGGUUUUCUCUAGGAACGCGUUGAAGUUCAGCUGGACAUGAGCGUUGGCCAUUUGAUCUACAAGACAUAUUGUAAAGAUUUUAGACUAAGUUCAUGAUAAUUAAGUUCAUCUAAUCAAAUUAUUUAAUGAACUCUCACUUAGACAGACAUCCCUCUAGUCAUCUAAGUGAAACAUGAUCCGGGUCAACUAGGCCGUGUCCGAUCAUCACGUGAGACGGACUAGCUAACAUCGGUGAACAUCUUCAUGUUGAUCGUAUCUACUAUAUGACUCAUGCUUGACCUUUCGGUCUUCCGUGUUCCAAGGCCAUGUCUGUACAUGCUAGGCUCGUCAAGUCAAAAUAAGUGUAUUACGUGUGUAAAUCUGGCUUACACCUGUUGUAUUCGAACGUUAGGAUCUAUCACACCCGAUCAUCACGUGGUGCUUCGAAACAACGAACCUUCGCAACGGUGCACAGUUAGGGGGAACACUUUUCUUGAAAUUAUUAUGAGGGAUCAUCUUACUUACUACCGUCGUUCUAAGUAAACAAGAUGAAAAACAUGAUAAACAUCACAUGCAAUCAUAAUAGUGACAUGAUAUGGCCAAUAUCAUAUAGCUCCUUUGAUCUCCAUCUUCGGGGCUCCAUGAUCAUCUUCGUCACCGGCAUGACACCAUGAUCUCCAUCACCAUGAUCUCCAUCAUCGUGUCUCCAUGAAGUUGCUCGCCAACUAUUACUUAUACUUCUAUGGCUAACGCGUUUAGCGAUAAAGUAAAGUAAUUUACAUGGCGUUUCUCAAUGACACGCAGGUCAUACAAAAAAUAAAGACAACUCCUAUGGCUCCUGCCGGUUGUCAUACUCAACAACAUGCAAGUCAUGAUUCCUAUUACAAGAACAUGAUCUCAUACAUCACAUAUAUAUCAUUCAUCAUUCAUCACAACUUUGGCCAUAUCACAUCACAAGACACUUGCUGCAAAAACAAGUUAGACGUCCUCUAAUUGUUGUUCCAAGUUUUUACGUGGCUUCUAUAGGUGAUCUAGCAAGAACGUUUUCUUACCUACGUUAAAGCCACAACGUGAUUUGCCAACUUCUAUUUACCCUUCAUAAGGACCCUUUUCAUCGAAUCCGCUCCAACUAAAGUGGGAGAGACAGACACCCGCUAGCCACCUUAUCCAACUAGUGCAUGUCAGUCGGUGGAACCUGUCUCAUGUAAGCGUACGUGUAAGGUCGGUCCGGGCCGCUUCAUCCCACAAUACCGCUGAAGCAAAAUAAGACUAGUAGUGGUAAGAAAGUUGACAACAUCUAUGCCCAUAACAAAUUGUGUUCUACUCGUGCAAAGAGAACUACGCAUAGACCUAGCUCAUGAUGCCAUUGUUGGGGAACGUUGCAUAAAAUAAAAAAUUUCCUAUGUUCACCAAGAUCAAUCUAUGAGUUCAUCCAGCAACAAGAUAGAGAGGAGUGCAUCUACAUACCCUUGUAGAUCGUGAGCGGAAGCGUUCAAGAGAACGGGGUUGAGGUAGUCGUACACGUCGUGAUCCAAUCACCGGAGAUCCUAGCGCCGAACGGAUGGCACCUCCGCGUUCAACAUACGUACGGUCAGCGUGACGUCUCCUCCUUCUUGAUCCAGCAAGGGGGAAUGAGAGGUUGAUGAAGAUCCAGCAGCACGACGGUGUGGUGGUGGAUGCAGCAGGGAUCCGGCAGGGCUUCGCCAAGCGUCUGCGGGAGGGAGAGGUGUAGCAAGGGGGAAGGGAGGCGCCAAGAUGCAGGGUCCGGCUGCCCUCCCUUCCCCCCUCUUUAUAUAGGGUCCCCAGGGGGGCGCCGGCCCUAUGAGAUGGGAUCUCCUGGGGGGGCGGCGGCCAAGGGGGGAGCCUUGCCCCCCAAGGCAAGUGGAGGCGCCCCCUCCCCUAGGGUUCCCAACCCUAGGCGCAGGGGGACCAAGGAGGGUCACACCAGCCCACCAGGGGCUGGUCCCCUCCCCACUUCAGCCCACGGGGCCCUCCGGGAUAGGUGGCCCCACACGGUGGACCCCCGGGACCCUUCCGGUGGUCCCGGUACAAUACCGGUGACCCCCGAAAUUCUCCCGAUGGUUGAAACAGCACUUCCUAUAUAUAAUUCUUCACCUCCGGAGCAUUCCAGAACUCCUCGUGACGUCCGGGAUCUUAUCCGGGACUCCGAACAACUUUCGGUUUGCUGCAUACUAAUAUCUCUACAACCCUAGCGUCACUGAACCUUAAGUGUGUAGACCCUACGGGUUCAGGAGAUAUGCAGACAUGACCGAGACGCCUCUCCGGUCAAUAACCAACAGCGGGAUCUGGAUACCCAUGUUGGCUCCCACAUACUCCUCGAUGAUCUCAUCGGAUGAACCACGAUGUCGAGGAUUCAAUUAACACCUUAUUCAAUUCCCUUUGUCAAUCGGUACGGUACUUGCCCGAGACUCGAUCGUCGGUAUCCCAAUACCUCGUUUAGUCUCGUUACCGGCAAGUCACUUUACUCGUACCGUAAUGCAUGAUCCCGUGACCAGACACUUGGUCACAUUGAGCUCAUUAUGAUGAUGCAUUACCGAGUGGGCCUAGAGAUACCUCUCCGUCACACGGAGUGACAAAUCCCAGUCUCGAUUUGUGCCAACCCAAGAGACACUUUCGGAGAUACCCGUAGUGUACCUUUAUAGUCACCCAGUUACGUUGUGACGUUUGGCUCACCCAAAGCACUCCUACGGUAUCCGGGAGUUGCACAAUCUCAUGGUCUAACGAAAUGAUACUCGACAAUUGGAAAAGCUCUACCUAAACGAACUACACGAUCUUUGAGAUAUGCUUAGGAUUGGAUCUUGUCCAUCACAUCAUUCUCCUAAUGAUGUGAUCCCGUUAUCAGUGACAUCCAGUGCCCAUAGUCAGGAAACCAUGACUAUUUGUUGAUCAACGAGCUACUCAACUAGAGGCUUACUAGGGACUUGUUGUGGUCUAUGUAUUCAGACGUGUGUUACGAUUUCCGGAUAACACAGUUAUAGCAUGAAUAAUAGACAAUUAUUAUGAACACAGAAAUAUAAUAAUAACCAUUUAUUAUUGCCUCUAGGGCAUAUUUCCAACAGAGUGGCCUCAACGCGGUGCUUCGGUGCCGCCAUCUUGGUGGCGAUGUCGAUGUGCUUGGCGCGGAACUCCUACAGCUCGUCCUGGCUGGCAUCGGUGCGAGAAGGAGUCGCUAGGGCGGCCGCCUCCAGCAGAUCCUGGUUGGAUCCGCCAGCGCCUUGGCCGUCGCCAAUGACCAUCGCAUCCGCAAUGAUGCCAGCAUCGGGCGUGCCGACAGGAGCGUCACUGGCGGCAGGAGGGAGCGGAUCAUCGACGACCUCCACGUUGCUGGGGAAGUCAUCGGUGGUGAUUUUGUCGGCGAUGGAGAGCUUGCUGAAGAGGUCAUCAAGGCCGUUCGCCGGGGAGAUGACCUCCGCAGUAGGCGAUGCGUUGAGGCUAGCGCAGGAGGAUGCAUCGGGCUGGCCAAUCUCACCAGCCGCGACAUGCUCGCCGGAAAGGAACAAGGUUCCCGUCCAGAACGUGUCUCCGGCCGACGUCACGGAUGGCCCCACGGUUGGCGCUAGCUGUCGUGGUAAUGUCACGUCAGAUUCCAGGGGGUGGCUUAUCAUGGAUGUGGCCAGAAGUACGUCAUCGCGUCCUGGAAGCGGGAGUGAGCACAAGCUCAGACGGGCACGAGAUCUACCCCGGUUCAGGGCUCUCCUAAGAGAUGAAACCCCUAUUCCUGCUUUGCGGGGUCUCCUCAUGAUAACUAUAUCACAAGGUAUACAAUGGUGCUCCUAGAGCUGUUUGGAUAGAGGAGGGAGAAGGGCAAGGCUAGCUCUCUUCUCUCCCUAGCAGUGGAGUGUGUGGAAUGGAGUGGGAACUGAGGUUGGAACCCUUUGCAUGGGUGAGACCUGGGGGAUUUUAUAGGCCAACCCCCAGGGGUAUAAUGGUAAUCAGGCCGGGUGGUAGGUCCCCGCUGUCAGCGUCUAUGGAGGUCGGGUUCUCUGCCGGCUGCUGGGCCCGCUUCUGGUCGGCCCUGCUGGCUAUCGAGGAACCUACCGACGGGUGGGGCCUGCCGCUUGCGGGCCCCAUCUACAGCUCUUCACUGUUGCACCGCCCAUGCUGACGGAGGCCGUGUCGGACGCGCCAUGGCUACAGUGCGGCGGCGGGCGGGUCGGCGGCCGCCUGGCGGCGCUUACUGUAGCCAUGCGGCCGAGAUUCGGGGAGGCAUGGUACACUGUAGCCAUGCCCCAGCUCGUAGCUUGGUCGGGCUCAGACUCCGAGGGAAGGGGCGGGCCGCCUGCUAGGACUGUCCCGUACCCACACCAUCUUCUGGGAACGCGUCUUCUUCUGGGAGCACGCCGUCUUCUGGAGGUCGGCUGGGUGGCACGAGCCGACUCUGGAAGCCGGUCGUCAGACAUGUCGGCCUGAGGGGCUUGGCUUGCCCCGAUGUCUUGAAAUGUUGUUAAGUGUAGAUAAGGGGGGUCUAUCCCCCCGACACAUAUGAUUCUCAAUAUAAAUGAACCGGACUGAAUUCAUUUUAGAAACAAACAACAAAAUAAUUAAGUAACACUUCAAAUUUGUUCGACUUAAGAAACGAACAUCAAUGUAUGACAUAUAUCUUAAACAUACUAACCAACAGUUCAUCGGCUAGUAUAUUCAUGACUUAUACCUUAUUUCUAAACAUGUUCAACGACAACAAUCAUUUACAAAGCGUUGUGGUUGUUGUCGGUNNNNNNNNNNNNNNNNNNNNNNNNNNNNNNNNNNNNNNNNNNNNNNNNNNNNNNNNNNNNNNNNNNNNNNNNNNNNNNNNNNNNNNNNNNNNNNNNNNNNNNNNNNNNNNNNNNNNNNNNNNNNNNNNNNNNNNNNNNNNNNNNNNNNNNNNNNNNNNNNNNNNNNNNNNNNNNNNNNNNNNNNNNNNNNNNNNNNNNNNNNNNNNNNNNNNNNNNNNNNNNNNNNNNNNNNNNNNNNNNNNNNNNNNNNUCAAGGCAUAUAAAAGUCAAGUUAUGCGGCAAAACUAAUAAAAACUCAAACACAAUGUUCAAUGGCAGUAUUUGUUCAUGGAUGGUUUAACUAAUAAAGACAUAUUAGAAGACAAUACUAGCAUAUAAAUGAUACAAACGAUGGUGCCCAAUCAAAGGAUGGAUUGAUAUAGCCUCCUAUAACUGCAUGUUCAAUAAAGUAAGACAUAUGACGCCUCUCCAAGGGCGACUAGGGUUCCUGCCGCCCUGCGGCGCGGCGCCGAUCCAUGGCCUUAGGUCCAUGGGUCGUGGUGGAUCCCGGCCCUUGCCGACGGGAGGAUUCCGUUUCUAGAUAUUUCUUUGAGUUUUUUGGGGGGUUUAUGUCCUGCUCAGGAAGGCGAGACGGCGGCGGUAAAAAGAAGAACUUAGCAGGUUUAAUAACAAACGCAAAAUGUGAAUUACUAAAUCGGUUUCCACAUUUAUGUUCUCUGCAGAACAACAAAACUAAGGAAAACAAUAUGAAAAGGGAAAAGCAUUAAGAAUUAAAGACCAUGUUUGUAUCAAGCAUCAAACAGUGGGAACUAGCAAGAGAAAUUCCCCGCAAAAAAACUAGCAAAAGAAAUUGGGAUUUGAAAACAGUAGCAACUAGCAAGAGAAAUCUCUUCAUCAGCUAGCCUAAGACGGGUCAUCUUCCUUUUCUCGACAAAAGGACUCCCGUUCGCGACGGACUAGCAGCACAUGCCCUUGUUCUCUUUAACUUUUUUGACAUUGGCCUGGCCAAUGGCCCAGCAAGAGGGGUAGGAAGUGGGCUGUGCCCCAGGCCAGUUUUUUCUCUCUAGAUAUAUAGGUUGGGAAGUUUGAGACCUCCUCUUCGGCGCCAUAGGCGCCGGUUCCCUUAGCGGGCGCUCACAGCAGUGUCGCGUCGGCCGGCACAGCUAGGAGCCUCGGGCUCGCUCUAUCCCAUCGCGACGCUGUUGCGUUCGUUCGUUCUUUCUUUUUUUGUUUGUCGCUUCAUUCACAAACCUGAAAGCACAUGGAUAAAAAAUAUGAAUUCAAAAACAGUUCAUUAAUUUGAAAUUUUCAUCAAUUCUAAACAAAAAAUUCAUCUCUUUUGAAACACAUUUCACAAGAAAUUGAAUUUUUUUAUCGAUUUUGAAAAAAGUUCAUCGAAUUUGAAAAAGGUUCAUUGAAUUUGAAAAAAAAAGUUCAUUAAACUUGAAAAACAUUCACCAAAUUUGGAAAAAAGUUCACCAAAUUUGAAAAAAGUUCAUAAAAAUGAAAAAAAGUUCAUCAAAAUUUGAAGAAAAGUUCAUCAAAAAUGUAAAAAAGUUUCAUCAAAAUUUGGAAAAAGUUCACUGAUUUCAAAAAAAAAUCAAAUUUGAAAAACAUGAAGAAAAAAAGUUUCACAAAUUUUAUAUAGAAAAGGAAAAGGCAACAAGAAAAAGGAAAGAAAGAAGAAGAGAGGAAGAAAAACAUGCACGAGAUCACAACAAGUCAAGUGGUUUGUUGGUCGACGAGUCGUACCCUUAAAUUUGUCAUGCUGGGAUCGAAUCCCAGCACUCCUGCACUUUUUGCAGUUUAGAAAACCAGAGAAAGGGUCAAAAUGGGCCGGCCCUAACGUGACGAGGGGUGUGUGCGCCCGUUAGUAGAAAUAACUGUAUCGGGUGUAGAAGGCGCCGAAUAGGAUUUAGCGGGAAGUUUCUCACGCCCCAGGCCAUUGCCUGGGCUGCCUGGGGCCUAGAUCCGCCCAUGGUUGUUGUACCUUAUGGUGAUUAUCACUAGUGUGUGGACCCUUAAUUUUCUCUUUCCCGUUAUGAACUCCCGUCAGCCGGACUCAUGUAAGGAUAUGCGGCCGUCUGAUUCCGUCUUGUACUAAACGGUAGUAACACGCCCUGUUGGUCCAUGACAUACUCCAGAUUUGCUGACGACGGGGAUGUCCACUCCGGAAAACAUCUUUAGAGGUAAUUUCUGAACUUCCCCGUCAUUAAGAGGAAAUUGAGAGCACGCUAUGUUACACAUCUCACCAUAUUUUGUUAUGAACAAAAAAAGAUGAAAGAAUACAAAACAUCUGACCAUGACGUUUUCGACGACGUUGGGUUUAGUUAAACGGUGCACAAACGGCUUCCCCAAGACGGCCACAUUGAGGGAGUACGAAGCAGCACAUUUUGUUUCCAUAAGAAAAUAUAUUUUCCGAACAGAUGGUGUAUAUAUACUUUUGCUAAACUGCUGGCCGGUCGGUCGCGGUAUCUCUGCACCAACCAUCCAUGCGUAAAGGCACGGCCUUCUUCUCCGUCGCGUGCUUGUGCUUAGCCUUGACUCUGACGUACCGGCGUACCAGUCGGACCACCCUCCUUCCCACCACAUGUCCAGGCAGCUGUUUCCUUGCACCAGCAGCUGAUUCUGCGACUCCAUGGACACCAGCCGUGGCGACGCCGAUCUCUCCUUGGCUUCCGGUGGCAGCGCCGUGGUCCCUGUCGUCGUCCCCGUUGAUCGUCUCAUCCAUGAGCUCCUGUAGCGAGAAAUUAAGCGAGUUAUCCUGACCUUCCUCCUGCGGCUCCUGGAGGUAACACGCCGUCCCUCCAUCAUCUCCCUCUAGCUGCAGCGAUGUCUUGUGCUCAGACGGUGGCUUCAGCUGAUGAGCAUCUCGGUCGCAAUCAGCAGCAACCAACCUUGCAGCAGCCGGUCUUCUUAUUGUCCUCCUUGACAUGCUAGCGUCGAAUCUCCGAGGCCGGUUUUCGUCGCGUGACGCGGUUGCCAUUGUUGGUCCAGUGAACCUAUUUGGAAGAAGCAGAAGAAGAUCACAUGGAUUUUGUAUGGUGUACUCGGACUUGGGAGGGAAAGUUGUUCAUAUAUAUACAGCCAGCAGGCCAGGGAGAUCAGGACCUAGGUGGCUAGGUGCUUGAUGCGUCUACGUGCACGCGUCUGCCAGGAGCUAUCUGAUCAAUGUUAAGUAGGACAAAAGGCAGCCUAUGCAUGGUACACAAAAAGAGUAUUGAACCAAGAACAAGGUUGUGGGUAGUACGGGCAGGUUUAUAUCUCCAUGGCAGGUACAGGGAUGUACUACUAGGGAUAACUUAGGGAUAAAGCCCAAGUAAUGCAUGGAGGGUACUGAUCCAUAUGCCAUAGACGAACUCUUCUAAUCCAAUCCAAGAACCAGGACGAUGUGACUGAACGUGAGUGAUUCCUAGAAAAAAGUUAGACCUCUUGAAGAAGUUGGACCUUCAUGAUCUUCCUCACACAACGCCAAUUGAUCAAACCAGAGGCUUUGGCAGAGUCAAGCUUCAAGACCGUGGUGGGAGCAAUUCUCUUGUGGCAGUAUUGCACCAGCUCCGUAAACAAAACAUUCAGAAGCAGCCGGCAAUGAAGCCGAAUUGAUCAACGUCGACGACGAGCAUGCUGAUUUGCUGCUGCAGCCUGGAGGUGAGCCCAUGGCAGAGGAUGUUUACAUCACAGUUUAAUUGGGAGAUUUGAUGGAAUACAACAGGGGUGGGGAUUACAUCUCGCUUGGGGAGAAGGACCACAAACGUCCUGUUCUUUUUGUUCCAUUUUUUUUUCAUUUGCCUUGCCUUAUGACAUACUUUUUCUCUAUUGAUCAAUAAAAAGCGCGGCCGCCUGCCUUUUCGUCAAACAAAAGUUUAUCUUAAUAUAUCAAACAAAAGUUUGCCUUGAUAUAAAACAUUGCAUAAAACAAAAUGAUCAAAUAAGCACCCUCCCCUCUUUCUUGAUCAAUGAAAAGCAAGGGCAUGUGUAUUUGGACAGUUUUUGCUCCCACAGUUCAAGUUUGUGCAUGAAGACAUUCAAUUUCAUGAGUUGAUGGACUAUAACCAAAUGCAUCAUGAAAGUUUGUGUACCGACAGUGCUAUUACCUCAGUAUAUCAUACUACACAAUGUAAAANNNNNNNNNNNNNNNNNNNNNNNNNNNNNNNNNNNNNNNNNNNNNNNNNNNNNNNNNNNNNNNNNNNNNNNNNNNNNNNNNNNNNNNNNNNNNNNNNNNNNNNNNNNNNNNNNNNNNNNNNNNNNNNNNNNNNNNNNNNNNNNNNNNNNNNNNNNNNNNNNNNNNNNNNNNNNNNNNNNNNNNNNNNNNNNNNNNNNNNNNNNNNNNNNNNNNNNNNNNNNNNNNNNNNNNNNNNNNNNNNNNNNNNNNNNNNNNNNNNNNNNNNNNNNNNNNNNNNNNNNNNNNNNNNNNNNNNNNNNNNNNNNNNNNNNNNNNNNNNNNNNNNNNNNNNNNNNNNNNNNNNNNNNCUAUGUUACUGAAAACAAAGCCAAAACUUGCUCACGACGCUCAGGCGACGCCAAAGUAGCUGAGCCAAAAGUUUAAACCCCACAAGAAGCCUCAAUAGGCUGGGGAAAUCCAACGACACAGUGCGAAAAGGAAGCGAAAGCAACAGGCUUACAUGCUAGGUAUUAGCAUCAACAUUUUUCUAGCUGGAAUGAGCCCUCAGGAUCAUCUAAGAUUCUUUUGGAUCUUAAUUAUAAGCUACUAUAUUUGGAAAAACAAGAUUUUUAUUCAUAAACAAGCAACUGAACAGUUUGUAGUUGAGUUGCUCAAAAUAUCAGGUUCAAAUGCCUGAUUUUUAGGAGCAUUCACCUCGCACAAGAAAACUUUCAGUUUUGCCGCCAAGGUUUGGAAGAGGCAACACCGUUAAAUUGCCCAAUUUGUUGUUAAUCUAUUUGAUUUCUUGGAAGAACAUCGUAACCUGUCAGCAGAUGAGGAUCUUCUUCACGUAUCGCGUUGAUGCCUUCCAGUGCCUCGCCGCUUCCACUAAACGACAAGGUGUCCAUUCGAAGCAACAUGGCAAUGCAAGGCGGUGAAUGCUCUUGCCUUAUAGCAGUGUCGUAGCAAUGUGAUUCGUGCCCUCAACGUCGACGACGAGUUGGUCUUCGAGCAUGAGGCCAAGAUAGCGGCUCUCCUAGGCUUCUACUCUUGAGUUCCUGGUCCGACCCAGGGAGCCAGUCUGGCACUUCAAUCUCGACGCUCUAUACUACCAGGGCUGCUCGUGUUGACAUGCUAGUUUUAGUGGCCCAUUUUGAUCGUGCGGAGAUAAAGGCUGUGGUGAACCUGUUGGAUCACUCUAGCGCUCCUAACCCCGACGGGCUUGGCCCAAUCUUUUAUAUGGCGGCCUAGAGUACGGUAGCUGGCGGCACGGGAAAAUCUUAUGCCACGCUCAUUGCGGCACAUCGUCGGGGCUUUCAUAGCGAUCUAACCCGAGGGCGGGAGAUGGGCCGACCCACUUUUUGCAUUUUAUUUUUCAUUUUAUUCGUUCUUUAUUAUUUAUCUUUCAUUUUUGUUUAUUAAUUUUUCUGUUUCUUUUAGUAUUAUUUUUUAUUUAUUUUUCGAGUGCAUUUGUUUAAAAAAAUCAUGUUUAUCAAAAUAACUGUUUGGAAUUUUCAAAAUAAUGGUGUUUUUCAUAAAUUGUUCAAAACUUCAGAAACUGUUCCUCUUUUUCCAAAUUUGUUCAUUCAAUAUAUAUUCACAUUUUUGAAGUUUUAAGGAAUUUUCAAAAGAUUAUUCAGAAUUUCAGAAAAUGUUCUAGUUUUAAAUUUUUGUCCCUUAAAAUAAAAAAUUGUUCACAUUUUUGAAAUAUGAUUGGAAUUUUUCUAAAUUUGUUUAGAAGUACAAAAAAUAUUCUUGAUUAAUUUUGCCAUAAACUCAUAGUUGUGGCAUUUUCGUAAAAUGAUUGGGAUUUUUCAAAUGAAAUCGUGUUUUGCGAAAUUGUCCAAUUUUUUAAAAAAUGUGCUGGUGUCAAAAUGUUUUGAAAAUUGGGGAAUUUUAUAAAAUAUGCUUCAAAUAUUAAAAUAAAAACGCUACAUGAAAAAAUCACUAUGAGGGACCAAACCCACGAUACAGUGUGCUAUGCUGCUAAUAGGCCGGCCCACUCCAUCUUGCAUCUAUCUGUCGCGUUGCUAAUUGUCGCCAUGAGCGGUAUAUAGGAGGUCACCCUGAAACACCUCUUUGAUGAGGUGCACACCAGCAUUUCUAACCUUGACGUGAUCAACAGAGUCUUCAUCAUCCUCCUCCCCAAGUAUGAUAGUAUUCUCUCCCAGGGUGCUUUCCGUCUGAUUUUUCUGAAGAUGGACGUAGAGUUUCUCUGCAAAGGGCUCAGCUCCAAUCUGUAGAAGCAUAUAAGCCACAUCAUUGACACCAAUCAGUCCGAGUGCAUUGUGGAGUAGAACAUUUCAAAACAUUUCGUGCACACCUCCGAGAUUAUGCAGUACUGACAUAAUUAUUGGGCCUCCAUACCGUAUCCUCAAGAUGGUGCAAAUGCAGUUAAACAAAUUAGUAUUCAUUGUUUAGUGAGUGCACACUAAAUUUUUUGUUGUUGUGGUCAAGUGUACCGUAUAUCCAUGUUUUGUUACUGAUGUUAUUAUUUCAUUAAUCUUAUAAAUAAACCAACAAGACAACUUGUGAAGGAAUAACUAAAAAUUAACGCGUUUAGGUGGCCGCCGGGACCCUAAGCGGCGGGAUGCGGUCGUGACGAAAAUAGAAGAGAAUGAGUAUGUUGAGCAGACCUGAGAUGAUGCAUCUGGAGGGCUAAGUUUUCUUCUCUCGUAAACAUCCUCAAGAAACAUCUAUUGCUGCCCGCUGAGUGGCAGUGUGAGUGCUAUUGCUGGGUUAAUCACAACAGUAUAUAUCGCUAACUUUACUUGGAUUUCAUGAAUAAACAUUAUACAUGCAUCACAUUAUUCAAUAAAAGAACUCUCAGGGGAAAUCAUUUCGCUCAGAAAAAACAUUAAGGAAAAUCCAAGCCACAAGGUGAAUAAAAAUAAAUUAAAUAUUUAUACUAAAUUUUUAUAUUUAUUUGCAAGCAUUUAGUAAAUGUUAAUAACAGUGUUCUCUAUGCCUCCUGUGUAAUGUAUCUAGUUUCAAAAAAUCGAAUACACUGUGCUAAAUAUGAACCGUACAUGUAAUGAGAGUUACAUAUAUAACUUUGUCUCUUUUUGUUGUCUUAAAAUACAUAUUUGAACCAAAUCCCCAAAAUGUGAGAAAAAUAAUAAAACAUAAAAUUGUAUGCUUUAAUGGAUAAUUUGUGAUACUUCAUGAACACAUUUUAUAUGUCUCUAUAUAUCCUAAAAUAUCUUGGUAGAGCUCUUUAAAGAGUAUGGUCUCAGAAAUAUCCUCACAGAGUUCUAGAAUACGUCUAUGUAAAUAUUAAAUGUAGACUACAUAAAAUGUUUACAAGAUGCUUGUCAGCCGAAUCACCAGCAUGAUGUUUUACACAUUUUUGUGGUCAAAUGUGUCUCGCAUGUUAGGGAGGGUUCAACAAUCCAUAAUAAAUGUAUAUGCACUAUAUUUUGAAUUGAAAUUGAAUCACUCACAUUUGUGGCUCAUGCCCACUAUAUUAGGUCGAGCUGCGUCUCCACCACUUGCAACGAUAACAUUGUCAUCGACCAGACCCUCUGUGUCCCUCGGGGUGGCACCAGGCUCUUGAAGGAUCGAUCAGUACUUGCUGCCCGACAUGCUACUGCCGGCGCCCUUCACCAACGCCCUCUUCCAGUACAUUAGCAUUCCCCAGCAGGCAACCGGUAACUUGCCGCAGCUAGAGCCGGUUGCCCUCAACGUAGGUGACUAACGUGGAGCAGCAAGAAUACUGCCAAGAACGCCGCCGGCUCGUGAUUGUCUGACUUGUUUGUCACAGACAAGUGGCUCAUGGCGUAUAUUGCUGUUGAUCAAAGCUUAUAAAGUUUGUUUUUUGAAGAAAUUAAUUGUCAUUCUACUAUAAAACAGAGGGGGUUACCAAAAAUGAGAGCUCUGCUGACCAAUAUAUAAGAAAGAAAGCCAUGUAGGAGGCCAUAAGGAACAAAGCAAGAGGUGUAACAAUGCCGUGUCUGACAUGUAUGUUCUUGAACAUACUAGCCAAACCAAGCAACAACAUUUUUUCCAAAAAUAGGCGGCACCAUGAGAAGAAUAUGUUACUUACGAAUCAGAGGAGACAGUCAUCACGGAAUGAUCAUUUGCAGUGUAUGGAGACUCCCGGAAGCUUGAAGAUACUCCACUGCAGAAACAGAGUAAAAUUUCGGUGCCUUACUCUCCAAGACACAGUAUAGAUGCAUGCAGUCUGUAGCGACAUCCAAGAUGCUUGAGUUGUAGGCGCCAGCAAAAGCGAGCUAGAGAGCAGUUGCACCGGAGACUAACCGAAGCAAGUUCAUGUCAGUAUGGCGAUAGGAGCUUCUGCACUACUAGGAUGUAUGCAUUGGACUGAAUCCGAAGUAAUGUUUCCGGAUUACUAAUAGGUUAAUAGAAACUGUUGUUGAUUUGGCAAGUUUAUAUUUCAACUUUGUACACACAUAUUUGGCAACCAAUUUUUGGCAAUACUCCAUUGGACUGAAUCCGAAGUAGUGUCUCCGUGAAUUACUAGUAGGAAGGAUGAGGAUGUACUACUGCAAUGCAAGCAAUUUUGCACCAUUCAAAGUCUGAUUCAACUCUGAACACACAUACUACAGUAUUUCACAGGAAAGUCUAUCAUAAAAGACACAUGGCAGCAACAGAGCAUCCGUCAGACUAACAAAUGUUCAAUCUGUUUGUUUGGUUUUUCAUCAGCCAUCAUCACUGUGCUAGUGAUUACCAAGAAAGCAGGACCUAUUCCAAUGUAGUGUCUGCCAUGGAUGUUCUUGCACAUUUAACCAAACUAAGCAGAAACAUUUUCCAAAAAAAGGCGGCAUCAUCAGAGAAUAUGCCAGUAAUGACACUCUCCAUUCUUCUUCCGUGACUGCAGUGGAAACUCUCCCAGAAGCUGAAAGAUAAUCCACUACAGAAACAGGGUAAAUACUACAAUGGAUGCAAGAGACUGCAGUGUCAUCCAAGAUGCUUGAGCUGGAGACACCAGCAAGAGCAAGCUAGAGAGCAACUGCACUUGAGAGUUGAGACAAACUGAAGCAAGUUUGUGUCAGCCAGGCACUGGAGCUUCCUUCUGCUGCUGCAGGAAUGAUGUCUAGAGAACACGUCUUCAUAGAUUAUUAGCAUGAACGAUGUACUACUGCAAGCAAGCUGGAAAUCCCAACAGAGUGGCAACAGAGCCUUGGUUGCUUAGAAGGUUGGAAAUCCCAGUUGCUUAAUUGUUGUUGGAAGUGCUACUCAUGAUGGCUUUGGAAGAAAGCACUACUACAAGUGGCAUGAUAAAACUUGAUUCUUCCAAUUACUCAUUAUGGAAGCCCAUGAUGGAAGACAUCCUUUAUUGCAAGGAUUUGUAUGAGCCAAUUGUGAAAGACAAGCUACCCACCGGUGUCACGGAAGAAGAAUGGAGAGUGUUGCACAGAAAGGCAGUAGGUAUGAUUCGGUUGUACAUCAAUCACAAUAUUUUCCACCAGGUUGCAAAUGACACAAAUGCAUAUGAGAUGUGGCAGAAGUUAGAGUCUAUGCAUGAGAGGAAGACAUCAAUGAGAAGGCCUCGGUGAUCAAAAGACUUGCAAAGCUUGAGUACCGAGAAGGCACAAGUGUGAUUGAGCACUUGAAUGUCUUCCAAUGCCAUAUAAAUCAACUUUCAGCCAUGAAAAUCAACUUUGAAGAUGAGGUGCAAGCAUUGUUGCUGCUGAGUUCCUUGCCUGAUAGUUGGAACACCCUUGUUGUGUCACUUAGCAAUUCAGCUCCGGGUGGGAAGCUGACUUUGGAGAUGGUGAAGAAUAGUAUGCUGAAUGAACAAGCCAGAAAGAAGGAAAAGGGUGAUGCCUCUUCUUCUGAGCCGUAUGUGGCUAAAACUCAUGGGAAGAAUGAGAACCGUGGAUGCAGCAAUACAAGAUUUCAGCAAGGCAAAAGAAAAUCCAGGGGGAGAUCAAAGUCAAAAUAGAGAAAAGAUAUUACUUGCUUUCAUUGUUGCAAUCCGGGACACAUAAAGAGCGAGUGCAGGAAGUACAAAAGAGAGCUUGUAGAGGAGAAACUCACAAGAAAACCGAGCAAAAGGCUGAGAGCAGUUCAGCCAUGACUGCAACAGAUGAGGACUAUCUAGUCAUUGAAGAUGAAGAUUGCUAUAGUGUUGUUCAUGAUGAUGCCAUGAGUUGGAUUGUGGAUUCAGGUGCAUCCUUCCACAUCAAAUCACACAAGGAGUAUUUCACAUAUUACACUAGUGGUGUUACUGGUCAAGUGAGGAUGGGAAAUAGUGGUUCGUCAGCAAUUGUUGGCAAGGGCUCUAUAUGCAUUAAAACAAACACAGAUUGCAGAUUGGUGUUCGAUGAUGUGAGACAUGUUCCCGAUAUAAGGCUGAAUUUGUUGUCAGUGGGCAAGCUUGAUGACAUCAAACAUUCUAGUUAUAUUGGUGAAGGAAAGUGGAAGCUCACCGAAGGCUCUUUGAUUGUGGCUCGAGGAAGUAAGCAAUGUAAUCUCUAUGUGAUUAAAACCAUGUUGUGCAAUGAGAUGUUGAACAUUGCUGAAAAAGAAACUUCACUUGAAUUGUGGCACAAGAGGCUUGGACAUAUGAGUGAGAAGGGCAUGCACGCUCUUGCUCGCAUGGAGUGCCUCCCUGGAUUGAAAGGGAUAUCCUUGAAACCCUAUGCACAUCGUUUUGCUGGCAAACAACAUAGGGUUGCAUUUCGUACACUCCCUCCACAUCGUGCAGAAAAUGUUCUUGAUAUUGUGCACACUGAUGUUUGCUCCAUGACUGAAAAAUCUCAUGGUGGAGCAUUAUACUUUGUGACUUUUAUUGAUGACCAUUCCAGAAAGGUUUUUGUGUAUGUGCUGAAACACAAAUACCAGACGCUUGAAGCCUUCAAGGAGUUUCAUGCCAAAGUUGAAAAAGAAACUGACAGGAAAUUGAAGUGCGUGAGAUUAGACAAUGGUGGUGAAUACCGAGGUCCUUUUGAAAGGUAUUGCAGAAAUUUUGGCAUCAGGCUUGAGAAGAGUCCACCAAAGAUACCUCAGAUCAAUGGUCUUGGAGAGAGAAUGAACAGGACACUCACAGAGAGGAUGACAUCUAUGCUCUCUCAUCCUCACUUACCUAAUUUAUUUUGGGCUGAAGCAUUGAUGAAUUCUAUGUAUGUGGUUAACCUAUCUCCCUCAGUUCCCCUUGCAGGUGAUAUUCCUCAGAGAGUUUGGUCAGGGAAGGAGGUAUCAUACAAGCACUUGAAGGUUUUUGGUUGCAUGGCAUUUGUACAUGUUCCAACGGAUGAGAGAUCCAAGCUUGAUAGCAAGACAAAGUAGUGCAUCUACCUUAGCCAGCCAAGUGAAGAGUUUGGCUCCAUGUUGUGGGAUCUAGCCAAUAUGAAGAUUGUGCGAAGCCAGGAUGUGGUGUUCAUUGAAGAUGAAACAAUAAAAUAUAUUGGGAAACCAAAGAAGCCAAUGAACAACACACCUCAGGUUGACUUGGACCUAGUCCGUCAUCCUCUCAUGAAUGACAAUCAUGGGGGAGAUGCUGACGCUGAUGACAGUGGAGAUGCAACUGAUCAAUGCAGUACAAGUCAAAGUGAUGAGCAGCCAUCAAGUGAUGAUGAUGAUGAAGUUGGUAAUGAUAAUGCCAACAAAAAUCCACCUGAUUCACCACUAGUACAACAGUAAAGAAGAAGUGAAAGAGGUCAAAUUCCUUCUUCUAAGUAUCCACCACAUCAAUAUGUGUUGAUGACAGAUGCAGGUGAGACCUGAUGCUAUGAGGAGGCAAUGUCCGAUGAGAACAAGGAAGAGUGGUCAGAAGCCAUGCAGGAUGAGAUGAAUUCCCUGUAUGAGAAUGAUACUUUUGAGUUGGUGAAUCUGCCAAAGGGCAAGAAAGCACUCAAAAACAAGUGGGUGUACAGAGUGAAGACUGAAGAAAACACCUCACAUCCAAGGUACAAGGCCAGAUUGGUUGUGAAAGGUUUUAGUCAGAAAAAGGGUAUCGAUUAUGGUGAGAUAUUCUCUCCGGUGGUCAAGAUGUCUUCAUCCGAGUUGUGCUUGGCAUGGCUGCUACCAUGGACUUGGAAAUUGAACAACUUGAUGUGAAGACUGCAUUCUUGCAUGGUGACAUAGAGGAGGAGAUAUACAAGGAGCAACCAGAGGGAUUCAUGGUUGCAGGCAAGGAGCACUUAGUUUGCAAAUUGAAGAAGAGCUUGUAUGGCCUGAAACAAGCUCCUCGGCAGUGGUAUAAGAAGUUUGAGUCUUUUAUGAAUGGGCUUGGUUACCAUAAAGCACAGCCUGAUCAUUAUGUCUUUGUGAAGAGGUACGCCGAGGGUGACUUCAUUAUUCUCCUAUUGUAUGUUGAUGAUAUGCUGAUUGUUGGAAAUGGCACAAAGAGGAUUGUUCUCCUUAAAAAGGCAUUGAGUAAAGCAUUUACCAUGAAGGAUUUAGGACCAGCUAAGCAAACACUUGGCAUGAAGAUCUCCCGUGAUAGAUCAAAGAAGCUGCUUUGGCUCUCACGGGAAAGAUACAUUGAGAAGGUACUUGAAAGGUUCAAUAUGAAAGAUGCAAAAUCUGUUAUCUCUCCUCUUGCAGGCCAUCACAAACUGAAUUCUAAACAAUGUCCUACAAGCAAGAAGGAGAAAGAAGAAAUGAGAAAAGUACCUUACCAAUCUGUUGUGGGCAGUUUUAUGUAUGACAUGGUAUGCAUUAGGCCUGACAUUGCCUAUGCAGUUGGAGUUGUUAGCCGGUUCAUGACAAAUCCAGAUAAAGCUCACUAGGAAGCAGUGAAGUGGAUUCUCAUGUAUCUCAAUGAUACUUCUACAUCUAGUUUACGCUUUGGAAGCGGUGAUCCUGUAUUACAGGGCUAUACAGAUACAAAUUAUGCAGGUGACAUGGAUCGUAGGAAGUCCACAUCUGGAUACCUGAUGACUUAUGCAGGGAGAGAAGUGUCAUGGCAAUCAAGAUUGCAGAAACAUGUUUCUACAUCAACUACUGUAGCUGAUUACAUUGCAGCAGUUGAUGCUGGCAAGGAAGUUUUGUGGAUGAAGACCUUCUUGCAAGAGCUUGGCAUGAAGCAAGAGAAGUAUGUUUUGCUUUGUGACAGCCAGAGUGCUAUUCAUCUUGCCAAGAAUUCAAGCUAUCACUCUUGAACAAGCACAUUGAUGUGAGGUACAAUUCCAAGUUGCUGAAACUUGAGAAGAUCCAUACUGAUGACAAUGGUUCAGAUAUGAUGACCAAGAUAGUGCCAAAUGAGAAGCUACAAGCAUGUUGCAAAGUAGCAGGCAUGGCGGUGCCCCCGUCAUGAGUCGGAGGGGGAGAUUUGUUGGUAUAUCCUCCUCAUGUGGGAUGUAAGGAGAUGACCGUUUGAGGCCUUUUUAGGCAGCCCAUAGAGGUGCAGAAGCCCACUACCCAUUAGGGUUAUGACCUAGGGUCAUUUUGAACUUUGCACAUGAGAGGAUGGGGAUGCUUUACCCUUCAUCCAGUAGCCACCACCAGGUGUGACAAAAAUCAGUUCAUCCUUCAAGGGAGAAGAAGAGAGAAAACCAAGAGAGCAAGGGAAGAAGAGGAAGAUUGAAGGAAGAAACAAAGGGAGCUCCUCCCCAAGGUUGUGAUUGUCCAUAUCCACUACCUUGUCUCCGUCAAGAUUUAGUUCCACCAUCUUUGAUGAGAUUGUUCCAAUCCCUAGUUCUUGAGCCCAAAUCUUGUUGUGUUCAUCCAAGAUUCAGAAAUCUUGAUGUAUGAGAUCCUCUAGUGCUGUCUAGAGAAGAACUUGUUAUAUCCCACAUUUGAUAAUAGUGGAAGAGGAUUUGGGUGGCUUCAGCCCAUGGUUUUCCCCCUCAAGUUGGGGGGUUUUCCACGUAAAAUCUGGUGUCUCUCUGUUGAUGCUUGUUGCUGUCCAGGAAAACUUACUCCUACCACAAGACACUAGGCUAAGGAGUGUCUUGCCUGCUGAGUAAUAUUUUCUGCCUCCAUAUAUGCUGCUACAUAUGUUUCCUUCCGUGCUAAGCAACGAUCCUUUAGUUAGUACAUGAUGUGAUGCUGAGAUUAUUUGUUUCCGCUGCAGUUUUCAGUUAACCACAAGUGCGUUUGUGUGCUUAUUCUCAACAGUUUUUGCUCCCACCGUUCAAGUUUGUGCAUGAAUUUUAGGAGGAUUCACCUCGCACAAGAAAACUUUCAGGUUUUCCGCCAAGGUUUGGAGGAGGCAACAUCGUUAAAUUCCCCAAUUUGUUGUUAAUCUAUUUGACUUCUUGGAAGAAAAUCCUAACCUAUAAGCAGAUGAGGAUCUUCUUCACGUAUCGCGUGGAUGCCUGCAGUGCCUCGCCACUUCCAUUAAACGACAAGGUGUCUAUUGGAAGCAACAUGGCAAAUGCAAGGCGGUCAAUGCUCUUGCCCUAUAGCUCCUAGCAAUGUGAUUCGCGCCCUCAACAUCGACGACGAGGUGGUCUUCAAGCAUGAGGCCAAGAUGGCAGCUCUCCUAGGCUUCUACUUUUGGGUUCGUGGGCCGACCCAAGGAGCCCAUCUGGCACUUUGACCUCGACGCUCUGUACUACCAAGGCUACUCGUGUUGACAUGCUAGGUUUGGUGGCCCAUUUUGAUCGUGCGGAGAUAAAGGAUGUGGUGAACCUGCUGGAUCAGUCUGGCGCUCCUAACCCAGAUGGGCAUGGCCCAAUUAUUUAUAAGGUGGCCUAGAGUAUGGUGGCUGGCGGCCCGCAACAGGAAAAUCUUAUGCCAUGCUCAUUGCGGCACAUAGUCAGGGCUUCGAUAGCGAUCUAACCCGAGGGUGAGAGAUGGGCUGGCCCACUUUUUAUAUUUUAGUUUCUUUCUUUUUAUUCGUUCUUUUUUUUUAUCUUUCAUUUUUUGUUUAUUAAUUUUUCUGUUUCUUUUAGAGUCAUUUUUAAUUAUUUUUUCAGUUCAUUUAUUUAAAAAAAAUCAUGUUUAUCAAAAUAAAUGUUGAAAAUUUCAAAAUAUUAUUGUUUUUAUAAAUUGUUCAAAACAUUAGAAACUAAUACUAAUAAGCUAGCAUGAACGCGCCAAGGCGGCCUCUGGGACCCUAGCCGACGGAUUACGGUCGUGAUGAAAAUAAAAGAGAAUGAGUAGCUUGAGUAGGUCAGGACGAUGCAUCUGGUGGGCUAAAUUCCCUUAUCCCGAAAACAUUCUCAAGAAAAAUAUACUGCUGCCAGUUUGGUGGCAGUGCGAACGCUACUGCUGGACUUAUCAUAGCGGUAUAUAUCGCCAACUACCCUUGAAUUUCGUGAAUGAACAUUGCAAUUCAUCACAUGGUACCAUAAAAGAGAUCUCAGUGAAAUCCUUUCGCUCAGGAAAAACAUUAAGCAAAAUUCUAGCCACAAGGUGAGUAAAAAUAAACUAAAUAUUUAUACUAAAUUUCUAUACUUAUUUGCAAACAUUUAGUAAAUGUUAAUAACAGUGUUCUGUAUGCCUACUCUGUAAUGUCUCUAGUUUCAAAAAAUCGCAUGCAUUGUGCUAAAUGUGAACCAUAUAUGUAAUGAGACUUACAUCACAUUGUCUCUUUUUGUUGCCUUAAAAUACAUAUUUCAACCAAAUCCCCAUAAAUGUGAGAAAAAAUAAUAAAACAUAGAAUUGCAUGCUUUAAUGGAUAAUUUGUGAUACUUAAUGAACACACUAUAUAUUUGUCUGUAUAUCGUAAAAUAUCUUGGUAGAGCUCUUUAAAGAGUAUGGUAUCAGAAAUAUCCUGACAAAGUUCUAGUUCAUGAUUAUGUGUAUGUAAAUAUUAAAUGUAGAGUACAUAAAAUGUUUACAAGAUUCUUGUCAGCCGAAUCAUCAGCAUGAUGUUUUACCUAUUUUUUGUGGUCAAAUGUGUCUCGCAUGUUAGGGAGGGUUCAACAAUCUAUAAUAAAAUGUAUAUGCACUAUAUUUUGAAUUGAAAUUGAAUCACUCACAUUUGUGGUUCAUGCCCACUAUAUCACUAGGUCGAGCUGCAUCUCCACCACUUGCAACGACAACAUUGUCGUCGACCAGACCCUCUGUGUCCCUAGGGGUGGCACUAGGCUCUUGAAGGAUUGGUCAGUACUUGCUGCCCGACAUGCCACUGCCGGCACACUUCGCCAACGCCCUUUCCCAGUACAUUAGCAUUCCCGAGCAGGCAACCGAUAACUUGCCGCAGCCAGAGCCGGUUGCCCUCAACAUAGGUGACUAAGGUGCAGCAGCAAGAAUACUGCCGAGAACGCCAUCGGCUCAUGAUUGUCUGACUUGCUUGUCACGGACAAGUGGCUCAGGGUGUAUAUUGUGGUUGAUCAAAGCUUAUGAAGUUUGAUUUUUGAGAAAAUUAAUUGACACUCUACUAUAAAACAGAGGGGGUAACUAAAAAUGCGAGCUCUGCUGACCAGUAUAUAAGAAAAGAAAGCCAUGUAGGAGGCCAUAAGGAACAAAGCAAGAGGUGUAACAAUGCCGUGUCUGACAUGUAUGUUCUCGAACAUACUAGCCAAACCAAGCAGCAAUCUUUUUCUCCGGAAAUAGGCGGCACCAUCAGCAGNNNNNNNNNNNNNNNNNNNNNNNNNNNNNNNNNNNNNNNNNNNNNNNNNNNNNNNNNNNNNNNNNNNNNNNNNNNNNNNNNNNNNNNNNNNNNNNNNNNNNNNNNNNNNNNNNNNNNNNNNNNNNNNNNNNNNNNNNNNNNNNNNNNNNNNNNNNNNNNNNNNNNNNNNNNNNNNNNNNNNNNNNNNNNNNNNNNNNNNNNNNNNNNNNNNNNNNNNNNNNNNNNNNNNNNNNNNNNNNNNNNNNNNNNNNNNNNNNNNNNNNNNNNNNNNNNNNNNNNNNNNNNNNNNNNNNNNNNNNNNNNNNNNNNNNNNNNNNNNNNNNNNNNNNNNNNNNNNNNNNNNNNNNNNNAGGAACGUACAUAGCUCCGCCAUUGACCAUCAGAAGAAUAGGUUACUUACGAAAUCAGAGGAGACAGUCAUCCUGGAAUGAUCAUUUGCAAUGCAUGGAGACUCCCAGAAGCUGAAAGAUACUCCACUGCAGACACAUGGUAAAUAUUUUGGUGUCUUACUCUCCAAUGUACACUAUAGAUGCAAGCAGUCUGUGGAUUAUAUUUCAACUUUGUACACUAUAGAUGCAGACACAGGGUAAAUAUUUUAACAUGGUUAAUAGAAACUGUUGUUGAUUUGUCAAGUUUAUACUUCAACUUUGUACACACAUACUUAUUUGGCAAGCAAUUUUUGGCAAUACUCCAUUGGACUGAAACCGAAGUAGUGUCUUUGUAAAUAGGAAGAAUGAGGAUGUACUACUGCAAUGCAAGCAAUUCUGCCCCAUUCAAAGUCUGAUUCAACUCUGAACACACAUACUAUUUCACAGGAAAGUCUGUCAUAAAAGACACAUUGGAGCAACAGAGCAUCCUUCAGACACUAUAAUGGUAGCAAAUGUGCAAUCUGUUUGUUUGGUUGUUCAUCAGUCAUCAUCACUGUGCUAGUGAUUACGACCUCAGUAAUACUCCAAAAAUGCAAUCAAGUAGAAGAUUAAUUCUUGCUGCAAGAGAAAUAAAGUUAGUGCAAAUUUCGGAGCUAUGUGGUACAUAACGGUGUAGUAGUUCAGUCUACAGGGGAGCAAGAACAGUAAUAGCAAAGGGAACGACAAUUAGUUAACUGAAUCAUUGUAUUUUCUGAAGAGAGAUUGGGAUUUGGGAAUGUGCUAUUUGGAACUGUAUGCACUAAAUCUAUAAGGAAAAGAAAAGAAAAAGGCAAGGCAGGAGGCCAGAAGGAACAAAGCAGGGGCUCCUACCAUCGUUCAGAUAGAAUGAUGUUUCUGUCAUGGAUGUCCAUGGACUUAGUUCAGAGUUCAGACAAACAAGUUCAUGUAUGUCCCCCGGAGUGCUCAUGAGCGGCGACAUCCAAGAUGUUUGGGUUGAGGCACCAGAUGUGAGCCAGACAGCAACCACACUUGAGACAAACUGAAGCAAGUUCAUGUCAGUCUGGCAUUGGAGCUUCCUUGUGCUGGUACUGAAUUGCCUAGGAUGUACUCCCUCCGUUCCAAAUUACUCGUCGCUGAAAUGGAUGUAUCUAGAACUAUUAUACGUGAGACAAGUAAUUCGGAAUGGAGGGAGUAUAUGCAUUAGACUGAAUCUGAAGAAAAUGUCUCCAUAGAUUACUAGUAGGAAGGAUGUACUACUGCAAUGCAAGCAAAUCUUGCACCCGUUUCAUAGGAAAGUCUGACAUAAAAAAUGUUGUUGAUUUGUCAAGUUUAUAGAUAUCUCAACUCUAACACACACACUUCACAGGAAAGUCUGACAUAAAAGAAAGGCAGAUUGGAGUAGCAGACAUUGGAUUCGUAUAUGGCAAAAUGUGAAACCGAUUGUUUGGUUGGUUGGUUGUUUACAAUUACUCUCUGUGCCAGGGAUUUCGAAAAUAGAUAAUACUCCAAAAAUGCAAUUAGGUACACGAUUAAUUCUUGGAAAAAGAAACGAAAUUCAGAGCCAGGUGGUACAUAAUGGUAUUGGAGUUCAGUCUACAGGGAGCAGCAGCAAAGGGAACGACGACGAUUAAUUAACAGAGAAGAGAACGGCGGAAAGCAAAAGCAGGAAGCAUCACUAGGCGGCGGUCUCCUCGGCGGCGGCGGCGGCGGAUUCUUGGCCGGACUGAGACUCGAGGGGCGGGAGGAGCUGGGCCUUGCGGCGGGUGUCGCGGGGCGGGACGGGGACGGCGAGGAAGUGCUUGGUCUUGGAGAUGGGGCGGGAGCGGACGAGCUCGACGACGUCGCCGACCUUGAACUGGUUGUCGGGGUCGUGCGCCUGGUACUUCUUCUUGAUCUUCUCCCGGCGGUGGUACUUUGGGUGCUGCCUCAGCCGCGCCACCUCCACCCCCACCGUCUUGUUCGCCUUGGUCGUCACCACCCGCCCCGUCAGCUGCUUCGCCGCCUCGAUCCGCAGCACCAUCCCCGCCGCCGCCGGCCGCGCCCCCGCCCCCGCAUUGGGGCUCGCCGAGAGGUGGAGCUGGGUGAACGGCGACGCGAAGGAGGAGCCCAGCAGCAUCUUCUUCGUCUUCCUUCUCUCGCUCUCGCUCGAAGGUGGAGGUGGGAUUGGGAAUGGGAUAGGAUAAAGAUAAGGUUUUUUUGCUCGGGGUUUCUUUCCAGGAGCAGGCCUCCUGCUCUGCUCCGCCGGACUACUUAUAUUUGGGCCUCGAGUACACGUGGCUUUUCACAAGACAGAAUUGAGAAGACAGUUCUAAACAAGAGUAAUUUUCUUGAGAGGUCAAACCGGUAAUUUUCUUGCAAUGCAAUCUCUUAACUGGGAAAAAAAUCAGCUAAAAAGAGGAAAAUAUUUGUGCUACAAGAGAGUAUUAUUUUGAGAGGUUAACCCAUUUCUUUUAGGGCAACAGAGGACCCUGUUGUGGACUUUAUUGAUAUUUUCAAAAGUAAUUCGUACCAAAGAAAGAUGGCUAAGAGAGUCAUCAAACUAAAACACAAGAAAGAAAAACAGAGAAUACUAGGCAAGCUAUGUGACUUUUGGUCGAACCCUCUCUUAAGAAACCAAAGACACCCUAUAUAUCCAGAACAUAAGUCAGACUUGACGCAUGAGCUAUGUCGACAUCUUAUUAUUAUUAUUAGGAGAAAACAAUCUAUUCAUCAACUGAGAAGGUAGUACAAAAAACACUAUAUAAUAUAGGAAAGCCGGCGAACCUUCGAAAAACCAAUUAAACUGAGUACAAGUUUGAUGAAGGUUAGCCUCUCUUUUCCUAGUCCAUCUCAUAAGGCACUAAUACUUCAAACAAACCUCCUUGUCUCGUGGUAUCGUGCUUGUCCAUAACAAGAAGGGGCCAGCAACGACAAUUUUUACCUCGCCAUCACCGAUGGCACAUCUAUAUCGAGUUCCUGACUUAUGUUGCAAUGUUUGGGCGUGAAGCAUACACGACCUUGUGCAGUGCUAUCAUCAGAUUCGGAGUAGGUCUGGACGACAACUUCCAGGGUUCCUUUAGCUUCAUAGAAGCAUCUCACCUUGAUAGGUGAUGGUAACCAUGUCCAGCCUGCAGGCAUUUCACCAUCUCUUCAAUCGAACACAUAAGGCUACUUUGAUGAGGAGUUAGUAAUGCAAGUUAUUACACCAUUGAUGACCGCAGGCGUCUAUGAUCGUGAGGAGCCAGCAACUCGACUGCUAUAUUCAAAAAUCGAUGGCUUAUCUUUGACGAUCUCAAUGCUCAACUCAAUAUAAAGGCAUGCACAAUUUUCCAACUUUCUUCGGGUUUAAGUUCUUGAUGCAGAACCAGCUCUUAAAGAAAAUGGUAGAUAAACAAAGAGCACCAUGUCCCCCGCUGUAAUGCAACGUGGCGUUGAUCAAUGCCCGAUCUCGACACUUUGUUCUACCUUUGCCCAUCAGCCGAAUCUCAAAGUCCAACAAUGUCAACAGACACAAUCUCACGUGGGUGGGACAAUUUGACUUAGAAAAGGAUCCUGCAAGCGAAAGUACUACACAAGCAGCAAAAUAGGUACAAACCUACACGAAGUAAACGACACAUGCAUGUUAAACAAGAUGGAGUGAGGUAACUAAGCACUAGUGAGGGGAUAACCACUCACUCAUGUUAGUGAAAAAGCCGCUGGAUUGGCGCCAUAGAAAUUACCAGCCAAGGCGGUACAAACUAAAUUGCCCGAUACAAACACGUGUAUCGAUAUCGGGCCGAUACAGAUACGUAAAUAGUGGACAAUGCAGUGUCCUGGGGGGGAUUGAGGAGAGCAAUGCACUUGUCUUUGAGAUCUAACUGGACGGCUACAUGUUGUUAUCUAUGUUGGCUUCGAUGGCUGCAAACUCACACCAAUCAAGUACCCUCGAUUAAUUCAGAGAAGUGUCAUGGCUGUUAGAUGGCUUUCUGACAUCUCAUAGCGAGCAGGGGCUUCCAAAGUUGGAGUGUUCAUGAUCUGAGAUGGAUGAAGCUGAGAAAGGGUUUGUCAAAGUCAACGUAGAUGCAUCAUUUCAAUUAUUAGAGAGGAUUCUUCGUGGCGGCUACAUGCUCUAUAUUACCCUUUGUAGCAGAUGUUACUACCGCCGUGGCGGAUCCAGAAAUUCAACUUUGGGUGUUCAAAUUUUUUCCACCCAAACACAAAUUGCCCCAUUCAGUUGGGGAUCAGAAAUGACCGCAUCUAGUUCAAAAUCAAUCAAAGCAAUGAGACAAUCAGACCCACACUCCAUACAUGAGCCACUUUUGCCCAUGAACUAUAUAUAGAUUUUGUCAUACGAUUUCCUAUGUUCAAGUAAUAAGCAAUUCACAAUGUCGAGUAUGGUUCACAAACUUCAUUGGGAACUAACAAACGAUAAUCUUAGUCACUGAAGCAAUUGCAAUUUAUCGUAACAUCAGAAAGAGUCAAUAAUAGAGCUUUUAAGCAAGCUCACAUACUCAACUAUCUCGUAGUCUCCUAUAAUUGUUAACACUCACGCAAUACUUGUGGUUGUAGAGUUUCAGCCGGACACUAAGAAAGAUAGGGGCUUAUUGUGUUGCCUCCCAACGUAUUCACCUUUAGGUGAUGUCAACAAUAAUAGCCUAUGCCAACUUACAUCCAAUUGGAUAUAUGUAUCAUGAUCUUUCAAACACGAGGAGCUUGCCAAAGGAUAAAAUGAAAAAGGGAAAGGUGAGGAUCACCUUGACUCAAGCAUAAAGUAAAAACAUAAAGUAAAAGAUAGGCCCUUCGCAGAGGGAAGCAGAGGUUGUCAUGCGCGUUUAGGGUUGAUGCACAAAAUCUUAAUUCAAAAGGACGUCACUUUAUAUUGCCCCUUGUAUGUGGACCUUUAUUAUGCAGUCCGUCGCUUUUAUUACUUCCACAACAAGUUCGUACAAAGCUUAUUUUCUCUGCACUAAUAAGUCAUGCAUAUUUAGAGAGCAAUUUUUAUUGCUUUCACCGAUGACAACUUACUUGAAGGAUCUUACUCAAUCCAUAGGUAGGUAUGGUGGACUCUCAUGGCAAACUGGGUUUAAGGAUAUUUGGAAGCACAAGUAGUAUCUCUACUUGGUGCAAGGAAUUUGGCUAGCAAGAGGGGGGAAAUGCAAGCUCAACAUGUUUGGAAUGUCAAUGACAAUAUACUUUAAUUGAGAUGUCGGAAAACAUAAACCAUUACGUUGUCUUCCUUGUCCAACAUCAACUCUUUUAGCAUGUCAUACUUAAUGAUUGCUUCACAAUCAUAAAAGAUGUCCAAGAUAAUAUAUUUAUAUGUGAACCCCUCUUUCCUUAUCACUUCCUAUUAAUUGCAACGAUGACCAAGGCUACGUUCAUCAACUCUCAACAAUUUUUAUGCCUCAUACUUUCUAUGUGUGAAGUUAUCACUAUCCAUAAGAUCAAUAUGAACUCUUUUGUUCUUUCUAAUUUCUCAAGAUCAUAGCAACAUAGCAAAGUCCUUGACUCAACACUAAUCUUUAUUAUAGAUAGCACACGGACUCGAUUACAUAGAGAAAUCACAAUGCAGAACUCAAAACUACUUGAUAUCAAAACUUCAAACUACUAGAUCAAAAUACUACUAAAAGGAUCGAACUAAAUAAAGCGGUAAAGAUAGGAGUGUGAUGGUGAUACGAUACCGGGGCACCUCCCCCAAGCUUGGCAGUUGCCAAGGGGAGUGCCCAUACCCAUGUGAUUAUUUCCUCGGAGGUGAUGGAGGUGGUGAUGAUGACGGUGGAUAAUCGCACAUCGAGCGUAAAAGCUCCUCUAACUUGCGGAUAAUGCCCUUGAGCCUAGCAAUAUGAUCCUUCUGUUGGGGAACGUUGCAGAAACAACUUCUGGCUAUAUCACAUCACAUGAUCAAUCGCUGCAAAAACAAGUUAGACGUCCUCUAAUUGUUGUUGCAUCUUUUACGUGGCUGCGAUUGGUUCUAGCAAGAACGUUUUCUUACCUACGAAUCACCACAACGUGAUUUUGUCAACUUCUAUUUACCCUUCAUAAGGGCCUUGUUCAUCGAAUCCGCUCCAACUAAAGUGGGAGAGACAGAUACCCGCCAGCCACCUUAUGCAACUAGUGCAUGUCAAUCGGUGGAACCGGUCUCACGUAAGCGUACGUGUAAGGUUGGUCCGGGCCGCUUCAUCCCACAAUACCGUUGAAGCAAGAAAAGACUAGUAGAGGCAAGUAAGUUGACAAGAUCAACGCCCACAAUAAAUUGUGUUUUACUCGUGCAUUAGAGAACUACGCAUAGACCUAGCUCAUGAUGCCACUGUUGGGGAACGUUGCAGAAAAUAAAAAAAUUUCCUACGGUUUCACCAAGAUCCAUCUAUGAGUUCAUCUAAGCAACGAGUCAUGGGAGAGAGUUUGCAUCUACAUACCACUUGUAGAUUGCGUGCGGAAGCUUGCAAGGUGAUAAUGUAGUCGUACUCGACGUGAUUCGAAUCACCGAUGAUCAAGUGCUGAACGGACAGCACCUCCGCGUUCAACACACGUACGGUACGGGUGACGUCUCCUCCGUCUUGAUCCAGCAAGGAGGAAGGAGAGGUUGAGGAAGACAGCUCCACCGGCAGCACGACGGCGUGGUGAUGGUGGAGAAGCGGUACUCCGACAGGGCUGCGCCGAGCACACAACGAAGGAGGAGAGGUGCUGGGGAGGGGAGGGCUGCGCCUUGGCUUGUGGUGCGGCUGCCGUCCCCUCACCCCUCUAUUUAUAGGGGGAAGGGAGAAGGGGGCCGGCCCCUCUAGAUCCAUCUAGAGGGGGGGCGGCGGCCAAGGGGAGGGGGGACUUGCCCCCCAAGCAAGGGGGGGCGCCCCCUCUAGGGUUCCCCCUCAACCCUAGGCGCAAGGGCCCAAGGGAGGGGGUGCGCCAAGCCCACCAGGGGCUGGCCAACUCCCCAUGCAGCCCAAGUGCCCCCCCCGGGAGGGGUGGCCCCUCCCGGUGGACCCCCGGAGCCCUUCCGGUGGCCCCGGUACAAUACCGGUAUGCCCCCCGAAACUUUCCGGUGUCCUUUUAACAGCUUCCCAUAUAUAAAUCUUUACCUCCGGACCCUUCCGGAACUCCUCGUGACAUCCGGGAUCUCAUCCGGGACUCCGAACAACAUUCGGUAGUCACAUACUAGUCUUCCUAAUAACCCUAGCGUCACCGAACCUUAAGUGUGUAGACCCUACGGGUUCGGGAGACAUGCAGACAUGACCGAGACGACUCUCGGGCAAUAACCAACAGCGGGGUCUGGAUACCCAUGUUGGCUCCCACAUGCUUCUCGAUGAUUUCAUCGGUUGAACCGAUGUCGAGGAUUCGAUCAAACCCUGUAUGCAAUUCCCUUUGUCAAUCGGUACGUUACUUGCCCGAGACUCGAUCGUCGGUAUCCCAAUACCUUGUUCAGUCUCGUUACCGGCAAGUCACUUUACUCGUACCGUAAUGCAUGAUCCCGUGGCCAACACCUUGGUCACCUUGAGCUCAUUAUGAUGAUGCAUUACCGAGUGGGCCCAGAGAUACCUCUCCGUCGUACGGAGUGACAAAUCCCAGUCUCGAUCCGUGUCAACCCAACAGAUACUUUCGGAGAUACCUGUAAUGCACAUUUAUAGUCACCCAGUUACGUUGUGACGUUUGAUACACCCAAGGAACUCCUACAGUAUCCGGGAGUUACACGAUCUCAUGGUCGAAGGAAGAGAUACUUGACAUUGGCAAAGCUCUAGCAAACAAACUACACGAUCUUUUAUGCUAUGCUCAGGAUUGGGUCUUGUCCAUCACAUCAUUCUCCUAAUGAUGUGAUCCCGUUAGCAACGACAUCCAAUGUCCAUAGUCAGGAAACCAUGACUAUCUGUUGAUCACAACGAGCUAGUCAACUAGAGGCUCACUAGGGACAUAUUGUGGUCUAAGUGUUCACACGUGUAUUACGAUUUCCGGAUAAUACAGUUAUACCAUGAACAUAAGACAAUUAUCAUGAACAAUGAAAUGUAAUAAUACUUUUAUUAUUGCCUCUAGGGCAUAUUUCCAACAGUCUCCCACUUGCACUAGAGUCACUAAUCUAGUUACAUUGUGAUGAAUCGAACACCCAUAGAGUUCUGGUGUUGAUCAUGUUUUGCACGCGAGAGAGGUUUAGUCAACGGAUCUGCGACAUUCAGAUCCGUGUGCACUUUGCAAAUCUCUAUGUCUCCAUCUUGAACAUUUUCACGGAUGGAGUUGAAACGACGCUUGAUGUGCCUGGUCUUCUUGUGAAACCUGGGCUCCUUGGCAAGGGCAAUAGCUCCAGUGUUGUCAUAGAAGAGUUUGAUCGGCCCCGACGCAUUGGGUAUGACUCCUAGGUCGGUGAUGAACUCCUUCACCCAAAUCGCUUCAUGCGCUGCCUCCGAGGCUGCCAUGUACUCCGCUUCACACGUAGAUCCCGCCACGACGCUCUGCUUGCAGCUGCACCAGCUUACUGCUCCACCAUUCAACAUAUACACGUAUCCGAUUUGUGACUUAGAGUCAUCCAGAUCAGAGUCGAAGCUAGCGUCGACGUAACCCUUUACGACAAGCUCUUCGUCUCCUCCAUAAACGAGAAACAUGUCCUUUGUCCUUUUCAGGUACUUCAGGAUAUUCUUGACCGCUGUCCAGUGAUCCUUGCCGGGAUUACUUUGUUAUCUUGCAACCAAACUGACGGGAAGGUUUACAUCGGGUCUGGUACACAGCAUGGCAUACAUAAUAGAUCCUAUGGCUGAAGCAUAGGGGAUGACACUCAUCUCUUCUUUAUCUUUUGCCGUGGUCAGUGAAUGAGUUGAGCUCAAUCUCACACCUUGUAACAUAGGCAAGAACCCUUUCUUGGAUUGAUCCAUUUUGAACCUUUUCAAAAUCUUAUCAAGGUAUGUGCUUUGUGAAAGACCUAUGAGGCGUCUCGAUCUAUCUCUAUAGAUCUUGAUGCCUAAUAUAUAAGCAGCUUCUCCAAGGUCCUUCAUUGAAAAACACUUAUUCAAGUAGGCGUUAAUGCUGUCCAGAAGUUUUGUAUCAUUUCCCAGCAAGAGUAUGUCAUCUACAUAUAAUAGGAGAAAUGCUACAGAGCUCCCACUCACUUUCUUGUAAACGCAGGCUUCUCCAUAAGUCUGCAUAAACCCAAACGCUUUGAUCAUCGCAUCAAAGUGAAUGUUCCAACUCCGAGAUGCUUGCACCAGUCCAUAAAUGGAUCGCUGGAGCUUGCAUACUUUGUUAGCGUUCUUAGGAUCGACAAAACCUUCCGGCUGCAUCAUAUACAGCUCUUCCUUAAGAUGUCCGUUAAGGAAUGCUGUUUUGACGUCCAUCUGCCAUAUCUCAUAAUCAUAGUAUGCGGCAAUUUCUAACAUGAUUCGGACGGACUUCAGCUUCGCUACGGGAGAGAAUGUCUCGUCGUAGUCAAUCCCUUGAAUUUGUCGAUAACCCUUAGCGACAAGUCAAGCCUUAUAAAUGGUAACAUUACCAUCCGCGUCCGUCUUCUUCUUAAAAAUCCAUUUGUUUUCUAUCGCUCGCCGAUCAUCGGCCAAGUCUGUCAAAGUCCAUACUUUGUUUUCAUACAUGGAUUCUAUCUCGGAUUUCAUGGCUUCAAGCCAUUUGUUGGAAUCCGGGCCCGCCAUCGCUUCUUCAUAGUUCGAAGGUUCACCGUUGUCUAACAACAUGAUUUCCAGGACAGGGUUGCCGUACCACUCUGGUGCGGAACGUGUCCUUGUGGACCUACGAAGUUCAGUAGCAACUUGAUCCGAAGUACCCUGAUCAUCAUCAUUGUUUUCCUCUUCAGUUGGUGUAGGCAUCACAAGAACGGUUUCCUGCGCUGCACCACUUUCCCGUUCGAGAGGUAGUACUUCAUCAAGUUCUACUUUCCUCCCACUUACUUCUUUCGAGAGAAACUCUUUUUCCAGAAAGCAUCCGUUCUUGGCAACAAAGAUCUUGCCUUCGGAUCUUAAGUAGAAGGUAUACCCGACAGUUUCCUUAGGGUAUCCUAUGAAUACGCAUUUUUCCGACUUGGGUUCGAGCUUUUCAGGUUGAAGUUUCUUGACAUAAGCAUCGCAUCCCCAAACUUUUAGAAACGACAGCUUAGGUUUCUUUCCAAACCAUAAUUCUUACGGUGUCGUCUCAACGGAUUUAGACGGUGCCCUAUUUAAAGUGAAUGUAGCUGUCUCUAGAGCGUAUCCCCAAAAUGACAGCGGUAAAUCGGUAAGAGACAUCAUAGACCGCACCAUAUCCAAUAGAGUGCGAUUACGACGUUCAGACACACCGUUUCGCUGAGGUGUUCCAGGCGGCGUGAGUUGUGAAACGAUUCCACAUUUCCUUAAGUGUGUACCAAAUUCGUGACUCAAGUAUUCUCCUCCACGAUCUGAUCGCAGGAACUUUAUCUUUCGGUCACGUUGAUUCUCCACCUCAUUCUGAAAUUCCUUGAACUUUUCAAAGGGCUCAGACUUGUGUUUCAUUAAGUAGACAUACCCAUAUCUACUCAAGUCAUCGGUGAGGGUGAGAACAUAACGGUAUCCUCCGCGAGCCUCAAUGCUCAUUGGACCGCAUACAUCGGUAUGUAUGAUUUCCAACAAGUGGGUUGCUCGCUCCAUUGUUCCGGAGAACGGAGUCUUGGUCAUUUUGCCCAAAAGGCAUGGUUCGCAUGUGUCAAACGAUUCAUAAUCAAGAGACUCUAAAAGUCCAUCAGCAUAGAGCUUCUUCAUGCGCUUGACACCAAUGUGACCAAGGCGGCAGUGCCACAAGUAUGUGGGACUAUCGUUAUCAACAUUACAUCUUUUGGCAUCCACACUGAGAACAUGUGUAAUAUUACGCUCGAGAUUCAUUAAGAAUAAACCAUUGACCAUCGGAGCAUGACCAUAAAACAUAUCUAUCAUAUAAAUCGAACAACCAUUAUUCUCAGACUUAAAUGAGUAGCCAUCUCGUAUCAAACGAGAUCCAGAUACAAUGUUCAUGCUCAAACUUGGCACUAAAUAACAAUUAUUAAGGUUCAAAACUAAUCACGUGGGUAAAUGUAGAGGCAGCGUGCCGACGGCGAUCACAUCGACUCUAGAACCAUUCCCGACGCGCAUCGUCACCUCGUCCUUCGCCAGUCUCCGUUUAUUCCGCAGCUCCUGCUGUGAGUUACUAAUGUGAGCAACGGCACUGGUAUCAAAUACCCAGGAGUUACUACGAGUACUGGUAAGGUACACAUCAAUUACAUGUAUAUCAAAUAUACCUUUGGUGUUGCCGGCCUUCUUAUCCGCUAAGUAUUUGAGGAAGUUCCGCUUCCAGUGACCCUUCCCCUUGCAAUAAAAGCACUCAGUCUCAGGCUUGGGUCCAUUCUUUGACUUCUUCCCGGCAACUGGCUUACCGGGCGCGGCAACAUCUUUGCCGUCCUUCUUGAAGUUCUUCUUCCCCUUGCCCUUCUUGAACUUAGUGGUCUUAUUGACCAUCAACACUUGAUGUUCUUUCUUGAUUUCAGCCUCUGCUGACUUCAGCAUCGAGAACACUUCAGGAAUGGUCUUCACCAUCCCCUGCAUGUUGUAGUUCAUCACAAAGCUCUUGUAGCUUGGUGGGAGCGACUGGAGGAUUCUGUCAAUGCCGCCUCAUCUGGGAGGUUAAUGUUCAGCUGGGUCAUACGGUUGUGCAACCCAGACAUCUUCAGGAUGUGCUCACUGACAGAACUAUUUUCCUCCAUCUUACAACUAUAGAACUUGUCGGAGACAUCAUAUCUCUCGACCCGGGCGUGAGCUUGGAAAACUAGUUUCAGCUCUUCGAACAUCUCAUAUGCUCCGUGAUGCUCAAAACGCUUUUGGAGCCCCGGUUCUAAGCUGUAAAGCAUGCCGCACUGAACGAGGGAGUAAUCAUCAACACGUGUCUGCCAAACGUUCAAAUCGUCUUGCAGUGCUGGGAGAACAGGUGGGUCACCUAACGGUGCUUCUAGGACAUAUUGUUUCUUGGCAGCUAUGAGGAUGAUCCUCAGGUUCCGAACCCAGUCCGUAUAGUUGCUGCCAUCAUCUUUCAGCUUGGUUUUCUCUAGGAACGCGUUGAAGUUCAUGUUGACAUGAGCGUUGGCCAUUUGAUCUACAAGACAUAUUUGCAAAGGUUUUAGACUAAGUUCAUGAUAAUAAAGUUCUAAUCAAAAUUAUGAACUCCCACUUAGAUUAGACAUCCCUCUAGUCAUCUAAGUGUUACACGAUCCGAGUCGACUAGCCCAUGUCCGAUCAUCACGUGAGACAGACUAGUCAUCGUCGGUGAACAUCUUCAUGUUGAUCGUAUCUUCCAUACGACUCGUGUUCGACCUUUCGGUCUCCGUGUUCCGAGGCCAUGUCUGUACAUGCUAGGCUCGUCAAGUUACCCCUAAGUGUUUUCGCUGUGUAAAACUGUCUUACACCCGUUGUAUGUGAACGUAAGAAUCCAUCACACCCGAUCAUCACGUGGUGCUCAGAAGCGACGAACUGUAGCAACGGUGCACAGUUAGGGGAGAACACUUCUUGAGAUUGGAUCAUCUUAUUUACUACCGUCGUCCUAAGUAAACAAGAUGCAUAAACAUAAUAAACAUCACAUGCAAUUAUAUAGUUGUGACAUGAUAUGGCCAAUAUCAUAAAGCUCCAUUGAUCUCCAUCUUCGGGGCUCCACGAUCAUCUUGUCACCGGCUUGACACCAUGAUCUCCAUCAUCAUGAUCUCCAUCAUCGUGUCUUCAUGAAGUUGUCACGCCAACGACUACUUCUACUUCUAUGACUAACGCGUUUAGCAAUAAAGUAAAGUAGUUUACAUGGCGUUCUUCAAUGACUCGCAGGUCAUACAAAAAAUAAAGACAACUCCUAUGGCUCCUGCCGGUUGUCAUACUCAUCGACAUGCAAGUCGUGAAUCCUAUUACAAGAACAUGAUCUCAUACAUCACAAUUCAUCAUUCAUCACAACUUCUGGCUAUAUCACAUCACAUGAUCAAUCGCUGCAAAAACAAGUUAGACGUCCUCUAAUUGUUGUUGCCUCUUUUACGUGGCUGCGAUUGGUUCUAGCAAGAACGUUUUCUUACCUACGAAUCACCACAACGUGAUUUUGUCAACUUCUAUUUACCCUUCAUAAGGGCCUUGUUCAUCGAAUCCGCUCCAACUAAAGUGGGAGAGACAGACACCCACCAGCCACCUUAUGCAACUAGUGCAUGUCAAUCGGUGGAACCGGUCUCACGUAAGCGUACGUGUAAGGUUGGUCCGGGCCGCUUCAUCCCACAAUACCGUUGAAGCAAGAAAAGACUAGUAGAGGCAAGUAAGUUGACAAGAUCAACGCCCACAACAAAUUGUGUUUUACUCGUGCAUUAGAGAACUACGCAUAGACCUAGCUCAUGAUGCCACUGUUGGGGAACGUUGCAGAAAAUAAAAAAAAAUUCUACGGUUUCACCAAGAUCCAUCUAUGAGUUCAUCUAAGCAACGAGUCAUGGGAGAGAGUUUGCAUCUACAUACCACUUGUAGAUUGCGUGCGGAAGCUUGCAAGGUGAUGAUGUAGUCGUACUCGACGUGAUUCGAAUCACCGAUGAUCAAGUGCUGAACGGACAGCACCUCCGCGUUCAACACACGUACGGUACGGGUGACGUCUCCUCCGUCUUGAUCCAGCAAGGAGGAAGGAGAGGUUGAGGAAGACAGCUCCACCGGUAGCACGACGGCGUGGUGAUGGUGGAGAAGCGGUAGUCCGACAGGGCUUCGCCGAGCACACAACGACGGAGGAGGAGAGGUGUUGGGGAGGGGAGGGCUGCGCCUUGGCUUGUGGUGCGGCUGCCCUCCCCUCACCCCUCUAUUUAUAGGGGGAAGCACUACUAGGGAAAAGGCUAUACACAAAAUCUUAGCAGCAGCGCGGUUCAAAAAAACAGCGCUAGUGCUAUUUAGCAGUAGCGAGCUACUAGAAACCGCGCUACAGGCACAAACUUAGCAGUAGCGCCUGUUGACCAAAAAGCGCUACUACUAAUAUUCCCAUUGGUAGAAUGCUAGGCUACGCAUAGCAGUAGCGAUCUUAGAAGGAACGCGCUACUGCUACAUCACAGUUAGCAGCGCGUUUCUGUGGAAGAGCGCUACUACUAACAAAAAUAAAAUAAGAUGAUAAACAAAUAGAAAUUUAAAUGAAAAUGAAAUAAAUAGAAAAAGAAGAAAGGGAAAAAUAAAAUGUAAAGCAAAAUAAACGAAAAAGUGAAAAAUCGGAGGAAGGCAUAGCAGCAGCGUUUGUUUGUAAGAGGCGCUAUAGCUAACGUAGCUGCAGCGCGUGCCCUAGACCCCCGCUAUAGAAACAGAAUAGGAAAUUAGCUAUAGCAGCAUUGCGUUUUGGGGAAAGCGCUAUAGCUAACUUAGCUAUAGCGCGUUUUGCGAAACGCGCUACCGCUAAGUUUGACUUAGCCAAAAAACCGUUUCCCCCGCCCCGGCCACCACUUCCCCCAAAUCCCUCAAACCCCACCCCGCGCGCGCCGCCGUCUUCCCGAUUCGUCGCCCCACACUUCGCCGCCGCCGCCGACGCGCGCCACCAGAGCCGUGCGCCGUCGACGACACCGGAGCCGCCCCAACGCCACGGAGCCGCGCGGCCUCGUCAACGCCACCGGAGCCGCCGUCGACGCCACCUUCCUCGCCGUCACCGGAGACGCCCCUGCCUCCCUCGCCGUCACCGGAGACGCCUCUGCCUCCCUCGCCACCACACUGCCUCCGUCGCCACCACCGGAGCCAUCAUCUGUAAGCCCCACCCCUCCUCUCUCUCUCAUGCAUAGGUUAGCCAGUUUUUAAUUAGGUUAAUUAUCUAGGUUUUAGGGCAAAAAUUUAGUUAGGGCAUUGACAGAGAAGUAGUUAGGUUAACUAGUUUAAUUAGGUUAAUUAUCUAGGUUAGUGCAAAAACUUAGUUAGGGCUAUGACAGAGAACUAGUCAGGUUAACUAGUUUAAUUAGGUUAAUUAUCCAUGUUAAUUAGUGCAGAAAUUUAUUUUAGGCUUUGCCAGAGAACUAGCUGCGUUAACUAGUUUAAUUAGGGUUAAUUAUCUAGGUAAACAAGAUUAACCAACUAGGUUAAAUAGGUAGGUUAAUUAGGUUCGUUGGAUUAAGAAGCUAGGUUAAGUAGAUUGGCAAAGGUUUUUGAUUUUUCAGAAGACCACUAUUUUUCAAGGAAAAGAAUUUAGGCAAAUUUUAUUUUUCAUUGAAGUGGUCAUGUCAUAUCUUUUCAUUGAAGUUGUUCGAUUGUGCCCAAGUGGUGGCUUUGUUGUUUCCAGGGAAUGAUGCUGAGUGGCCUAUGUUUUGCCGGAAUGUUGAUUCAUUUCUGUUCCGGCAAAUUUCAGGUUCUCGAUUUGUCCACUUUUUAGCAAAGGUCAUGCCGAAAUUUCCCGUGAAUUUCGGCAUGACUUGUGCUACAAACUAGGACAUAUCGAGUGCCCGGGAUUUGCCGCACCAAGAAGGAGUCAACAUUCCUGCAAAACAAUAGUCCUUUUUUAUGUCAUUAUUCAUUUUAUUAGGUCUAGAAUUAAUUGACUAGAUUUAAUCAUAGGAAACAUGGCUAGCAACGAUGAAGGACAGGGUUCUGGUGAUUGCGACGACGUCUACCGGGCGGCAGACGAAUUUUUUAGCUUUACCAACGAUCAACAGAUGUUGUUGCUGGGCCCGGCAUCGGGGACUGAGACCGACACGCAGACCGGUGCUGAGACCGAUACGCAGACCGGUGCUGAGACUGACACCGUCGCUGAGAUUCAGACCGGCAUCGAGACCAGCGCUGAGACCGGUGCUGCCUCGGGGAGCGGAUCCGGUGUAGCACCGAAAGCGAAGAGGCAACGGGUUCCUAACAAACUCAGGACUACUACACUGGUGGUCACGGAGGUGGACAACGGCAAUUUUGAGCCAAAGGCACCCGAGGAAGCGCGCGCGUGCUACGGCAAUCAAAUAGGCUGCAUCAUACGGACAACCGCCACCAUCAACGAUGAGAAUCUAAAGAAGAUAGAAAAUAUGAGGAGCUCCCUCCUAAAGAAGUUUCACCAGAUAUUCUUGUUCCCGGGCCGGAAUGAGAAGGAUUAUGAAGAUCCAGACAAUGACCCGGCAAUGAAGAAGAUAAACAAACACGCCAUGACCAAGUUUAGCAACGCGUUGGCCGCCUGGAAAAAUCGAGUGAAAGCAAAGAUCAACGACGGGGAACCCUACUCCGAGAUUGUAAAGGAAAGUCCGACAAUCACGGAAGAGCAGUUUCAAAUAUUCAAGGAGGCUUGCGAGGCCGAAGCUGCCAAAGAAAAGUCUAAGUACAUGAAGGGGCUUCAAAAGAGGAACAUUGGGACCCACCACCUCGGAAGCCGUGGUUACAGCGGAAAGAGGUCCAAAUGGGCCAAGGAGGACGCGGAAGCCGCGAGUCUGGGCAUCCCAGACCCCUUGGCGGAUUUCACCGUCCCGCAGGAGCGUGACGUCCUGAGGGCCCGCCACCGUUGGGACCCACUGAAGAAGGUUUAUGAGACAACACCGGUCAUUACGGAGUUCAUGAGACUACUGGUAAUUUUAGUUUCUGAUCAAUUCGACUGCACACGUUAGUCAUAUUUGUAAACGAUCCUUGUGCCUUUUGCAGAGAGAGCAACGCCGGAUUGCGGCCGAAAGCGACUCGCCGUCUGAGGCAUUGGCGAGGCCCAAGUGGGACACUCCAUUCAACCGGGCGUUGAACAUAUUGAAACGACAACCGGUGGAUACUCGACCGUCGUCUGGACGCGUGCACGGUGUCGGAGACGGCGCCACAUGGAAGAAGUACUACCGUGAGACCACGGAGGAGAGAAAGGAAAGACGGAGGUUAACUGAAGAAAGCAUCGACAAGAAGGUUGAGAUUGCGGUUGAGAAGAAAUCAUCUCAGACAGUCGCAACAGCGAUAGCUGCCGCAAAACAGGCGGUUGCAGAUUUAUCUACUUCCUUGGUGACGGGCGUUCACAUUUGGACAAGGGAAAAUCCAAAAAAAAAUGCAGAGGACUUUCCCCUUGCUGACUUCUUGGCAGCACAUGCUCCCGCACCGGCUCCCGCACCUGCUCCCGCACCUGCUCCCGCACCGGCUCCCGCACCUGCUCCCGCACCGGCUCCCGCACCUGCUCCCGCACCGGCUACCGCACCAGCUGCCGCACCGGACGUGCUCGGUGGUGCCUCCUCUUUGGCUGAGCUCGACGCCCUCACGGUAUCUUCCACACCGGCCCCCUUCAAUAUAAAUGUAUAAUCUCCCGUUUUCGUUGCCUUUCGGAUGUCUCACGUCGCAGACUUUUAUUUGCAGGCCGACGAAACCCCGUGCACCAUAUUGUACACCAUCGGCGAACAGAAGGUGGACGUGGGGAAGGGGACGAUAAUGGAGCCGAAGGAACCAUUGUUCCACAGCCGGCCGAUCCCCCCGAACGUCUUCAAGGUUUCCGUGGCCAGUGUCAAACCGGGCCACGAGAAUUUGCCUCCUCUAAUACUAGUGGGGGAUGACGACGAGACCCCGCGGCGGCUUGGUGAUUGUUGCAAUGGGUGGGUCCUGUUGUGGCCAAAGAGUCUGCUUCGUCUGGAGGCGGCCGGGAGCACACCCACGAGCACGCAGCCUCAGCAAGGUAUGAACAUCAACACCCCACCUACCCAAUUAGCAUCAGGUGUCGGGUUGGGUGAUAGCGGACGGGGUAAGCAGGUGGCUCCAUUAGAGGCUGAUGACGUCGCCAUGGAUGAGGAUGAGGAUGACGAUGGCGCUGAACAGUAUGUCUAUACUGGCGCCUCCUCAGGGUUUGAGCAUCAUGAGUCAGUGCCAGAAUUACCGUCUCAACGCGUUAUUGACGACCAUCCGGUGGUAAAGAAGCCUAGGAAGAGAGCGAGGAAAGGCAAAAAAGCUGAUUCUAUGAUCCAGCCGCCUCAGCAGCCUCGGCUUCGGGACCGUGUAGAUAUCCCCGAUGCGGAUAAAUGGCAUAUCCCCGGUAAACCAAUCCUACCUGAAACAGCGCUAUGGGCCAGAUUCGGCGAUCUGAGGAGACUUCAUGACGAUGUGCUGCGGGUAGAGAAAGGCCUCAUCGCCUCGAAAGAUCCAGGAUACCCACUCUACGUGGUUAAUGUUCCGCAGCAAAUGUCGUAUGUCAAUGGCUUCCCCGCGGAUAAGUUCUUCCUCCGAUUCGAUUACAUAUUCGACAUGUUUCACGUGAAGAAGCUGGAUUUUACUUUUGUCCGCCUUUAUGCCUUGCACAUGAGCUACAUCAUUGGGGUUGAGCAGAUAGCUCAUAUCUGUGUCGCUGACCCGUACUACAUGCACGAGGCCUUCUUGGGAGUCUGUGCACAGCAUCGUGAAUACGCGAGGGAUUACAUCGUCAGUUUCAUGCUCGCCAAUAAGGACAAGGAGGCGAUUCUCGUGCCUUAUCAUCCCGUGUAAGUCAUCCGCGCUGCUAUCCUUCCUUCAAUUUCAAUAAUUCAUUUGCACGGUGGAGGCUAAUUAAUUUGAGGUGUACUUAUUUUGCGCAGCGGUGGGCGCGCCGUCCUCAUCAUCCUCUACCCCCGAUUCUCCCACGCUCUUUACUUGGACUCGUCGAAGAACAUUCACAAAAAGGAUUACACCCACAUCAAAGAUGUUCUCGACGGUGCUAUGUUUUACUACCAAGCAAGGGGUGGAGAUGUUAGGGACAAGAAGAAAAGGGGCGGCAGGCACGCCUUCAGCCAUAAGACCGACUUCUGCUGCAUCCAGCAACCGAACGAUUCUCUUAAUGAUGGAUUCUAUGUCCUACACCACAUGCUGGAGUACCGACGGGAUCACCAGAACCUUCACAUGGCACCUAGAUCUAGCGAUGCCCAUAUUCUGCAAUGGGCAAAGGACAUAGGAGAUAUCGAGGAUCAUCGACUUCGAGCUGAGUUCUAUAACAUCCAGCGCGAACUUGCCCAAAUCAUCAUGAAUGAGGUCGUCGGAAAAACAGGGAUGUUCCAUGCAGAAGGACAAAUGUCGCGGGAAGACGUCCGAACAUGGAUAGCCUCUCAGCGUCUCGACAUGAAGCCUUUCACAAAGCUCGAUGACUAUCUCCCUGACUUGGAUGGAUGGCACGACAUGCUGGAGUGAUUGUCGAUAUAUGACAAUGUGUCCGUUUAGUCCAUAGUUUCUUUUAUGACAAAACUUUGAGUUAUGCACGGUGAAACUUUAUUUGUGAUGUAAUUAAACCGUCCUCCUCGACUAGCGAAAAUCACUCUAGUUAGGUCAUUUGGGUACGAUGAACUUUGUUAUUUAUGCUUAUGAUAUGUUGUUUCUAUUUUUGCCAAGUCUGUCUCUUUGUGUUGCUCAACUAUAUAUGUUGCAUAUCAUCGACUCAUGUGACGAUGCAGGUGCAUAGAUCAUAAAUGGCGAAGAAGUGCUACGCCAGGAGUAUAUAUACGACAAGUGGCCGCAGUGAAAGGCCUAGGUGUACCGGUUUUCGGUUUCCGAGCGACACGCAGUACUUAGUUUAGGUUCACGCUAAUGCGAGAGAGGGAUACGAACUCAUGUACUCAAAGUGAUAGCUAUUCUCAUGUAUAUCAUUGUUUAGAUGGAUGACGAUGUAUUUGCAAGUAAUCGAGACUUGUAUCGCUAUUUUCGAGAUUGAUGACGAGAUCGAGACCACUUUGUGUUGGAUGAUGAUUAUGAUGAUGACAUGAUUUGAUGAGACUAAUUGUAUGUAUAUGCUAUGAUUACAUUUGUAUGUGGAUGAUAUGCUAAAGAUUAUUGUAUAAAGCCUAUUCAAAUGCAAAACAAAUAAAAAACAAAUCUGCAGGGAAAAUAACUAAUAAAACUAGUAGUAGCGAGGGGGGGAUUUAGCAGUAGCGCCGGCUUACCAGUAGCGCUUACACCGAAACGGCGCUGCAGCUAAUACCAGUAGCGCCCUUCCCAAAACCGCGCUGCAGCAAUUCGUGUGUAGCAGUAGCGUGUGUCAACACGCGCUACUGCUACACAUUAGCUGUAGCGCCUUAUUAGUAGCGCCGGUACCCGCGCUACUGAGGGUGCCCAAACCCGCGCUGCUGCUAGGCUUUUCCCUAGUAGUGAAGGGAGAAGGGGGCCGGCCCCUCUAGAUCCAUCUAGAGGGGGGGCGGCGGCCAAGGGGAGGGGGGACUUGCCCCCCAAGCAAGGGGGGGCGCCCCCUCUAGGGUUCCCCCCUCAACCCUAGGCGCAAGGGCCCAAGGGAGGGGGUGCGCCAAGCCCACCAGGGCCUGGCCAACUCCCCACGCAGCCCAAGUGGCCCCCCGGGAGGCGUGGCCCCUCCCGGUGGACCCCCGGAGCCCUUCCGGUGGCCCCGGUACAAUACCGGUAUGCCCCCCGAAACUUUCCGGUGUCCUUUUAACAGCUUCCCAUAUAUAAAUCUUUACCUCCGGACCCUUCCGGAACUCCUCGUGACGUCCGGGAUCUCAUCCGGGACUCCGAACAACAUUCGGUAGUCACAUACUAGUCUUCCUAAUAACCCUAGUGUCACCGAACCUUAAGUGUGUAGACCCUACAGGUUCAGGAGACAUGCAGACAUGACCGAGACGACUCUCGGGCAAUAACCAACAGCAGGGUCUGGAUACCCAUGUUGGCUCCCACAUGCUUCUCGAUGAUUUCAUCGGUUGAACCACGAUGUCGAGGAUUCGAUCAAACCCUGUAUGCAAUUCCCUUUGUCAAUCGGUACGUUACUUGCCCGAGACUCGAUCGUCGGUAUCCCAAUACCUUGUUCAGUCUCGUUACCGGCAAGUCACUUUACUCGUACCGUAAUGCAUGAUCCCGUGGCCAACACCUUGGUCACCUUGAGCUCAUUAUGAUGAUGCAUUACCUAGUGGGCCCAGAGAUACCUCUCCGUCAUACGGAGUGACAAAUCCCAGUCUCGAUCCAUGUCAACCCAACAGAUACUUUCGGAGAUACCUGUAAUGCACCUUUAUAGUCACCCAGUUACGUUGUGACGUUUGAUACACCCAAGGAACUCCUACGGUAUCUGGGAGUUACACGAUCUCAUGGUCGAAGGAAGAGAUACUUGACAUUGGCAAAGCUCUAGCAAACAAACUACACGAUCUUUUAUGCUAUGCUCAGGAUUGGGUCUUGUCCAUCACAUCAUUCUCCUAAUGAUGUGAUCCCGUUAUCAACGACAUCCAAUGUCCAUAGUCAGGAAACCAUGACUAUCUGUUGAUCACAACGAGCUAGUCAACUAGAGGCUCACUAGGGACAUAUUGUGGUCUAAGUGUUCACACGUGUAUUACAAUUUCCGGAUAAUAUAGUUAUAGCAUGAACAUAAGACAAUUAUCAUGAACAAUGAAAUAUAAUAAUACUUUUAUUAUUGCCUCUAGGGCAUAUUUCCAACACCUUCAACAAAAUAUUCUCCUGUGUGAGGUACUUGUUCUGUAUGCGGGCUAACUCAAUCAGCUUGAAAUCUUCAAUCUCUGUUGGAGUGAAAAGGUUAGGUAAAGGUUGAGGGAUGUCUUCUUCUUUCACCACCGGAGCUUGAACCUCCAUGGACUUCUUGAUCCCUUCAUCCUUGUUGAUCUCUUCUAGUUCCUCUCUUUUCAGGUCUAUCUUCAAUAGCCAAGCAUCCUUGUCUUUGUUGUUGGAGGAAGGAGAAGUCAUGGUGCUCUAAAUCUGCAACGGAAACAGCUCGAAACGAAAACAGAGGAUAUUUGAGUGAUACGGUGGUCAAAACCUUCGGGAGUAUAUAUAAUGAAUUUUUACCGACCAAAAUACGUAACAUAGUAGAAAACGGAGUCCGGGAGGCACACGAGGUGCCCACGAGACAGGGGGGCGCGCCCUACAGGGGGGCAUGGCCUCCUCUCUCGUGGGAGCCUCGUGUCCCUUUCGGACUACUUCUUUCUUCCUAAAGUUCUUAAAUAAUCCAAAACCGAUAAAAAUUGCCAUUAGAGUUGUUUUGGAGUCGGUUUACUUACCGUACCACGUACCUAUGCCUUUUCGGAGUCUGGAACAUUCUGGAAAGUGUCUAUUAUGUAUUCCUCAGGGGUUAUGGUUUCAAUAAUAUUAGUUUCAACAUUGAUAGGAUUACCUGAAAUGUAAUGUUUAAUUCUUUGACCGUUUACCACCCUCGGAUUUGUGCCUUCGAAGUUGUUGAUUUUUAUAGCACCAGAACGAUAGACCUCCUCGAUAAUGUAGGGACCUUCCCACUUUGAGAGAAGCUUUCCUGGAAAAAAUCUUAAACGAGAGUUGAAUAAUAACACAUAAUUUCCUACGUUAAACUCAUGAUUUUGUAUCCUCUUAUCAUGCCAGCGUUUGACUUUCUCUUUGAAAAGCUUGGCAUUCUCAUAUGCUUGGGUUCUCUAUUCAUCCAGUGAGCUAAUAUCAAAUAACCUUUUCUCACCGGCAAGUUUAAAGUCAUAAUUGAGCUCUUUAAUAGCCCAAUAUGCUUUAUGUUCAAGUUCAAGAGGUAAAUGACAUGAUUUUCCAUAAACCAUCUUAUAUGGAGACAUACCCAUAGGAUUUUUGUAUGCAGUUCUAUAGGCCCAUAAUGCAUCAUCAAGUUUUUUGGACCAAUUCUUCCUAGAUCUAUUCACAGUCUUUUGCAAAAUUAAUUUGAGCUCUCUAUUACUCAACUCUACUUGACCACUAGACUGCGGGUGAUAAGGAGAUGCUAUUAUAUGAUUGACAUCAUACUUAGCGAGCAUCUUACGGAAAGCACCAUGAAUAAAAUGUGAACCACCAUCAGUCAUAAGAUAUCUAGGGACUCCAAACCUCGGAAAAAUAACUUCUUUAAGCAUUUUAAUAGAAGUGUUAUGAUCAAAACUACUAGUUCGAAUAGCUCCUACCCACUUAGUAACGUAAUCAACAACAACUAAAAUAUGUGUAUAACCAUUGGAGGCAGGAAAAGGUCCCAUAUAAUCAAAGCCUCAAACAUCAAACGGUUCAAUAACAAGAGAAUAAUUCAUAGGCAUUUCUUGACGUCUACUAAUGUUACCUAUUCUUUGACAUUCAUCACAAGAUAAGACAAACUUACGAGCAUCUUUGAAGAGAGUAGGCCAAUAAAAACCAGAUUGUAGUACCUUGUGUGCAGUUCUAUCUCCAGCGUGGUGUCCUUCAUAGGAUUCAGAGUGACACUUGCGUAGGAUCUGUUCCUGUUCAUGCUCAGGCACACAACGUCUAAUAACACCAUCUACUCCUUCUUUAUAAAGGUGUGGAUCAUCCUAGACGUAAUGUCUUAAAUCAUAAAAGAACUUCUUCUUUUGCUGGUAUGUGAAACUAGGCGGUAUAUAUUUACAACAAUGUAAUUAGCAUAGUCAGCAUAUCAAGGAGCAGUACGAGAAGCCUUGACGACCGCUAAUUGUUCAUCAGGAAAACUAUCAUUAAUAGGCAGUGGGUCAUCAAGAACAUUCUCUAACCUAGACAAGUUGUCUACAACGGGGUUCUCCGCUCCCUUUCUAUCAAUAAUGUGCAAUUCAAAUUCUUGGAGCAAGAGAACCCAUCUAAUGAGUCUAGGCUUAGCAUCUUUCUUUUCCAUAAGAUAUUUAAUAGCAGCAUGAUCAGUGUGAAUAGUAACUUUGGAAUCAACAAUAUAAGGUCUAAACUUAUCACAUGCAAACACCACUGCUAAGAAUUCUUUUUCAGUUGUAGCAUAAUUUUUCUGGGCACUAUCAAGAGUCUUACUAGCAUACUGGAUAACAUUCAAUUUCUUAUCGACUCUUUGCCCUAAAACAGCACCUACAGCAUAAUCACUAGCAUUGCACAUAAUUUCAAAAGGUAAAUUCCAAUCAGGUGGCUGAACAAUAGGUGCAGUAAUCAAAGCUUUCUUAAGUGUUUCAGAUGCUUCUACACAAUCAUCAUCAAAGACAAAAGGAAUAUCUUUUUGCAAUAAAUUAGUCGGAGGCCUAGAGAUUUUAGAGAAGUCCUUAAUGAACCUCUUAUAAAAGCCGGCAUGACCAAGGAAACUUCUUAUACCUUUUAUAUCCUUGGGACAUGGCAUCUUUUAAACAGCAUCAACUUUGGCUUUAUCAACUUCAAUACCUCUCUCGGAUAUCUUGUGCCCCAAGACAAUGCCUUCAUUAACCAUAAAGUGACACUUUUCCCAAUUCAGGACGAGAUUAGUGUCUUUGCAUCUCUGCAAAACUCGAUCAAGGUUGCUCAAACAAUCAUCAAAAGAGGAUCCAUAGACGGAGAAGUCAUCCAUGAAUACCUCACAAAUCUUUUCACAAAAAUCAGAGAAUAUAGCCAUCAUGCAUCUUUGAAAGGUAGCAGGUGCAUUACAGAAACCAAAAGGCAUACGUCUAUAAGUAGAAGUACCAAAAGGGCAAGUAAAAGUAGUUUUAGAUUGAUCCUUCGCUGACACGGGUAUUUGGGAGAAGCCAGAAUAACCAUCUAGAAAGCAAAAAUGUGUGUGUUUGGAUAGCCUUUCUAGCAUUUGAUCAAUAAAAGGUUGAAAGGGCAUGUAGCCCCUAUGUGUGGUUUUGGUAAUUAAAUGACAAUCUCUAUGGACUAAUGUUUUCAGUGAGAUAUAUUUGAAGGUUUUGUCCAUAGAUAGUGCCUCAAGGAUAUUGGACGGAAUCAAGGAUGAAGUCCAUAUAUAUGAAGAUAGUGCCUCAAGGAUAUUGGACGGAAUCAAGGAUGAAGUCCAUAUAUAUACAUAGAUAGUGCCUCAAGGAUAUUGGACGGAAUCAAGGAUGAAGUCCAUAUAUAUAUGAAGAUAGUGCAUCAAGGAUAUUGGACGGAAUCAAGGAUGAAGUCCAUAUAUAUGAAGAUAUAUUUUCCCUAUGCUUUGGUAUUAAAUGACAAUUCCUAUGGAGCAUCAAGUGCAUUGAAUCUUAUAUGAAGAUAUGUUCCAUAGUGAUGCUUGAAGUGCAUUGGGUUGUUUUGUGAAGUCUGAUAUCAAAGCAUCCGAAGAAGUCCUCAUGGUAUCCUUCUCUGGAUACCCUGUGCACACGGGCUUGUACCGUGCGCACGGGGUCGAGUGUCAAAUCUUUGGAUACCCCGUGCUCACGGGUCCUAGGUGUUGGCUCUCGAGAUCCCAUAUCCAGUGAGGUUUCAAGUUGGUCUUCGGGUACUUCUAUUGAAGCCAUCAAGAUUGGUCUCAAUGCCUAAUCUAAUUAUGUUCAUGAUGGAGUGCAUUGGAGGAUCUUAAAGAUUGAUAUAUUUGGGCUUCUGAGGAUCAAGGCUUGAGAGAGUAAUCAAAGAGAAGAAUUCAAGUUAUGGUUUCAAGACAAGAUCAUGGUGAGCUCAUGUGUUGGGUUUAGGUUGAUCAAGUCUUGAAGAAAACAACUAGAGUGAAGAAUUCAUUGUGCCUCUCAAGAUAUUAUGAUGGAGGGCUUUUAAGGAUCAAGGGCUUGAGAGAAUAAUCAAAGAGAAGAAUUCAAGUUAUGAUCUCAAGACAAGAUCAUGGUGAGCUCAUGUGUUGGGUUUCGAUUGAUCAAGUCUUGAUGCAAGCAACUAGAGUGACGAAUUCAUUAUGCCUCUCAAGAUAUUGUGAUGGAGUUUUAGAAGGGCAAGUGGUGACCAAGAUGAUAUUCAUAGUGGAACUUGAUAUGGUCAUGGAAGAGUCUUUGGUGAUAUAGUCUUGAAGCAAUGAAGGGAAAUUAAGAGUUCAUUGUGGCUUUCAAGAAACCAAUAUGGAGCUUCGAGUAAAGAUGUUGGUUGACCAAGAUGAAGCUCGAAGAUUAUAUCUAAGUGGUCAACUCUCAAAGCACAAACAUUGUACCACGUGAGAUCAAGUGAUCUAGUGGUAUGGUAAGUAAUUGUGAAUUGUGCUUUGUUACCUAACCCAUGCUAUGUGUUUGGUAUGUCUAUGUGGGUUAGGUGUUUCUCAUGGGCUUGCAUCAAAAGGAAAGAUCUCAAGUAGCCUAUGUGUGGAUGACAUCAAGUGGUGAUGGUCAUCGGGUUCGAGGAGUCCAAGUGCAAGAUGAGAAGCCGGAGGUUAUAUGCUUUGAAGCUUGCGGUCCACAUCAUGAUAAUGCUCAUUUGAAGAUGGGCUUAAGUUAAGGCUUCCCUCAUUGCAAUAUGAGGAAUCAAUUCAAGCAUCUUCACCAAGUGGUUGUGGACAAGAAAGGGAUUCCAACUUGAGACAAGCAUUGGAGUCAUCACCAAGCUCAAGUUGAAUAUGCAAGGCAAAGCUAUACCUUAGCUAGGUUUUCCUAGUUUUGCCGGUCUCUUGGUGCUUGGAGGGAGACCGGAUUAUAGGUUUGAUAGCCGUACUAUCAAGAGGGACUCUCGGGCAAGUAGCUUGAUCAUGUCGCAUGUAGAGAGCUCAAACCUUUUCAUUACUUUCAUCAUUAUUUAUUGUUGAUCUUGGGUGUUUCUCUAUGUGAGGACCUUGGGCUUUUCCAUAGCUUCAAAACAAGCCCAAGAUCAUCGAAUUCGGAGUCCGUAUGCCAAAGUUAUCACUGUUUUAGUGGGCAGCUGCAGGCUGUUCUGGGUACCCCGUGGACACGGGGUUUUUGACCCCCGUGGGCACGGGGCCCCGUGCACACGGGCUUGUACCGUGUGCACGGGACCCCGUGGGCACGGGGUCUAAACCCUCGUGGGCACGGGGUGUCCAGGAAGUGUCCGUUGGAGCCCCAACGGCUAGUUUUGGAAGUUGGCUAUAAAAGAGCCCUUCCUCCCCACCGGUUUGGGGGUUGUUCAUUCACAUUCUAAACAUCAUUUUGAGCCUCUUACCACCUCUCGCAAACCCCUAUCUCUCUUCUAAGUGAAGGGGGAUUUGUGGAUGGAUCUUGGAGUCAUUUGUUGAUUUCCUCCAUUGCAUCCCCUCUCUUCAAUCUCCCACUUCCUUGAGUUGCAUCUUGUGAGGUUGAGAGAGUGAGUUGAGCAUUUGUUGCUUGACCUUGCAUUGCAUUUGUUACAUUGGUUUGAGCUCCCCGCAUCGAUUUGUUCGUGUGAGAGCCCGUGAGUUUAUUACUCUUGGAGGCUUCGCCUCCUAGACGGUUUGGUGAUAUAUUGAGAAGAUUGUGAAGAGGCCUAUGUGGCCAAGGUUCCCCCGGAAGCUUCCUUUUGUGGUGUGCUCCGAGGAAGGGUGUUCAAGUGGCCUAGGUGGUCAAGUUCCUCUGGAAGCUUCCGUGGUUGUGGUGUGCUCCGAAGAGGUUUGUAAAGGUGUGGUGGUCGCCUUCAAGACCAACCCCGAGUGAACCGAGGCUCAUCCGUUGGGGGUGACUCGAAAGGGAGAAUACGGUGAGUCACUUGGUGACGCCCCGGAGCUUUGGCUACGGCACCGCUCUAACGGAGAUUAGCACUCUCAUGAGUGUGAACUUCGGGAUAAAUCCGCGUCCCCGACUCACUUGUGGUUAUCUCAUACCCACACCCUUUACUUUCCGCAAUUCAUACUUGCCCAUAUUGAUAUAUCUUGUGAUAGUUGAAUUGCUUUGUUGUUCCUUCAUUUCCAUAUCUUGUGAUAUAGUUUGUGCUUGCUAGUUUGCUUAAUUGCCUAUCUUGUUUAGCAUAGGUUGUUGGUGCACUUAGUUGAGCCUAGCAUAUUUAGGAUUUGUGCUUGAAAAGUAUCUGUUAGUUUAAUUCCGCAUUAGGAUAAAGCCAAAUCCGUAAAAGUUUUAAAACUCCUAUUCACCCCCCUCUAGUCAUCAUCUAGAUCAUUUCAAAGGCAAAGGGUAAUGAUCUUUCUUAGUAGCUUUAUUUAACUUACGAAAAAUCAUUUACCAUCCUAUAACCUGUAAUAAUUCUUUGAGGGAUCAAUUCAUCUUUAUCAUUAGGAAAACGGUAAUACCUCCCUUUUUGGGGACACAAAGGAUAGGGCUUACCCAUUCACUAUCAGCAACGGGAUAAAUAAUACCUGCCUCAAGGAGCUUUAGUAUCUCCUUUCUUACCACUUCCUUCAUCUUGGGAGUUAAUCGUCUUUGAGGAUCUCUAACUGGUUUGGCAUCUUUCUGCACUGAAAUUUCGUGUUGACAUAAUGUGGGACUAAUGCCCUUAAGAUCAUCCAGAGUAUAUCCAAUAGCAGCUCGGUGCUUCUUCAGAGUUUUCAAUAAUCUUUCUUCUUCUUUUUCUGAAAGGUUAGCACUAAUAAUAACCGGAUAUAUUUCAUCAAGAUAAGCAUACUUAAGAUUAUCAGGUAAUGGUUUGAGUUCAAACACGGGAUCACCCUUGGGUGGAGGGGGAUCCCCAAGAAUUUCAAUGGGAAGAUUAUGUUUCAGCAUAGGUUCCUGUUUAAGGAACACUUCAUCUAUUUCUUCCCUUUCCUUCAUAAACAUAUAGUUUUCAUGGUCUAGCAAAUAUUGUUCUAACGGAUCAGUUGGAGGAACAGCAAUGGAAGCAAGACCAACAAUUUCAUACUUACUAGAUGGUUCCCUUUCAUGAGGUUGUCUACUAAACUUGCAAAAUUAAACUCAUGAGACAUACCAUCUAUGCCAAUAGUGACAAUAUUCCUUUCACAAUGAAUCUUAGCACUAGCUGUAUUCAAGAAGGGUCUACCAAAAAUAAUGGGACAAAAAUCAUCUUGUGGGGAAGCAAGAACAAGAAAAUCGGCAGGGUAUUUAACCUUCCCACACAAAACUUCAACAUCUCUAACAAUCCCAAUAGGUUUGAUGGUAUCCCUAUUAGCAAGCUUAAUAGUAACAUCAAUGUCUUCUAAUUCAACAGGUGCAAUAUCGUGCAUAAUUUCUUUAUAAAGAUCAUAAGGUAUCGCACUAGCACUAGCGCCCAUAUCACAUAAGCCAUGAUAACAAUGAUCUCCUAUUUUAACAGAAAUAACAGGCAUGCCUACAACAGGUCUGCGUGUCUUAGUAUCAGGUCUAGCAAUAUUAGCAGUCUCACCCAAGAAAGAAAUAACAUGCCCAUCUAAAUCCUCAUCCAAGAGAUAUUUAACCAUAGCAAUACUAGGUUCAACAUUAAUUUGUUCAGGAGGUGUAUAGGUCCUAGUAUUACUCUUACGAACAACAGUCAAAGCUUUAGCGUGAUCUUUUAUUCUAACAGGAAAAGGAGGUUUUUCAACAUAAGCAGUAGGAACAAUGGGAUCACUAUAUGUAAUAGUCUUUUCUUCGACUGUAAUAGGUGCAACUACUUUCACUUCAACAGGAGGAUUAUAUUUAAACCACUUCUCUUUAGGGAGAUCAACGUGAGUAGCAAAAGAUUCACAAAAAGUAGCUACUAUCUCAGAGUCAAGUCCAUACUUAGAGCUAAAUCCACGGAAAGCAUCGGUAUCCAUAAAAGAUUUAACACAAUCGAACGUAGGUGUCAUACCUGACUCCUUACCAUCGUCGGAACCCCAAUAUUCAGAGUUGAGUUUAAUUCUUUCCAAUAAGUCCCAUUUGAAAUCAAUAUUCUUCAGCAUAUAAGAACCAGCACAGGAAGUAUCGAGCAGGUUGCGAUUAUCAAGAGAAAGCCGAGCAUGAAAAUUCUGAAUAAUCAUUUCCCGAGAGAGCUCAUGAUUGGGGCAUGAAUACAACAUUGACUUAAGCCUCCCCCAAGCUUGAGUGAUGCUUUCUCCUUUGCGAGGCCAGAAAUUAUAUAUGUAAUUACGAUCACGAUGAACAAGAUGCAUAGGAUAGAACUUUUGGUGAAAUUCCAACUUCAAUCGCUUAUAAUUCCAAGAUCUCGUAUCAUCACAUAGCCUAUACCAUGUCAUUGCAUCUCCCUUCAAAGAUAAAGGGAAGACCUUCCUUUUGACAACAUCAUCGGGAAACCUGCAAGCUUAAAUAGUCCACAAACUUCAUCCACAAAGAUAAGGUGUAAAUCGGGAUGCAAUGUUCCGUCUCCUGCAAAAGGAUUAGCUAACAGUUUUUCUAUCAUACACAAAGGAAUCUCAAAGUGAAUAUUUUCAUAAAGUUCAGUAGGUUGAGGAGCAUCUCUUUGCUCUUCUGGUUGGGGUGAAGAUACCCCAAACAAGCCCCUCAAAGGAUUAGUUUCCAUAGUGACAAGUAACAGAAAAUUUCAGCACACUAUAUAAAUGUUUCCUUACCAAGUCCCACUCACCAAAAGCGCUACGCUCCCCGGCAACGGUGCCAGAAAAGAGUCUUGAUGACCCACUAGUGUAGGGGAUCUAUCGUAGUCCUUUCGAUAAGUAAGAGUGUCGAACCCAACAAGGAGUAGAAGGAAAUGAUAAGCGGUUUUUAGUAAGGUUUUCUCUGCAAGCACUGAAAUUGUAGGUAAUAGAUAGUUUUGUGAUAAGAUAAAUAGUAACAAGCAAAAAGUAAAUAAAGUAAAUAAGGUGCAGCAAGGUGGCCCAAUCCUUUAUGUAGCAAAGGAUAAGCCUGUACAAAUUCUAAUAAUGAAGAAGGAGCUCCCGAGGACACAUUGGAAAUUAUCGUCAAGCUAGUUUUCAUCACAUUCAUAAGAUUUGCGUUCGGUAUUUUGAUAAUUUGAUAUGUGGGUGGACCGGUACUUGGGUACUGCCCUAACUUGGACAAGCAUCCCACUUAUGAUCAACCCCUAUUGCAAGCAUCCGCAACUACAAAAAGGAGUAUUAAGGUAAACCUAACCACAACAUUAAACAUAUGGGUCCAUAUCAACCCCUAACGAAACAACGCAUAAACUAGGAUUAAAGCUUCUGUCACUCUAGCAACCCAUCAUCUACUUAUUACUUCCCUAUGCCUUCCUCUAGGCCCAAAUAAUGGUGAAGUGUCAUGUAGUCGAUGUUCACAUAACACCACUGGAGGAAAGACAACAUGUUGGGGAACGUGGUAAUUUCAAAAAAUUUCCUCCGCACACGCAAGAUCAUGGCGAUGGCAUAGCAACGAGAGGGGGAGUGUAUCUUCAUACCCUUGAAGAUUGCUAAGCGGAAGCGUUUAUCAACGCGGUUGAUGUAGUCGUACGUCUUCACGAUCCGACCGAUCCAAGUACCGAACGCACGGCACCUCCGAGUUCUGCACACGUUCAGCUCGAUGACGUCCUCGCCUUCUCGAUCCAGCAAGACGGGCGAAGUAGUAGAUGAGUUCCGGCAGCACGACGGCGUGGUGACGGUGUUGGUGAAGAACAAUCUCCGCAGGGCUUCGCCUAAGCGCUGCGGAAACUAUGGCGGAGGAUAAACUAGAGGGGACGGGGUUGCCGGCACAUGGCUUGGUGUUUCUUGAUGUGUCUUUGGUGCUAGCCCUGCCCCUCUAUCUAUAUGUUGAGCCUUGGGGUCGAAACUUGGAGUAAAAGCCUCCACAAAGUCGGUUUCACCCGAAAGGCAAGAGUCCUUCUCGGACUCCAGGGCCAGACGCCAGGGUUCCCAGCGUCUGGACCCAGACGCCAGGGACCCUGGCGUCUGGCCCCUGGACUCCGCAAAACUUCCUUUUGCGCUUUCCAAAAACCUUGUGGGCUUUCCCCUUUGGCCCAAAUAACGUGUUCUCGUACCCAAACAUUUCGGGAAACAUCCGGAACCCCUUCCGGUGAAUUCCGGAACCCUUCCGGAGAUCAAACACUAUUAUUCCAUAUAUCAAAUUUUUAUCUCCGGACCAUUCCGGAGUUCCUCGUCAUGUCCAUGAUCUCAUCCGGGACUCCGAACAACAUUCGGUUACCAACAUGCAUAACUCAUAUAAUACUAUAUCGUCAAUAAAACAUUAAGCGUGCGGACCCUACGGGUUCGAGAACAAUGUAGACAUGACCUAAAACCGUUCUCGGUCAAUAACCAAUAGCGGGACCUAGAUGCCCAUAUUGGUUCCUACAUAUUCUACGAAGAUCUUUAUCGGUCAAACCGCAUAACAACAUACAUUGUUCCCUUUGUCAUCGGUAUGUUACUUGCCCGAGAUUUGAUCGUCGGUAUCCAAUACCUAGUUCAAGUUCGUUACCGGCAAGUCUCUUUACUCGUUCUGUAAUGCAUCAUCCCGUAACCAGCUCAUUGGUCACAUUGCAUGCAAUGCUUAUAAUGAUGUGCAUUACCGAGAGGGCCCAGAGAUACCUCUCCGACAAUCGGAGUGACAAAACCUAAUCUCGAAAUACGCCAACUCAACAUGUACCUUCGGAGACACCUGUAGUACUCCUUUAUAAUCACCCAGUUACGUUGUGACGUUUGUUAGUACCCAAAGUGUUCCUCCGGUAAACGGGAGUUGCAUAAUCUCAUUGAGGGAGUGCUGGACUAGGGGGUGUCCGGAUAGCCGGACUAUCGUUAUCCGCCGGACUCCAAGACUACGAAUAUAGAAGAUUGAAGACUCCGGCUCGUGUCCGGAAGGUACUUUCCUUGGCGUGGAAGGCAAGCUUGGCGAUACGGAUAUGUAGAUCUCCUACCAUUGUAACCGACUCUGUGUAACCCUAGCCUCUCCGGUGUCUAUAUAAACCGGAGGGCUUUAGUCCGUAGGACGAACAUACAUUACAACAAUCAUACCAUAGGCUAGCUUCUAGGGUUUAGCCUCCUUGAUCUCGUGGUAGAUCUACUCUUGUACUACCCACAUCAUCAAUAUUAAUCAAGCAGGACGUAGGGUUUUACCUCCAUCGAGAGGGCCCGAACCUGGGUAAAAACGCUGUGUCCCUUGUCUCCUGUUACCAUCCGCCUAGACGCACAGUUCGGGACCCCCUACCCGAGAUCCGCCGGUUUUGACACCGACAUUGGUGCUUUCAUUGAGAGUUCCUCUGUGUCGUCACCGAUAGGCUUGAUGGCAUUUUCAACCAACAACACUGUCCUGGGUGAGAUUUUUCCCCCAGACAGAUCUUUGUAUUCGGCGGCUUCGCACUGCGGGCCAAUUCUCUUGGCCAUCUGGAGCAGAUCGAAAGCUACACCCCUAGCCGUCAGGUCAGAUUCGGAAGCUUAAACUUCACGGCCGAUGUCCAUGGAGACUUGAUCUUCGACGGACUCGGGCCACAGCCGAGCGCGCCGCACUGUGACGAUGGGCACGAUCUAGCUCUGCCGCCGGACAGUGCCUUGGUGGCCGCACUCGCAUCCGCUCCGGCCAUUAGCCCGGAGCCAAUCGCCCAUAUCGAGGGCCGGUGGGUAGACGCCGCCCUGGGGGCUUCAACAUCCAUGGCGAUGGAGCCGAAUACUGAUCUUGUCCCCUGCGAAACCCGUGAUUCCGAGGUGCCGGACUCCUCGCCGGACUCCGAACCUCCCGCGCCCCUACCAAUUGGUCCGGAUUGGGCGCCGGUCAUGGAAUUCACCGCCGCGGACAUUUUCCAACACUCGCCUUUUGGCAAUAUCCUGAAUUCACUGAAGCGUCUCUCGCUAUCAGGAGAGUCCUGGCCGGACUAUGGCCAGGACGGUUGGAGUUCGGACGAUGAAGAAAUUCAGAGCCCACCCACCACCCACUUUGUAGCCACUGUCGAGGAUCUAACCGACAUGCUAGACUAUGACUCCGACGACAUCGAUGCUAUGGACGACGAUGCCGGAGACGAACAAGAACCAGCGCCCACAGGGCACUGGAAGACCACCUCGUGAUACGACAUAUACAUGGUGGACACCCCAAAAGAUGGGGAUGGCGAAGAAGUAGCGGAGGCAGAUUCUCUAAAGAAGCAGCCCAAACGCCGACGUCAGCGGCGCCGCUCUAAAUCCCGCCACAGCAAGAAUGGAGAUUCUGGCACAGGAGACAAUAACACUCCGGAGAGUGCCGAAGACAAUCCCCUCCAGCAAGACUCAGCGCAGGAGGAUGCAGAAGCAAGCCCUCAUGACAGGGCGGCAGACGAAGGAGCUGAGGAUGAUAACUAUAUGCCUCCCUCCGAAGACGAAGCAAGCCUCAACGAUGACGAAUUCGUCGUACCCGAGGAUCCCGUCGAACAAGAGCGCUUCAAGCGCAGGCUCAUAGCCACGGAAAAUAGCCUAAAGAAAAAGCAGCAAUAGCUCCAAGCUGAUCAAGAUCUGCUGGCCGAUCGAUGGACCGAGGUCCUCGCGGCCGAAGAAUAUAAACUCGAACGCCCCUCCAAAAGUUACCCAAGACGCAAGCUGCUCCCCCGAUUAGAGGAGGAAGCAUACAUACCUUCAUCACCAGCGCACGACAUGGCUGACCGACCACCCCGUGGUCGUGACAGAGAGGCAUCCAGGCCCCCAGCCAAAUCCGCACCCCUGCAUCGCCCCAAGAGUACGAAGCCAAGAGGGAACACGCUGGACUUGCGAGAUAUACUGGAGGACAAGGCAAGACAAUCCAGAUCCAUUUACGGAUCACGUGGGCGCCCCACUACCCACGACGAAUAUCGUCGCGCCGGACAUAACAAUCCCGGCCGGGCCGAACACAGCAGACAGUGCUCUCUCGAGCUGCGUCGCGAUAUCGCCCAAUACAGGGGUGCCGCACACCCUCUAUGCUUCACUGACGAAGUUAUGGAUCAUCAGAUCCCCGAAGGGUUUAAACCCGUAAACAAUGAAUCUUACGAUGGCACAACAGACCCCGCGGUUUGGAUCGAAGACUAUCUUCUCCACAUUCACAUGGCCCGCGGUGACGAUCUCCAUGCCAUCAAGUACCUCCCACUCAAGCUUAAAGGACCAGCUCGGCAUUGGCUAGAUAGCUUGCCCGCAGAGUCAAUUGGGUGCUGGGAGGACCUGGAAGCCGCAUUCCUCGACAACUUUCAGGGCACGUAUGUGCGACCAUCGGACGCCGAUGACCUAAGCCACAUCAUUCAGCAGCCAGACGAAUCGGCCAGACAAUUUUGGACGCGGUUCUUGACAAAGAAAAACCAAAUCGUCGACUGUCCGGAUGCAGAGGCCCUUGCAGCCUUCACAUAACAUCCAGGACGAAUGGCUAGCCCGGCACCUGGGGCAGGAAAAGCCGAAAUCCAUGGCAGCCCUCACAUCGCUAAUGACCCGCUUUUGUGCGGGAGAGGACAGCUGGCUAGCUCGCAGCAACAAUCUCCGUAAAAACUCUGGUAGUCCGGAUACUAAGGACAACAACGGCAUGUCACGUCGAAUCAAAAACAAGCGCCGCAUUAACAACGACGAUAAGGAGGAUACGGCAGUCAAUGCCGGAUUCCGAGGCUCUAAACCCGGUCAGCGGAAGAAGCCAUUCAAAAGAACCACUCCGGGUCCGUCCAAUCUGGACCGAAUACUCGAUCGUCUAUGCCAAAUACAUGGCACCUCUGAAAAGCCAGCUAACCACACCAAUAAAGACUGUUGGGUGUUCAAGCAGGCCGGCAAGUUAAUUGCCGAAAACAAUGACAAGGGGCUAAAUAGCGACGACGAGGAAGAGACCCGGCCGCCGAACAAUAGAGGACAGAAGGGUUUCCCCCCGCAAGUGCGGACGGUGAAUAUGAUAUACGCGACCCAUAUACCCAAGAGGGAGAGGAAGCGUGCACUACGGGACGUCUAUGCGAUGGAGCCAGUCGCCCCAAAGUUCAACCCAUGGUCCUCUUGCCCGAUCACUUUCGAUCGAAGAGACCAUCCGACCAGCAUACGCCAUGGCGGAUUCGCCGCAUUUGUUUUAGACCCAAUCGUCGAUGGGUUCCACCUGACGAGAGUCCUGAUGGACGGCGGUAGCAGCCUGAACCUGCUUUAUCAGGAUACAGUGCGCAAAAUGGGCAUAGACCCAUCAAGGAUUAAACCUACAAAGACAACCUUUAAAGGUGUCAUCCCAGGAGUGGAAGCCAACUGUACAGGCUCAGUCACACUGGAAGUGGUCUUCGGAUCACCGGAUAACUUCCGAAGCGAAGAGUUAAUCUUCGACAUAGUCCCGUUUCGUAGCGGCUAUCAUGCUCUGCUCGGACGAACCGCGUUUGCAAAAUUCAACGCGGUGCCGCAUUAUGCAUACCUAAAGCUCAAGAUGCCAGGCCCUCGCGGAGUCAUCACGGUCAAUGGAAAUACGGAAUGCUCCCUCCGAACGGAGGAACAUACAGCGGCUCUCGCGGCAGAAGUACAGAGCAGCCUUCUCAGGCAAUUCUCAAGUCCGGCAAUUCAAAAGCCGGAUACAGCAAAACGCGCCCGGAGCAACGCCAACCGAGACCACCUGGCGCGAUCAGAGCACGCGUAGCAAUGCGGCCCCAACCCUCGCCCGCGCAUGAUCGCAAGAAUAACACUCCGCGUACACCAUUACGCUUUGGAGAUACCAUGGGCGUAGGGAAAGGGGCACGAUCACAAGGGACCAAGAGUGCGGCUCGACCACACCAGGGGCUCACACUAGCGCCCCCCUUGUUUUUAUUUUUAUCUUUUCUUCUUUUGUGUAUACAGGACUCCGGUAAUCAGAAGCCCUGUCCGAUGGCGAACUCGCCGAACUCAUGAUGCAACAGUCAGGGACUAAAGAAGGCUGCGACGAACACUCAGGUGGUCUCAAUUGCGAGCAUUAAAUUCAAUUACAUACACCAAGUUUGCAGCUUAUCCCUGGAGGGGGACAUGUUUACUUAGUCCAAAUCCCUUGCUUACCGCACUAUUUGUAUCAGUCCGCUCUAUUAGCAGACUUUCUUUCAUAAAUAAUGCAGCACGUUUUUAUUUGCAAUUGCAUUACCUUUUAUGUAUACGUUCAUUACAUGACGUCUUGCACCCGUAUAUUUUGGUACGGCCGAAUACUCCAGGGGCUUCUGUUCCCCAAUUUAUGGUAUGAUAAAGUCCGAACACUUUCACAAGUGCGGCACCCCGAACUUAUAGCAUUAUAUGAAUUGGCUCUGAAUCAUGUCUUGGGUCAAUAGUUGGGUUUGCCCGGCUCCCACGUUUUGGUGCCUUACGUUCCGUUCUGUCGGCUAAGGUGGCACUGGGAGAACCACUGCGACUGCGCCCCGGUUGAGCCGGGUUAACGCCUCAGUGGAGAAAGCUAAAACUGACUGGCAUGAUAUGGCGAGAGACCGGUCACUGUUCGAGAGGUUCUUUCGGGUCCUUAAAGACUCACGCCGCUUCGAGCGAAGUUCUGGAUGAUGUCCGAUGAAGGCGUGGAUAGCGCCCCGGAUUCGGUCUUCCGAAUACCAGGGGCUUCGCCGAAAUUUAAAAUUAUAGAAUUCUAUGGCUAAGUGAGAGUGUUCAAGCAUUAUAAGUCCGGUUGCCUUGUUCGUCGUGUUGAGCGCCUCCCUAGAUGGACCCAAAAAUGGGAACAAGAGUGCUCAAGUUUAUCAUCGAACACCCCAGCACUCGUGGCUUGGGGGCUGAAGCCAACGACUUGCCAUCUCUCAGAUUUAACAAACGGCCGCACAGAAGGUAAUAUUUUAAAUUAAACAAGCGUUGCUCAUGGCGCAUAUAAACGAAGUUUUCAGCGCCCAGGAUAAAAACACAGCGAGUUCACUCAAAGAUUACAUUUCGGGGCACUCAUCUGCAAUAUCGCAGGCUCCCUUCAGGACAACUUUAUAAUAUCGCUCCGGCGUGCGAUGCUCCUUGCCAGGCGGCGGUGGAUCCGUGAGAAGCUUCUCCGCAUCCAGUUUGCCCCAUUGCACCUUUAUGCGGGCAAGGGCCCGACGAGCGCCUUCAAUACAGGCCGAGCACUUGAUGACGUCCAGCCUGGGGCAUGCAUCCAACAGCCGCCGCACAAGGCCAAAGUAGCUUCCUGGCAUGGCCUGUCCAGGCCACAGCCAGACCAUGAGACCCUUCAUGGCCUCCUCAGCUACCUUGUGGAGUUCGACCAGCUGCUUCAGCUGGUCGCUUGGAGGCACCGGAUGGCCGGCCUCAGCGUACUGAGACCAGAAGACCAUCUCCGUCGAGCUCCCCUCCUCGCCACGAUAGAAUGAGGCGGCAUCAGAUGCACUACGCGGCAGAUCUGCAAACGCCCCUGGAGAGCUCCGAAUACGGGUAAGUAUCCGGUAAUUUACAUUAACAUGCUUGCUCUGCAUGAAAAACGCCUUACCCGCAGCUAUCUUCUUUAUAUCCUCUACCUCCUGAAGGGCCUUCUGGGCCCCGGCCUUGGCGGACUUGGCACUCUCAAGAGCCGAGGCAAGCUCAGACUCUCGAGUCUUGGAGUCACGCUCCAAACUCUCAUGCUUUUCCAUGAGAGCCUGGAGCUCUUGCCGAACUUCCGCCACCAGCGCCUCUUGUUUUUCUCGCUCAGCCCGUUCCGCGGCCGCAUUGCGUUCGGCCGCGGACACGGCAUCCUUCAGGGCUGCCACCUCCUUCGUGCCCCUGCAAUCCACAUAUUAUCCUUGUUAAUCUUGUUUGCAACCAAAACCCUUUUCUGUAAGGUACUUAUUCAAAGAGGUGUUACUCACCUUCUUUCUCCUCGAGCUGCUUCUUUGCAUGGCCGAGCUCUUGCUCGGACCGCUCGAGGUUCUUUUUCAGCACAUCGACCUCCGCCGUUAAUGCGGUAGAGGCCAGCAGCGCAGCCUGCAAACCCAUAUUGACAUAUUUUUUAGCAACCCUGCGUAUAUCUUGUUAGAUCCUUAGUCCGGCUUUUCUUUCCGAACACCGAACUAAGCAUCAGGGGCUACUGUCUAUGCGGUAUUACAUUACACAAUUUUAACUUCUUACCUCAAAGCCUGUUAGAAGGCUGCUGCAGGCUUCGGCAGCCCGCUUUUGGCGAGCUGAACCUUCUCAAUCACCGCACUCAUGACAGUGCGGUGUUCUUCCUCGAUGGAAGCGCCUUUAAGCGCCUCCAACAGGUUAUCCGGCGCCUCCGGAUUGACGGACGCCGCCGGCGUCGUGGUCCUGCCCCUCUUUCGAAGGGGCCGCUUGCCGGACUCUGGAGCCACUGCGGGUUCCGGUGUAGAGUCCGGCACGAAGUCCGGGAGGCUGCCUGACGGCACCUCCGGAGCCUCCUCCUGAUGGGUCCCUCUGUGGGAUCCCACCUCGGCGUCCUCGUCGACGCGUGGGGUAGAGGCAGUCGGGAUGGAAUUUACAUCCGACGAGGCCAACGACCCGCUCAUCGAGUCGGGGAGAUCGUUAACGGCCGGACUACGGGCAGAAUGCGGCGUUAGAAGGACAAUGCAUGACAUACAAUAUACGGCAUAUAAACGAUCCGAAUACUUACGAUCCUACCGGACGCCUGGCCCUCGGAGGCCACUCAUCCUCGCCAACGUCGAUGUUGGCGAAACUGUCCGGGGGGAUAGUUCUCCCCCUCUUGGACCCUUCGGCCUCCCCAGUUGGGGAAGCCUUCCUUUUCUUCUCUCCCUCCUCCAGGAGAGAAUACUCCUCCUCCUCGUCUUCAGGGGAAGAGUCCUCGUCGUCGUCAGACGCCUGAUUACGGGAACUCUUUCGAGUCCCCGUGGCCACCUUCUUGGCCUUCUUCUCCGGCACCACGUGCGGUGCCGGAACCAGCAGCCCUGUUAUGCGGGCGUUCACUGGGUCUUCUGGCAUGGGAGCCGGGCUGAUAAGCAGCUUGGCUUUCUCCAUCCAUUCCUGUCAAAGGAAAGGGCAGAGUGAAAUCCCAAUAAAAGCUAAUUUAAUUAUCACAAGUGUCCCGUAAUGGGGUUGAAUCACUUACCGCGUCAGUUGGACACUGCGCGCUGAAUCCGCGAUCUCUCGUCUCGGAUGCGGGGGCUUCGGCGCCCUUGAACAGCACCCUCCAGGCGCCUUCGUAUGUUGUAUCGAAGAGCCCGCUUAGCGCCUGGUGCUGUUCCGGAUCGAACUCCCACAGAGUAAAUGCCCGUUCUUGGCAUGGGAGGAUCCGCCGGAGGAGCAUGACUUGGACCACGUCGACAAGCCGGAGACUUUCGCUCACCAUCUUCUUGAUGCAGGCUCGGAGUCCCGUCACCUCCACCGGAUUACCCCACUGCAAGCCCUUCUCUUUCCAGGAGGUGAGCUGCGUGGGGAUUCCAGAUCUAAACUCGGGGGCCGCCGCCCAUGUGGGCUUGCGCGGCUCGGUGAUGUAGAACCACCCCGAUUGCCACCCCUUGACGGAAUCCACGAAGGUCCCUUCUAGCCAAGGGACGUUGGGCAAUUUGCCCAACAUGGCGCUUCCGCAUUCCGCUUGCGUGCCCUUCACAACCUUCGGCUUGACGUUGAAGGUCUUGAGCCACAGGCCGAAGUGGGGCUGGAUGCAGAGGAAGGCCUCACACACGACGACGCCGAGAUGUUGAGGAUAGUUCGGCGCCAGAUCGUGGAAAUCCAGGCCGUAGUAAAACAUGAGCCCUCGGACAAAUGGGUGGAGCGGAAAGCCCAGUCCGCGGAGGAAGUGGGGGAGGAAGACGACCCUCUCUUGAGGCCCAGGGGUGGGGAUGAGCUGCCCCUCGUCGGGCAGCCGAUGCGCAAUAUCGCCGGAAAGGUAUCCGGCGUCACGCAGCUUGGUGAUGUCCUCCUCCUUGACGGUGGAGACCAACCAUUUACCUCCCGCUCCGGACAUAUUCGGAGAAGGUCGAGGAGAGAUGCGCAGGCUUGAGCGUUGGAGCUUGAGUGCGCGGGGAUGGAUAAGCAAAGGAGGAAGAAGGCGUAGGUGAGGAGGUAAAUCCUUAUCCCAUAUAUAUAGGCGGACUAAACUAUGCGUCCCCCACCAGCCUGGUAAAACUCGCUUAUCUCCCAAGCACCACCAUCAAUGGCGCGGUUGGGUUACCCACGUCCGUAUUGAUGAGAAUCCCGGAAUAAAGGGAAACACGAUCUCUGCUUUGACAAGACAUGCCAAGGAAACCGCUUCGCUAAACGUGCUGAGGUGGAAUAAGUAAAAAGACGAUUCAAACAAGGGCUUGGUAGCGGUGUGAUGUCACGCCGCAUAAUACGUCAGCAGAUUGAUUCAGUGUAUAUGUUUUAUUCUCUCUACGGUGGAAUGUGGAAAUUAUUUUUGCAGAGCCGGACACUAUCCUGGUGUUCAUUAUCUUCUCUGGAUUAUUCAAGGGAGGAACCCGUCUUGCAAUGCCGAACAUUAUGCACGCCGGACUUAUCGUCAUUGAAGACUGGUUCAGGGGCUACUGAGGGAGUCCUGGACUAGGGGGUGUCCGGAUAGCCGGACUAUCGUUAUCCGCCGGACUCCAAGACUACGAAGAUAGAAGAUUGAAGACUCCGGCUCGUGUCCGGAAGGUACUUUCCUUGGCGUGGAAGGCAAGCUUGGCGAUACGGAUAUGUAGAUCUCCUACCAUUGUAACCGACUCUGUGUAACCCUAGCCUCUCCGGUGUCUAUAUAAACUGGAGGGCUUUAGUCCGUAGGACGAACAUACAUUACAACAAUCAUACCAUAGGCUAGCUUCUAGGGUUUAGCCUCCUUGAUCUCGUGGUAGAUCUACUCUUGUACUACCCACAUCAUCAAUAUUAAUCAAGCAGGACGUAGGGUUUUACCUCCAUCGAGAGGGCUCGAACCUGGGUAAAAACGUUGUGUCCCUUGUCUCCUGUUACCAUCUGCCUAGAAGCACAGUUCGGGACCCCUUACCCGAGAUCCGCCGGUUUUGACACUGACACUCAUAGUUACAGGAACAUGUAUAAGUCAUGAAGAAAGCAAUAGCAACAUACUAAACGAUCAAGUGCUAAGCUAACGGAAUGGGUCAAGUCAAUCACAUCAUUCUCCUAAUGAUGUGAUCCCGUUAAUCAAAUGACAACUCUUUUGUCCAUGGCUAGGAAACAUAACCAUCUUUGAUAAACGAGCUAGUCAAGUAGAGGCAUACUAGUGACACUAUGUUUGUCUAUGUAUUCACACAUGUAUUAUGUUUCUGGUUAAUACAAUUAUAGCAUGAAUAAUAAACAUUUAUCAUGAAAUAAGGAAAUAAAUAAUAACUUUAUUAUUGCCUCUAGGGCAUAUUUCCUUCAGUCUCCCACUUGCACUAGAGUCAAUAAUCUAGUUCACAUCGUCAUGUGAUUUAACACCAAUAUUCAUAUCUGUAUAUGAUUAACACCAAUAGUUCACAUCUUCAUGUGACCAACACCCAAUGGGUUUACUAGAGUCAAUAAUCUAGUUCACAUCACUAUGUGAUUAACACCCAAAGAGUACUAAGGUGUGAUCAUGUUUUGCUCGUGAGAGAAGCUUAGUCAACGGGUCUGUCACAUUCAGAGCCGUAUGUAUUUUGCAAAUAUUCUAUGUCUACAAUGAUCUGCACGGAGCUACUCUAGCUAAUUGCUCCCACUUUCAAUAUGUAUCCAAAUUGAGACUUAGAGUCAUCUGGAUUGGUGUAAAAGCUUGCACCGAUGUAACUCUUUAUGACGGACUCUUUUAUCACCUCCAUAAUCGAGAAAUAUUUCCUUAGUUCUCACUAAGGAUUUUCUUGACCGCUGUCCAGUGAUCUACUCUUAGAUCAAAAUUGUAUUCCUUCGUUAAACUCAGAGCAAGGUAUACAAUAGGUCUGGUUCACAGCAUAGCAUACUUUAUAGAACCUGUGACUGAGGCAUAGGGAAUGACUUUUCAUUCUUUUUCUAUUUUCUGCCAUGGUCGUGUCUUGAGUCUUACUCAACUUCACACCUUUGCAUCACAGGCAAGAACUCUUUCUUUGACUGUUCCAUUUUGAACUAUUUCAAAAUCUUGUCAAGGUAUGUACUCAUUGAAAAUCUUAUCAAGCGUCUUGAUCUAUCUCAAUAGAUCUUGAUGCUCAAUAUGUAAGUAGCUUUACUGAGGUCUUUCUUUUAAAGAACUCCUUUCAAACACUCCUUUAUGCUUUGUAGAAUAAUUCUACAUUAUUUCCGAUCAACAAUAUGUCAUUCACAUAUACUUAUCAGAAAUGUUGUAGUGCUCCCACUCACUUUCUUGUAAAUACAGGCUUCACCGUAAGUCUGUAUAAAACUAUAUGCUUUGAUCAACUUAUCAAAGCGUAUAUUCCAACUCCGAGAUGCUUGCACUAGUCCAUACAUGCACAUUUUGUUAACACCUUUAGGAUCGAAAAAACCUGUUGGUUGCAUCACAUACAACUCUUCUUUAAUAACUCCAUUAAGGAAUGCAGUUUUGUUUAUCCAUUUGCCAGAUUUCAUAAAAUCCGGCAAUUGCUAACAUGAUUCGGACAGACUUAGCAUCCAUACGAGUGAGAAAAUCUCAUCGUAUUCAACCCCUUGAACUUGUUGAAAACCUUUUGCAACAAGUCGAGCUUAGUGGAUAGUAACACUACUAUCAGUGUCCGUCUUCCUCUUGAAAAUCCAUUUAUUUAACAUGGCUUGCUGAUCAUCGAGCAAGUCAAUCAAAGUCCAUACUUUGUUCUCAUACAUGGAUCAUAUCUCAGAUUUUAUGGCCUCAAGCCAUUUCGCGGAAUCUGGGCUCAUCAUCGCUUCCUCAUAGUUCAUAGGUUCAUCAUGGUCUAGUAACAUGACUUCCAGAACAGUAUUACCCUAUCACUCUAGUGCGGACUGUACUUUGGAAGACCUACGAGGUUCCGUAGUAACUUGAUCUGAAGUUUCAUGAUCAUCAUCAUUAGCUUCCUCACUAAUUGGUGUAGGAAUCACUGGAACUGAUUUCUGUGAUGAACUACUUUCCAAUUCGGGAGAAGGUACAAAUUACCUUAUCAAGCUCUACUUUCCUCCCACUCACUUCUUUCGAGAGAAACUCCUUCUCUAGAAAGGAUCCAUUCUUAGCAAUGAUUUUGCCUUCGGAUCUGUGAUAGAAGGUGUACCCAACAGUCUCCUUUGGGUAUCCUAUGAAGACGCAUUUCUCCGAUAUGGGUUCGAGCUUAUCAGGAUGAAACUUUUUCACAUAAGCAUCGCAACUCCAAACUUUAAGAAACGACAGCUUAGGUUUAAUGCUAAACCAUAGUUCAUACAGUGUCGUCUCAACGGAUUUAGAUGUUGCCCUAUUUAAUGUGAAUGCAGCUGUCUCUAAUGCAUAACCCCAAAACGAUAGUGGUAGAUCGGUAAGAGACAUCAUAGAUCGCACCAUAUCAAAUAAAGUGCGGUUACGAUGUUCGGACACACCAUAACGUUGUGGUUCCACAUUGUUUUAAUUGAAGACCAAACUCAUAACUCAAAUAUUCAUCUCCACGAUCAGAUCGUAGAAACUUUAUUUUCUUGUUACGAUGAUUUUCCACUUCACUCUGAAAUUCUUUGAACCUUUCAACUAUUCCAGAUUUAUGUUUCAUCAAGUAGAUAUACCCAUAUCUGCUCAAAUCAUCUUGUGAAGGUCAGAAAAUAACGAUACUUGCCACGAGCAUCAACACUCAUUGGAUCGCAUACAUCGGUAUGUAUUAUUUCCAAUAAGUCAGUGCUUGUUCCAUUGUUCCGAAGAACGGAGUUUUAGUCAUCUUGCCCAAAAGGCACGGUUCGCAAGCAUCAAAUGAUUCAUAACCAAGUGAUUCCGAAAAUCCAUCAUUAUGGAGUUUCUUCAUGCGCUUUACACCGAUAUGACCCAAACGGCAGUGCCACAAAUAAGUUGCACUAUCAUUAUUAACUUUGCAUCUUUUGGCAUCAAUAUUAUGAAUAUGUGUAUCACUACGAUCGAGAUCCAACAAACUAUGUUCAUUGGGUGUAUGACCAUCGAAGGUCUUAUUCAUGUAAACAGAAUAACAAUUAUUCUUUAACUUCAAAUGAAUAACCGUAUCGCAAUAAACAUGAUCAAAUCAUAUUCAUGCUCAACGCAAAUGCUAAAUAACAUUUAUUCAGGUUUAACACUAAUCCCGAAAGUAUAGGGAGUGUGCGAUGACGAUCAUAUCAAUCUUGGAACUACUUCCAACACUCAUCGUCACUUCCCCUUCAACUAGUCUCUAUUUAUUCUGUAACUCCUGUUUCGAGUUACUAAUCUUAGCAACCGAACAAGUAUCAAAUACUCAGGGGCUACUAUAAACACUAGUAAGGCACACAUCAAUAACCUGUACAUCAAAUAUACCCUUGUUCACUUUGCCAUCCUUCUUAUCCACCAAAUAUUCAGGGCAUUUCCUCUUCCAGUGACCAUUUCCUUUGCAGUGUAAGCACUUAGUUUCAGGCUUUGGUCCAGCUUUGGGCUUCUUCACGGUAGUGACAACUUGCUUGUCUUUCACUUGAAGUUCCCUUUCUAUCCCUUUGCCCUUCUCUUGAAACUUAGUGAUCCUUGUCAAUCAUCAACACUUGAUGCUCUUUCUUGAUUUCUACCUUCGUCGAUUUCAACAUCACGAAGAGCUCAGGAAUUGUUUACGUCAUCCCUUGCAUACUAUAGUUCAUCACGAAGUUCUAGUAACUUAGUGAUGGUGACUAGAGAAUUCUGUCAAUCACUAUCUUAUCUGGAAGAUUAACUCCCACUUGAUUCAAGCGAUUGUAGUACACAGACAAUCUGAGCACAUGCUCACUAGUUGAGUGAUUCUCCUCCAUCUUUUAGCUAUAGAACUUGUUGGAGACUUCAUAUCUCUCAACUCGGGUAUUUGCUUGAAAUAUUAACUUCAAUUCCUGGAACAUCUCAUAUGGUCCAUGACGUUCAAAACGUCUUUGAAGUCCCGAUUCUAAGCCAUAAAGCAUGGUGCACAAAACUAUCAAGUAGUCAUCAUAUUAAGCUAGCCAAACGUUCAUAACGUCUGCAUCUGCUCCUGCAAUAGGUCUGUCACCUAGCGGUGCAUCAAGGACAUAAUUCUUCUGCGCAGCAAUGAGGAUAAACCUCAGAUCACGGAUCCAAUCCGCAUCAUUGCUACUAACAUCUUUCAACACAGUUUUCUCUAGGAACAUAUCAAAAUAAACAUAUGAAAGCAACAAUGCAAGCUAUUGAUCUACAACAUAAUUUGCAAAAUACUACCAGGACUAAGUUCAUGAUAAAUUAAAGUUCAAUUAAUCAUAUUACUUAAGAACUCCCACUUAGACAGACAUCUCUCUAGUCAUCUAAGUGAUCACGUGAUCCAAAUCAACUAAACCAUGUCCGAUCAUCACGUGAGAUGGAGUAGUUUUCAAUGGUGAACAUCACUAUGUUGAUCAUAUCUACUAUAUGAUUCACGCUCGACCUUUCGGUCUUCGUGUUCCGAGGCCAUAUCUGUAUAUGCUAGGCUCGUCAAGUUUAACCUGAGUAUUUCGCGUGUGCAACUGUUUUGCACCCGUUGUAUUUGAACGUAGAGCCUAUCACACCCGAUCAUCACGUGGUGUCUCAGCACGAAGAACUUUCGCAACGGUGCAUACUCAGGGAGAACACUUCUUGAUAAUUAGUGAGAGAUCAUCUUAAAAUGCUACCGUCAAUCAAAGCAAGAUAAGAUGUAUAACAGAUAAACAUCAUAUGCAAUCAAAAUAUGUGACAUGAUACGGCCAUGAUCAUCUUGCGCCUUUGAUCUCCAUCUCCAAAGUACUGUCAUGAUCUCUAUCGUCACCGGCACGACACCAUGAUCUUCAUCAUCUUGAUCUAUAUCAAUGUGUCGUCACAUGGUCGUCUCGCCAACUAUUGCUCUUGCAACUAUUGCUAUCGCAUAACGAUAAAGUAAAGCAAUUAUUUGGUACUUGCAUCUUAUGCAACAAAGAGACAACCAUAGGGCUUCUGCCAGUUUCCGAUAACUUCAACAAAACAUGAUCAUCUCAUACAACAACUUAUAUCUCAUCACGUCUUGACCAUAUCACAUCACAACAUGCCCUGCAAAAACAAGUUAGACGUCCUCUACUUUGUUGUUGCAAAUUUUACGUGGCUGCUACGGGCUUAGCAAGAACCGUUCUUACCUACGCAUCAAAACCACAACGAUAGUUUGUCAAAUAGACUCCGUUUUAGCCUUCGCAAGGACCGGGCGUAGCCACACUCGGUUCAACUAAAGUCGGAGAAACUGACACCCGCCAGCCACUUGUGUGCAAAGCACGUCGGUAGAACUAGUCUCGCGUAAGCGUACGCGUAAUGUCGGUCCGGGCCGCUUCAUCCAACAAUACCGCUGAACCAAAGUAUGACAUGCUGGUAGGCAGUAUGACUUAUAUCGUCCACAACUCACUUGUGUUCUACUCGUGCAUAUAACAUCAACGCAUAAAACCUAGGCUCGGAUGCCACUGUUGGGGAACGUACUAUUUCAAAAAAAUUCCUACGCACACGCAAGAUCAUGGCGAUGGCAUAGCAACGAGAGGGGGAGUGUAUCUUCAUACCCUUGAAGAUCGCUAAGCGGAAGCGUUUAUCAACGCGCUUGAUGUAGUCGUACGUCUUCACGAUCCGACCGAUCCAAGUACCGAACGCACGGCACCUCCGAGUUCUGCACACGUUCAGCUCGAUGACGUCCUCGCCUUCUCGAUCCAGCAAGAUGGGCGAAGUAGUAGAUGAGUUCCGGCAGCACGACGGCGUGGUGACGGUGUUGGUGAAGAACAAUCUCCGCAGGGCUUCGCCUAAGCGCUGCGGAAACUAUGGCGGAGGAUAAACUAGAGGGGACGGGGUUGUCGGCACACGGCUUGGUGUUUCUUGAUGUGUCUUUGGUGCUAGCCCUGCCCCUCUAUUUAUAUGUUGAGCCUUGGGGUCGAAACUUGGAGUAAAAGCCUCCACAAAGUCGGUUUCACCCGAAAGGCAAGAGUCCUUCUCGGACUCCAGGGCCAGACGCCAGGGUUCCCGGCGUCUAGACCCAGACUCCAGGGACCCUGGCGUCUGGCCCCUAGACUCUGCAAAACUUCCUUUUGCGCUUUCCAAAAACCUUGUGGGCUUUCCCCUUUGGCCCAAAUAAUGUGUUCUCGUACCCAAACAUUUCGGGAAACAUCCGGAACCCCUUCCGGUGAAUUCCGGAACCCUUCCGGAGAUCAAACACUAUUAUUCCAUAUAUCAAAUUUUUAUCUCCGGACCAUUCCGGAGUUCCUCGUCAUGUCCAUGAUCUCAUCCGGGACUCCGAACAACAUUCGGUUACCAACAUGCAUAACUCAUAUAAUACUAUAUCGUCAACGAAACGUUAAGCGUGCUGACCCUACGGGUUCGAGAACUAUGUAGACAUGACCUAAAACCGUUCUCGGUCAAUAACCAAUAGCGGGACCUAGAUGCCCAUAUUGGUUCCUACAUAUUCUACGAAGAUCUUUAUCGGUCAAACCGCAUAACAACAUACAUUGUUCCCUUUGUCAUCGGUAUGUUACUUGCCCGAGAUUUGAUCGUCGGUAUCCAAUACCUAGUUCAAUCUCGUUACCGGCAAGUCUCUUUACUCGUUCUGUAAUGCGUCAUCCCGUAACCAACUCAUUGGUCAUAUUGCUUGCAAGGCUUAUAAUGAUGUGCAUUACCGAGAGGGCCCAGAGAUACCUCUCCGACAAUCGGAGUGACAAAACCUAAUCUCGAAAUACGCCAACUCAACAUGUACCUUCGGAGACACCUGUAGUACUCCUUUAUAAUCACCCAGUUACGUUGUGACGUUUGGUAGUACCCAAAGUGUUCCUCCGGUAAACGGGAGUUGCAUAAUCUCAUAGUUACAGGAACAUGUAUAAGUCAUGAAGAAAGCAAUAGCAACAUACUAAACGAUCAAGUGCUAAGCUAACGGAAUGGGUCAAGUCAAUCACAUCAUUCUCCUAAUGAUGUGAUCCCGUUAAUCAAAUGACAACUCUUUUGUCCAUGGCUAGGAAACAUCACCAUCUUUGAUAAAUGAGCUAGUCAAGUAGAGGCAUACUAGUGACACUAUGUUUGUCUAUGUAUUCACACAUGUAUUAUGUUUCUGGUUAAUACAAUUAUAGCAUGAAUAAUAAACAUUUAUCAUGAAAUAAGGAAAUAAAUAAUAACUUUAUUAUUGCCUCUAGGGCAUAUUUCCUUCACAACAUACAUCUCAUCAAAAUAUCAAACGAAUACCAAAUUCACAUGACUACUAAUAGCAAGACUUCACCCAUGUCCUCAGGAACAAACGUAACUACUCACAAAGCAUAUUCAUGUUCAUAAUCAGAGGAGUAAUAAUAUGCAUAAAGGAUCUGAACAUAUGAUCUUCCACCAAGUAAACCAAUUAGCAUCAACUACAAGGAGUAAUCAACACUACUAGCAACCCACAGGUACCAAUUUGUGGUUUUGAUACAUGAUUGGAUGCAAGAGAUGAAGUAGGGUUUUGAGAGGAGAUGGUGCUGGUGAAUAUGUUGAUGAAGAUUGACCCCCUCCCGAUGAGAGGAUCGUUGGUGAUGACAUUGGUGAUGAUUUCCCCCUCCCAGAGGGAAGUGUCCCCGGCAGAACAGCUCCGCCAGAGCCCUAGAUUGAUUCUGCCAAGGUUCUGCCUCGUGGCGGCGGAGUUUCGUCCGGUAAGCUUGCCCACGAUUUUUUCCAGGGUAAAAGUGAUGAUAUAGUAGAAGAUGGACGCCGGAGGCCCACCAGGGGGCCCAGGAGAUAGGGGGCCGCGCCCUAUAGGGGGGGGGGGCUGUCUCCUGGACAGGGUGUGGGCCCCUUGGCCUAUUUCUUUCGCUCAUAAAUUCUUAUUAAAUCCAAAAAGUUGUUUCGUGGAGUUUCAGGACUUUUGGAGUUGUGCAGAAUAGGUUUCCAACAUUUGCUCCUUUUCCAGCCAGAAUUCCAGCUGCCGGCAUUCCCCCUCUUCAUGGUAAACCUUAUAAAAUAAGAGAGAGUAUCCAUAAGUAUUGAGAUAUAAUGUGUAAUAACAGCCCAUAAUGCAAUAAAUAUUGAUAUAAAAGCACGAUGCAAAAUGGACGUAUCAGUAUUACCACUACAACCAGCCUCACUUAGAAAUAGUAUGCGAGUAUUUUUCCAUGUGAGUUUGCGUGUGCUCUUCACUCAUGUCCUACUAUCUUGCAAUGGAUGCAAAUUAGUUCCUUUGUUCUGCUUCGCUUGAUCGUCGGCUAGCUAGGCUGCAGUUUGGGCUAACAAUUGGCAUCAGAGCCCCAGGUUGCGGUAGCCAUGGCCGGUGCAAAUGGAGUGCAGCAACGCACCACCUCGGGUGGUUCCCAGUCGCGGCCAUCACAGGACGGCUCCCAGUCGCCGCCUCCGGAGGAGCGGCGAGGGCGCAGCCGGUCCAGGCACGACCAUCACGGUGAGGUCGUGGUUAGGGAGAUCGUGCGCGAGACCGCAAUCAGCGGUAGCGUGCCCAUCACCUUCCCGAUACUCACGCGCUCGAACUGCAGUGAGUGGGCACUGAUCAUGGAGUGCAACCUCCAUGCGGCGAGCCUUUGGGUUCCCAUGGAGGACAACCUGGUCGAGAGAAAGGAGGACAGGAAAGCCGUGGCAGCACUCAUGUGUGCCAUGCCGUCGAAGAUGCACGGCAUGUUCGCGGCGAAGGCAAGCGCCAAGGAGGCGUGGGAAGCCAUCCGUACCCAGCGCCUUCGCAGCAACAGCGUGCGCGAGGCGAACACGCAGAAGCUAUGGGCGGACUUCGAGAACAUCACCUUCAAGGAGGGCGAGCUCGUCGACGACUUUGCCAUGCGGAUCUCCAGCCUUGCGUCGCAGCUCCGCACGCUCAGCGACACCAUGGACGACGCGAGAGUUGUGUGGAAAUUUCUCUGCGUCGUGCCACCUCGCUUCGCUCAGAUAGCGGUCUCCAUCGAGACUUUGCUUGACCUGAGCGAGCUCUCCAUCGAGGAGCUCACGGGCCGGUUGCAGGUGGUUGAGGACCGCCUUGAUGAUGGUCGCGAGAGCUUCGGCAGUGGACAACUCCUAUUCUCGAAGAACUAGGAGGCGAGGAAGCGUCAAAGACGUGGUGGCGGUGCCCCGAGUAGUGGAGGCGGCACCGGCAGAGGUGGCGGUCGCACCCAGGGCAGAGCUGGACGAGGUGCCGGCAACGACGACCGGGAAAAGUGCCGAUAUUGCAGCAUCAAGGGCCACUGGGCCCGUGAGUGCCGCAAGAGGAUGGCUGACGAGGAUGCCGCAGCCGCGGCAAAUCUCGUGCAGGCUGAAGAGGACGGUGGGCCAGCAAUGAUGAUGGCUUGCAUCGAGACCAUGCAGGAGGGCGCAACGCCUCCAGAGAGCAUGGUCCCGACAAGCAUCGAAGCCGUGCAGGAGGGCGCAGCACCUCCGUCGACCACGGUGCCGGCAACCGUCAAGUCCGUGCGGGAGGCACGGAGAUCUUCAAGUAAUCCCCUCUUGACAUCGGUAGUGCUCUCCCCGACAACAACGUUCUCGGGGGCCUACGACUGGGAGGAGAUGAAGACCCGGGUGUGGGGGAGCCACACCCCUGCAACCACGUCCCUUGUGACGCUGGUCAAGCCUGUGCAAGUUGGCACGGCAAUCGCGGCCCCGACAUCCUAGGGACCCAACAAGCCCGUGUCAGGACGCACGGCAACGACACAUAUGGUGGGCCACGUCCCAACCAUGAUGCUGGCGACCAGUGAGCCCGUGCAAGAGGCAUGGUACUCUCAGGUUGGCCACACCCCGACAACCAGGUUCUCGGGGUUCUGCAAGCCCAUGUGGGCGACACGGCACUCUUCGACAGGCCUCAACUGGGGGGCGAUGAAGAGACGGUCAUGGGGCAACAAGGCCUCAACCAUGACUAUGGCGGCCGUCGAGACCGUGCAGUAGCCACGGUGCUCUAUGGUCGGCCACACCACGACCUCGACACGCUCGGGGUCCAUUGAGUCCGUGCAGGAGGAACGGCACUCUCUGGUCGGGCAUGCACCGACCACGCUGGUGGCGACUCUCGAGACCGUGCAGGAGGUACAGUGCUCUAUGGUCGGCCAUGCCGCAGCCCCGAUGCGCUCGGGGUCCAUCGAGUCCGUACGGGAGGCACGACUCAUAGCUGUUGGGGGAGACCCGACAAGCAAGUCUAUUGGGAAGAGCGACAAGGAGUCCGCUACCUUGGUAGAAGCCACUCCUGGUAGUGCGGUGUCCGACAAGUCAUCCCCGGGAAGGGAGUUCCCGGGUAGCAUGACGUCUGACAUGACGGCUCUGGGAAGGGAGUUCCCGGGCAGUGUGACAUGAGGAACUACGACCCCAGCAACUCUGACGCCUAAUAGCGAGGUGCUUCUUGGGCAGUUUCUGUCCCCGCCUACAACGCGGUCGGACCCGUUCGACGCCAACAACGUUGGCGAUCCACAUAAGUUGCGACGCGUAGGGGGGACUUUUCGAGCAGAGCCUACGGGACGACCACAACACCCCGAGAAGACGGACAAUCGGACCAAGGCACUUGGUCGUGUUCAGUUCCAGGAGUUGUACGACAAGGUCGGGAUCAUCGACGUCAAGCUCCUUCGACAGGGUUGAGGGGGAGAUUGUUGAUCAACCCAGUCUACAGGGUGUUGUAUGCUAGGCUUUCUCCGGUCAAAAGGCUGAGGCGGAGAAAGAGUAUCAGGCUUUAGCUAGUAGAAAGGCUGAGGUGGAGAAGUAGUGUUAGGCUUUAGCUAACUAAAAAGGCUGAGCUGAAUAGAACAUGCAUAGUAGUAGCACCGUAAGUGCCAUCCGGGUCCUAUAAAAGGAGCUGCUCCCCAUCGGUUGUAAGCAGGAGAAGUAGCAAUCAAAAGUUUAGUAGUAUUACCACUACAACCAGCCUCACUUAGAAGUAGUACGCGAGUAUUUUUCCAAGUGAGUGUGUGUGCGCUCUUCACUCAUGUCCUACUAGCUUGGACUGGCAGCAAAUUAGUUUCUUUCUUCUGCUUCGCUCGAUCGUUGGCUAGCUACGCUGUAGUUUGGGCUAACAGAUCCGCCCCUGCACGGUAGAGAUGGUCCAUGCUUGCAUUGGUUAGAACAGAUUAUGAGGCACGGCCACAAUGAUCGUUCUAAUUUCCCGUGGUAGGUACGAUUUGGGAAAGUUGAGUUCAUGCAUUGUUUGAGAGAGGCCAACAGGCAUUGCUCCUACUAUAUCUACUAGUAUGUAUACACGUGCAACACAUGUCUUAAUAUAACAGAGCGAUUUUCAUAAAAGGGAAAAGAUUUGAUAGAUAUGCUAAUAGAUUCAAAUAAAAAUUAUAGUGAUGUAUAAAUGCUAAUAUUAGUUAAAUAUUGUAAAAGCAAGAACUAGUAUUCAAACCAUAAAACUAUACGUUCAUUUAAAAAGAACUGAACGUUGCUUCACUUUCUCCCUGUGCUCCUUUUUUUUGGAGAAAUCUCCACAUUCUCCUACUAAACCAUCACGUCUGGGCUCAAUCAAACCAUCUGGUGGUCAUGUGGUAACACGGCCCAUCAGGGCCAGUUAUGAGCUUUUUUCCCCUAGAAACGACACAUGAUUGUUCUAGAACACAGUAGAGGUAGCAGCGGUGUACCAUUCAUGCAAAUCCUGCUGAUAUUCUCUGUUGGAUUUAAAAGACUAACGGGUAUGAUUGAUGUUCUUAGUCCUACUUAAGAUUCGUACACUAUAGUAGUGUAGAAGUCUGCUUAUGAAUUUAUGAUCACAGUUAGGUCGCCCAGCCAUCUGAUUUUCUUGUAAAUGUCCUCGUGCACGAUGUAAGUAUUACACAUAAUCAAUAAAGGUUGUCAUGAUGAUUUUUCCUUAAUAAAAACUAAUAUGAAAAUAUUCUCAACAAAGUAGAGAGAGAGAGAGAGAGAGAGAGAGAGAGAGAGAGAGAGCCAAAGUCGUUAAGUGUUAGCAAAUAAAAAAAUUAGAUGAAGGGUUAGCAACUUUUUUUUAGAUGAAGGGUUUAGCAGUUGAUCUCCAAUUCAACCACGCAGAUCCUCCUCUCCAUCCCCGAUCGAUCCUUCCAGUGCGGCCGGAUCGAGCAAUGCCCGCCGUCGCCGUCCUCCCGCCGGACAUGCUAGCAAACAUCCACCGCCGCCUGAGCCUUCUCGACCGCCUCGCCUUCGCCGCCGUCUUCCGCUCCUCACGAGAUGCGUUCAGGCCGGAGGCGCCCUGCCUCGUCCUGCCAGGCGACUCCCCGGACGCCGUCACACUCUUCUCCCUGGCCGGCCGCAUCGCCGCAGCUACGCGUGCCCCGGGCCCCGACCACCGCUUCCUGGGUUCAUCAUCCUCCCGCGGAUGGAUGGCCACCGCUGACGCCUUCGCCCAGAUGCGCCUCGUCAACCCGGUCACCGGCGAACGCCGCGCGCUCCCAGCCAUCGACACGAUCUGCCACUCCGUUGAUGAAGGGCGCCAUCACUUCAUGGUUGACUUGAAGUUGUUCCAAAGGGUGCCACCGCCGUACCCCAUCGGCAACAUGAGGUUCACAGCUAAGGCGAUGCGCCGCUUCUUUUACCGCAAGGUCGUUCUCUCCGACUCCGGUGAUAUCGCCAUGCUGAUAACAGGGCCGGAGUACAGCGCCGGGCGUUCGCCAUAGCAGGGGGCGGCACGUGGAGGUUCGCACACGACGGCGUUGAGCCGGUCGCCAUGAUCGAGGGCGGCUCCUGGAGGCUGUGGCACUCGCGCAACGGCAUCGAGGAUGCCAUCCAUCACGAGGGCAGGUUCUACUCUAUCACGUACUCCGGCAAAUUGGAGGUCUGGGAGGAGCGCGAUGUGGAUGACCCCGGAGUUUUCACGAGCGCGGUGGUCACGCCGAGCCUGCUGCUGCUGUCGGACGGCCCGGACCACCGCAAGUACCUCGUCGCAGUACCUUGCGGGCAGCUGAUGAUCGUGCUCAAGGAGCCAAUGGGUGACCGGACGUUACCGUCCUUUAGGGUGCACGUCCUCAGCGGGGGCGCCGAGGAGUGGAAGGAGACAGACGACAUCGGUGACGCCUCGCUGUUCGUCGGGACGAUGGGUUGCUUGUGUGUGUCGACGAGGGAGCACCCGGAGCUCAGGGCGGGCUGCAUCUACUACACCACGGACGGCUGCGUCGUGAUGUUUAGCCUCAAGGUGGGCAGGGUGGAGCAAGUCGAGGGCCUCGGGACGCACCGGAGCUGGCCGCCGCUGGAGUGGUUCACGCCUUACAUCCCACGAUAGGUAGAUAACAUGAUUGAUUCCGUAGCUUUUUGGGGUGGGUUAAAUUGCAAGGUUGAAAUUUAUGUGCAUUACAGAUUUAAUGUACAGUACAGAUGAUUCAGAAUACAAUUUUGGCAGCUUCUUUUGUGCCUACAAAUUGCAAGAUAUAGCAAAGGUGGCCAUUUUAGGUUGCUUUUAAAUUCUUUGAGGAAGAUGUUUAAUUCUUUGACUUGAUUUGAUGCUUUUUCUAACCAUGCAGAAGAGCUGCAUGUAUUUUAUUAAAGGUAUAUAUCCAAAAUACAAGCCAAUUGCACGAGGAUAAAAGGACGGAUCCCCACAAAAAUUAAUUACACUAAACUGGAACAACCCAGACUAAUGAUGCCACAUAUCCUUGAGCGGAAGAGAAGCAUGGUGAACGACCUUCGCUCAAACCAGCCCAUUGGAGCACCGAUCUUCACAAAAGAGAGAUGAUGAUAGAUCUCAUGAAGAUAUGAUGGGCCGUUUCCUGAGAAGACUUGCAGAAGCAACAAUAAUAUUAAUUAAUUAUUAAUAAUAUUAAUUUGAUCUUAUGAUACUUGCAACAAAGAUUAUUAAUUAGUUUUAUCAUUGUGAGGCUUCUUGAUUAACAGGUUUAAUUUCAGAGCUGAACAGAAGAGGUCAGUAAUUAUAAUGGUUAUUAAUUCCAAACUUCAACCAAGGCAACAACAAGCUGCACUUGUUUUCGCUCUCUAAUACAGUUUAUGCAUGUGCUACUGGUGCUUUGGUGCUGCACAGAUCUGCACUUUGAGCUGUAGUACAAAUCUGCACAGACCUACAUUUGGGUUUGAGAGCUAUAUGAGGUGAAUUAUGAUACAAUUAGGGGCACUGAGCAUACUAGGCAACUCAGACUUUCUUUUAAGCAUCUCCAAGCUAGACAUGGUGUGGCUGUACCCUGCUGAUAAACUUAUGUAUGUCAUCCUAGCAAUGAUUUUGAUGAUUCCAACCUUCUGAGAAUAUGCAAGUACACGAAGCUACAUAUCUUAAUUUGCAAGAACUUAGGAAAGAACACAGGUUCUUGUAAUGGACAAAUGGUAUACUGAACUUCUGUGCAUGCGUGUGAUUCUUGUGCAUAUUCACAAAUGACUUCCCAGAUAGUAAUGCCAACCGGAAGCAUCUUCCAUACCUUGAAAUUUCCAGAGCUUGUCCUUUGAAGAGGAUUCUUUCAACUUUCCGUUGGCUUAUCAUCUGCAGGUUUUAUAUGCCACGAAAUGCAACCUAGAAAGCUUGUUUCCUGUCCAGCUUUUACUUUACUGUUGUUCAAAAUUCCCUAUAGACUGUAAAUUAGUUAUGUACUAUAUGCAGCAACAAUCGCCCUUAAAUCAAUAUCAGUAAAGUACGCUGGCUCUGAUUGAAGACACCUACAUGCAUUGUAUAUCUUGUUUGUGCUUGUUAGUUCCAAGUUCAGUCCGUAUAGAGUUUUGAUCUGUUCAUAUUUUCCAAAAAGAAAUUUGUGAUGCUUACAAUAGUUCUAUACAGGUGACAUUUUUCAAAAAAAAACGCCCCUCCACGAAACAAGUUUUCGACUUGCUAUAUAUAUAAAGCAACGAUCAAACAGAGUACACGAAGGAACGAUACAAGGAUAGAGUGGUCCUCAAACAAUACCGAUCCCAGGAAAACAAAAUCACGUAGGAUGCACACGACUACGCUAUGGAAAUAUAGUAUUAGGAUGAACAAAGAACAGCAACACAAUAAGACCUAUAACACCUAAGCUCCACGACAUCACCCCUAGGAGAGAGAACUAAGCGUCGCCGUUGCCGAGCCCACACAAGACAAAGAUUUUCACUCGGAACCCGAACACAGAUAGGAGCACCAUGAUGACGCCUUCAAGAAGAUAACGAUGCCCGCGAGCUUCUCCGUCGUCGGUGACAAAGUGAGGAGCCUUCUCUCGGCAGCUCCCCGACGUCACCACGAGGUCUCCACGGCCAGCGCGAGGAGCACAGAACUCCAGAUCUGGAUCAGGGCAUCGCCACCGUCAGAGAAAGAGAGUGCGCGAGCCACCCGCUGCACCACCUUUCGCUGCCCACACGACCAAGAGGGAAGGCCAUCACCACAGCCAUUGUGCCCGCCGGAGAGUCAACCAUGUGAACUGCCAUGGGGGGCGCCACCCAGGUACCCAUGUCCAAGACUCCAACAACCGCCCACAUCAUGGUGCAACCGCCAUGGUAGGAAGAGUAAAAGGCGACACCUUUCACUCCUAGCCCAAGCAUCAGCCACAUAGUAUAGGUCGACGCCUCCAAAGUAGGAGGCAUCCACGCUUGCAUCUCCAGCCGGUCCCGGUGGACCAGGGAAGACACCACCCGUGACUACCGACGGCCGUUGUUGAGCACACUUGCACGACGCCAUGACCGUGUCCCUUGACGCCGAUCUUCAUGGAAGUGUAGCACAGACCUCACCACCACCAACGCCCACCGUACCCACGAGGAGAGGAACCUCAAUGCCCACAGGCACCUCCUGGAUCGAGACAAGCGUACCUACCCGGAGUUGGAACUCCGACUCGCCCCGGGCCCCGUCAUGAUCUGCCCAAGCACGAGCCCCGACUCGCAGCCACGCCGCUAGCCUAGAACCAGGGGUAGGAGUCCCACUGCACCUCCACCCAGCGCCUCCGGUGGGGUACGAGAACCAGCUCCAAACGCCGUCACCGCACCGAUUUGCACCACACGUGCCCCUGUACGAGGUCACCAUAGCUACAGACGCCGCCGGACCACCCCGCCAAGGCACACACCCCCACGCCAGCUACCUCCAGCACCCAAUACCACUAGUAAUGGCAGGCCCAUGCGGCCCAUAGGUAGCAGCCCACAUGAGGCCUCCCAAGACAGAUCUGUGUCGGGAAGCCCACCGCUAGGACCCCACGCAGGUACGCUCUGCCGCACCCCCGACUUGCAGCCACCCGCGCCGUCACAACAGGACGCCAUCGCCCGGUCGCACCGAUCGUAGUUGAGCCGCUUAGCCCCUGCAGAACCACGCUCCUCUGCUCGAUGCCGUUGUCCCUCGCCAGCCACCGCGAUGAGGUCAUUUGUUAAGCAAGCAACUAUUCAGACUACUCUUCUCUUUUGUUAAGCAACAACAUUUGUUCCCCUUGACUAUUGAAAUGAAUCAUACGAACGGCAUUCCCGAUUUCUAUCGCUGCUCGAGUACCACUCUUUUUUUUAAAAAGAAACUUCCAAUCUAUUCAGUUUCGAUCAUGGUAGUACAAAGAACAAUAGAGGUAAUAAAAAUUACGACCAUGUCCGUGGACCACCUAGCGACGACUAUAAGCACCAGUGUCGGGCAAACCUUAUUGUAGUAAGCAGUCUGGAAGUCGUCGUGCUAAGGCCCCAUAGGACCAGCGCACCAGAGUAGCAACCAUCGCAGAUGAAAAAGUCGUUGAUCAAAAGGAUCAAACCUGUAAAUACCCAAAUGAAGACGAACGAAGAACGGAUCCAAUCAGAUCCACCGAAGACCAGCACCGACCAAAUCAUGCGAGAUCUGAUGGAGACAAACCUCCUCACACCCUUCGAUAGACACACCAUCGGGACUGGGAUAGAACGUGGGAGACAUUAUUUUCUAAGGGAUAUCGCCGCCACCACACAACCCCAACCAAGACGUUGAAUCUAACAAGAACGGAAACAGGGUCCCUCACGCAGGCGGGGGGCUGAGUCCUCCGCACCUCCAUGGCCUGGAGGCCAUCGGAGAUGGGGUGGACCGACGCCGGCACCGGCAGGAGGAGAAGAGCUUUUCUUGUGGAGUACUUGAGUACCACUCUUAGGGCACAUUUCUCAGGAAGAGAUUUCAGAACUAAAUGAACCCACGGUUUUUGGUUUGCAACUUCCUUCUUGCCUUUUAAAUUAGUAUAUUACCUUAGUGCCAUAAUUAUCGUCGAGGUUUUAGUUCGUAUUGAGCUGCAUGUAACAAAGUUGGCAUUCCGCUAAGUUGGUACUGGUUGUUUCAAAUUUGCUGUGACAACUUGUUAGUACGAAAUUAACAGUGUAUAUUGUUGUGAAAAAGUCCCAUAAUCUGUUUAUCAGGACAGCUCAUAUUUACAGCACAAGUUGGUUUGCGAGGUUCAGACAUUGCCGUGGUUGCUGUUUCAGUUCCAAGGGAGUCGGUUAAAAAAGGUCGGCGCUUUUGGGUUUUACUACUUCAUAACGAGGAGAGGCGAUCCGAUACGAUCGGAUCCGAAUUCUGCGGGCAAUGCAGUGCGGCGAAACCAAUCAACAAUGGCCGCCGCCGCCGCUGCCGCCAGGCGCCAGCCUCCCGCCGGACAUGCUGGCCAACAUUCACGGCAGGCUGAGCCUCCUCGACCGCCUGUCAUUCGCCGCCGUCUUCCACACCUCGCGCGCCACGUUCAAGCCGGAGGCGCCGUGGCUCGUCCUGCCCGGCGACACCCCGGAGACCGCCACGCUCUUCUCCCUCUCUGACCGCGGUGCCGCCACCGCACGCGCCCCGUGGGCCGACCACGUCGUCUUGGGAUCCUCCUCCCGCUGCUGGCUCGUCACCGCCGACGACGAGGCCCGGCUGCGCCUCGUCAACCCGGUCACCGGCGAGCGGUGCGCGCUCCCGGCCAUCACCACCAUCCCCUGCCUCAUCGAGAAGUGGGGUGGCUUCACGAUGGUCGAUCAAAAAGAGUUCCUCAGGGGUCCCCCGUACCCCGGCGGAGGCGACCGCCGGCCAGUUGGGACGUAUACAAUUCGUGCCGACCUGAUGCGCCACUUUUUCUAUCGAAAGGUCGUUGUCUCUGAUUCCGCCGCCAUGCUGAUCACCACACCGCAACUCGGCGUCCCGGCCUUCGCCACGGCGGAGGGCGGCGAGUGGAGGCUGGCGCCCUCGCACGACGGCGUCGAGGACGCCAUACACUACAAUGGCAAGUUCUACUCCAUCACGUACACCGGCGUCGUGGAGGCGUGGGAGCAGAGCCCCGAUGCCACCGGCAUGUUCACCAGCGCGGUGGUCGCGCCAAGGCUGCCCAAUGCGGACGGCGAUCCAUGGUCAUGCCGCAAGUACCUUGUGGCGGCGCCGGGCGGGAGGCUGAUGGUGGUGCUCGAGGACUCCAAGGACAUCACGGAUGAAUACUACGGUCGUCUUAGGACAUGCUCCUUCAAGGUGCAGAUCCUCGAUGCCAACGGCGAGCAGUGGAAGGAAACAGAUGACAUCGGCGAUGCUGCUCUGUUCGUCGGGGUGAACAGUUCGAUGUGCGUGUCAACUAGCGAGCACCCAGAGAUCAGGGCCGGCUGCGUCUACUACACCGAGAACGAUGUGGGGCCGUGCAAUGACGCGUAUGAUCAGAGUGGCGUCGGGGUGUUCAACCUCAAGGAUGGCAGGGCGGAGAAGGUCCAGGGCCUCGGGCAGCACCGGAACUGGCCACCGCCGGCAUGGUUCAUUCCUUCCUUCCAAUGAUAAAAAGAUAUGAUGAUUGAUUUGGUAGGUUGGCUACAGAUUACAGAAGUGCAGAUGCGGUGAAACGGAUUGAGAAUUAAGGAAACAGUUUGGUUUGCACCUUUUCUCUUUUUUCGCCUUUCAAAUCGCCGCACAGAAAAUAAUUAGACGGUCCUUUUCGGUUGUUUUCAAGUUUUUUGAGGAAACAUUUUAAUUAGUUGGCAGGACUUGGAUAUGAGUGCAUGCUAUAUAUGAUUUUUAAUUAAUUAUUGCAUUGUGAGGUUUCUGAAUUAACAGGUUUAAUUCAGAACUAAACGAAGAGAACAAUGGUUAUAAUUAUCUAUUCCAAACUGCAGCCAAGCUAACAACAAGCUACACUUGUUUUCUAGGAUGGAUAGAUUAUUUCGAAGGGAAUUCAUUGAAUUGUGCAGCAAAGAUAGCUAAGGUAGUGUAAUUUAUUUACCUCGCUAAUACAGCAUAUAUAUACAUGCUGAUGUUGGUGCUGGUGCUUGUGUAACAUCCCAUGGAUAUAUAGAGCCUGAGCUUAUUGAAGCAGGGUUCAGACUAGUAAUAUUUUGUGUUUGUGUUUUGACUUUUGAUUGUUUCAAACUGCAACCAUGCAUCGUAAACCAGCUCUGGAAUAUGUUUACCUACCAUGCAUGAUCAUUUAUCACAGCACUGUAUCUGCAUGAUUAACAGAUUAAGGUUAGUUUGAAGUUUGAACAGGCAAAUUCGAGAGAGUACAACGGCAGUGUGGUUAAGGUCUUGUCCAGAGGAGAUUGUAAACUUAUGUGCCGCGGAUCAAACUGAUCCGAUUUAAUAAAUAAAUCUCCUUUUUUCGCAAAAAAUAACCUAUUUCAAUGUAGUAGUUUUGAAGGGCUGAGAUCUCGAUGCCACCGAUCAUAUUUCAGUCUGAAAAUAUAAUGAAUUGAUUAAUACCUUGUGAGGUUGCUGGAUUAAUAGGUUUAAUUCAUAAGUAAACUGAAGAGAACUGUAAUUAUAAUUAUUGCGAACUGCAACCAAGUUAACAACCUGCAAUGGUUUUCUAGGAGGAAUUGGUUGCGGUCAACGGCAGAGCUAUGUUGAGGCCGGGGGUGCUGGAAUUUAAUCUAUUUUGGGACAGCCCAAUAACUAUUUCAGAAAUUCCAAAUUAAUCCUAGAGGCCCACUUAGCCCAUUCGUGCAAGGUAAGGGAUAUUACUAAAGCUUAGUCCCACAUUGCUAGUUUAGUGGGAGCUGGACCUUUUUAUAAGGGAGGUUUUUCCCAACUUGUAUCAGCAUGAGAACAAGAGGGACAUCCACGCGCGCUCCUCCUCCGCCGCCCGCCGCGCCGCCCCGCGCCGCGCCGCGGGUUGCGGGAAUGAGCCGAGCACGACGGGUAUACGAAAGGUCAAAUGGACGGCAGCCCUAUUCGCUUCAUCUCCGUCUCUUUGUUUCACCUUACCUCGCUGCCCUCUCGCCUCUCUCUCUCUGCCUAUAAAAGGGAGGUCGCUCCUCUCCAGAGAAGGGUGAACGCGACUACUGACUUCUUCGUCACGGACGCCCCGGACUACGACGACUACUUCCCCGACGUCGACGACAUGGUUGGCGAGGACACCGACCCCAAGACCGGUGCUUCUGCUCCCGUUUCGUACAUUCUCAUACUCUUUCUGUUAGAGAUUCUACCACAACUUCUUGCUCUAAUGUCUGUUCUAGAUGUGUUCCGUUCUAGUUCAUAUAUGCAGAUGCUAUUUACCUUCUCUCUGUAAGUUUGCAUGACUUACUUUAUCUCUGCUAUAUUAGUCAUGUGUUUUUUAGUAUUUCCGUUAAUAAAAUUAUUCGGUAAAUUGCUCAUAUUUCCAACAAUCCAAAAACCUUAUUAUUGGCAAUUUUACCAAGAGUGGUUUUGCUGCUUCCAUGAGACCUCCUACGUUUGAGGGUAUCCACUAUAAGAGGUGGCGCGUGACAGUAGUUCUAUGGUUUCAAACCAUGAGCUGCUAUGACGCCACUCUUGGCAAACCUGAAGGAGAAUAUGAUGCUCAACAGGAACAAGCUUUUAGAAAAUGGAUACCCUGUUUAAGGCUGCUCUUUUGAGUAGUGUUCUUGGUGAGAACAUAGUUGAUGCUUAUGCGUUAAUUGAUAAUGGAAAAGAUAUGUGGGACGCACUCGAGGCCAAGUUUGGUGUCUCGGAUGCUGGCACCGAGUUGUACAUCAUGGAGCAAUUCUGUGAUUACAGGAUGACUGAAGAGGGGUCUGUGGUUGAGCAAGCUCAUGAGAUACAAUCAUUUGCUAGAGAACUUGAGCACUUCAAUUGUAUGCUACCGGACAAAUUUGUUGCCGGAGAUAUCAUCACUAAGCUUCCUCCUUCGUGGAGGAACUUUGCUAGCUUACUGAAGCAUAAGAGGCAGGAGUUUUCCGUUCUGGAUCUCAUUGGUACUCUUGAUGUGGAAGAAAAGACGAGAGCAAAGGACAACCUUGCUUGAGGUAUUGAGGGGGGGGGGUUCUAGUGCCAAUCUAGUACAUAAGUAAAACUUCCAGCCCCACAAGUUCAAGAACAAGGACAAGUUUGAUGGUAAAGCAAAGUUUGAUGGGAAGAACAAGGCUGUGUCGCACAUGAACUUCAAGAAAAAGAAUCACAAGAAGAAAGGUGUUUGCCAUUUGUGUGGAGAUCCUGAUCAUUGGGCUCCUAGUUGCCCUACUCGCUAUGACAAGCGUCAUCUUGGGAAAGGCGGCAAGACCGCUAAUGUUGUCAUUGGAGGCACUGACAUGAAGGAUGCUGGGUAUGGCAUAUUUUACACUAUUCUUUCAGUAUGUCCUGAUUGGUUGAUUGACACGGGUGCUAAUGUGCAUGUACGCGGUGAUAUUUCCAUGUUUUCAUCUUAUCAGACCACAGGGACUUCCACCGUGCUGAUGAGCAACGGUUCAAGUGCUUCUGUUCGUGGUGUUGGCACGGUCGAUCUAAAGUUUACUUCGGGGAAGAUCAUGCGGCUGAAGAACGUGCAUUAUGCCCNNNNNNNNNNNNNNNNNNNNNNNNNNNNNNNNNNNNNNNNNNNNNNNNNNNNNNNNNNNNNNNNNNNNNNNNNNNNNNNNNNNNNNNNNNNNNNNNNNNNNNNNNNNNNNNNNNNNNNNNNNNNNNNNNNNNNNNNNNNNNNNNNNNNNNNNNNNNNNNNNNNNNNNNNNNNNNNNNNNNNNNNNNNNNNNNNNNNNNNNNNNNNNNNNNNNNNNNNNNNNNNNNNNNNNNNNNNNNNNNNNNNAAUCUUGUUAGCGGAUCUCUUCUGUGUAGAGAUGGCUACAAGCUUGCCUUUGAGUCGAAUAAAUUUGUAAUAUCCAAGUAUGGAACCUUUGUUGGUAAAGGCUAUGAGUCAGGUUCGUUUAUCCUUGUCAGAUGUUUGCAAUAAAGAAAUCAUGUUUGCAACAAUAGUGAAUCAAAUGUGUGGAAUUCACAUCUCUAUGGUGUUAAAUUUGGUUGCAUAUCGCGAUUAGCCAAGUCGAACUUAAUCCCUAGUUUCACCACUAUUAAGGGAUCUAAGUGUCAAGUGUGUGUGCAAGCUAAGAAACCUCGUAAGUCCCAUACGACUACGGAAACAAGAAAUCUGCACCACUAGAGCUCAUACAUUUAAAUCUUUGUGAAAUGAAUGGUGUGUUGACAAAAGGUGGAAAGAAGUAUUUUAUGACGUUAAUUGAUGACUCCACUACAUAUUGCCAUGUGUAUCUUCUGAAAUCUAAGAAUGAGGCUUUGAACUAUUUCAAGAUCUAUAAAGCUAAAGCGGAAAACCAACUUGAUCGAAAGAUCAAGAGGCUUAUGUCCGAUCGUGGUGGAGAGUAUUUCUCAAAUGAAUUUGAUUCCUUUUGUGCGGAACAUGGUAUAAUCCAUGAGAGGACGCCUCCCUAUUCACCUCAUUCAAAUGGGGUGGCCGAAAUAAAGAACUGUACUCUAAUUGAUUUCGGUAACGCCAUCUUAGAUACAUCGGGUCUCUCCAAGGCAUGGUGGGGGGAGGCGAUAUUGACUGCAUGUCAUGUCCUAAACCGAGUUCCCACAAAGAACAAAGAGAUAACUCAUUUGAGGAAUGGGAGGAGAAAAGGUUAAAGCUCUCUUAUCUACGAACCUGGGGUUGUUUGGCGAAAGUCAAUGUCCCAAUUUCAAUGAAGCGGAAGCUGGGACCAAAAACUGUGGAUUGUGUUUUCCUGGGAUAUGCUUUUAAUAGCAUUGGUUAUAGAUUCUUGGUUGUAAAAUCUGAGAUACGUGACAUGCAUGUCGGUACGGUCACGGAGUCAAACGAUGCAACUUUCUUUGAAGAUAUCUUUCCCAUGAAGGAUAUAGCUACCUUAUCUAAUCAGGAGAUGCCUAGUUCAUCGAAUCAGGAACCGGUUACAAAUUAUUGAACCUGCCAUUUCGAUGGAACACUUUGAAAAUCUUGUGGAGGAGAACAAUGAAGUUCCUACUAGGAGCAAGAGAUAGAGGACUGUGAAGUCCUCUGGUGAUGAUUUUUUGUGUGUACCUCUUAGAUGACACUCCCAGUUCUAUUUCAGAGGUCGAUGCAUCUGAAGAUGCUGACUACUGGAAGGAAGCGGUCCGUAGUGAGAUGGGUUCCAUCUUGGCAAAUGAAACUUGGGAGAUAACUGAUUGUCCUUAUGGGUGCAAACAUAUAGGGUGCAAAUGGGUAUUCGAGAAGAAGCUUAGGCCUGAUGGUACUAUCGAAAAGUACAAGGCACGACUCGUGGCUAAGGGUUAUACCCAAAAGGAAGAUGAAGACUUCUUUGAUACUUACUCACCUAUGGCGCGACUGACCACUAUUUGAGUACUACUUUCACUAGCUGCCUCACAUGGUCUUCUCGUUCGUCAAAUGGAUGUUAAGACUGCUUUCCUAAAUGGAGAUUUGGAAGAGGAAAUUUAUACGAAACAACCAGAUGGUUUUGUAGUAGAUGGUCAGGAAGGAAAAGUGUGCAAGUGGCUUAAGUGUUCGUAUGGACUCAAGCAAGCACCCAAACAAUGGCAUGAGAAGUUUGAAAGAACUUUAAUAGCAGCAGGCUUUGUUAUAAACGAAGCUGAUAAAUGUGUGUACUAUCGCCAUGGUGGGGGCGAGGGAGUUAUCCUUUGUUUGUAUGUUGAUGACAUACAGAUUUUUGGAACAAAUCUGAAUGUUAUUGAGGAGGUCAAGUAUUUCCUAUCUUGUUGUUUUGAGAUGAAGGUUUUAGGAGUGGCUGAUGUCAUUCUGAACAUCAAGUUGUUGAGAGACGAUGAUGGUGGGAUUACAUUGCUUCAAUCUCACUAUGUGGAAAAGAUCUUGAGUCGCUUUUGCUACAGUGACUGCAAGCCCUCUCCAACACCAUAUGAUGCUAGUGUGUUGCUCCGAAAGAAUUGAAGAAUUUCUAGAGACCAAUUGAAAUAUUCUCAGAUUAUUGGCUCGCUUAUGUAUUAACUAGUGCUACAAGACCUGACAUCUCUUUUGUUGUUAGCAAACUGAGCCAGUUUGUCUCAAAACUAGGAGAUGUUCAUUGAAAAGCUCUAGGGAGAGUUAUGCAUUACUACGAGUUACGAAAUUCACUACACUAGGUACCCAAAGGUACUGGAAGGGUAUAGUGACUCAAACUGGAUCUCAGAUGCUGACGAGAUAAAGGCCACGAGCGGAUAUGUAUUCACUCAUGGUGGUGGCGUUGUUUCUUGGAACUCUUGCAAGCAGACCAUCUUAACAAGGACAACAAUGGAAGCAGAACUCACAACACUAGAUACAGCUACGACCAAAGCAGAUUGGCUUCGUCGGCUCUUGAAUGACUUGUCGGUUACUGAGAAACAUGUACCGGGUAUCCUUAUGAACUGUGACAAACAAACUGUGAUCACGAAAGUGAGCAACUCAAAGGAUAACAUGAAGUCAAUAAUACACGUUCAGAGAAGGUUAAAGUCUGUCAGAAAAAUGAAAAACUAUGGAGUUAUUGCAUUGGAUUAUAUCCAAACGUCUAAAAAUCUAGCAGAUCCUUUUACUAAGGGUCUAUCACGUAAUGUGAUAGAUAAUGCAUCAAAGGAGAUGGGUAUGAGACCCACAAUAUGGGUUGUUCACAGUGGUAACCUAGUCUAUGUGAUCAUAGAUCCCGUGAAUCAGAUGUGGAGACAAUAUGUUGGUAAACUGAGAGGAGAGUAUCCUUACUGUUAACAAUACCACUCCAUGAAGAUGCAAUACUCUCCUAAAUCUGCAUGGCAGGUUGAUGUAUAUCUUAAUGUGUUCUAUGUGGUUCAUUUAAGCAGAGAUGUUGUCCUGCAUAACAUCUUUUGAAGAACACGCCUAUAUGAGUCUGAUUGUUAAACGUCGCAAUCUAUGAGAGUAGGGUUCUCUCUAGUAAACUCAUGAAAGGUCUCGGAGUAUGACGCAUAAGCUCCACCCACGGGGAAGACCCACGGUAGCCCAGUAUCGGUCAAGGCUUUGUGUGAAGCUAGAUUCGCAGAAAACUUGCAAUUCAAGGCCCAAUCCACUGCUCAAGUUGCUUACUAGUGUAGCAUAGCAUUCUAGGUGGAAGUUCCACUUAACAGUCUCCACUGCAGUACCGGUAUAUAAAACAGUGUUUUGGAACCAAAGGCAAUUCUUGUGUGCCUCUGGGAUCUGGUGGGGGAUUACUGGAAUUUAGUCUAUUUUGGGACAACACAAUAACUAUUUCAGAAAUUCCUAAUAAAUCCUAGAGGCCCACUUAGCCCAUUCGUGCAAGGCAAGGGAUACUACUAAAAUUUAGUCCCACAUUGCUAGUUUAGUGAGAGUUGGACCUCCUUAUAAGGGAGGUUCUUUCCCUACUUGUAUGAGCAUCAGAACAAGCGGGACAUUCACACGCACUCCUCCUCCGCCGCCCGCCUCGCCACGCCACGCCUCGUCACGACGUGAUGCGGGUUGCGGGAAUGAGCCGAUGUCUAAAUUUUUGCCAUGCACGAUGGGUAAAAGAUUUUUGCGAUAGUGGAGUUUGAAUGUGGACGGUGCAGCCCUUCGGCUGCUAGCUGUUCGCUUCAUCUCCGUCUCUUCGUUUCACCUUCUGUCACUGCCCUCUCGCCUCUCUCUCUCCUAUGCUUAUAAAAGGGAGGUCGCUCCUCUCCAGAGAUGAUUAUCAGAAGAUCCUCUUCCUCUCGCCACAAAGUUCCUGAGCACUGCGAUGCUGCUAUGAUCUUCCCCAUCCCGGCUUGUGGCGUGCACCACAGGUCGGGACAGUAUGCCUACGAAACUCCACCUCUUUGAGUCCUGUACGGGAGAAGGGUGAUAUGGUUUUUGGGGAGCGCUCAGCGCGACUACUGGCUUCUUCGUCACUGACGCCCCGGACUCCGAUGACUACUUCCCCGACGACGACUUCUUCACCGACGUCGACAACCUCAUCGACGACAUGGCUGGCGAGGACACCGCCCCAAGACCGGUGCUUUUGCUCCCGUUCCGUACGUUCUCAUACUCUUUCUCUUAGAGGUUCUACCAAAAGUUUUUGCUCUAAUGUCUGUUCUAGAUGUGUUCCGUUCUAGUUCAUAUAUGCAGAUGCUAUUUACCUUCUCUCUGUCAGUUGGCAUGACUUACUUUAUCUCUGCUAUAUUAGUCAUGUGUUAUCUAGUAUUUCCAUUAAUAAAAUUAUUUGAUAAAUUGCUCGUAUUUCCAACGGGGGGAGGGGGUUUGCUGCCCCCUGAUUGGCAAAUGAAAAUAAAAGGAAGCACAGAAGACAAAGAAUAGGGAAUGUAAACCCAUUAUUAUUGAAAGACAUCUAGUGCUUGUGUGUUGAGCCUCUAAAGUAAAGAGUAUACGUUAGUUUUCAAUCAAAUAUGCUGCGAAGAUCUCAUUUGAAACAUGUAGAGCAAAGCAUGUCAAUAUGCAAUUCCAAAGUUUGCCAUCCAAACAUGAUUUGGAAUAGAAAUCUAACCAGGAUUACAUGCUUCAAUUCAACGACCAACCAAACAAAGGAAUUCGUAUUGUACCCAUUACAGUUUCAUGGCUGAAUUGGUAUUCCACCCAAUCCAAUACGGAGCCAUCCAAUACAGACAUACAAACACAGCGUCAGUUUCAUUUUGUAUUUUCAUCUGUCUAUUGUCUCUCACCGAUCUUUUGAUCACCUUGACUCAUGUCCAUUUCGUUCAUUAGGUUCACUCAUGCUAUCAUCUUUUGGUUUGAGACAAUUGUUUGGGGUUUCAGAAGUAAAGGAAUUUGGUUUGUAGGGUUCAUUCAGACUGCUCAUUUGUGUUUGUUCUGUCGCCUUGUCAUUGUUACGAACUGGAGUAAAUUGUAAAAAAAAACACCAUNNNNNNNNNNNNNNNNNNNNNNNNNNNNNNNNNNNNNNNNNNNNNNNNNNNNNNNNNNNNNNNNNNNNNNNNNNNNNNNNNNNNNNNNNNNNNNNNNNNNNNNNNNNNNNNNNNNNNNNNNNNNNNNNNNNNNNNNNNNNNNNNNNNNNNNNNNNNNNNNNNNNNNNNNNNNNNNNNNNNNNNNNNNNNNNNNNNNNNNNNNNNNNNNNNNNNNNNNNNNNNNNNNNNNNNNNNNNNNNNNNNNNNNNNNNNNNNNNNNNNNNNNNNNNNNNNNNNNNNNNNNNNNNNNNNNNNNNNNNNNNNNNNNNNNNNNNNNNNNNNNNNNNNNNNNNNNNNNNNAAAUCCGGCACUAUUGUGCUCAUAGUUUUCCGAAAAUGUUAAUCGAUCAAUUAGAGUUGUUUGAUGCGGAAUAUGAUAGGUACGUCAAAUUGUCAGGUCUACGUGGCAUGGGCCAAACAGAGUGAGGAGACGGAUGUGAGGUAACCCGGUCAACCCCUCUGCCUCUUGGAGUAAUUUCUACACACAUCUAGUAGGUCGGUUGCCCAGCUCACCGGUGGCAGGAGCACAAUGCCGCCACCGGCGAUGCAAGAAUGCCCCGUGGGCAGCUGAGCGAUGGAGGUCAUGCAGAGAGGCGGCACCGGACCAGCGCACCCACGAGGUAGUCAGGGCACGGGUCGGAGUUGAAAGCCGAGCUCUCGGCCAUCGCACCCAGGAGGUCCCAGCAAGGGCGAAAGGGGAAAUAACAGGGAACGACUAGAAUAGAAGAUGAGCUUCAGGUGAAAAAGUAGAAAAAAUGAUCUUAGCCGUCAGCAUUGAGAUGGAUGGCACAUAUUUUGGUGGUGGGAUCUUUGCGCACAGUUAGCAAUAAGGACCCUCUAUUCUUGUUAAUUUUCUCCCGACAUCCUCCUCCAAUCGCGACCAUGAGUCCCCCUCGCCCAUCUCCCUCCCGCUUGUGGACAGUAGCGGCGGCCGAGAUCCGCAUCCUCCCCAUCUCCGGCAACUACAGUAGCUCGCCUAAGGCAAGCAGAUGGUAGGCUACUCACCCUCUUCCCCUCUCAGGCCCUUGGAGCGGCUUGUCGGCGUGAUCCGUGCCUCUGCCCCCUCUCAAGAUCCUAGACCAUCGGCGGCAAGCCGGUGGUGGGCUCCUCCUUCGCCUCUCACGCCCAGGAUCAAGGUAUACUCCGAUGCUCCCACUUCCUUCUCUCUCACCUAGAUUUCUGUGUGCACAUUCGUCAAAGAUCUGCUAGGGUACAUGAGGGAUCUACAGGAAGGUUGGGCUUUAAUGAGGCGGCUGAUAAAGACAUUAAAUCAGAGCAAUUGUACACAGGGCACCAAUGUGUACCAUCCGAAAUCACUGAAAUAACAACGGGAUUACGCAGUGACGGCCAUUACAUGCAAUAUUAUCGUUAUAUAUGGGCAUGUGACUGCUUUGGAUAACUCAGUGCUAUGUACAGAGUUCCUAGAUUAAUAUGAGAACCAAUUAAAUCUGAACCUGAAGUCAAAUUGAUGCCAUGUUGUAGCUUGUAGAUCGUUAAUCUGUUGAUGCUUUGGUUACAUUGAUUCUCAGACAUGGAGUAUUUAACCAAAAACUACCACAAUUCAUGGAAACGUGUCGAAAAACUACCACUUUACGAUUUUGUGCCAAAAACUACCACUUUUGUCCUAAUCUGUUGCUAAAAACUACCAAGUGCGAAAACUGCUCGCUUUGGCUCGUUUAUGAUUGUGUGGCCCACAUGUCAGGACGGAAAAAGUCAGCACCGUUAACAUUGCCGUCACCGUAGAAAGAGAUCGAGACGGCGGCGGCCUUCACCGGAGGUGGGGAAGAUGAAGUACUACGGCGGUGCAGCCGCAUCGGGAGGAGACGGCGCGACCUGCAGGCAGCACUCCGGCGCGAGCAGGGCGGCGGGGAGGUCCGGGGGAGGCGGAUUCGGGGCGGCCGCGUUGGAGCUCGUGGUCAAGCAGCCGCGUCAGGAGGAGCAUGGAGGUCGGUGAUGGGGAAGCCGGCGGGCCGGGCGGAGGCCGGGCCAACUCGAAGACGGCCGAGGCGCGGAGCCGGCCGGGCCGGGUUGCGCGGAGGGCGCGGGAGGCCGGCAGCGGAGGACCCGGCGAGGCGCGCGGGGCGUAGUUGGCUGACGGCGCCCGGAACCGGCAUGCGGGCGCGUGGCUAGACGGGAGCGGUGCGAGGCAGCACAACAGCUAUCGGAGCGGGGCAGCGCGGGAGGCCGGGCCGGCCGGAGUGGCGGAGUCGGCGACGGGAACGAGCAGGCGCGCGGAGUUGCGGAGGGCGGGCACGGAGGCGCCUGUACCGGAGUGGGACGGCGGGCGAGCGGGCGCUCGGGAGCCAGGGCGGCGCGGAUUGGAGCCGACACGGGCGGAGCGGCAGGAGGGUCAGGCGACGGGCGGAGCGGAGCUGCAGCGAGGCAGAGCAGCCCGCGGGGGCGGCGUCUGACCGGUGUACAGCGGUCACAGGCGUUAACGGCUGGCCAUGAGCGUUUCGCCACGCUGGCACCUAAACAGUGGGGUCGGGCAGUCAGAUUCGAGUUUAACCCAGCCAAAGCGAGCAAUUUUCACACUUGGUAGUUUUUAGCAACAGAUUAAGAUAAAAGUGGUAGUUUUUGGCACAAAAUCAUAAAGUGGUAGUUUUCCGACACGUUUUCGUGAAUUGUGGUAGUUUUUGGUUAUUUCUAUUAUAAAGUAGUGCAUCGCAACCCUUCACUUAUUUAGUGCAUACAAGACGCAUGAUUAGUUAGUGUAAUGUGAUAAGGGGAGAUCUCCUAAUUUUUUGUUUCAGUUGACGCCUAAUUUCUUGUCCACAAACAGGAGAUUCAGCUAAUUUUGAACCAAAGAUUCAGAAAUUUGGUUGAAUACAUAUAAGGGGCGAGCACAACAGGUAUGGACUGAGAAGUUGUUUCACUUGGUCCUGGGAUUCUUGCGCAUUCUUGAAAAUAGCAAAUAAUAUGCAUCGCAACAUAUUUCGAAAGUUAAUUUAGAAAAUAUUUGCUUCAUUUCUGCUUUGCAUAGCUGCUUUCUUUACAUGCUGAAUCAAGGUGUGGCCCUAGUCUUAAAAUGGCAUGAAUGUUUGAGAUUAAGGGGCUGUUUGGUUUCAGCCCCCACCAGCCCUUCCAAAACGAGGGCGUGCCAACUUUUUGGCGAAGGAAAUCGCCACCAACAACUCGCCCGCGUGCUGGUAUAGAAUUGCAAGGGCGUGCCAAAAUUUCGGCUGAGAUCCUAAAUUUUGGAUGGGAUCCAAAAGCUUGCCAGCCUGUUGGUCAACGACCAAUAUUUUGGAAGGGCAGCCGUGGGCUGCCAUCCAAACAGCCCCUAAGAUCUAAACCAAUUUUGGCACUAUCAAAAGUUGCCAAUAUUUGGAAAAUUGUAGAGAGGGGCUCACGCUUGGUGUUCAACCAAUCAAGUGCCAAGUUUUGGUCUCAUGCCAAAUUUUGGCCCCAAUCCAGUCCUGAAAUGUUUGUAUUUUUGUAGUAUUCUGUUUUAAUUGUUCAUUGCUAGUAUUCUGCUGUAAAUGCCAUUCUAUACACAGUACAUAUGAAUACUAAAUGAGUGCAGCAUUGUUCUUUUACAUUCUUCUCUCUAGUAGUGGUGCUCAUUGAAGUCUUUCGCCUUGCAUACUGGAAUCCAAGUCGAAUGAAAAGCAUGGUGAAUUAAGGGAGCGAAGAGCAGAAUCAAUGCUACACUUUGAAGCUGAAUCAUGGUCAAAGCCUCAAAGGUAGGUUUCUCUGCCACCGAAAAUAUUUAUUUCACCUCAGUUCUUUUCUACGGCUAUUUGCAGGCUAAGUUGUGUUAUAAGUUUGUAUUUUUUUAUGCUUGUGUACACUCUGAGUGUGCCCAUCAGUCUUUUUUAUAUGUAAGCUCUGAGUUUACCUUACAGACUUUUAGUCCACAAAAGAACAUAAUUAUUUCCAGUUUCUUGCCUUGUGAUGUAAACUAUAAAAUUGUUCAUGUAUUUGUAGAUGGGUGAUGCUCUGACACCAGAAGCAUCUCGAGUACAUAUGGACAGAAGAAGUGUACGACUGCAAGGGUGAAACUUAUUUGCGUGCGAGAUAAUUUUAGUUCCUUUGUUGAAUGUACACCAACACAGACUUGUGCUGCACUGAAUCAUAUUCGUUUGGUGUUAUCUCUCCCUGCAAAUGAAGCUUGAUGAGCGACAAGCAUUCGAACCGGAGGCAAACGUCAACUGAACAAUAUUAUGUCAUGUACAAUCAAGAUAGCAAAUGCUCGCUGAGCGGUUGAUCAUUUUAGUACUUAAUAUUCAGUUUUGCUGGUCAUGUAAUAAAAAUAAUCAUCUCAUGUUAUGGGUCACUUCACAUGCAUGUAUGUGGAUCAAAGUCGACCCACACAAACAUUUUCACCAGCCUAUUCAGAUGUGGGUGUGUAUUGCGAGAUAAGCUUAAUGUUAACUUCAAUUUUAUGUUGCAUGAUUCAUAUAAAAUAUUAGUUCUGUUUUGGAUAAUCCAGUUUGACAUAUACAUUUAGUUGUGCGUCAAGGGGAUAACUUAAUUUUCAUAUAUAAUCAAAUAUUGACAUGCUUGAAAGAGUUGUCAUCAACAUUCUGCCAAUUUGGAAAUGAAUGAGAGACAUGAGGUUGUUACUAUAAAAGUGAUGUUUUAUAUCUAUCUAUUUCUAGGGGGUGAUUCGUGAAAUGUACACUUAAGUGGGAGCAGUCCCCUCCACCAUAAUCUGUGCCAUUCAUCUCCCAUCCAAUGGCUCAGAUUUCAUUUUUCUAUUCUUUCACAUGAAGCUCAGAUUCUAUACUAGUUGCUCCCGAAAUAACAUGGAUACUUGCAUUCAAUACAUGUGAAAAGCAAAAUAACGAAGACAAAGGUAAAAACCAAGAUCCAUUAAGGAAUUUUAAGUUAGUCAUUUGUCGGGUCUGGGUGUGUGGUGAAUGACGUGAACAGGUAGAUUUGAUUUUGUUUUUACUGUUUCUAAUAUCUCUCCAAACUGUAUUACGAUGCGUUUGUUGCAAGUUCAAAAAAAAAAAACAAGAUGCGUUCGUUGCGGUAGCACCUAAAGAUUUGCCAUGUGACCAUUACGUAUCUUGCAAAAAACUUGCCAUGUCUUGUAUAAAAAAAAAAUCAUAAACUUGCCUUGUCACCAUUUUUCAGUUUUUCUUAAUUUGCCAUGAUUUAGGAAAUUUAGUUUUCAAAAUUUACCAAAUUUUUUUUCUAAACUUGCCUUGAUUUAUGAUUUUUUUUUAUUCCUACGAUCAGUCUUGUCACCCUAAAAACAAUUUUCCAGAUUUUGCCAUGCUCUUGAAGGACGAAGCUGCUACAUUUGUCGUGUGACCAAAUACAACAAUUUUCUCUAAAUUUGCGAUGAUUUAAGACACAAUAAUUCUCUACUUGUCAUGUGAUUGUAUAAUUUUGCCAUGAUCUUUCCACCCAAAAAUUCUCAAUUAGGCCAUGGAUGGUAACUAUUUGGCGCAACAAUGGCAAGCUCAUUGUUUUGUCGAUUGCAACCUUUUUGUAUGUUUUCUUUAGCUUUUUUUAAAGUUAGGUGCAGAUCCCAGUUUUCCUGCCUACUAGCGUGUCACAGGAAAUCUUAUUGGGGCCCAACUGGGCGCCUGAUUGAUGUGGGCUGGGUUUACAUAUACAGAAGAUCAUUGAUCCUAUAAUUUCGUUGAUCGAUUCCCACCUCCCGUGGGGAACGAUCGUUCGAUGGAUCCCGGCGGCGGCGGCGGCGCUGGGGCCACCGCCGCCAACCUCCCUGUGGACAUGCUAGCCAACAUCCACGGCCGUCUGAGCCUCCUAGACCGCCUCACCUUCGCUGCAGCCUUCCGCUCCUCGCGCGGUUUAUUCAGGCCGGAGGCGCCCUGUCUCGUCGUUCCCGGUGACACCCCGGAUCAAGGUUUUGGUUACCGAAUGAGGCAUUUUUAUCGAGGGGGACUGAUAAAUGCGGUUACCACGGUUACCGAGAAAUACCAAGAAAUACCGAUAAUAUUUCGAAUGAAUUUUAUAGUUGAAUUUUGAAUUCAAAUAAUUGAAUGAACGAACAUUUGAACCAAAGACCUCUCAAAACAGGAACUAGGUUUGCAACCAACACGCUAGAACCCACUCUCAUGGCAUUAAUUAGAUCCUACUUAUUUUACUAUAAAUCGAGUGUUUAAAUUCAAAAAAUUCAAAAAACUGGUAUUUUUUGCUUGGUGCGGGGAUUUACCGAGAGGCGCGGAAAUACGCGGUAACCAUGGGAAAUCUCGAAAUUUCGACUUGUAACCAAAACCUUGCCCCGGAUACAGUCAUGCUCUUCUCCCUCUCCGGACGCCGCGCCAUCUCCGUGCGCGCCCCGGAACCCACGCUGCUCGACCACAUCAUCAUGGGCUCCUCACCCUCCCGCGGGUGGCUCGUCACCGCCGACAACCGGGCCCGGCUGCGCCUCCUCAACCCUGUCACCGGCGAGCGGCACUCGCUCCCGGCCAUCACCACCAUCCCCUUCCUCCACGCCACGACCGGCGGGGAGAACCCCUGCUUGACGCUCGACCUGAAGUGGUUCUUCAGGGGGCCCCCGCUGCGCUCCUAUGGCCCCGUGACGAUGAGCGCCGAUACAUUGCACCGCUGCCUCUACCGCAAGGUCGUCCUCUCUGACUCCGGCACCAUAGCCAUGCUGAUCACGGGGCCGGGGUACGGUGACGUCGCCUUUGCGACGGCGGGGGGCAGCUCGUGGAGGCUUGCACCCCGUGCGACGGCGUCGAGCCCGUCGCCUCGCCGAAAGCCGACCUGUGGAGUCUGGGACCCUCGCCUGACGGUGUCGAGGAUGCUGUCCACCACGAGGGCAGGUUCUACUCGAUCACAUGCUCGGGCAAGAUGGAGGAGUGGCGGCAGCAAGAUGCCGACACCAUGUUCGCGAGCACAGUGGUCGAGCCAGCACUUCGGCUGACCCCGGCCGACACGAACAACUGCAAGUACCUCGUGGUGACGCCGGGCGGACGGCUGAUGGUCGUGCUCAAGACCAAGGAGACCACGGGUUUGCGGACACCACUGUCCUUCAAGGUGCAGGUCCUCGGCGCGGGCGCCAAGGAGUGGAAGGAGACGGACGACAUUGGCGACGCAGCGCUGUUCGUCGGGACGAAGGGUUCGUUGUGUGUGUCGACAAGGGAGCACCCGGAGCUCAGGGCCGGCUGUGUCUACUAUGCCGCCCACGGCGGCGUCGUGGUGUUGAGCCUCAAGGGCGGCACGGUGAAGGAGGUCGAUCGCCUCUGGACGGACCACAGCUGGCUGGAGUGGUUCACGCCGUGCAUUUCACGAUAGGUUGAUAUCAUGAUUGAUUCCCUUGCUUGUUGGGUGGGUUAAAUUACAAGGUUGAAGCUAAAUCUAAAUAGUUUAUGCGCAUUAUACACUACAUGUUUUUUUUUUCGAAUCUAUACACGAGAUAUGUUUUUUGCUGGAGUGCUUAGAAAGCAAUUUUGGAUGCUUCCUUUUGCCAUCAAAUUGCAACACAGCAAAAGGUGCCCAUUGUAGGUUUGGUUUUAAAUUCUUUGAGGGAGACGUUAAAUUAUUUGACUUCAUGUAACAAAUAUAUAACAAUAGAGAAGAGCUGCAUGUAUUUGGCAGCUAGGGAUUUUUAUUUUUUUGAGGAAAGGGAUAUUAAAGUCUUGCCGCAAUGCCCCUUAUGCAAGCAAGGUGCUGAAGAUAUUCGCCAUUUGAUGUUCACCUGCAGCCGAGCUUGGGAAGUUUGGCGGCCUUUAGGUCUGCGUGACAUUAUUGAUCAAGCUUUGGCGGUGGACAGGUCGGGCUUGAUUUUGCUCGCAGAAAUUCCCAGGAAUCUGAUUAAAGAUCACCAUUGCUUGGCCAGUUCGACUCUAAGAGAUGGUCGAUGUGGAUGCGUGUUCAUUCGGCGGUGACGGCGUGUCAAGAUGGCAACGGAGACGAAACCCACGAGGUUUUGCGCUCUGGCGGUGUUUCUUUGGGCCGCUUGAUUCAAGAUGGAUCAAUAGCAUAUGCUAGAAUAAUGUAUUUUGAUGGUAUUGUCGGGUUUCGAGUUCGGAUACUACUGAAACGGUUUAAACCCGUGAAACAUGGCGGGUUUUAUAAUGUACCCACCAGCAACCCCACAGGGAUAGAAAGACGCCUAUCUGUGUCCCCUAUAAUAGGGUAAAAACCCACGGGGCGGGUUUCAGGACCCAUUGCCAUCUUGAGCGACGUGCGGCAUGUGCUCAUUGAGCUCUGCUACUGAUGAUAUGCGUUUGUAGUUGUAAAUCUUGAGACAUCUCUCCCUCCCGAUUCACAGGUAUGUAUGUGCGAGCACAUAAUGUAUGAAUUUGCAACCGCAGGCACACCACCAACACUGAUGAAUCAUAAUAUCUCAAUGAAAAAACUGAUGAAUCAAUCACUUCUAGUUGCACCAUUCAGUUACAACAACAUCCUGUAGAUUGUUCAAAGAACAACUAAUCCCUGAUCACCACAUGCAGGGGGGCGGGGGGAGGGGGGAAUGCUGUGUUCUCAUCAUGCAUGGCAUGGCAAAAUAUGAGCGUUACAAGCUCCUGAAAAAUUUAGGCUAAAACACUUCUCGACUUCUGAAUCUUGACCACUCAACUUGGUUGAAGUUUGAAACAAACACAAAAUUAAGGUGUAAUCUGCUUACUUCUGAUCCCUCAAAGUGUCUUAAAAAGCUUGCAUAGUAAGUAGAUUAUAUCAGGGAAACCAUCUGCAAUAUGGUACGCCAAACUAGAAAACAUCUCUGCACUUCUGAAACCUGAAACCAUCUGCCUGCAUGUUCAUUGUUCAGAAUAGUUAAUACUCCCUUCGUACCAAAAUAAGUGACUCAAAUUAGUACUAACUUUGUACAGGAGGGAAUACUAUUUUUCUCGGGUACACACCAAAGUGCGCGUCAUUUGUAUUUGGGAGAAAACGCCGAGACAGCGACACAUGUCUUCUUACAAGCAAAGAGCCAGGGAGAAAGGGGAAAGCAGCAAGGAAAUAAAGCACAAAGCAGAAACCCCAAAUUCCUAAAGCUUUCCAUCGGAGUGUUGCAAAAAGACUUGAAUUUUACAUGUUUGGAAGACCGAAAAUGUGGUGAAUUUCCCAUGCGAAAAUAUAGAAAUAUUUCUAAGUAUGCCAUGAGUAGAAAAACAUGAUUAUAAUGAUUUCUAAACAAGGCUCCAUUAUUUACACAUUGUUGCCAUGAAUUAAAUUAGCCCGUGAAUUAGGUAUCAUACUGCUAAGUUUGGGAACAUGGCAAAUUUAGGAGUGUUUUCAUAGGGAUUUAGUCCUCUGAAACACAUGGCAAAUUUAGUUCUCUGAAACAAUGACAACUUUGGAAAUCUGUAAUGUACCUUGGAGAAGACACAAGCAUAGCAGAUAAAAAAUGAUUAAUUGACCGAUUGAUUGAUUAUAGCAGCAACAACAACACUGAACUAAGUGCAUCGAAAAUUUUACUUCAGAUGGAAACUUUGGAAAAAAUGUAAACACAAAGCAGAGCAGAUGAAAAUUGAUUGUUUGACCUACAAUUGAUUGAUUACAGCAGCACUCACACAAACAUUGAAACAAUAGCUUUUGAGGAAAAGUACCUGGGGUUACCUACCCCGGAAGGACGUAUGUCUAAGGGAAAAUUUCAGAAUUUGCAGUCUCGUCUGCUGAAGAGAAUCAUUGCUUGGGGCGACACCCUCUCGCUUGCAGGGAAAGAAAUAAUGAUAAAAGCCAUUGCCCAAGCUAUCCCCACAUAUAUCAUGGGAGUUUUCAAGUUACCUAUGUCUGUCUGUGAUGACCUAAACAGAAUGGUGAGGAACUUUUGGUGGGGCUCCGCUGAAGGCAAGAGGAAAACUCAUUGGUUGGCAGGCCAAAAAUCUUAGCUCAUAAAACGAAGGGCGACCUGGGCUUCAGAGACUUUCGUGUUUUUAACCAGGCUCUCCUUGCUCGCCAGGCGUGGCAGUUUAUGUGCACAGGUGCUGAAAGCUAGGUACUACCCAGAUGGACGCCUAGAGGACACAGUCUUCUCCGGAAAUGCUUCUUCUAUGUAGCAGGCCACACAAUAUGGAUUGGAGCUACUAAAGAAGGGCAUUGUGCGGCGCGUAGGGGAUGGCCAGAACAUCCGCAUAUGGUGGGAUCGGUGGGUCCCCCGGGAGCCAUCGCGCCAGCCUGUCUCCCAGCAGGGCACAUGCCGACUCCGGCGGGUGGCUGAGCUCCUCGGCCCGAACGGGACUUGGCGCAUGGACCUACUCCGGUGCUACUUCCUUCCGGCAGACGUCGACGCGAUCGCCGGCAUCCGCACUUCACCUUGUGUCACGGACGACAUCAUCACAUGGGCUCCGGAGAAGAACGGUAUCUUCACCGUUCGAUCCGCCUAUCGCUUUGCCAUGGACGAGCGCGAGCGUCCAUCGGCCACAGCCAUGAGCAGGGCACUGGAUGGUCAUCGCGCCAUCUAGAAGAUCAUAUGGGGGUGCCCUGCUCCCCCGAAGGUACGCGUGUUUGCAUGGAGGAUUGUUACAAACUCACUUGCUACCCGGGGAAACAAAUUCUCUCACCACCUUGAGAUUACUGAUAUUUGUCCCCUUUGUGGAGUGGAACGAGAAGACGGGUUCCAUGCAUUCUGCAGGUGUCCACUAGCUAAGGAACUAUGGCAUGCUAUGGCCUUGGACUGGCCUAUACCGAGUGUCGACGCCAUCCCUAAUGUUGGGCCGGAAUGGCUCUUCACACUUCUGGAGCCACUGGAUGAGGCGACACGGAUGAUUGUGCUCAUGAUCAUGUGGAGGAUUUGGCAUGUGCGGAAUGAGAUUACGCAUGAGAAGAAGCCACCACCCACAGAAGCUUCUCACCGAUUCCUUCAUGGGUACAUCAAUUCACUCUUGUGUGUGCAGCAACACCCAAGUGGAGAUGUGGUCAAGGGAAAGAUGGUACUCAAUGCACCACCGAUCCUCACUAGAGAGCUGGCUCCUCUCAAGGACGAGCGAGGAUGGGUUGCCCCAGAGCUAGGCAAUACUAAACUUAAUACAGAUGGUAGCUUUGUACCGGCGACAGGAUUGGCUGGAGGCGGCAUGGUCCUUCGGGAUUCUGAGGGCAAGAUCAUUUUCAGCGCUUGUAGAGAAAUUCGCGCAUGCGAUAAUGUGCUCACGGAAGAGCUAGCGGCGUGUCGGGAGGGCCUGGAGCUAGCUCUUUUCCGUACGGACGCGCCCAUUAAAGUCGAGCUUGAUUGUGCGGAGGCGGUGACAAUGAUCACAGGUCGUGAGCUGGACCGGUCGGCUCAUCGCACCGUCAUUGAGGAAAUCAGGAGACUGGCAAUGAUGGAGGGGAGGGAAGUCUCUUUUAGUCUUUGUUGUCGUUCGCAGAACAAAGUUAGUCAUGAGCUUGCCAAAUAUGGCAGGAGCACCCCUCGCACCGCUGUUUGGUUGCACUCGGGGUUAGACUUUACGACAAUGCUAAAAUCUUGCCGACUGGUGGUUUGCAUCAGAUCCGAAUGACUCGCGUGCCGUCAGAUCCUAAUCCUGCGCGCGUCAUCCCUUCCUUUUCCCCCGCCUGAAUCUGGUCGCUCCUUCCUUUUUUCCGCCGAAUCUGGUCGCCCGCAGAUUGCAUCCCGAUUUUCUAUCCUGCUCGCACGUUGACCUGUACUGUAGUUAAGAACCGAUUUUCUCUCCGGUCCGACCGCACAUCAAUCUCUGCUGCAUUAGAGGUGGACCCGCCUACAAAUUGAGCUACUGUUGUUUAGCGGAAGAAAAAAUAGUCUAGAGUGGGAUUCGAACCCACGUCACCUACGAUGCUAGGAAAGCCAACAACCAACUAAGCCAAAGCAAUUUGAUGUAAACUUACCAUCUGUUACCCAACUCACCUAACCUUUUAGCAUGGUAAUUAGCCCAUGGCCUUGUCGUUGCACUAUACGGUGACAUAUGCCAUUUCUUUACCUCAUGAUCUUAUCUAUAGAUGUUGGGCCUCACCUCGGAGGAAGAGCACGGUGCAUGGGGUGCAACAGGCCAUGCACGACUCGUUUAGUCGUGUAUCAGGCUGGGCCUGUUACGUGCCAAGCAUGCGUGCUUGUGGGCCAGCCCGUGAAAAAUGGACAGGAUAAAAGUUGAUAAUUCACGUACAAAUACCACGGUAACUUCAUUAUAAAUAGCUGAUAACUCAAGUACAAACAUCACUGUAACUUUUCAUCCUCGUGAUAAAAGUUGUUUAAACAUAUACCCCAAUAACUUUGAUGGAAAUAACAUGGGUGUUAGAAUAAAUCCGAGGCAUACCGUCGAUCAUCCAAGGACCAAGCAAUCCAAUGAGCAUAACACCGAGAUUUGUUAACGAGGUUCACCAAUAUGGCUACAUCCCCGGGGCAUGACUACGGGCGCUCCUCCCCGUGACACCAUCACAAUACCGCACCCGGUCGCCCUGGACACCGGCACAUGCCGCCGGCUUCCCCUGCGUUCCGGUGCUAUUAUGUUGGCAUCGGUUACAUCGUGUGUCUACCCCCGCUAUAUAUGAGAGGCCUAGGAUACAAGUCCUACUAGGACACGACUCCACAUCCUAUGUAAACACGAUACAACUACAAGUCCAACUGUAACCUACCUUGUACACUAUAUUCGACACAACUCUAACAAACUCCGCCUUGGCGAAUAUUCUCCACCACCUUGAAUUUGUCUAUGCGUCAAACUUCCAUGUACAUUGGACUUGAGCUUAUCCCAUGAGCACCGCUGCUACUCGAAAAACUCCAUGUGACUCCACCUGCAACUUGUAGUCCCUUCUUUUCUUGACCACUGUCAACACUCGAGCAAACUUAAGUUUCUUGUUACUCUAGUCUGUGCUCCCAACUUCCAGAGUAUCCGUCCAACGACAUCACACACUGAUCACUGACCUGCGUGAAAGUGAACAACUUACAUAUUGGGUGUCACACAUAAGAGCUACCUGAACUCAACAUCACCACUCCUUUCUUGACCGCCUGUCUGAAACUUGAAGGAAUUUCACCAUUGCUCGUAGUCAUCCCGAGUCAAAUUCACAGUUGUCUCACCACAUGUAUGACCACCAGAGCCCUGGCCCGUCUCCAUGUCCCGUGCGUACCGCACGCCUCGCCGCUAUUACCGCGUCGAGCCUCCGCUGUCCCGGUCGAGUCUCAAGGGUCGCGAACCCACACCACUCAACCCCCACUGCAGAGUACCAUCGAUCAUCACCGACCGAUGACGAGUUUCACGCUUCCAUCAGACCACUGGGCUCCAAUCCGAACUGCAUGUCACUCGCUUUUCCCACUGAAUAGGCUUCGACUCUCUGUCGACUUACGCCGUAGCCCCUCAAUCAGCUCCACCUUCAACAUGACUCCAUGGUAGAUGAUCAGUCCACCCCCGCGCCUCAUCGACUUCAAGCUCCGUGUAUACACCACCUUGAAUCAAUCCCGUGCCAUAGUCUUGUCAAAGCCACACAAGCCUCAGGCCUGCGCCACGUGUUUCCACGCCCAGAAGUCGGUCACCAUUAGCAUCACGCCCAUAUGUCGUCGCCGAUCCCACCACCGUCUUCUGUACCAACCGACUUGCGUCGAUCUGUCAGACUGUCCAGUCCGACCCAGCCGAACUUCUCCGACUGCAGACACAUUCCAGACUUCCCAAGUCAUCACCGUGACCACCGUCAUCCAUACACACAUGUGUACCGACAAAGAAAACGAAAGAAAAAAUUCCCUCAUAGCUUUCCCGUGUGAACCACACGUAUGUAGCUUCUGGAUCCCUUCUUUUAUUUCUUUCUUGAUGAUAGCAUCACGAUCAAACUCUAGGUCCUUGUGCCAAAAAAAAUUCCCAAACAAAUCUCAUGUCUCAGCACUUCAGCAGCAUUUCCGUACGCUCAGCAGCCUCCUGUGAACAACACGCCUUGACCACCAGCUAUCACAUGCUCCCUCACGGCCCAAUCUAUCUACUGAGCCAUGACCCAGCACGGUCUGCUUGCUCCAGGCGCCACGUGGGCUCCGCGCUGCACCCGGUCCAGACACAUGCGCUGUAUUGCACCCAAUCGACCGUGUCGCUGCCAGGUCCUCAGCCGCCACGCGCACUCAGAUCCAACCUCGUGCACUCCGAGCAUCCGAGCGGACCGUGUUAUGUACGUGCCGCACCUGACGCAGCUUCCUGGACCGCCACGCGUGCCUCGCUGUUGCGCUUCCGCAUCGAACCAACCAACCGCUGCCUGCCCGGAUCGAAUCUGCUGUUGUACGAACUCGCCGAAAACUCUGAUCGCUCUAGACCACCGCUUUGAUCGAAAACUGCCGCUAUUUUUCACCGUUUAGACUGCUUUUGAUCUUUCCGUUGACCUCCACGAACAACUUCGAUCUCACCGCAAUCACCUGGCAACCCUUGCAGCCGCUCCCUCGAUCAAACUGACAUCCUCUAGAUCAACCACCGACCUAGCUUAUGAUACCACUUGUUAGAAUAAAUCCGAGGCAUACCGUCGAUCAUCCAAGGACCAAGCAAUCCAAUGAGCAUAACACCGAGAUUUGUUAACGAGGUUCACCAAUAUGGCUACAUCCCCGGGGCAUGACUACGGGCGCUCCUCCCCGUGACACCAUCACAAUACCGCACCCGGUCGCCCUGGACACCGGCACAUGCCGCCGGCUUCCCCUGCGUUCCGGUGCUAUUAUGUUGGCAUAGGUUACAUCGUGUGUCUACCCCCGCUAUAUAUGAGAGGCCUAGGAUACAAGUCCUACUAGGACACGACUCCACAUCCUAUGUAAACACGAUACAACUACAAGUCCAACUGUAACCUACCUUGUACACUAUAUUCGACACAACUCUAACAAUGGGAAUAUACACAUAUCAGACCUGAUAACUCACGUGCAAAUACCGCGGCAACUUUUCACCUCUAGAUGAAAAUUGUUAAAACAUACCCAGUAAUUUUUAUGUAAAUAUCAUGGUAAUAUAGACAUAAAAGCUGAUAACUCACAUACAAACACCACUGUAAUGUUUUGAACGGGAUUAAAGUAUUGAAAAACAUUCCCCAGUAACUUGUGUGUAAUUAGCAUGAUAAUAUACACACAGUAGAGCUGAUAACUCACAUACAACACACAUGAUUACUUUUUAAAAGGGAAAAAUGUUGCUGAAAACAUACCUUGAUAACUUGUCUGUAAGUAGCAUGAUAAUAUAUGACAAUACAGUUGAUAACUCAUGUAUGAACAUCGCAGUAACUUUUGACCGUAAAAUAAUAUAAUCUUUAAACAUACCUCCGAUAAUUUUUUGUAUAAAUACAUGGUAAUAUACGCACAACAGAGCUGAUAACUCACGUACAAGCAUCACAGUAACUUUUUUGGCCCGGAUAAAAAAUGUGUUGAAAAACAUAGACCUGGUAACUUCUGUCUAAUUAGAAUGGUAACAUGUGCAUAUCACAGCUGAUAACUUAGCCNNNNNNNNNNNNNNNNNNNNNNNNNNNNNNNNNNNNNNNNNNNNNNNNNNNNNNNNNNNNNNNNNNNNNNNNNNNNNNNNNNNNNNNNNNNNNNNNNNNNNNNNNNNNNNNNNNNNNNNNNNNNNNNNNNNNNNNNNNNNNNNNNNNNNNNNNNNNNNNNNNNNNNNNNNNNNNNNNNNNNNNNNNNNNNNNNNNNNNNNNNNNNNNNNNNNNNNNNNNNNNNNNNNNNNNNNNNNNNNNNNNNNNNNNNNNNNNNNNNNNNNNNNNNNNNNNNNGACCUAUGAAACAUUUUGAACGUUUGAAAUAAGGAUAAUCUAAGAUAACAUCAUAUUUUUUUUGUUCUCUAGUGUAAGCAUGCAUGUGUACGUGGAGAGAAGGCUGAAACAAUCAUUUUUAUGUCCUAAUAAUUUCCACGUAAACAACAUGAUAACUUAUGGAUCACACGCGUGAUAAAUUAUGUAGUCUAGGGAUGAUAACUCUUUACUAAAAAAAAAGUCGUCGAAACAUAUCAAUAUGGGAUCUAGUUUUAAAGGUCUCGUUGCGACGAAUCUUUUCUGUGAAAAUAAUUUUUUAGUUGGAGCAACGGUUUAAGCUACAAAACAUUUUAAAAUUAAAAUUUUGUUGAAAUCUUUGAUGACAUCAUCUUUUUUGUCUCACAUGCAUGCAUUCACACUUAAAUCAAUUGGACACGGAUGCUUCCUGCACACUUUGCUCCGCUUUUUCCUCAGCACACCGCAAUCUUGCAGCAUGCACAACCACUAGUUCUGCUAGUCGCUGGUCCUUUGAUUCUGUUUGCACUCGUCCGGAUCUGUUCCUAAAAUCCGACCGUAUGGACGUUGGCACACUCCUAGAUUUUAUUGUAAACUUGGCUCUGGCUGAAAAGCCUCCGUGAGCAAUGAGAAUCCCCUUUUCACCCGUAAAAAAAAACUUCUUUUUUCUGGAUGCUGGGGAAAUCUUUAAAAAAGAAUUGCAGAGAAAAAUCCUUUUUUUUGACAUCAUGCUGGUGAAAAUCUUAGUGGGAACGGAGGGAUUUGUCAUAAAAAAAACCAGAAGUGAGGCAUAGGCGGUUAAGGUAAACGUCCUUAAUAACUUUGAAAUCGUUAAUCUCCAAUCCGACGACGCAGACCAUCCUCCUCCCAAUCCCUAAUCGAUCCUUCCGAUGCGGCGAAAUCGAGCAAAGGCCGCCGUCAACCUCCCGCCGGACAUGCUAGCCAACAUCCACGCCCGCCUUAGCCCCCUCGACCGCCUGGCCUUUGCCGCCGCCUUCCCCGCCUCGCGCGGCGCGUUCAGGACAGAGGCGCCGUGGCUCGUCCUGCCCGGCGGCGACAACCCGGACACCGCGACGCUCUUCUCGCUCUCCGAUCGCAUUGCCACCACCCUGCGCGCCCCGGAGCCCGCGUUACGCGGCCACGUCGUCCUGGGCUCCUCCUCCGGCGGCUGGCUCGUCACCGCCAACGACCGGGCCCGGAUGCGCCUCGUCAACCCGGUCACCGGCGAGCAGCGCGCGCUCCCGGCCAUCACCACCAUCCCGGGCCUCUUGGAGAAGUGGGGCGGCUUCAGCUACAUGAUGCUCCAGCCGAAAGACUUCCUCAGGGGUCCCCCGUACCACGUCGGCGGCGACCGCCCGCCGCAGGGGACGUUCACUAUGGGUGCCGAGCUGAUGCGUCGCUUCUUCUAUCGCAAGGUCGUCCUCUCCGACUCCGACUCGCCGGGCCCUGCCGCCGCCAUGCUGAUCACGGGACCGCGAUUCGGCGUCCCGGCCUUCGCCACGGCGCAGGGCGGCGGGUGGAGGCUGGCUCCCUCACGUGAAGGCGUGGAGGACGCCGUCCACUACAACGGCAAGUUCCACUCCAUCACCUACGCCGGCGCCGUGGAGGCGUGGGAGCAGCCUGCCAAUGCUGGCGGCGUGUUUGCGAGCACAGCGGUCGCGCCAAGGCCAAGGCUGCCCAAUGCGGACGGCGAUCCGUCGUCGUGCCGCAAGUACCUUGUAGUGGUGCCGGGCGGCCGGCUGAUGGUGGUGCUCAAGGAGUCCAAGGAGGAGACCACGGAUAAGUACUCCCGCCCUCGGAGGACGUGCUCCUUCAAUGUGCAGGUCCUUGACGGGGAACAGUGGAAGGAGACGGACGAUAUCGGGGACGCCGCGCUGUUCGUCGGGGUGAACAGUUCGCUCUACGUGUCGACGAGGGAGCACCCGGAGCUCAGGGCCGGCUGCAUCUACUACACCGAGAACGAUACAGAACUGUGCAAGGAUGGCCACAACGCCGACGAAGACAACAGAGUCGGUGUGUACAGCCUCGAGGUCGGUUGGACUGAGAAGGUCGAGGGCCUCGGGCAGCACAGGAGCUGGCCGCCUCCGGCGUGGUUCAUUCCUGCCAUCCCAUGAUGAUCGAUAUAAGUAUUGAUAAGAGUAAUUGAUAGCCUAGGUUGGUGUUUUUCAGUAAAGAAAAAGGCUUGACAACCAAGAAAACAGUUCAGUUUCCAGCUUCGUCUUCAGGAAACAGUUUUUGAUUAUUGUCUUGUGAGCUUUCUGGAUGGACAGGUUUUAUUUACUAAAUAAGAUAUAAGAGUAAUUAUGAAUAUUUGUUCCAGAUUACAACCAAGCUACAACAAUUGAUAGCCUGGUUUCUAGAUUGUUUCAAUAGUAGGGAAUUUGUUGCAGUGUGCAGUGCAGCAGAGCUUAGCUAAGGCAGUAAGGCAGUGUAUGCAUGUGCUUAGCUGAUGACUUGAAAGCCUCACAGCCUAUGCUUACUUAAUUACUGCGCUUUUUUUAAGAUCGGGUUUCAGAAUUAUGCUACAACAAUUUGGUUUGCAGCAUGUUUCAGACUCAAGUCAUUUGUGUUUGUUUCAAGUUUCAGAAGUAACGAAGCACUAGCUAGUUUAAUGUAGUAGUUUUGCAGGCCUCAAAUUUCGACGCCUCCCAUGUUUUUUUUUGUUGUUGUCUGCUGCACACAGUUGAAUCUCCAAGUCACAAGAUAUUGUCAGUGUUGAUCAGUUGUGGGGAGUGAGGGCCCGUUCGGCAAACAACCGCUCCAACAUUUUAAGCUACUGCUCCAUCCGCUCCGGGAGAGGAGUGGUGGAGCCGGAGGGACUCCGAACAGGCCUAUUGUGUCCCUGCCAAGUGAAAGGCUUGAGAGUUUUCCUUAUCUGAAAGAUCUGGUGCUUUGUGGGUGCCUAGGUCUCAACUGACAAAUGGAUUGGCGCUGUUAUCAUCUCUCCAAAGGCCCAGCUUACAGUAAUCGGUUGAGAAAUUGGAGAUUAGGAAUUUUCAAAGUCUAGUUUCAGUUGGUGCUCCAAAGGCAGUUGAAUAAAUAAAUAAAUAAGGUGUUGAUAUACGAUUGUUCAAAGUUAAAGGAAGCGGAUGAGAUCAAUAGAAGAUCCCGCCUAAGGCCCCGCUUGGAACAUCGUUUUACAGCCGUAUACACCUGUAAAAUACUCCCCCGUAACCAAAAAUCGGGCCCCUUUCAGUUAGCCGAUUGGUUCGUCGUUUUGGGCCGUAAUUUCUACAUGUGUUUUCCAUAUUACACCCGUAACAGGCCGGUAUCUGAUACAGACAAGCGCCUGUCGUUUUUCCCCACCUCGCCGUCGCUGCGGCCUAGAUCGAGGCUGCGCUGCCGGGAGGCGCUGGGGCUGGUCUCCCCGAGGGGGUGACGCGAUGGUAUUUGCGACGGCGACGUGGUGAGCCGCCGCCGAUGUUGACCCCUGAUGGGGGUUAGGCGCGAUGACGGCGGCGACUCGCUCCUUACCGCGACGGCGACGCUGACCGGCAGUCCUGACCGUGACGGCGAAUCUCUCUGCCUCCUCCAAGCGGCCUCCUAUGCUCGACCAAGGUACCCUCCCUCCUCCUCUGCUCCCCCUCAGUCGGCGGCGGGGAGCUCCUCCUUGGCUACGUGGAUGAGCGUAUUACAACCAGGGAGCCAAGCAGUGUUUACAAGUGGAAAACAAGUACAACCGGAUUCUGCUGGUGCCUGGUAAGAUACAAGUGUAAACAUUUACAACUGGAAAAGAAAUCCGACAAUCCAAUCGCAGCCUAAGGUAUUUGUGCUAAUGCCUAAUGCUUGUUCAGUGUCCAGCUUUUCUCUCUGUUGCUCAAAAUUCCCUAUGGACUGUAAAUUAGGCAUGUACUCCCUUCGUCCUAAAAUUCUUGUCUUAGAUUUGUCUAGAUACGGAUGUAUCUAAUACUAAAACGUGACUUGAUACAUCCAUAUUUAGAAAAAAUUGAGGCAAGAAUUUUGGGACGGAGGGAGUAUUAUGUAGUAGCAAUUCCACUUAAAUCAAUAUCAGUAAAGUAGGGUAGACUUACUCAUUGGUGACACCUACAUGCAUUAUAUAUCUCGUUUCUGCUUGUUAGUUUCAAUGUUUAUCUGUUCAUAUUUUCCGAAAAGAAAUGUGUGAUGUGUACUGACAUUUUCAAAAGAAACGAAAAAAGUACCUAAGGGGGGCUAUUUUCAAAAAUGUUGAUUUCUUUUUGCCACGGCUUCCACGAAUGUCAUUCCCUGAUGAAACUUGGCAAGCACUCAAAACAUUUGUCAUUCUUUGCCAUCAAUUUUUUUUUAAUUUUUAGAUCUUAUUAUUCGUGGUGGUAUCAUAAGAGCUAAAACUCGGAUGGGCACUCACCAACACUUUUGUCAUGAAUGCAACUGACAUUGACAUACAUGUGAUGUUUUUUUGAACAUUUUGGUAUCUUAUUUGCAUUUUUUUAUUUAGUAUGAAUUUGUCAUGAAGUUUUCAAAGUGACGGUCAAACGGUCAAAGGGCUUAAGUACAAGACGCCAAAGUGGGUUGGUCAAGACCACGUGUUUUCAGAAUCUGGGGCCAAUCAUGACGAAGGGGACACAACCAAGGGUAUAAAACCAAUUAUUUCUUUUUGUCUUGUCAAAUUUUCUCUACUGACCAUGUUAUGUUGUUCUUCAAGGCAAAUGAAUGAUCUGACAACAUACAGUAACCUACACUGUAGGUGCAUUUCCUGGAAGUUGUAGACCCACAGACAAUUAGACAUCACGCCCUUCAUCUUUGCCGUCUCUAUAUAUCUAGCUAGGACACAUCUGUGCUUAUGCCCUUAUGUUUGCACGAUUCGUAGUGAAAUUUCAUAAUCUAUGACAUGCCGUAUCUGUGUGUUUUGGUGGAUCUUUUCUCUGGAAUUAUUUCCAAAGGAAUUGUGGUGUGCAGCAGAACUUAGCUAACGCAGUAUUUCCUUAUUUAACUCACUCAUAUAGUAAAUGUGCUACUUAUGAAGUUGCUGCUGGUGCUUGGGGUCAAUCAAGAGCCCGACCAUAGAUUGCAACUUCGUUUGGAUUAUGUGAUGGAUUUGAUGUUAGAUAUGUGGAUUUAAUGUUACAUAUGUGGAUUUCACGUUAUAUAUGUGGAUUUGAUGAUGAUCCAUCUUAUGUAUGUGGAUUAGGGCAUGUAGGUAUUUUAAAUUGCAGGGCGGAAGCAAAACAAAAAAAAAUGGAGUACUUAUAUGCUGACGGCAAAGCCCUUGGCAUAUCCCUCGGCAUAGCACCCAGUUAUGCUGAUGGCAAAGCCCUCUCCAAAGCGUCCCACCUGGGAGCACUAGGGCCCGCCAUGUGCCUAGUUAUGCCGAUGGUUUUGUCGUUGAUAACGCCUGACAUAUAUGCCGACGGCCAAGACCUCGACAAAGCAGCCCACAUGGGAGCACCAGGGCCCGCCACGUGCCCAGCUCUGCCGCGGUUUGGCCGUCAGCUAUGUCUGCUUGAUAUGCCAAUGGGAAAACCCUCAACAAAGCUGCCCACCUGGGAGUACUAGGGCCCGCAACAUGCCCAGUUCUGCCGACGAUUUUGCCGUUGGCAAAGUCUCUAGAAUGGCAGACAAACCUUAACGGCUAUUUUUUUCGACGAUCGUUCUGUGCUGAUGGCCGUUAGUAAACCAUCGGCAAACGUCCCUGUGCCGACGACCAUGUGGGCUUUGUCGAUGGGUAGUUGCCGAGGGCAACCGUCGGCAUAGCCCUCUGGCCGCCAUCUCCAGGGUCUCCGGUCACAAUGGCAGCAGUGUGAGCUUCCGCUCAGGCCCCACUGCCGCAGCCGCAUCGCCAUUAGCUGCUCAAAGAGACUGUCGUGUCGUGGCUGGCCGGUCCACCGCCCUCCAGGCGUGAGCACGGCCGCGAGUCGAACGGCUUGGCGGAGAACCCCGACGCGCUCGGCGGGCCAUAGAUAAGCACGACACUGAUCGAGCACUGCUGGACAUAAGCUCACGCACGCCCGCUGCAGCUUGCCGGGGGCGGCGGUGAUGGUCGAAAUCUGUCGGCCCCGCCCCCGUCUUCUUCCCCCGCGCCCUUCCCCUGUUCCCAAAGCCCAAAGCCCCAAACCAAGAAGGAAACCAGAGCCGCUCCUAAUCCAGAAAUCCCGCCCGAGCCCCACCUUCCUGGACCGGCAAACGCCACGAUGGACGCUCGUCCGGGCUUCCUUAGCUGGCUAGUGGGGCUUCCAUUCGGAGCCAGUUGCCGCGCCGGCAUGUUUUGCUUCUACUUUUGUGACUACUGCUGUGCCGAACAACCGGCCAACCACCAUCGCAGGCAGGCCAGCACGCUGUAUUUACAGGUACCAAUUGAUCCCCCGCCCACUUCUGAUUAUUGGUUUCUUUUCAUGCAGUGGUUUCUUGAUUUCUUGGAAAAACUUCGUUUCUCAAGUGAGUUCAUAAUCGAACCUCCUAUGUUCGUCCUUGUGUGAUUGCUCUCUUUCUCGUUCUACCAGCUUCUUGCUUCCUAGAAGAACUUCGUUUAUCCCAUGAGUUCAGAUUCGAACCCUCCUCUGUUCUUUUUCCAUUAAUUUUCAGCCAGCUUCUUGGUUUUCUGGAAGAAUUUUUUUUUGGUUCGUGCCUGUUCCAUCGAGGUCAGAAAGAAAAUUUCUUGCACAAUUAGGGGAAAUCCUAGUAGUAGCGUGGGUUUUGAGGCUAUCAGCGGCGCGGGCGGCCGCGCUACUACUACGGCGCUGCAGCUAACAGUUUGUAGUAGCGCGGUCAGCACCCGCGCUACUACUGUUGACUAUAUCAGCAGCGCUUUUCCCGAACGUGCUACUAUUAUUUAGCUAUAGCGCUUUCCUAGCCCCUCGCUACUGCUAUAUCUUUCAUCAUUUUCCCCCGCUUCCUACCCCGUUUUAUUUCGGUUUCAAUAAAAUGCAAUUUCCAGAUACUAGGUACUACCAUAUACUAGUACUCCCUCCGUUCCAAAUUACUCUGUCGUGGUUUUAAUUCAAACCACGACGAGUAAUUUGGAACGAAGGGAGUACUAGAUAACAAUUUCAUGCAUAGUCAACAUGCAUCCUCAAGCAGUACAAGGUCAUAUCAAUGACGAUCAUCAUAUGUAGUUCUAGAUGAUAUCGACGACGAUCAUUAUAUGUAGUUCUAGAUGAUAUCGACGACAAUCAUCAUAUGUAGUUCUAGAUGAUAUCGACGACAAACAUCAUAUGUAGUUCUAGAUGAUAUCGACGACAAUCAUCAUAUGUAGUUCUAGAUGAUAUAGCCACACACACACAUAUAUAUAGUUCUAGAUGAUAUCGAAGACGAUCAUCAUCCUCAAGCCUGGGCGGUUGGUGUUCCUGAUAGUAAUUAGGAUGGCCUGUCCAACACGAAGAUUCUUGCCAUCGAGGAAUUUUUUCCAUCCAACCGAGUUUAAGUGUGUGCGACCAUCCGUGUCCACGCGGUAAGUACAGGUUGUGACGGAGCCCCUUGCGGUAAGGCGUAGUCCAGUUGAGCCUUCUUCAUCAGGCUCGAUACCAUAACUCACAGAUAGGCUCUUUGCCAAUUUUUGAAUAAGAAAAACAUAUCAAUUAAUAAAUAGCCUCGCACAUACUCUUGCAAAUAAGUAUAUAUGGAUUAUCUACACUAUUAGUAGUUCCUUAGAUUCUACACUAAUAAGCAUGUGAUCGAACUCUACACUAAAGCAUAUCAUCGACUAGAUUCCACACAACAUACCAUAUCAUUGGACUCUACACUAAGCAUAUCAUUGGAUAAUUUGCAUUUGUAAGUAUAACAUACCAUAUCAUGUCGAUCGACCAUGGUACUUGUCAGGCGGGUCACGAAUGACACCCCGACAAAGUCAACACGUGGCGGAAUUAUGUCCCAUAGGUUGGACACCUCCUCCUCACUCAGCCUCAUUCUUUGAGCUGCGAUGGCUUCAUGAAGUGGGUCCUCAUCAUCUUCAUCGAGUGGGUCCUCAUUAUCUUCAUCAUCUUUGUCAUCUUCAUCAUCUUCCACCAGGUUUAUAUAAAUGACAGCCAACUUGGGUCUUUCUACUCUGAAGGAGAAGCUGAUCAACUCACCACCAGUAAGACGCAUGCGGGCGAGGAAAUGGACCCAUCCAUCUCCUCCAAUCUGCGAAAUAUUUCGUCCUUUCUCGACCUCCAUAGUGUACGGCCCCCCAGCAGCCUCAAAUGUCAUAGUGUCUCCUGUCAGCUUGUUGAAUUUCAACCUCACAUUGCAUGGGACGAUCUGUGUAAAAAAAAAAAGCAAAAUGACACAAUGCAGUAAUGCCAACACUAAAAAUAAAAUAGUUGUUACAUUUCAUAUAAUUUCCUACCACCGCAUGACGAAAACUCGGCUGGAAGUAGAUGCCGAACAGCUUGCCAGUUGCAAGGCUGCUGGUGCACCUUGACUUGCACAAUCGACAUGGUGGUGGUGGUGGUGGCGCCAUUUUCCUAAAGCAAUAUGCAGAGUGUCAAAUCUUCAGAGCUAUCAACUAGCAUACUAAAUCAAUUAAAUUAAAAUGUUCUAUAAAUCAACUAGAUCAAUUAGCCUAUUAAAUCAACUUGCCUACUAAAAAUCAACUAAAUCAAAAUGUUCUAUAAAUCAACUAAAUCAACUAGCCUAUUAAAUCAACUAAAUCAAAAUAUUCUAUAAAUCAACUAAAUCAACUAGCCUACUGGAUCAACUUGCGUACUAAAUCAACUAAAUCAAAAUGUUCUAAAUCAAAUAAAUCAACUAGCCUACUAGAUCAGCUUGCCUACUAAAUCAACAAAAUCAAAAUGUUCUAAAUCAACUAAAUGAACUAGCCUACUAAAUCAACUAAAUCAUAUGAACUAAAUCAAAAUGUUGCAUAUGAACUAGCCUACUAAAUCCAAAUGUAGUAGGGAGGAAGGGUUGUUGAUGGAGGAGGGAGGAGGGAGAAGGAGGGGCGACUGGAGGAGGGAGGAGAGAGUAGGACGGAGUAGGAAGGGCGGAGCGAGGAGGGGCGGGCCGGUGCGGCGAGUCGAGGGAGGACGGAGGAGGAGGGCGGUACCGAGUCCAGCAAGAAGGAGGAGGUGACGGCGGCACAGAAGGAGGAGUGGUAGGCGACGGCGGCCGGCAGGGGAGGACCGGCGCGGGGGGUUGAGGGGGAGGUCGAGGGGGAGUGUGUAAGUGUGAGUGUGUGGAUAGGAUAGAGGAGAGCGUGGGCGGGCGGGAGGUAGCUAGUUUUAGCAGUAGCGCGGUGUAGGUAAAUGCGAUACUGCUAAACUACCUAGCAGUAGUGCCCUUUUAGUUAACGCGCUGCUCCUAUAACUAGCUUCACGGCGGAGUCGUGGGAAUAGUAGCAGUAGCGUGGCUUAUCGGAGGAGCGCUACUGCUACUUUUAUUUCAGCAGCGCGUUGUGGUGGAACUCGCUACUGAGAAAUUGCAGCAGUGCCUUGUUUUAAAACUCGUUGCUGGUAAGAUCCUAUGUAUAGGCUUUUCCCUAGUAGUGUUGGAUCAAAUCAUGUUUGCCUCCUUUGAUUGUUUUGUUUGACCCGCAGGUUCGUAUGAUGAACAGAGGUUGCAGAUACAGCCUCAAUGACAUCAAGCGGAUUAAGCUGGGUGGUGGCCCAUUUUUGCCGUUACACCGGAGGCAGGCUGCGCACCUUGGCAAAGCUGUCGGGCACGACUACAUUGGUUGCGGGGAUACGCUACGGUCCAAGAAGUGCAACAUCUGCAGCUUCGACUGCAAGGUAUGAUGUUCUUCAGUUGGAUUCUAGUCCUUUUGGUGGUUCACCGUCCAUGGUAGGGGGGAAAUCAAACCGCUGUUUUUUUUCAGCUAGUCGCCGAGGUACCGCCGCAUCAUAGCCGGUCCAGAGAAUUUUUAGGCCUAGGGCGUUUGAAAAACAAUCUUUUUCGUACUAAACAUUUAUACUUAUUUGAAACUAAGUGUAUCAUAUCAUAACGGUAACUAAUAUAAGUUUAUAUUACUUUGAGCCAUAUAAUAAUGUUUUCAAAUAAUAAAUAUAUUAUUCAUUGCUAUACAAUUGUAAUGUAUAUUAUUGAAAAUUUUAAGUCUACAAAUUAAAAUUUUACGAUGUAUCCAAUUUUUUCCUUAUUGUUAAAAUAAUCUUUCAAAAUUAUUUUCCAAUAUUGCAUAAAUGAUGUGCAUACACAUUUGCAUGUGUACAUAUUACUUUUAAUAUUAUUGAAUAUCAAGGUAGAGAUUUCUAAAUCAUACACACACUAAAAAAUAUUUUACUAGUGGUUUCUAGAGUAUAUUGGGCACUCGUAUUCAUAGAAACUUCUAGGGCAUAAAAAUGUGACUUGCAAGUUGGGUUUACUAAUAGAAUCAUCAAAGAACCAAAAAUGUUGUCGAAUAUACUUUUGCGUGUCGACUAGCUCACAUGCUUGUCUAGAUUUAUUUCAUUUGAUUUCAUGCAAAUAAGAUGCCCUACCUGUUUCUCAAAUUAAAAAUUAUGCAUUGGUUUAAACAUUGAAAUUUGUUAUCAUAAUUUUCAUUAUAAUACUAAGACAUGCAUCGUAAAGAGAGACUAGUGUCUUUGAGGGCUUAUAGCUCCUGUGCGACACAUUUUAUGUGAAUUGGAAGGUGUGAGAAGUAGUUGCCAUAAAUAGCUCGUGUGCGCCGUCUUACAUGGCAAUAAUAGCGCCAAUACGACCAGGUGGUUGAAACACGGGUCCGGUCGUCAACAGGACUGCGAUUAAGGUAAAAACAGGGGGUCAAAACUAAUUAUUCCGUCUGGUGGUGGGUCCCACUUGGCAGUGCAUCGAUUCCCCGACUGAAUGAAGAAGUGCUUCUUCCUUGCUUCUGGUUGCUGCAUGCUCCCUUCUUCAUUCUCAUCGGCAGCGGCGGCGGAGCUUUAGUUUUUCCGGCAGAGCUUUCGUUUACAGAGGCGACUGCGCAUGUGGUGAGUGUAUUCGGCACCAUUCCCCUCCGCAUUGAGUUAGAUCUGACCAAGUGAGCCUCUGUUUGCCCCCGUUUUCUAUGGGAUCCAGAUUGUGGAGGUGGAUGGGACUGGAGAGCUAUGGCAGGGUGGCGUUGGGCUGAACAAAAUGGAGCCACGAGAGACAACGUCCACCAAGUAAUCAUCCUGUCCAACCUCUUGAACACUGCGAUGUGUGCCUCGUCGUCUUCCACUGCCUCAUAGUGCUUGCCAUUGAUAAACAGGGGCAACGUUGUUCGAACCUUCAAAUUCAAUAUUGAAUUCUUACCAUCUAAAGCAAAGCUAGUUGAUAGUAGCGUGCGAGACAGAGAGAGAGAUGCAAUUGUGAAAUGGGAGGUUGAAUUUACAGAGAUUGAUCCAUAGGAAAUACAGAGCAUGGAAGAGAGGGCCGCGAGGAAUGUUGUGGAGAAAAUUGGGGAGAGCAUUUUUUGGGGUCAAGAGCAAGAGGUAGCAUUGUUACGGUUUGAUAAUUGGAAGGGUGAGUAUGUGAGGAUUGAGAAUGGUGAAGAGAUGGUUGAUGAAAUCGAUCGACAAGACGGUUGGGCAAGCAAACAGACUACCUUUCAUGCAGAGCUCGUUGAUAUGAAAUCAGAUUCUAUGUUUGGAUAUGUGCCCUCAAAGUUGGCUUCACGGAUGGUAGAGGAUGAUUGGGAUUCACAUAGACAGAUAACGCCCAUGUGUACGGAUGAAGUGACAGUGAUAGAGGGGGCUGAUCAAGAUGCAGAAGAGGGUUGUGAUGGUGCUGCAAGGGUUUUUUGUGUUGAUUGGAAUUCAGUAAAAUUAGAAGACACUAGUGAUUUGGUCAUUGCACCAAUGGCUGGCACUAAGAUGGCCAAUUUUUUGGCAUUCCAGUAAAUCUAGUAGAUGAUCAAGAUGAGGAAGAGAGGGCUGAAUCGAGUUUGCCUAAUAAUGCUAACAUAGAUGCUUGUGAAGAUGCGGAUGGGCGGCUGAUGAAAGAUGAUGUAGAUAAUGCACAUGAUGAUGAGCUUGUAAGUGUGUAUGACAAAGAAAAUCAUGUUAUUGAAGUAGGCAAGUGUUGGGGAACGUAGUAAUUUCAAAAUUUUCCUAUGCACACGCAAGAUCAUGGUGAUGCAUAGCAACGAGAGGGGAGAGUGUUGUCUACGUACCCUCGUAGACCGAAGCGGAAGCGUUGACGCAACGUAGAGGAAGUAGUCAUACGUCCUCCCGGUUCAACCGAUCCAAGCACCGUUACUCCGGCACCUCCGAGUUCUUGACACACGUACAGCUCGAUGACGCACCCCGAUCUCCGAUCCAGCAGAGGCACGGGGAGGAGUUCCGUCAGCACGAUGGCGUGGUGACGAUCUUGAUGUUCUACUGUCGCAGGGCUUCGCCUAAGCACCGCUACAAUAUGACCGAGGUGUAAUCUCAUGGAGGGGGGCACCGCACACGGCUAAGGAACGAUCUCAGUGAUCAACUUGUGUGUUCAUGGGGUGCCCCCUACCCUCGUAUAUAAAGGAGUGGAGGAGGGGAGGGCCGGCCCUCUACUAUGGCGCGCCCUAGGGGAGUCCUACUCCCACCGGGAGUAGGAUUCCCCCUUUCCUAGUCCAACUAGGAGACCUUCCAUGUAUUAGGAGUAGGAGACAAGGAAGGGGAAGAGAGAAGGGAAGGAAGGAGGGGGUGCGGCCCCUCCCCCUAGUCCAAUUCGGACUAGGCCAUGGGGGGGGCGCGCGGCCUGCCCUAGGCAGCCCCUCUCUCUUUCCCGCAGGGCCCAAUAAGGCCCAAUACUUCUCCCCGGCGAAUUCCCGUAACUCUCCGGUACUCCGAAAAAUACCCGAAUCACUCGGAACCUUUCCGAACUCCAAAUAUAGUCGUCCAAUAUAUCGAUCUUUAUGUCUCGACCAUUUCGAGACUCCUCGUCAUGUUCCUGAUCUCAUCCGGGAUUCCAAACUCCUUCGGUACAUCAAAACUCAUAAACUCAUAAUAAAACUGUCAUCGAGACCUUAAGCGUGCGGACCCUACGGUUCGAGAACAAUGUAGACAUGACCGAGACACGUCUCCGGUUCAUAACCAAUAGCGGGACCUGGAUGCCCAUAUUGGUUCCUACAUAUUCUACGAAGAUCUUUAUCGGUCAAACCGCAUAACUACAUACGUUGUUCCCUUUGUCAUCGGUAUGUUACUUGCCCGAGAUUCGAUCGUCGGUAUCCAAUACCUAGUUCAAUCUUGUUACCGGCAAGUCUCUUUACUCGUUCCGUAAUACAUCAUCUCGCAACUAACUCAUUAGCUGAAAUGCUUGCAAGGCUUAAGUGAUGUGUAUUACCGAGAGGGCCCAGAGAUACCUCUCCGACAUUCGAAGUGACAAAUCCUAAUCUCGAAAUACGCCAACUCAACAAGUACCUUUGGAGACACCUGUAGAGCAUCUUUAUAAUCACCCAGUUACGUUGUGACGUUUGGUAGCACACAAAGUGUUCCUCCGGUAAACGGGAGUUGCAUAAUCUCAUAGUCAUAGGAACAUGUAUAAGUCAUGAAGGAAGCAAUAGCAACAUACUAAACGAUCGGGUGCUAAGCUAACGGAAUGGGUCAUGUCAAUCAGAUCAUUCAACUAAUGAUGUGAUCCCGUUAAUCAAAUAACAACUCCUUGUCCAUGGUUAGGAAACAUAACCAUCUUUGAUUAACAAGCUAGUCAAGUAGAGGCAUACUAGUGACACUCUGUUUGUCUAUAUAUUCACACAUGUAUUAUGUUUCCGGUUAAUACAAUUCUAGCAUGAAUAAUAAACAUUUAUCAUGAUAUAAGGAAAUAAAUAAUAACUUUAUUAUUGCCUCUAGGGCAUAUUUCCUUCAGUCUCCCACUUGCACUAGAGUCAAUAAUCUAGAUCACAUCACCAUGUGAUUCACAUCGAUAGUUCACAUCAUCAUGUGAUUAACACACAUAGUUCACAUCGCCAUGUGACCAACAUCAAAAGGGUUUACUAGAUUCAGUAAUCUAGUUCACAUCGCUAUGUGAUUAACACCCAAAGAAUACUUAGGUUUGAUCAUGUUUUGCUUGUGUGAGAAUCUUAGUCAACGGGUCUUUCACAUUCAGAUCCGUUAUGUAUUUUGCAAUUAUGUCUACAAUGCUCUGCACGGAGCUACUCUAGCUAAUUGCUCCCACUUUCAAUAUGUAUCUAGAUCGAGACUUAGAGUCAUCCAGAUCGGUGUCAAAACUUGCAUCGACGUAACCCUUUACGACGAACCUUUUUCCACUUCCAUAAUCGAGAAACAUAUCCUUAUUCCACUAAGGAUAAUUUUGACCGCUGUUCAGUGAUCUACUCCUAGAUCACUAUUGUACUCCGUUGCCAAACUCAGUGCAGGGUAUACAAUAGAUCUGGUACACAGCAUGGCAUACUUCAUAGAACCUAUGGCCAAGGCAUAGGGAAUGACUUUCAUUCUCUUUCUAUCUUCUGCCGUGGUCGGGUUUUGAGUCUUACUCAAUUUCACACCUUGUAACACAGGCAAGAACUCUUUCUUUGACUGUUCCAUUUUGAACUACUUCAAAAUCUUGUCAAAGUAUGUACUCAUUGAAAAAACUUAUCAAGCGUUUUGAUCUAUCUCUAUAGAUCUUGAUGCUCAAUAUGUAAGCAGCUUCACCGAGGUCUUUCUUUGAAAAACUCCUUUCAAACACUCCUUUAUGCUUUGCAGAAUAAUUCUACAUUAUUUCCGAUCUACAAUAUGUCAUUCACAUAUACUUAUCAGAAAUGCUGUAGUGCUCCCACUCACUUUCUAGUAAAUACAUGCUUCACUGCAAGUCUGUAUAAACUAUAUGCUUUGAUCAACUUAUCAAAGCGUAUAUUCCAACUCCGAGAUGCUUGUACCAUUCCAUAGAUGCACAUUUUGUUAACACCUUUAGGAUCGACAAAACCUCUUGGUUGCAUCACAUACAACUCUUCUUUAAUAACUCCAUUAAGGAAUGCAGUUUUGUUUAUCCAUUUGCCAGAUUUCAUAAAAUGCGGCAAUUACUAACAUGAUUCGGACAGACUUUUAAGCAUCGAUACGAGUGAGAAAAUCUCAUUGUAUUCAACAUCUUGAACUUUGUCAAAAGCCUUUUUCGACAAGUCUAGCUUUGUAGAUAGUAACACUACUAUCAGCGUCCGUCUUCCUCUUGAAGAUCCAUUUAUUUUCUAUGGCUUGCCGAUCAUCGGGCAACUCCACCAAAGUCCACACUUUGUUCUCAUACAUGGAUCUCAUCUCAGAUUUCAUGGCCUCAAGCCAUUUCGCGGAAUCUGGGCUCAUCAUCGCUUCCUCAUAGUUCAUAGGUUUGUCAUGGUCAAGUAACAUGACCUCCAGAACAGGAUUACCGUACCACUCUGGUGCGGAUCUCACUCUGGUUUACCUACGAGAUUCGGUAGUAACUUGAUCUGAAGUUACAUGAUCAUCAUCAUUAGCUUCCUCACUAAUUGGUGUAGUAGUCACAGGAACAGAUUUCUGUGAUGAACUACUUUCCAAUAAGGGAGAAGGUACAAUUACCUCAUCAAGUUCUACUUUCCUCCCACUCACUUCUUUCGAGAGAAACUCCUUCUCUAGAAAGGAUCCAUUUAUUAGCAACGAAUGUUUUGCCUUCGGAUCUGUGAUAGAAGGUGUACCCAACAAUUUCCUUUGGGUAUUCUAUGAAGAUGCACUUCUCCGAUUUGGGUUUGAGCUUAUCAGGAUGAAACUUUUUUCACAUAAGCAUCGCAGCCCCAAACAUUAAGAAACAACAACUUUGGUUUCUUGCUAAACCACAGUUCAUAUAUUGUCGUCUCAACGGAUUUAGAUGGUGCCCUAUUUAACGUGAAUGCAGCUAUCUAUAAUGCAUGAUCCCAAAACGAUAUUGGUAAAUCAGUAAGAAACAUCAUAGAUUGUACUAUAUCCAAUAAAGUACGGUUAUGACGUUCGGACACACCUUAACGUUGUGGUGUUCCGGGUGGCGUGAGCUGUGAAACUAUUUCACAUUGUUUUAAUUGAAGACCAAACUCGUAUCUCAAAUAUUCGUCUCCGCGAUCAUAUCGCAGAAACUUUAUUUUCUUGUUACGAUGAUUUUUCCAUUUCACUCUGAAAUUCUUUGAACCUUUCAACUAUUUCAGGCUUAUGUUUCAUCAAGCAGAUAUACCCAUAUCUGCUCAAAUCAUCUUGUGAAGGUCAGAAAAUAACGAUACUUGCCACGAGCAUCAACACUCAUUGGAUCGCAUACAUCGGCAUGUAUUAUUUCCAAUAAGUCAGUAGCUCGCCCCACUGUUCCGGAGAACGGAGUCUUAGUCAUCUUGCCCAUGAGGCAUGGUUCACAAGCAUCAAGUGAUUCAUAAUCAAGUGAUUCCAAAAUCCCAUCAGCAUGGAGUUUCUUCAUGCGCUUUACACCAAUAUGACCUAAACGGCAGUGCCACAAAUAAGUUGCACUAUCAUUAUUAACUUGCAUCUUUUGGUUUCAAUAUUAUGAAUAUGUGUAUCACUAUGAUCGAGAUCCAAUGAACCAUUUUCAUUGGGUGUGUAACCAUAUAAGGUUUUAUUCAUGUAAACAGAACAACAGUUUAUUCUCUUACUUAAAUGAAUAACCGUAUUGCAAUAAACACGAUCAAAUCAUAUUCAUGCUCAACGCAAACACCAAAUAACAUUUAUUUAGGUUCAACACUAAUCCCGAAAGUAUAGGGAGUGUGCGAUGAUGAUCAUAUCAAUCUUGAAACUACUUUCAACACAUAUCGUCACUUCACCCUUAACUAGUUUCUGUUUAUUCUGCAACUCCCGUUUCGAGUUACUACUCUUAGCAACUGAACCAGUACCAAAUACCGAGGGGUUGCUAUAAACACUAGUAAAGUACACAUCAAUAACAUGUAUAUCAAAUAUACCUUUGUUCACUUUGCCAUCCUUCUUAUCCGCCAAAUACUUGGGGUAGUUUUGCUUCCAGUGACCAGUCCCUUUGCAGUAGAAGCACUUAGUCUCAGGCUUAGGUCCAGACUUGGGCUUCUUCAUGGAAGUGACAACUUGCUUGUCAAUCUACUUGAAGUUCCCCUUUCUUUUCCCUUUGCCCUUUUCUUGAAACUAGUGGUCUUGUUAACCAUCAACACUUGAUGUUCUUUCUUGAUUUCUACCUUCAUCGAUUUCAUCAUCAUGAAAAACUCGGGAAUCAUUUUCAUCAUCCCUUGCAUACUAUAGUUCAUCACGAAGUUCUACUAACUUGGUGAUGGUGACUAGAGAAUUCUGUCAAUCACUAUCUUAUCUGGAAGAUUAACUCCCACUUGAUUCAAGCGAUUGAAGUACCCAGACAAUCUGAGCACAUGCUCACUAGUUGAGCAAUUCUCCUCCAUCUUUUAGCUAUAGAACUUGUUGGAGACUUCAUAUCUCUCAACUCGGGUAUUUGCUGAAAAUAUAUUAACUUCAAUUCCUGGAACAUCUCAUAUGGUCCAUGACGUUCAAAACGUCUUUGAAGUCCCGAUUCUAAGCCGUUAAGCAUGGUGCACUAAACCAUCAAGUAGUCAUCAUAUUGAGCUAGCCAAACGUUCAUAACGUCUGCAUCUGCUCCUGCAAUAGGUCUGUCACCUAGCGGUGCAUUAAGGACAUAAUCCUUCUGUGCAGCAAUGAGGAUAAACCUCAGAUCACGGAUCCAAUCCGCAUCAUUGCUACUAACAUCUUUCAACACAGUUUUCUCUAGGAACAUAUCAAAAUAAACAUAUGAAAGCAAUAACGCGAGCUAUUGAUUUAUAACAUAAUUUGCAAAAUACUACCAGGACUAAGUUCAUGAUAAAUUUAAGUUCAAUUAAUCAUAUUACUUAAGAACUCCCACUUAGACAGACAUCUCUCUAGUCAUCUAAGUGAUCACGUGAUCCAAAUCAACUAAACCAUAACCGAUCAUCACGUGAGAUGGAGUAGUUUUCAAUGGUGAACAUCACUAUGUUGAUCAUAUCUACUAUAUGAUUCACGCUCGACCUUUUGGUCUCCGUGCUCUGAGGCCAUAUCUGCAUAUGCUAGGCUCGUCAAGUUUAACCUGAGUAUUCCGCGUGUGCAAAACUGGCUUGCACCCAUUGUAGAUGGACGUAGAGCUUAUCACACCCGAUCAUCACGUGGUGUCUGGGAACGACGAACUUUGGCAACGGUGCAUACUCAGGGAGAACACUUCUUGAUAAUUAGUGAGAGAUCAUCUUAAAAUGCUACCGUCAAUCAAAGCAAGAAUAAGAUGUAUAAUAGAUAAACAUCAUAUGCAAUCAAAAUAUGUGACAUGAUAUGGCCAUGAUCAUCUUGCGCCUUUGAUCUCCAUCUCCAAAGUACUAUCAUGAUCUCUAUCGUCACCGACACGACACCAUGAUCUUCAUCAUCUUGAUCUAUAUCAAUGUGUCGUCACAUGGUCGUCUUGCCAACUAUUGCUCUUGCAACUAUUGCUAUCGUAUAGCGAUAAAGUAAAGCAAUUAUUUGGCACUUGCAUCUUAUGCAACAAAGAGACAUCCAUAGGGCUUUUGCCAGUUGCCGAUAACUUCAACAAAACAUGAUCAUCUCAUACAACAACUUAUAUCUUAUCACGUCUUGACCAUAUCACAUCACAACAUGCCCUGCAAAACAAGUUAGACGUCCUCUACUUUGUUGUUGCAAAUUUUACGUGGCUGCUACGGGCUGAGCAAGAACCGUUCUUACCUACGCAUCAAAACCACAAUGAUAGUUUGUCAAGUUGGUUAUGUUUUAACCUUCGCAAGGACCGGGCGUAGCCACACUCGGUUCAACUAAAGUUGGAGAAACUGACACCCGCUAGCCACCUGUGUGCAAAGCACGGCGGUAGAACCAGUCUCGCGUAAGCGUACGCGUAAUGUCGGUCUGGGCCGCUUCAUCCAACAAUACCGCCGAACCAAAGUAUGACAUGCUGGUAAGCACUAUGACUUAUAUCGCCCACAACACACUUGUGUUCUACUCGUGCAUAUAACAUCAAACCAUAAAACCUAGGCUCGGAUGCCACUGUUGGAGAACGUAGUAAUUUCAAAAUUUUCCUACGCACACGCAAGAUCAUGGUGAUGCAUAGCAACGAGAUGGGAGAGUGUUGUCUACGUACCCUCGUAGACCGAAGCGGAAGCGUUGACGCAACAUAGAGGAAGUAGUCGUACGUCCUCCCGGUUCAACCGAUCCAAGCACCGUUACUCCGGCACCUCCGAGUUCUUGACACACGUACAGCUCGAUGACGCACCCCGAUCUCCGAUCCAGCAGAGGCACGGAGAGGAGUUCCGUCAGCACGACGGCGUGGUGACGAUCUUGAUGUUCUACUGUCGCAGGGCUUCGCCUAAGCACCGCUACAAUAUGACCGAGGUGUAAUCUCGUGGAGGGGGGCACCGCACACGGCUAAGGAACGAUCUCAAUGAUCAACUUGUGUGUUCAUGGGGUGCCCCCUACCCCCGUAUAUAAAGGAGUGGAGGAGGGGAGGGCCGGCCCUCUACUAUGGCGCGCCCAAGGGGAGUCCUACUCCCACCGGGAGUAGGAUUCCCCCUUUCCUAGUCCAACUAGGAGACCUUCCAUGUAUUAGGAGUAGGAGACAAGGAAGGGGAAGAGAGAAGGGAAGAAGGAGGGGGUGCGGCCCCUCCCCCUAGUCCAAUUCGGACUAGGCCAUGGGGGGGCGCGCGGCCUGCCCUAGGCAGCCUCUCUCUCUUUCCCGCAGGGCCCAAUAAGGCCCAAUACUUCUCCCCGGCGAAUUCCCGUAACUCUCCGGUACUGAGAAAAAUACCCGAAUCACUCGGAACCUUUCCGAACUCCGAAUAUAGUCGUCCAAUAUAUCGAUCUUUACGUCUCGACCAUUUCGAGACUCCUCGUCAUGUCCCCGAUCUCAUCCGGGACUCCCAACUCCUUCGGUACAUCAAAACUCAUAAACUCAUAAUAAAACUGUCAUCGAAACCUUAAGCGUGCGGACCCUACGGUUCGAGAACAAUGUAGACAUGACCGAGACACAUCUCCGGUCAAUAACCAAUAGCAGGACCUGGAUGCCCAUAUUGGUUCCUACAUAUUCUACGAAGAUCUUUAUCGGUCAAACCGCAUAACUACAUACGUUGUUCCCUUUGUCAUCGGUAUGUUACUUGCCCGAGAUUCGAUCGUCGGUAUCCAAUACCUAGUUCAAUCUUGUUACCGGCAAGUCUCUUUACUCGUUCCGUAAUACAUCAUCUCGCAACUAACUCAUUAGCUGAAAUGCGUGCCAGGCUUAAGUGAUGUGUAUUACCGAGAGGGCCCAGAGAUACCUCUCCGACAUUCGGAGUGACAAAUCCUAAUCUCGAAAUACGCCAACUCAACAAGUACCUUUGGAGACACCUGUAGAGCACCUUUAUAAUCACCCAGUUACGUUGUGACGUUUGGUAGCACACAAAGUGUUCCUCCGGUAAACGGGAGUUGCAUAAUCUCAUAGUCAUAGGAACAUGUAUAAGUCAUGAAGGAAGCAAUAGCAACAUACUAAACGAUCGGGUGCUAAGCUAACGGAAUGGGUCAUGGCAAUCAGAUCAUUCAACUAAUGAUGUGAUCCCGUUAAUCAAAUAACAACUCCUUGUCCAUGGUUAGGAAACAUAACCAUCUUUGAUUAACAAGCUAGUCAAGUAGAGGCAUACUAGUGACACUCUGUUUGUCUACAUAUUCACACAUGUAUUAUGUUUCCGGUUAAUACAAUUCUAGCAUGAAUAAUAAACAUUUAUCAUGAUAUAAGGAAAUAAAUAAUAACUUUAUUAUUGCCUCUAGGGCAUAUUUCCUUCAGCAAGUUGUUCCCGAGCAUGAAGGAGUUUAUGAUGUGUUUCAAGACUUAUACAGUCAAACAUGAGUUUGAUGCCAAAGACUAUGUGGACUGAUAGAAAGAAAUUUUAUGCAAGGUGCUAAGUUUUUGAUGGAAGCGUCGGGCCGUGAAAGUGGUACAAUCUUCUAGAAUUCAACCUAAUGGAACACUGGUACAACGAGAUGUUAUAUAACGGUUUUUAACCCCUUUCCGUGAUGGCAUUUUAAACCGUCGCCAAGUGAGUGUGGGCGAUAGGGGGGUCCUUCCCACACGACAGAUAAACCAUUGGGGAUAGGGAGCCAUGAUGCAUACAUUUUUCAUAACUAAGCGUCUACGAUGCAGGCAUCUAUCCCAAACGCGAUUCUUCACACAACUGUUUGUGAUAUAUCGAAUAUCCCAAACGCUCCAUCUUUGCUACUCGUGUGUCCUGGCAUUACCAUUGCACACGUAUUAUGUGGUGCAACAUUUACGAUGUGCACUCCAUCACAAACAGUUCGUGAUUGCCAAGCGUGUGCGAUCAGGAGACUAUCACGCACAUUCACUUCCCCCGAACCAUAUGUGAUUUGUAAUUAAGAAGAUUACCUAAUCAUCGUACAAGUGUCAGAUAGGAUUACGAAAUGUCGGACCGUCGUACCAGUGUCGUAUAGGAUAACUAUCGCACAAGCUAUUAAGUUGUGCCACGUUUACGAUGCCUACGACAUCCGAAAUAGUUCAUGAUUGUAAACCAUGUAUGACAAGGCGACUAUCACAAACAUUUAGUUUGCUUGCAUCGUUUGCGAUAUUUUUUGACAUCACACAUGCUUCGCGACGGCAACUGUGUGCAUGGUCGCACACGUUUCCUCUCUGCAAACCGUGUCGGAAGUACAUGUAUAUCACACACGUUUGUGCUUUACAGACCGUGUGAGUCGUAAUGACCUGCAGAGCAUAUUUCGGCCCUAAUUAAAUCGCUGCUAUUUAAAAUUGUAUCAAAUUUGAAAUUUUUAGUUGGCUAUAACUUUAUUCAUAUCCAUCAGGUUAAACAACCAAUGCAUUAUUUGAUUCAGAGAUACACAUGUUCAAGAAUUACAUAAGCACCAAAUAAAGACUGAUGAAUCAGGAUUGUAUACUUGUACUAUUAAGCAUGAUAAAGAAAGAUCCAAAAGACAUUCUGGUUGCUGAACAAGGUGAAGCGGAACGCCCGUAUUGUGCUCUCCUUCAUGCAGAAGGCACGCACGACUUUGUCCAACCCCAUGUGAUGGCCAACCGCGCAUCCUUCAUUGUCUUCAUGACCCAUGUGGGCAUCUAGAUAGUCACCGUGUUAUGGUAGAAAUACUUUAACCUUUGCAUGCCCACCAAUCAUGUAAUUUGAGAGGUAAUCUUGAGUAAACUGAUUCAAGAACCAAUGCAAAGGAAAAAAGACUCAAUCAUUGUCAUCUAAGACAACUCAUUAUGGGCAGUAAAAAGAAGGCUAUAGAGUUCUUACUUACCACGUUGCAGUUCACUGUUAUGUUGCAUAAGUUGUAAACAAAUAGUUCGAUUGACAUCUUUUGACCCAUUCUAAUAACAAUCUUUAUCAGUUUCCUCUCUUGAAGCUGGUUCACGAAUACCUCAUUGCCCCAUACGCAGAAAGGGUCGAAGCACGGAUCUUUACCAAUGACGUGUACCUAAAAGCAACAAGUUAACAUUAGAAGCUAAACAUCAAUUGCAAUAUUAUGUACUACAACACUACCUCCAUCCCAUUAUAUAAGAUCUUAAAGCAUCCAAUAUAUUCACGGCGUGGAUGAAUAAACAUCUUAUAUUAUGGAUGAGGGGAAUCGGUAGAGGAGGUCGAGAAGAAGCCUGACAGGUGAGCUGCGACAGGGCGGCGCCGGAGCUGGCCAGAAUCAAUCGGCAGGAGAAAGGGGAUCGGGCAGUUGGGAACUUUCAUGUGGCGGUUGCGUUGGUGUGCGGCUGCUGCGUUUACAUCUACAGAUGGAGGUGAUGUAUAUUUGCAUCUCCACGUGUUAUAUUUUACAACACGAGCAACGGGUGAUAUAAAAAUUUAUACAUCUGCAUCAUGGUGAUGUAAACACUAAAAAGUGGUUAUAUAUAUAUAUAUAUAUAUAUAUAUAUAUAUAUAUAUAUAUAUAUAUAUAUAUAAGGUUAUAUAUACACACACACACACAUGAUCUAUUGGAGAUGCUCUAAAUUUUAUAAAUAGGCAAUCAGUGCAUGAUCAUUUUCACAUCACACGGACAGUGAGACACACACGUGGUUCUUCCCUCAACAUCUGGAAUAGGAGAAAGCAAUCACCUCCCUUCUUGGAUGGUGCUGAUAGUCAUGUCGUUGGUGCUGCACGAUCCGGUAAAGUGUGUCGACCGUGUCCCCGACCUACCCACUCGGUCCUCUUCGUCGUCGCUGGUGACUCUGAGGUGGAAAUGCGGCGGCCACCUCGGUUCCGGCAAGGGCACCUCGUCGUGGCCCAGCAUCGCCGUCACGUCCGACAUCGUCGGCCGAUCCAUGGCGUUGUCCUGCACGCAAAGCAGCGCCACCUUGACGCACCGCAUCAUGUCUGCCACCUGCUCGUUGCACUGGCCCAGCGACGGGUCUACCAGCUCCAACGCUCUCCCAUCCCUCCACAGCUGCCAUGCCUGUCGUCCAAAAAUCGUACGGCACAUUAACUAAUGAGGUUUUGCUUCAUAUGUAGUUCAAAUUGGAAUCUCUAAAAAGUCUUGUAUUUAGGAACAGAGGGUUCCUGUCAGUGCCUUAGGUUGCUGAUGCGAUAUUUUUGACCUUAUGGUGACGGAUAAGCCGCUCAUUUUUGUAUUUUGUCUAGGAACAAGAAGUGCUAGGAUUUGGGCCGGAAAUGUCUAAGUUUGUCAGAAGUGUGUGCCCCCAUAUAUAUUCUUGUUAACUCAUGAAACUAAAAAAUUCAGCAGAAGCUUACGUAGCUGAGGAGGUUGACAAAUUCUCCGUAGUGUUGGCCGUGACCGCUGCUGUUCCUCUUGCCGCUCACUAUCUCCAGCAGCAACACACCAAAGCUGAAGACGUCAGACUUGACCGAGAAGAGGCCCUCCGAAGCAUACUCAGGUGCCAUAUAACCGCUACAUAGAGCACAGCACAGAACGUGGAGCGGCAGGUGUGGUGAGCAAUCUUCAAAUCAUUCAAAAAGAUUCAAAAAAGGGAUAAAAAUGCUUCUCUUAAUUACUAGGUGCCGACGACCCUGUUGGUGUUGACCUCCAUCACAUUUGAGCCAAAGAUCCUGGCCAUGCCAAAGUCGGAGAUCUUGGGGUUGAGAUCUUUGUCCAGCAAUAUGUUGCUGGCCUUCAUGUCCCGGUGAAUGAUGCGCACCCGUGAGUGCUUGUGCAGGUAUAGGAGCCCCUGCGCGAUCCCUUCGAUUAUGUGUUGCCGUUUUUUCCAGUCCAACAAGGGCCCUCUCUCUUGGUCUACAUUGCACAAAGUGGUUAGCAUAUCAGGAAUUACAUUCAAGGGAAGAACUGAAGAUGGUCUUAAGAAAAGUUCUUGCACGUAGUUAGUAAUGUACCGAAGAUCCAUCGCAAAAAAAAAAAGUAAUGUACCGAAGAUAAAGAAGUCUAGGCUUCCGUUGGGCAUGUACUCGUACACCAGCAUCUUCUCCUCCUCCUGCAGGCAGCAACCCACGAGCUUGACGAGGUUCGUGUGCUGCAGCUUGGCAAUGAGCUGGAUCUCGUUCUUGAACUCAACAAGCCCCUGCCCAGACUGCGCCGCGAGCCUCUUCACCGCCACCUCGGUUCCAUCACAAAACAUUCCCUGAAAAGAAACACAAUGGUACCAAAAAGAUUAGCAUUCGAUCGAUUGAUUGGACACAUUACAUGGUAAAUGGCGCAUCCACUUGCCUUGUACACCGGACCGAAGCCGCCUUGUCCGAGCUUGUUCUCUUCGGAGAAAUAGUCCGUGGCAGCAGCGAGCUCAGGGAAGUCGUACAAGGUGAAUUCUGAGCUGCUCUCUUCGAUCUUCCAUAGCUUCAGUGCCUCCUCUGUCUUGGAGUUGUUCCUCUUAUGUGCUUGUUCUAAUUUUGACUUUCCUGAAUUGGAUAUUAAUUGCAGGUGAUGAGUUAAAUGGUGUCGAGAAAAAGCACGAAAUUUUCUUGCAAUGUGUUGUCUUCUCCUUACCAGCUCCUUUUCUUAGCCUUCUCAUGAGUAGAAGGCAGCAAACCAAUACAGAACAGAAUACCGUAAUGGACACGCAUAGAAGAAUUAUUAGGGUCUUUCUGUGCUUGCUUCCUGCGUGAUACAGAACAAAAUAAUUCAACAAAUUUCGUCGAAUAGUUCAACAAAUUGCAAAGGAGGUACACAAAAUAAUUCAACUAGAAAACCUAAAAUAAUUCAACAAAUUGAAAAGGAGGUACACAGUACACUCUCCCUUACCAUUGCUUUCUGUUGGUGAAGAUGAGCCACCCUGUAAGCCAAUCCUGACGUCGGCCAUGCCGUCGUAGAACUGGUAGCUUUCAUAGCGAAUAUUACACCGGAUGCCGAUGAUGCGGCCGCCCUCACGGCCAUCGUACCACUGGCGCGUCUGCUCCUGGAGGCCCUGGAAGCAGUGCCAGCACUGCCCCGGGGAGAGGUCCGGCGUGCACUGCGCCAGGCCGUACACCGUCGGCAGCUGCGGGUUGACGUACAUAACGGCGCUGGCAAACCGGCGCACCGUGGAAUUGUACGAGCCGUACAUCGCCAUCUCCCCGAAUAGAGUGCCAACCAGGGACAGGAAGAAGCUCCGGGACGUCGCGUUCCCGCUGUCCCACGCAGCAAACGUCGACCUGUUCACGUCCAUGGCGUUUAUGACCGGGCUGUUAUCUUCCGGCCGCCCCAGGAAGUCCUCGCCCGAGUAGCGGAGGGUGCAGAGGUCGUGGUAGAACGUCGCAUCCCUCUCGCCGGCGCAGAGCGCCCGCAGCUGCUGGAACGCGUUGUCGAGGCAGCCGGAGCAUGUGCUGGCGUCCGUGAUGUCACCGCGGCAGAGCGCGAGGGCGAAGACUUUAUCCGAGGAGGUGCCGAUGGCCGCCGAGGCGUAGAGGGAUGGAGAGGUGGAGCCGUUGAUGGGGAGCUCGGCGGUGAGGCGCGCGACGUUAGCCCCGAAGGCGUCGCUCGCCGUGUAGUUGCCGGUGGUGACAUUGCACGAGUACUCCGAGUAGGCGGCGGCGACGGCGCGCGGCUCUACGAAGAGGAGAAGGAGGAGGCAGGGCAUGACGCCAACCAUGCCGGCCUCUUUCAUUGUGAUGAAAAAGGAGAAUAAUGGCACUUCCCCUUAACUUGUUCUUCUCGUUUUAAAAUUUAUAAAUGCGUCGGCAAAGUCGAAGGCAGAUGGUGGUUGGUUGCUGUCAUUUGUGCUUUCCGAUUUUUCUGCGACGGUUCGUUCAGUCAAAGGCCACAAGCAGGAAUUUGAUUACCUAGAUACCCACUAAAGCAUAGCAGACAUACAUGACAAUUGACGAGUAUUCGCGAACCAACAUGUGGUUGCAUGAUUUUAGAGGGACAGUGGUGUCUCGAUUUCAUUAGGGUUUAAGUCCUGGUGCUCGCAUUAAUUUUGGAUUUAUUUCAAUAUUUCCGCCGAUGCGCUUUUAGUGGGAGGUAAUGUUUCCGUCGACGACGAGGCGCCUAGGAGGACUUCGUAAAUCUUAAGAUAAUAUGCCGGCUCAGUUUUUUGAAGGUGCUCCAAAAGAUAGGGUGUGCGUGUGUGCGUUCAUAAGAAUGAGUGUAAGCAAGUAUGUACGAGCGCUUGCGUCUGUACUGUGUUCAAAAAUAUUGACAAGCAUUCAUUUUACCGAAUUUUUGUCCAAAAGAACCAUCUGCCGAGUCAAAUUGACGAAAAAGACCAUCUCUGAAAAUAAUUGACAGAAAGGACCAGCUGUGCCGUGGCGGCAGGGGCGCCAGCCGACACGUGGCCCCUGCCGCCACGCGUGGUGGCGGCCGGACCUGCCGCCAUGACAGCAGGCGGCAACGCUGGAAUUACCAGCUGCCAGGCGAGUCCAGCUGCUGCAACGGAGUUUGGAUGGGCUGGUGGGCCCUGCCGCCACACCCUGCGGCGGCAUGUCUCGAGCAGUAGCAACUCGUGUCUCCCGUUCUGCUCUGUGUUCUUCCAGUGUUGUUAGCAAGUGUGAAAUAGGCAUGUUUGACUGAGAUUUGAAUCAAUUUGAAGGCGGAUUUUGAAGAUAUUGCAGUUGAAGAAAAGAUAGAUCAAGAUAAGAUGUAUCCGUUUUUGUAUCUUUUGCUCACAUCCAUGGUGGUUUUGCACUGUAUGAUUAGUCUCUAACUUUAUAUUCGCUGUUGUAUUUGGCAUUUGAUAAUAAUUUUGGGAGUGGUUUGGAGCAUUUAGAAAGUACAAAACGACCGUGCAUGUAAGCACAAAACAUAAAAAUGGAUAGAUCUUAACUUGAUCUAUCUUCUCUUCAACUGCAACAUCUUUAAAAUCGGCCUUCAAAUUGAUUUAAAUCUCAGUCAAAUGUGCCUAUUUUCACACCUGCUAACAUCGAGUAGAACAGAGAGCAAGCAGUGCUGCUGCUGGAGACCGGCCUGUGGCGGCAGGGCCUACCAGCCCAUCCAAAUUCCGUCGCAGCAGCUGGCCUCGCCUGUUAUUUGGUAAUUCGAGCGCUGCCACCUGCUGUCGUGGCGGCAGACACUGCCGCCUCCGGGCGUGGCGGCAGGUGCCACGUGUCGGCUGGCGCGCCUGCCGCCACGCCCCAGCUGGUCUCUUUUGUCCAUUCUUUUCAAAGAUGGUCUUUCUCGUCAAUUCGACUCGGCAGGUGGUCCUUUUGAACAAAAAAUCCAUUUUACCUUGCACGUGUAAACACGGACGACCCCGCUACGACCUGGAACAACCAUGCUGAGUUGAAAGCCAAUUUUUAAUAUUUUUUUGUAUGAUAAUAUGUGGCUCAUUUAUGUAUAUCAUAAGGAUCAUACUACAAGCCGUACGCACUGACCUGAGAAAACUGAAAAGAUAGUAAAACACUAGUUUUUACACAAAGGAACACUGGCCAAGAAGUGAAAUUAUAAUCAAGACCAAAGAAUCAUAUGUGCUUAAUACCAACGCAUGUCACCUUCCUCUGACACCACCAUAGCAGCCACCAAAGGAACAAAUGACGGAUCACCUUUAUACCCAAGCUCGACGCGGCCCAAUCGCCGACAUGAAACUUUGCAGACCUUCAAGGUUGCUCACCACAGGUAAAACCAUUGAUGUUGAACGAAUCAGACCGGGGCAACACCCCAGACACGCCAUCGAACUCCUGUUUUUGGUGACUAAGACCUCGGAUGAGGAAACCAUGCCUGCCAUCCACGAACUACGAACCCAGCACAAGAUCCACCAUCUUCCAGAUGCAGUCGAUGCAGACCACAAUCUACAUCCGCUCCUGGACUACCUCCCAAGCUCUGCGUCUGCAUUGGAGCGAACGCCGUCGCAAUGGCGAAGUCCAAGGACAUAGGUCCACCACGAGGAUGCCGCCUCCACUACGACAUCCUUCUUGAAUAGAUGGACUUCCAAAUCUGUCCCAGACCAUAGGACCGAUCACCUGGUCGGAGAAGAAUCUGAAGAAUCUUUAUUCAUUGUCGUCAUCACCGUUGCCGAGGCCAACACGAUGAACAACCUAAAAACCUUAACUUCGAGAGUCUAAAUAACGAUCCACACGCGUGUAUCUGGCGACCCUCCUCAGCACCGACGACCUUCUAUAUCUGGCGACCCCCCUCAGCACCGACGACCAAGGUCGUCGGCGGAGGAGAGCCAACGGAGGACGGCGUUGGAAGGCUGGACUCUCCUGGCGGCGCUAGGGUUCCAGUCUGCACGUGUCAAGAGGAAAAAGAACGAUUUGAUUACCUCUUCGUGGUCCUAUGGAUAAAGGUUUAAAUUUUGAUGUUGAACGAAAAAUGAUUUUUUUUUUGUCUCAGUGUGUCAAACAAUCGUGUGGCUGGUUGAUGUUCAGCAAAUACUUUAUCUGUAAACAAAUAUAAGAGCGUUUAGCUCACUAAAAUAGAGAUCUAUAUGCUUUUAUAUUUCUUUAUGGAGGGAGUACAGUCCAAAGGUUACUGUCGGGCUUGGAUGGAUGCAUCAAACUAAUUAUACGAAAAGGCUAAAAAUGUGACAUCAGAUUUUUAGAAUUUUGCGAGCGAACGCUUCAUCUGCUGCUCAUUUUGAGGUAAAAGAAUCUUGUAGCAUGGGGACCAGACACGUAAGCGCUUGAAACCGUUGGAUAAGAAAACAGUCGGCGCAAACGCUCCCUUUCCCAGCCGUCAUUUUUCCAGCAGAUUUUGUCAAAAUUGCCAUGGAUCCCUUAAAUUUAGCCAUGCCAUCAAGUUUGCAUGUCUCCAAUUUUUGUCAACAUGUCCAUAGAAUACUCAGUGCCUGCCAUGGUUGACGGUCUGCUCGGUUGGUUGGUCUACACCGCGGUGCACGUCCAAGAUCCAUCCACAUGCCCACCUGGACUCGAUGGUUGAAUGUAUGGUCGAGCAAGACUCUUAUCAUGCCAGGCUACUGUGCGCACGACCACUCAAACCGGCCGGUCACCCUACGUCGGGAACGCACUCAUCCUCGGCGACAUCCAUCCACAUGCCGACCUCGAUCGUUGAGGAGGUGUGUGGAAGUAUGGUCGAGUCACAGUCAUGGUGCACUCUGUGUGCGCACUGCAUGCGGUCUACAGAAUUUGCGUCUAUUUGUUCCGACGCACCACUCUUAUCAACGACGACGAACCCGGCCUAGACAGCUCGGCGAUGGCGCACCGUCCGCCGCCGUGGACGGAGACAUGGGCCUCGGCGCCUUGUUUUUUCCUCGUCAACGUCAACGACGACGGCUUGUUUUUUCCUCGCCGACGUCAACGACGACGACGCGUAGCUACCACUAUCUUGAUGAACUCUUCUCCCCCAUGGAAAUUCCUGCCUCCUCCCAAAAAGUUCCAUGGCGAGUGGUUGGUAUGUCGCCUCGGUUGGGUGGGCUGGUUGCUGUCGCACGCCCAUCGUCGUCUUUUUCCUGCCGUCCAAGAUCCUCUCUUACCUCGGCUUCGAAGCCUUCCCUCAAGUUAGAGCAUCUCCAACGGCCGCUGAACGCGCCGCGCGCUAAAAAAUACUUUGCAGCGCGCCCAUCGCCUGAAAAAGUGUGAUGGACAGCGCUGGCUCUAGCAGGCGCGCUAAAAUUUAGCGUGUGCGCAGCUCCAGCAGACGCGCUAAAAUGCAGGGCACGUGCUAUCGCACGAAACAUUGCAUACAUAUUUUUUAAAUAAAAAUGAUACAUAUUUCAUAGAUAAUAAAAACCAUACAUAGAUAAUUUACAUAGUUCAUAGCAUAGAUCGAUAAACAAUACAUAGAUAGAUAAAACUACAGUGCAACUAGAUGAACUAUGGUGCAACUACACCCUACUCCGAGUCGUCCUCAUCCUCAUCCGGACUGGUGUUGUCUGAAGUAUCGAUCCAUAUGUCCUCCCAACGAGGAUCAUUAUCCCCAAAGAUCGACACCCCACCCGCCUCAACGGUAUCGCACUGCGAUAUCGCCAGGGCCUUCCGCCGACGCCUCUCCAACCGCUCCACGCGGCGCUUUGCCGUCCUUUCCGCCCAGAAGGCGUUCUCCGCCGCGACGUCCUCUGGAUGGCGCCGGCGCCACUCCGCCAUGGCUCGCUCGUCCUCCUCAGGGACGAGGAGUCGGCGCUGCCGCCGACAGUGCUCCGCACGGUCCUGGUCCGUGAUAAGACGAGGCAGAGGGGCGGCGUUCUGCGUCUGCUCACGCGUGAAGACGUCGUGGAAGUUCAUCUGCGCUGGCGGCCUCUCUAGGCGCCACGCCGCCGCGUCAUACGCGCGGGCGGCCUCAUGCGCGGUCCCGAACGUGCCGAGGCCGAGCCGGACAUCGCCGGACCGGAUCUCGGCGUAGUAGGUGUCGGCCGGGCGCUCGCGAAUGCCGCGGUAGCCGACGAUCCAAUGCGGCGCGGCGGCAUGGUGGCGCAGUGGUGGCGGGGGCGAGGAAGCGGCGAGAGCGGCAGAGUGUGAGCGACAGAGUAGGGAGGAGAGCACGUGUGGCAGUGUGGAGGCCGCGUGGCGAGCGCGGCAAUUUAUAGGCGCGCUCAAAGUGGUGCGCUAAAUCUUGCGCGCGCUGCCGCCUUUUCCCGCGUGCGCGCAAUCGUUUCCCGCGCGCGCUAGUUUCCCUGCGCCGUUGGAGCGCGCCAAAACGUCCCGCGCGCUACAGUGAAAGUUUACCCCGCGCGCGUGUCUUUUGGCGCCGAUGUUGGAGAUGCUCUUAGAUCAUCAUAGACGUUCAACCUAACGAUGAUAAGCUACCUUGAAGGAUGGCGCCCUCGCGCCAUGAUGGCGCCAUCACCUACACCGGCACCAUGGUGCGUGGGAGCACGACGCUGAUGCCCGACGGCCUGUUCAGGAGCGCAGUGGUCGCGCCUAGGCUGCUACUGCUGCCCGCCGAUGCGGAUCACCGCAAGUACCUCGUGGCGGCGCCGGAUGGCCGGCUGAUUUUAUGAAAUAAGAAUAUUCGGACAUAUAAUAUGAGAGCUGGAACUAAAAAUACAUAUGGUUUAUUGUAUUUUUUUAAUGUUUAUAAGAUAUAUCAUGCAUGUUUACAUGUUGAGAUGGACUUUUUUUAUGACUCAUUGAAUGAUGAGGUUGGCCUUUUCUAAUAGAUGUUGCUUGAUGAGGUGUCAUGCUUGCAUGUUAAGAGAAAUUAGUUAAUUGGGGCUAGUUAUUUAGAUACAGAAGAUUCUAAUCCUACAAAAUUCCUAUGAUUUUUUUUUGUAUCAAAGAGGCCCUCAAAGUGUGCACUUGGAUAUGACGGUUCUAACAAUAAACACGAGUUAGAGGGCAUUGGAUGGAGAAUACUUCCUAAACUGAAGGUUCUCCUUUGACCGCCAAAACCCCCGGACGCAUGUUAAGCAUGGACCUUCAAGCAUCACAUUGGAAAUUUUUCACUUCACAGAGAAUUGUGGCUUGUAGGAGUUAAAACAAAAGAAGACCGAGAUUUUGCCAACUCUUCGGUUGAGUUGCAUGUAUUUACCGGUCUAUUUGAAACAAUGCUUUGCAUUCUGAUGCUUUUGCUUGUCCUAGGUACUAGUUGAGUAGUUCCUGACACACACGAAGGUGACUGGUCUUGUAGACCCUGAGCUCAUGCGAACCAUCCCUAGACAUGCAUGGAGUUCGGCCACCUCUAGAAACGGCGAGCCAUCGUCUCCCCCUUCUGCAAGCGACACAAAAUACACCUGGUUCCUUAUACGCCGGAUGUGAAGCUCAUAUCCCUUAGCGAGCAUCUUCUUCACCAGGCGCUAGUUGUGCACUUUAACCUCGUAGAUCAUGGCAUCUAGGAUGGUAUGGAGCGACCAAUGAUCAGAGGGAGCGGUGCCGACCACACGCGACAUUUCCGUAGUGAUGUGCUUUUGGUUGAAUGUGUGCAUGAUGUUUUUCUUUUCUUAUAUGUAAUAUGAUGGUUUGCUUUUGAUUGAACUUGUUCAGUUCAUGCAUUUGAAAUCUAUGAUAUCUUCAAAUUUGAAUUUAACACUUAAAAAUGUGGUUCAAAAUAUUUUUGAAGUGUGUGAUGUUGAACAGUGAGAAAUUCAACUUAUAUCUACGCCAAACUACGGAUAAAUUAGAGUGCAUAACUGUAUAUGCACGAACAUAAGAGAAAAAUGUGUGAGUGAAACAUAUGAAGGCUGUAGCUAAGAGUUUGCAUGGAGGCCCCGCAGGCUUAUAAAAAAUUAUGCAGCGCCUAAACCCUAAACCUAACCAAACUGCUCCAUCUCCCAGAUCGAUUCUUCCAAUGCGGCCAACUCCGGCGGAGGCCAACUCCAAUGCGGCCAACUCCAAGCCCGCCUGAGCCUCCUCGAACGCCUCGCCUUCGAUGCCGCCUUCGGCAAGUCGGGGUCGCCAUGGCUCGUCCUGCCCGGCAACUCCCCGGAGACCACCACGCUCUUCUCGCUUACCGAGUGCCGCUCCGCAGUCGUGUGCGCCGUGGACACCGACCCCGUCGUUCUGGGAUCCUCCUCCUUCCAUGGGUGGCUCAUCACCGCGGACGAUCGGGCCCGGCUCCGCCUCGUCAACCCGGUCACCGGCGAGCGGCGCGUGCUUCCGGCCAUCGACACCAUCCCCUGCGUCAACGCCCGAACUCAACCUGGGGGCUCCAUCUUCUCGCUCGACCUGAAGCGGUUCAUCAGGGCUCCCCCGCCGUACCCGGACGGAACCGUAUCGUUGACCCCCCAAAGGAUGCGCCACCGCUUCUACCGCAAGGUCCUCUCCGAGUCCUCCAGCAUCGCCAUGCUGAUCACCGAUCCACGCUACGGCGCCGUGGCCUUUGCGACGGGGGAGGGCAAUGUUGGGACAAACCCGGUACCAGCUCUCUUUCUCUCACUCGCACAAAUGAAGGUGGAAGAUGGAGCACACAUUUUUUCCGGUGCACAAACGCCUCCGCCGCACGAACGGCGCCUCGGCCGCACGAACUGCCACACUUACCUAGGCACAUACCCGGACACGGCAUCACACCGCAGCCUACCUAGAGGAGCUCUCUCACAGCCGACCGGGCGCAUACCACGGUCCCGGCGGAGACUACCUCUUCUCUAGCUCCUAGGCUCGGCUCAUACCGGCGCUCUACAUCAAUACACAGUGGGGUUUUUUAUACCCGGCUGCACACACACGCACACCACUACUGCUCAUCUCGCCCAGCUGCGCGUGCGAUCUGCACGCCACACUGUCCGCGUUCAAACGCAUGCCACGGCCUGCUCGGAUCGCCCCGGCUCCUUUGCAACCAACGCCAACUACCUGCAUUAACGCUUCGGGGGUGGGUGCUCUGGCGAUAGCCAUGGCGACCCGUUGACCGAGGGAGAUCGCCAUGGCGGCGCCGGCGCCGGGCCAGGUGCAGGGCAAGGCGGAGGGAGGAGUGAGAGGGGGGUGGCUGGCCUCUCCAGCGAGGAAUGGAGCACCUUCAAACAGUGGGGGAGAGAUAUACUACGGCAAGCGACAGAUCAGAAAGGCUGCUUGCGAAGAUUACAGGAGAAGGUCGAUGCUUUCCUCAAGAUGAAUCCGUCUGUGGCGAAAUCAAAGGGAGAUGGAGGACAGUCUACCCCCGGGCAUGCUGGGGUAGAGAUCUUGCCACCUGAUAUGGCGAGAUUGGAUCAAAUCAAGGAACCGAUGGCUUCCAGUCGUGAGGCCGACAUGGACUUGGACGGUGGCGCCAUGGGCCUCUCGGAUUUCGUUUUUUGAUUUUUACCGGGCCUGGACGAAAUGGGCGAAAUUCGGAUUUUUCGGAUUUUUUCGGAAAAUCUCGGACGAAAAUCAUAAAACAAAAUUUGAAUUUUGGGACGAAAAAUGAACGAAAAAUGGGCGAAAUUCACCUAAAAUUUUGAAAUACAACAGAACAACAGAUGAGUAUUCAGAACAUUUAGCAAAAUAUGCAUGUAAAAAUCAAACAGAUGAAUCUAUUCAUCAAAUCACUACGUAUCAGACUGAACAUCAACACUCCAGUUGCAACCAUUCAGACAAUAGCAUAGUGGAUCAAUUCGGAGAGCAGCAACCACUAGAAAAGCACAUGAUAGUCCAGAUUAACAUGUGACUUGAUAGUUCAGAUACUAAGAGUAACAUGCGACUUAAUAGUUCUACCAAGAGUUGAAACGAACACCCAUAAGGUUUAGAAUUACAGUCCACAAUGAAUUUAACACGGCAUUCGAAGUUCAAUUAUGCCGACCCCAAAAUACAAACAGAAAGUUCAAUUCAGACUUCAUGUUCUUCAACUCUUCAGUCUUGCACCAAAAGUAUUGAAUCGAACAGAGACCUUCACUUCGGACUUCCUGUUCAUCCACCCGUUAGUCUUCAUCAACCAAAAGCUCUUUUGCUCCCAUGCCGCUUAACCUUGCAAUUAAAGCAUUGUGAAUUAUAUAAACAUUACAAGUAGAUGGCAGAAACAACAACUCAAUGAUGGCAACCGCAAUUGGAACAACAUAUAAAAUCAUAUGGGCAGAAACAAUGUGAAUUAUAUAAAUAUUACAAGUAGAUGGCAGAAACAACUCAUAGAUGACAACCCAAAUUAAAACAACAUAUAAAUUCAGAUGGACUAAAGCAUUGUGAAUUAUAUAAACAUUACAAGUAGAUGGCAGCAAUAACUCAUCGAUGGCAGCCCCAAUUGAAACACCAUAUAGAAUCAUAUGGACUAACGCAUUGUGAAUUAUAUAAACAUCAAGUAGAUGGCAGAAACAACACUUAAUAGAUGGCAACCCCAAUUGAAACAACAUAUAAAAUCAUAUGGACUAAAGCAAACACCACAUGUUUAUGAUAGAAUAUAAGAAAGUGCAUAAAUGGGAAAUUAUUGAUGUCAUCACAAGGAACUUACUUGUCAAUUGUAAAGGCUGGUGACCUCCUUGACCUUCUUGGCUUGCCUAACCCGUUCAGAUCUACGGUUCACCAAACUACCAUCACUUGUUACCUCAACAUUGUUUCCAACUUGGCUUGUUAAAUCCUUUUCAAUGUGCAUUGGCGAAUCUCCUCCAUCAGAUUGACUUGCACCAUCAUCAUGGCUAUCAUCAUCAUCAUCAAUUUCCAGGUCCAGCUCCUCAUUUUCUUCAUCAUCAUCCUCACUAUCAUGGUAGUCAUCCACUUCUUCCUCUACCCUCUUUCUUUUCCUGCCAUUGUCCUUCCUUGCAAGACGAGAAACUUUCCUACUUGAGUUAAGCAAACGUAUUUUCUCAAACACGGCGCUAGCAGCAUCAACUCCAUCCAAGAUUGCAUGCUCCUCAUCCUCAUUCAACCAUUCCAUCAUAGGAUUUGUUGCAUCAAACAUGGUUGUAUCCAUCAUCAUUGCACAUGCAUCAACUUCCUUCUGCUUAUCAUUCUAUCUCACCGGGUCUUGUUCUUCUUCAGCACGUAUCUUCAAAAUAUGAAAACAAAAUCAGUCAAUGACAACGAAGUACAAGGAAUAAAAUGGAUAAAGUCGCUAUGUAUAAAACAAUGCUUAUUACACAGCAGCCUUUACUCUAAAUAUUGCUAAGUAAACAACUAAACAUCAACAUUUACUUUAAAUAACAACCUAGUAAAAGCCUUUAAUAAAUAGUAUCAUUUACUUAGUAAACAACAUCCUUUAUUUCAAAGAAUGCUUAGUAAACAACAGUAUGCAGGUGAAUCAUGUCAUAUGGGUGAAUAAUGGCAUAUGGGCAAAACAUAUUUCAUACCUUCAAGUUGUAGCGCACAGAUACAAGCUUGUGCAGCUUGCCAUAUAGAAGACGGUUUCUUUGCUUCGUGUGGACCAAAGCAAAAGCGCUCCAAUUCCUCUCACAGCCACUUGACGAAACGCAUUGUGAUACAAUCCUCAAGGCACACUUCUGCAGAUUAGGAACUUCCCCUCCAAAUUGGAACCACCACUCAGCUGCCAAGUUAAAACAAAAUUAACAUAGUGAGAUGAACUGAGUUGCAAAACUAGGGUAAUAGAGAAUAUUACAAGUGGGGUAUUGGAACUUACUUGGUGACAUUUUCUCUGCAGAGGAACGUGCCAACCUUGAGCCAAACCUCCCACGACAUUCCCUGUAAGUGCCGACUUCAUCAAUCGCCAAAUCAGGUAAAAGCUAACAAACAGAAUUAGAACCAUUUUAACUUUAAACAUAAUUAAUAUAUUUUUUAUUUAAAUGUUUCCUCUCUAAAAGUAUCACAAUAUCCAUACAAAAAGUUAAGCAAAUUAAGAAAAUGCAGAUCAUGGUAUUGACCUUUCCAAGCUGUCUCUCUUGGAGCUGAACCAUUCCCCAUCAGAAUGUUAUCUUCAUUGUCGGGGUUGACAUUUUCCCUCCUUCUGGCUUCAUUGAUGCUCACCCUACUAGCAUAAGGUGCACUUCCAUCACCUAUAAAUUCAAGCAUGAGAAGCAAGCAUGCGAUAAAGAUCAACUUUAUUUGCAAAAAAUGGCAAUCUUUUUUAACAAUGGCAUGCAACCAAAGUUGAGAACAUAUUAUCAUGUGUGGAAGAUGGCAUUAUCUAGCAUGUUCAGAAUCCGGAUCAGCAUUUGUAAAUUUACCACUGAUGGUAAAAGGGCUUGCUGUGUUUUGCAGAGAUAAAUGUUUGUACACAUUGUUUGCGUCCUCAUGUAUGUCAGCACUUGAACAAAGAGUGAAUCACAGAAAGACAACCUUGAUACAAUACAAAAAAACUGUGGAUUUAUGGACCAGUUAGUGCUGUUGAAAUUUUAUUGGGAUUUUUUUCUUCAUCAAGUAAUGUUGCAGGGUUGACGACAGCAGGAAAAAUCAAGGGAGAUAGCACAAGAUAGUAGAAAUAAUGCUACUGAACAAGCUAGUAAAAGAUCCUUCCUAGGUGCCUACGUGUGCUAUCAUCAACACUUGCUAAAUAAGCAUGCACGUACAGCUAACUACAGAUCAUGGCAAGGUGAGCUAUCAUGCACAAUUGUGCUCCUGUAUCAAGCAAGUGUGCAUGCUGAACCUAGCUACAGAUCUUCAAAAAUGAAAAGCUAGCUACAGAUCUUGCAAGAUGAGCCAGCAUACGUGCAUGUACAAGAUUAGAGGAACAUAGUUACAGUACGUAAGUACCAUGUCCAGCUUGCCGGAAACCAGCGUGUGCGUCCGGCGCCGGGGCACUGCCCAAGCCCGACUGGAUGCGCCGCAUGCUGCUGCUCCCGUGGAGCCGUUCAACGCCCGAGCCCACCUGCCCCGACAUGGAAGUUGUGCGGCCGUGCUCCAUGGCACUGCCACCACCAUCCAUGGACGGGAAAGAAACUGGGAGGGAGGAGAUUGGGAGGGAGGGAGAUGAGGGAGGAGAUUGGGAGGGAGGGAGACGAGCUGGAUGGGAGGAGGCGGCGCUGCACCGCGCCCCCGCCUCACUCGCUAGGGUUUCGUUGCUCACAGCCGCCGCUCAGUCGGAUGGAGACGGGAAAAGUGAAUUUUAGGGUUAGGAGGAGAUGAAUUCGUGCUUUUAUACCACAGGGGGGUUUGUGUGGGCUGUAGUAGACCAUGGGCUGGGCUGUGAGUUUAAAAGUGGCCGGAAUUUUUGGGCCGGUACACCCUAUUACCGGGCCCUAACGAGAUGGCCGAAAAUGGCUGGAAUUUCGGUUUUCUCGGACGAAAUCCAAAACUUUGGGCUCGGGAGCCAAGCCGGGCGCCCCGGUGGCUGGUUCGGAAGGCGACGUGGUCGCCGUUGGCGCGGCCUUCUCAGCCCCUGCAGCUACUGAAGUGGAGGCCGGGAGAGGAACAACUCUCCGAGGCUGGAGAAGGGGAAGGCCACUGUUGGUGGUCCGACAGGGCUGGCGAUCACCAACACCCCUAAAGCUGCUUUUGGCUUCAUGGCUACGGCGGCGCCUCCCCAACUCCGUAGAAACGGAAAGAGCAAGGAGGCCUCGAGCUCGGGGUCUCUAAACAAGCCGAUCGUCAUCAACCUGGAGGCAACUAUGCGGACGGUGGCGGGAAAGCUGGUGGUCGACCGAGUGCUCUCGCCGUACCCGGUUGAUCCCAAGAUGGUCAUCAACGAGCUUAGAGGCCCGUGGAGGCUGCGGGGUGAUGCUGUGGCCCAGCGCGUCACCAGCGAAGACCGCCGCUUCAUCAUCACCUUCAAGGAGGAGGGGGACCGGACUCAUGUGUUGCAAGCUGGGCCAUGGCAUUUCAGAGAUAAUGAUGUGCUGCUUGCGGCUUUUGACGGGAGGGGCAACCCAGCAGAUGUACCCCUCAACUCCAUCAAAUAUGGGUACAAAUCUGGGGCCUUCCGGUGCCGCUCAAGACGGUGGAGAUGGGCUACUUGGUGGGUGACAAGCUCGGCAAAGCUGUCGCAGUUUCCCACAAGGACAAGAUGAUCGUCGACGAGCACCUUCGUGUUCGGAUUGAGCAUGGCGUGGAUGAGCCUCUGAAAAAGUUCAUCGACACCAUCGAAACAACCUUGGAUGGCAACAAAACUGAGGUCCUAUAUGAUGUAAAGUAUGAAAAAUUACCUAAGUUUUGCUUUUGUUGUGGCAUGUUGGGGCAUACCACGGCAAGUUUCUGCAGCAUACCCAAAGAGCUCCGGCAGCCUACUUUCUCCAUCGACAUCAAGGCGUCGGCGCUCUGGAAAAGGCCACAGGCGGUGACUGGUCCGGAGCGACGUGGAGGACGGCCGCUCUCCAUGGUGGCCCAAGAGAGUGAGUCCCGGGAGCCAGUCAAGCUGCUAGAGAAGGUCGUCACGGCUGUGUCAACUGUUGUGCAGAAUCUGAUGGUGGAGGCUUUUCCGCUGCUGCGAGGUAAUCCGGUUCAUGGCGGACUGGAGGAUAACCACGAGUUGGGGUCAAGGGUUGCCCAGGUGGGGUGCCCUUCGUUGACUGACCCCAAUAAGGGACGCGACCAAGGCAUCGAUGGCGCCAUUCAGGUGCUGUCCAAGGAGUUGGCUGCUCAUAACAGCCAGCUUGCUCUGCUGGUGGUCGACGCGGAGGCGCAACCUGCUGCUGGUGCCGCGGAUGGGACGGAAGAUACUCCCUCUGAUCAUGUUGCACAUGAUGGAGGGCCGGCUGCUACUAUUGGCAGCCAACUUGGGCCUGAUGCUGCUUCCCUGCUCCUGGAUGGGGCGAAUGGAGCCAGUGUGAAGCCUGGAGCUAAUGCUCGGCCUUGCACUAAGAUGGACAAGGCUGCUGGGGGUGGCCAUCAUAGCCUGGCUGCCCCUGGUGGAUCGACAAACUUGGCGCGGUGGAGAAGAUUGCAUAGGGAGGAUUAAGAGGAACGAGAUGUCGUCCACGCGGCUUGCGCGACGCAUGUCCAGUUUGGGGUUCCUACACCCCCGAACAGUGGCAGCGACCUCUCCAGUGGCAAGGCGGCUUUUGCCCAAAUUCUCGUGAGCUCGACGGGCAACAAGAGACGCAUGUCUAACGGCCAGGGCCUUGUGGUUAGUUUUAAAAGUACUAGUUCUGAGAGUAUAGAGUCCAGGGGUGUCAAUGUAGUGCCUCCUGCAUGAAAAAAAGUGUGUGGUGAGAGGGUGGAAACUCUAAUAGGUAUAGAUGGGAAUAUGGUGCAUGUAACAAAAGAGGUAGAUGAAGGAGAGGAGGUGGCUGAGGGUAGAAGGAGGGAGUAAGUGGGGGAGGGAAAAGAGGAGGAGGGCCUGCUAAGGAUGCUACCGACUUAGGGGCUGUCGGCCAACUGACGGACGCGUGUGAUGACGCCCGUCAGGAGCCAUGAAAAUGAUCAUCUGGAACUGUAGAGGGCUGGGUCGGCCUCGUACAGCUCAAGAAUUAGUGUUCAUCAAUAAGUCUUACCGACCCAACAUUAUUUUCCUUUUAGAAACUAGAAAGAAUAAAGAUUAUGUUGAGAGUUUGCGGUAUCGUUUGGGUAUGAAAAAUGUAUUUAUUGUUUCGGGUAAAGGCAAAGGUGGUAGUUUAGCGAUAUUUUGGGAUAAGUGUUUCUCUGUGGAAAUAAAUAAAUUUGGUGACCAUUUUAUUGAUUUGUACAUAUGUAAGGGUGAUGGACCAAGAUGGAGAUGCACAUGUGUGUAUGGGAAACCAAAGGCGAGCCAAAGGUACGUCAUGUGGGAGCUUUUGAGACGAGUUAAAUGUCUUGGUUCUGGCCCAUGGUUCAUGGUCGGCGAUUUUAAUGAAGCUAUGUGGCAAAAUGAGCAUUUUUCUCGUAAUAAAAGAUCGUCUAAACUCAUGGAUAAUUUUCGGGAGGUUCUCUCUGAUUGCAAUUUAUUUGAUCUGGAUUUUCACGGAGUACCUUGGACGUAUGAUAACAAGCAGGAAGGUUGUCGAAAUGUCAAAGCGCGUCUUGAUCGGGCAGUGGCGUGCCCUCAAUGGUCUGCUAUGUUUCCCCAGUGCAAGGUUCAAAAUGUCAUUUCUUCCAGGUCAGAUCAUUGACCUUUGUUUAUUCAGUUGUUGGGUAGUCGGCCUAACAUCGCUUUUAAUAAGCACUUGAGAUAUGAAGCUUUUUGGGAGAGGGAAAGUCUGGCCUUGGAUGAACAGGUUAGGGAGUGCUGGAGCAAAAGUACGCAAGUUAGGGAUUUAAAGGAUGUGGCGACUAAUCUUGGUAAUUUAAUGAAAUCUUUGCACUCUUGGAGCCAAGAUCAUAUUGGUUACCUCCCAAAAAAGUUGGAGGCUGCUCGUAAAAGAUUAAAUAUUCUUUUCAAAAGAAGUGAUAGGGCAGCCGUGAUGGAGAGAAUGAAAAUUCUCAUGGAGAUGGAUGAGUUGCUUAUAAAGGAAGAGAUCAUGUGGAAGCAAAGGUCUUGCAUCGAGAAAAUGAUCUUGGGGGACCGUAAUGCAAAAAAGUUUCAGAGAAAGGCUUCUUGGAGGGCGAAGAAAAAUAAUAUUUCUGCGGUCAAGAAGAGUGAUGGGUCUAUCACGGAGAACUUGGAUGAAAUCAUAUGUAUCACAAAUUCUUUCUUUCAGCACCUUUAUACUUGUGAUACUAAUGUUGACCCAUCUCGUAUUAUUUCCAUUGUGAGACCUCUCGUCACUGAUGAUAUGAAUGCGGAGCUAUGUAAACCGUUUUCUGAGGAGGAGAUUAGUGAUGCUCUCUUCCAGAUAGGUCCGUUAAAAGCCCCAGGUCCGGAUGGUUUUCCUGCAAGAUUUUUUCAGAGUAUUUGGGGUUUAAUAAAGGACAUUGUAAGGGCGGUUCAGCAGUUCUUUAUCUCAGGUGUUAUGCCCGAAGGUGUAAAUGAUACUACCAUUGUCCUUAUUCCCAAAGUGAAGAAUCCUCAGUCCAUCAAGGAGUUUGGACCGAUCAUCUUGUGUAAUGUCAUUUAUAAAAUUAUCUCCAAGUGCCUGGUAAAUAGACUAAGACCUCUUUUGGAGGGUAUGAUCUCUCCCACUCAGAGUGCCUUUAUUCCUGGAAGAUUAAUUUCUGAUAACGCGCUUAUUGCCUUCGAAUGUAUUCAUUCGUUGAGUACAUUAAAAGAUAAGCGUGGAGAUUUUUGUGCAUAUAAGUUGGAUCUAGCAAAAGCGUAUGAUCGUGUAGAUUGGCAAUUUUUAAAGAGUAUGCUGGGGGCUUUUGGGUUUGCUCCAUCUUGGAUUAACUGGAUCAUGACGUGUGUUACAUCAGUGAAAUUCUCGGUCCGGUUUAAUGGACAACUGUUGGAACCUUUUUAUCCUUCGUGUGGGCUCAGGCAAGGGGAUCCCUUAUUGUCGUAUUUGUUCCUAUUUGUUGCUGAGGCACUUUCCUUGCUGUUAAAGAAUGCUUGUGACAAAGCUGCUCUGAAGGAAUUUCACUUGAACAGACAUGGGCCAGGUAUCUCUCAUCUUUUAUUUGCGGAUGAUAGUCUCUUGUCUUUCAAAGGGUCCAUAGAUCAAGCCUUAGUCAUUAAAAAUAUUUUGUCGUGCUAUGAGGUGGGAACGGGUCAGCUUCUGAGCCCCGAUAAAUGUUUCAUCAAGUUUGGCAAAAAGUGUAGUAUGGAGGAUCAGGUGGCCACUAUGGUUAUUCUUAAUAUUACUGCAGAAGGUUUUGAAGAUAAGUACCUUGGCUUACUGGUACCUGAGGGUAGAAUGAAGGUGGGCAAGUUCCAAUCAACAAAAGAUAAGGCAUUAAAAGAAAAAUAUGUCUCAAGUGGUAUAAAAGAAAAUCAAAUCAAGGCAGUGUUGCAAGCGCUACCAGUGUACGCCAUGGGUUAUCUUUAAAUUCCCAUGAAGAAGACAGAAGGAAAACACAUUGGCUAGCUUGGGAUAAACUCACUAAACCAAAAAGAGAGGGAGGCAUGGGCUUCCGAGAUCUUAGGUUGUUUAAUCAAGCUCUUUUGGCUAAGCAGGCGUGGAGGUUACUGGUGAGUCCAGAUUCAUUAUGUGCUAAGGUCUUGAGGGCCAAAUAUUAUCCUAAUGGUCAGAUCUUGGAUACUGCAUUCCCGCAAGCUACUUCUGUGAAUUGGCAAGACAUUAUGCAUGGAUCUGCUAAAAAAGGGGUGAUCUGGAGAGUGGUAGAUGGAAAAAAUGUUAAUGUUUGGAGAGAUAACUGGCUACCUGGAAAUUCCGGCCUCAGAGUUUUAGUCAAAAACAACCGCACUAGACUGAAAUGGGUCUCUGAAUUAUUUAUGAGUGGAACAAGAAGAUGGGAUGAAAACUUAAUAAGGCACUUGUUCUAUAGUCAUGAUGCUGAUGAGAUCCUAAAUUUACGUAUUCAGACUAGAGGUGAGGGUGAUCUAAUUGCUUGGCACUAUGAAAAAAAUGGCAUGUUCUCUGUUAAAAGUGUGUAUAGACUGGCAUUAAAUCUGCAGGAUGGCAAGGGUGAGAUUGGAAUGUCCAGCACUGCCGUUGGCAAGGAAAGGAGUGCAUGGGAUGUUAUUUGUAAGGCCAAUGUUCCUCAAAAAAUAACAAUUUUUGCAUGGCGAGCUGCAUCCAACAGUUUGGCUACCCAGGUAAACAGAGUUACUCACCACCAAACGGUGUCAGGCAGGUGCACUAUAUGUGGGGUGGAGGAUGAGAGUACCUUCCAUGCCCUUGUGUCUUGUCCAAAGGCGCGCGCCUUCCAUUUCGCAGUGAGAGAAGUUUGGAAUAUCCCUAGCGAGGAGCUAUUCAGACUUACGGGGCCCGAUUGGAUAUUGAUUCUGCUUGAUCAAUUGGGGACGCUGGAACGCGAUCAAGUAUUAUUCAUGCUUUGGAGAGCAUCGCAUCUGAGGAAUGACUUGAUCUUCGGAAAGGGGAAAGAAUCCUUAUCUGCCUCUGUUACUUUUGUGGAAAAUUACUGGAAUUCUUUCUCUAAAGGAAAAAAACUAUGCGCAAGUUGAUUUCAGCAUCAAAGGCAAGGAGGUGACACAUAAUUGGAGGUAUGUUACCCCAAACGUGAAUCUUCGUCAUGAUUGGGAACCCCCUGAUCAAGGGUAUAUUAAGAUAAACGUUGAUGCUAGUUUUGGGGAGAGCAUGAGAGCAGCUAGUGUGGGGAUUAUUGCCAGGAAUCAUCUUGGCGAAGUCUUGAUUUCUUCAUGGGAUUUUAUUCAGUCCUGCACCUGCGUGGACGAAGCAGAACUUCGUGCGGCUCUCGCCGGGUUAUACAUCGGUAUUACUCUUCACACACCGGUUAUUUUAGAAACUGAUUGUGUGUAUGUUGCAACUUCUCUAGAGAAAGAAUCCAUUGACAGGUCUCCUAUUGUUGAUAUGAAAAAGGAGGCGAUAAGCGUCUCAAAGCUCAUAAAGGAUUUCAAGGUUGCAAAGAUUGAUAGGCGGGCUAAUAGGGCCGCGCAUUAAUUAAUCAUCGCGAUACUUACAAUCGUUCGAUACAAAAUUCACCACAUAGGGCGGUACAUCAUUAACAAGAAUACUAUCGGAUCUAUUGUCAAGACUAAAUUUUGCUAUUAGAUGAGCCACCACAUUGGCGGAUCGACUAAUUUUAGCCAUUUGAAAGCUAUUUAUCAGCUUAGAUAAGCUCAGUGCUUCCUUCUUCAAAUCAACCAACGUUGACCUGUCAAGGUUCUCUAUUGCAAGAGUCGCCACAACAAAUGCACAAUCAGUCUCUAAAAUAAUAGGAUUGUGCGGAGAUAUACCUAUGUAUAGACCAGUAACGCAUGCCCUUAUAGUUCUGCUUCCUCCACACUCUGACACGAUCCAAUGAAGUCCCAAGAAGAGACAAUGACUUCCCCAGCCGCAUUCCUAACCACCACACCCACACUUGCUUCUCUAAUGCUCUCUACAAAGCUUGCGUCAACAUUAAUCUUUAAAAAACUAGUCGGUGGGGGAGUCCAGUCCAUCUUAGCUCCCACAUUAUCAGGUGCCCAUCUUAAUCCAUCUAUUGGACCUUUUCCUUUAUUUUUUGAGAUGGCAAAUUUAGUUCUCUGAAACCAUGACAACUUUGAAAAACCUAUAAACACAAAGCAGAGCAAAUUAAAAUUGAUUGUUUGACCUACAAUUGAUUGAUUACAGCAAGUACCUCGUGGUGACGCCGGGCGGACGGCUGAUGGUCGUGCUCAAGACCAAGGAGACCACGGGUUGGCGGACACCAUUGUCCUUCAAGGUCAGGUCCUCGGCGCGGGCGCCAAGGAGUGGAAGGAGACGGACGACAUUAGCGACGCAGCGCUGUUCGUCGGGACGAAGGGUUCGUUGUGUGUGUCGACAAGGGAGCACCCGGGGCUCAGGGCCGGCUGUGUCUACUAUGCCGCCCACGGCGGCGUCGUGGUGUUGAGCCUCAAGGGCGGCACAGUGAAGGAGGUCGAUCGCGUCUGGACGGACCACAGCUGGCUGGAGUGGUUCACGCCGUGCAUUUCACGAUAGGUUGAUAUCAUGAUUGAUUCCCUUGCUUGUUGGGUGGGCUAAAUUGCAAGGUUGAAGCUAAAAUUAAAUAGUUUAUGCGCAUUAUACACUACAUAUGUUUUUUUUUUUGCGAAUCUAUACACGACAUAUGUUCUUUGCUGGAGUGCUUAGAAAGCAAUUUUGGAUGCUUCCUUUUGCCAUCAAAUUGCAACACAGCAAAAGGUGCCCAUUGUAGGUUUGGUUUUAAAUUCUUUGAGGGAGACGUUAAAUUAUUUGACUUCAUGUAACAAAUACAUAACAAUAGAGAAGAGCUGCAUGUAUUUGGCAGCUAGGGAUUUUUUUUCUCGGGAAAGGGAUAUUAAAGUCUUGCCGCAAUGCCCCUUAUGCAAGCAAGGUGCUGAAGAUAUUCGCCAUUUGAUGUUCACCUGCAGCUGAGCUUGGGAAGUUUGGCGGCCUUUAGGUCUGCGUGACAUUAUUGAUCAAGCUUUGGCGGUGGACAGGUCGGGCUUGAUUUUGCUCGCAGAAAUUCCCAGGAAUCUGAUUAAAAAAUCACCAUUGCCUGGCCAGUUCGACUCUAAGAGACGGUCGAUGUGGAUGCGUGGUUCAUAUUCGGCAGUGACGGCGUGUCAAGAUGGCAACGGGGACGAAACCCACCAGGUUUUGCGCUCUGGCGGUGUUUCUUUGGGCCGCUUGAUUCAAGAUGGAUCAAUGGCAUAUGCUAAAAUAAUGUAUUUUGGCGGUAUUGUCGGGUUUCGAGUUCGGAUACUACUGAAACGGUUUAAACCCGUGAAACAUGGCGGGUUUUAUAAUGUACCCACCAGCAACCCCACAUGGAUAGAAAGACGCCUAUCUGUGUCCCCUAUAAUAGGGUAAAAACCCACGGGGCGGGUUUCAGGACCCAUUGCUAUCUUGAGCGACGUGCGGCAUGUGCUCAUUGAGCUCUGCUACUGAUGAUCUGCGUUUGUAGUUGUAAAUCUUGAGACAUCUCUCCCUCCCGAUUCACAGGUAUGUAUGUGCGAGCACAUAAUGUAUGAAUUUGCAACCGCAGGCACACCACCAACACUGAUGAAUCAUAAUAUCUCAAUGAAAAAACUGAUGAAUCAAUCACUUCUAGUUGCACCAUUCAGUUACAACAACAUCCUGUAGAUUGUUCAAAGAACAACUAAUCCCUGAUCACCACAUGCAGGGGGGCGGGGGGAGGGGGGAAUGCUGUGUUCUCAUCAUGCAUGGCAUGGCAAAAUAUGAGCGUUACAAGCUCCUGAAAAAUUUAGGCUAAAACACUUCUCGACUUCUGAAUCUUGACCACUCAACUUGGUUGAAGUUUGAAACAAACACAAAAUUAAGGUGUAAUCUGCUUACUUCUGAUCCCUCAACGUGUCUUAAAAAGCUUGCAUAGUAAGUAGAUUAUAUCAGGGAAACCAUCUGCAAUAUGGUACGCCAAACUAGAAAACAUCUCUGCACUUCUGAAACCUGAAACCAUCUGCCUGCAUGUUCAUUGUUCAGAAUAGUUAAUACUCCCUUCGUACCAAAAUAAGUGACUCAAAUUAGUACUAACUUUGUACAGGAGGGAAUACUAUUUUUCUCGGGUACACACCAAAGUGCGCGUCAUUUGUAUUUGGGAGAAAACGCCGAGACAGCGACACAUGUCUUCUUACAAGCAAAGAGCCAGGGAGAAAGGGGAAAGCAGCAAGGAAAUAAAGCACAAAGCAGAAACCCCAAAUUCCUAAAGCUUUCCAUCGGAGUGUUGCAAAAAGACUUGAAUUUUACAUGUUUGGAAGACCGAAAAUGUGGUGAAUUUCCCAUGCGAAAAUAUAGAAAUAUUUCUAAGUAUGCCAUGAGUAGAAAAACAUGAUUAUAAUGAUUUCUAAACAAGACUCCAUUAUUUACACAUUGUUGCCAUGAAUUAAAUUAGCCCGUGAAUUAGGUAUCAUACUGCUAAGUUUGGGAACAUGGCAAAUUUAGGAGUGUUUUCAUAGGGAUUUAGUCCUCUGAAACACAUGGCAAAUUUUGGUGAGAUGGCAAAUUUAGUUCUCUGAAACAAUGACAACUUUGGAAAUCUGUAAUGUACCUUGGAGAAGACACAAGCAUAGCAGAUGAAAAAAUGAUUAAUUGACCGAUUGAUUGAUUAUAGCAGCGACAAUAACACUGAACUAAGUGCAUGGAAAAAUUUACUUCAGAUGGAAACUUUGGAAAAAUGUAAACACAAAGCAGAGCAGAUGAAAAUUGAUUGUUUGACCUACAAUUGAUUGAUUACAGCAGCACUCACACAAACGAUGGACUCGAGCGUUGUAUUACGAGGACGAGUUUGUACAUUAUGACGUUUCAAGCGUGAAGACGCACAAUGUUAUCUUUGUCGUGUGGCCUAUGAUGUUUUGAUCCCGCAGAUCGUCGGAUUUGAUGGUUUGUUGUCCGGCGAGGAACAUAUGUUUAAAAAAAUCUUUCUUUUUUCUGGAUGCUGGGGAAAAUCUUUUUUAAAAAAAUUUGCAGGAGAAAAUCCUUUUUUUUUACAUCAUGCUGGAUAAAAUCCUUUUUUUGACAUCAUGCUGGAGAAAAUCUUAGUGGGAACGUAGGGAUUUGUCAUCAAAAAAACCAGAAGUGAGGCAUAGGCGGUUAAGGUAAACGUCCUUAAUAACUUUGAAAUCGUUAAUCUCCAAUCCGACGACGCAGACCAUCCUCCUCCCAAUCCCUAAUCGAUCCUUCCGAUGCGGCGAAAUCGAGCAAAGGCCGCCGUCGACCUCCCGCCGGACAUGCUAGCCAACAUCCACGCCCGCCUUAGCCCCCUCGACCGCCUGGCCUUUGCCGCCGCCUUCCCCGCCUCGCGCGGCGCGUUCAGGACAGAGGCGCCGUGGCUCGUCCUGCCCGGCGGCGACAACCCGGACACCGCGACGCUCUUCUCGCUCUCCGAUCGCAUUGCCACCACCCUGGGCGCCCCGGAGCCCGCGUUACGCGGCCACGUCGUCCUGGGCUCCUCCUCCGGCGGCUGGCUCGUCACCGCCAACGACCGGGCCCGGAUGCGCCUGGUCAACCCGGUCACCGGCGAGCAGCGCGCGCUCCCGGCCAUCACAACCAUCCCGGGCCUCUUGGAGAAGUGGCGCGGCUUCAGCUACAUGAUGCUCCAGCCGAAAGACUUCCUCAGGGGUCCCCCGUACCACGUCGGCGGCGACCGCCCGCCGCAGGGGACGUUUACGAUGGGUGCCGAGCUGAUGCGUCGCUUCUUCUAUCGCAAGGUCGUCCUCUCCGACUCCGACUUGCCGGGCCCUGCUGCCGCCAUGCUAAUCACGGGACCGCGAUUCGGCGUCCCGGCCUUCGCCACGGCGGAGGGCGGCGCGUGGAGGCUGGCUCCCUCGCGUGAAGGCGUGGAGGACGCCGUCCACUACAACGGCAAGUUCCACUCCAUCACCUACGCCGGCGCCGUAGAGGCGUGGGAGCAAGAUGCCAAUGCCGGCGGCGUGUUCACGAGCAUAGCGGUCGCGCCAAGGCCAAGGCUGCCCAAUGCGGACGGCGAUUCGUCGUUGUGCCGCCACAAGUACCUCGUGGCGGCGCCGGGCGGCCGGCUGAUGGUGGUGCUCAAGGAGUCCAAGGAGGAGACCAUGGAUAAGUACUCCCGCCCUCGGAGGACGUGCUCCUUCAAGGUGCAGGUCCUUGACGGGGAACAGUGGAAGGAGACGGACGAUAUCGGGGACGCCGCGCUGUUCGUCGGGGUGAACAGUUCGCUCUACGUGUCGACGAGGGAGCACCCGGAGCUCAGGGCCGGCUGCAUCUACUACACAGAGAACGAUACAGAACUGUGAAAGGAUGGCCACAACGCCGACGAAGACAACAGAGUCGGUGUGUACAGCCUCGAGGUCGGUUGGACGGAGAAGGUCGAGGGCCUCGGGCAGCACAGGAGCUGGCCGCCUCCGGCGUGGUUCAUUCCUGCCAUCCCAUGAUGAUGGAUAUAAUUGAUAGCCUAGGUUCGUGUUUUUUCAGUAAAGAAAAAGGCUUGACAACUAAGAAAACAGUUUAGUUUCCAGCUUCGUCUUCAGGAAACAGUUUUUGAUUAUUGUCUUCUGAGCUUUCUGGAUGGACAGGUUUUAUUUACUGAAUAAGAUAGAAGAGUAAUUAUGAUUAUUUGUUCCAGAUUACAACCAAGCUACAGCAAUUGAUAGCCUGGUUUCUAGAUUGUUUCAACAGUAGGGAAUUUGUUGCAGUGUGCAGUGCAGCAGAGCUUAGCUAAGGCAGUGUAUGCAUGUGCUUAGCUGAUGACUUGAGAGGCUCACAGCCUCUGCUUACUUAAUUACUGCACUUUUUUUAAGAUCGGGUUUCAGAAGUAUGCUACAACAAUUUGGUUUGCAGCAUGUUUCAGACUCUCAAGUCAUUUGUGUUUGUUUCAAGUUUCAGAAGUAACGAAGCACUAGCUAGUUUAAUGUAGUAGUUUUGCAGGCCUCAAAUUUCGACGCCUCCCAUGUUUUUUUUUGUUGUUGUCUGCUGCACACAGUUGAAUCUCCAAGUCACAAGAUAUUGUCAGUGUUGAUCAGUUGUGGGGAGUGAGGGCCCGUUCGGCAAACCACCGCGCCAACAUUUUAAGCUACUGCUCCGUCCGCUCCGGGAGCGGAGUGGUGGAGCCGGAGGGUCUCCGAACAGGCCUAUUGUGUCCCUGCCACGGCUUCCACAAAUGUCAUUCCCUGAUGAAACUUGGCAAGCACUCAAAACAUUUGUCAUUCUUUGUCACAAUUUUUUUUUUAGAUUUUACUAUUCAUGGUGGUAUCAUAAGAGCUAAAACUCGGAUGGGUACUUACCAACACUUUUGUCAUGAAUGCAACUAACAUUGACAUAGAUGUGAUGUUUUUUUUGAACAUUUUGGUAUCUUAUUUGCAUUUUUUUUUACUUUGUAUGAAUUAGUCAUGAAGUUUUCAAAGUGACGGCCAAACAGUCAAAUGGCAAAAGCACAAGACGCCAAAGUGGGUUGGUCAAGACCACGUGUUUUCAGAAUCUGUGGGUAAUCCUGACGAGGGGGGCACAACUAAGGGUAUAAAACCAAUUAUUCCUUUUUGUUUUGUCAAAUUUUCUCUACUGACCAUAUUAUGUUGUUCUUCAAGGCAAAUGAAUGAUCUGACAACAUAUAUAUAGUAACCUGCACUGUAGGUGCAUUUCCUGGAAGUUGGUAGACCCACGGACAAUUAGACAUCAUGCCCUUCGUCUUUGCCGUCUCUAUAUAUCUAGCUAGGAUACAUCUGUGCUUAUGCCCUUAUGUUUGCACGAUUCAUAGUGAACUAUCAUAAUCUAUGACAUGUCGUAUCUGUGUGUUUUGGUGGAUCUUUUCUCUGGAAUUAUUUCCAAAUGAAUUGUGGCGUGAAGAAGAACUUAGCUAACGCAGUAUUUCCUUAUUUAACUCACUCAUAUAGUAAAUGUGCUACUUAUGAAGUUGUUGCUGGUGCUUGGGGUGAAUCGAGAGCCCAACCAUAGACUGCAACUUCGAUUGGACUAUGUGAUGGAUUUGAUGUUAGAUAUGUGGAUUUAACGUUAUAUAUGUGGAUUUCACGUUAUAUAUGUGGAUUUGAUGAUGAUCCAUCUUAUGUAUAUGGAUUAGGGCAUGUAGGUAUUUUAAAUUGCAGGGCGGAAAAAAAACAAAAAAACAAAUAUGGAGUACUUAUAUGUCGACGGCAAAGCCCUUGGCAUAGCACCCAAUUAUGCUGAUGGCAAAGCCCUCUGCAAAUCCCCCGGCCUGGGAGCACUAGGGCCCGCCAUGUACCUAGUUAUGCUGACGGUUUUGCCGUCGAUAACGCCUGACAGAUAUGCCGACAGCCAAGACCUCGACAAAGCAGCCCACAUGGGAGCACCAGGGCCCGCCACAUGCCCAGCUCUGCCGACCGUUUGGCCAUCAGCAAUGUCUGCUUGAUAUGCCAAUGGCAAAACCCUCAGCAGAGCUGCCCACCUGGGAGUACUAGGGCCCGCAACGUGCCCAGUUCUACCGACGGUUUUGCCAUCGGCAAAGUCUCUAGAAUGGUAGACGAAUGUUAACGGCUAUUUUUUUCGACGACCGUUCUAUGCUGAUGGCCGUCGGUAAACCAUCGGCAAAUGUCCAUGUGCCGACCACCAUGUGGCCUUUGUCCAUAGCCCUCUGGCCGCCAUCUCCAGGGUCUCCAGCCACAAUGGCAGCAGCGUGAGCUUCCGCUCAGGCCCCAUCGUCGCAGCCGCAUCGUCAUCAGCUGCUCAAAGAGACUGUCGUGUCGUGGCUGGCAGGUCCACACCGCCUUCCAGGCUUGAGCACGACCGCUAAACUAAGCGUACACGCAUUAUAUCUUAGCCUACGCUUCGGCCGCCGAUCGACCCAACCAGCCGUACGCGCUAAUUAGCCGAACCACGUGCUCGCUCGUGAUCUACCGUAACCGCUUAUGACCAGACUCGAAGUGAUUUGCCUAGCAUGGGUCCCUCCGGGAAAAAUCCAGUAGUAACAAAUUACGAUCACCAACGCUAACUAAACUGGUUCUACAUGAAAUAGUAAUGUCACUGUCGCUGUUAUAUAACAGUAGGAAUGCAUUACCACAUCUGAGUCUAGAUUUACUAGGUCACUAUUAUCAAGCAGUAGUAAUGCAUUACUACAUGGGCGAAGUAUCAGGUGAAAACGUUAAUUCAGUGAAAAUCUGGAAACUUACCACCAGAGCCACCGGAUGGUAGAUGGACGGAUUAGAUAAGAAGUUAGAUGCCCCAUAGCCACUUAAACAUAUUUACAGAAAUCCCCUUGCUACACACGACAGCUCUAAAUCCGGCGAAGACCACGACAAAUGGCGGAGCGGCGGCGGCGGCGGUGAUGGUGGAUGCUUAAUGGCGCACGAGCCUGACGUGGUUGAGUAGCUCAUGCACCUCGCGAUAGCAGCGCCUCAUUUGGCACCCUGCCUGCCCGCCGGCCCAGCCGGUGCGUUGGCCGCACCCUCGGGCGGUUCCUCUUUUUUUNNNNNNNNNNNNNNNNNNNNNNNNNNNNNNNNNNNNNNNNNNNNNNNNNNNNNNNNNNNNNNNNNNNNNNNNNNNNNNNNNNNNNNNNNNNNNNNNNNNNUGACGCACCACAUCAUGUAUGUCACCUGCUCGUUGCAGUGGCCCAGCGUCGGGUCGACCAGCUCCAACGCUCUCCCAUCCUUCCACAGCUGCCAUGCCUGUCGCCCAAAAAUCGUACGGCACAUUAACUAAUGAGGUUUUGCUUCAUAUGUAGGCCAAAUUGGAAUCUCUAAAAAGUCUUGUAUUUAGGAACGGAGGGUUCCUGUCAGUGCCUUAGGUUGCUGAUGUGACAUUUUUUACCUUAUUGUGACGGAUAAGCCGCUCAUUUUUGUAUUUUGUCUAGGAACAAGAAGUGCUAGGAUUUGGGUUCUUGUUAACUCAUGAAACUAAAAAAUUCAGCAGAAGCUUACGUAGCUGAGGAGGUUGACAAAUUCUCCAUAGUGUUGGCCGUGACCGCUGCUGUUCCUCUUGCCGCUCACUAUCUCCAGCAGCAACACACCAAAGCUGAAGACGUCAGACUUGACCGAGAAGAGGCCCUCCGAAGCAUACUCAGGUGCCAUAUAACCGCUACAUAGAGUACAGCACAGAACGUGGAGCGGCAGGCAUGGUGAGCAAUCUUCAAAUCAUUCAAAAAGAUUCAAAAAAGGGGUAAAAAUGCUUCUCUUAAUUACUAGGUGCCGACAACCCUGUUGGUGUUGACUUCCAUCACGUUUGAGCCGAAGAUCCUGGCCAUGCCGAAGUCGGAGAUCUUGGGGCUGAGAUCUUUGUCCAGCAAUAUGUUGCUGGCCUUCAUGUCCCGGUGAAUGAUGCGCACCCAUGAGUGCUUGUGGAGGUACAGGAGCCCCUGCGCGAUCCCUUCGAUUAUGUGUUGCCGUUUUUUCCAGUCCAACAAGGGCCCUCUCUCUUGGUCUACAUUGCACAAAGUGGUUACCAUAUCAGGAAUUCCAUUCAAGGGAAGAACUAAAGAUGGUCUUAAUAAAAGUUCUUGCACGUAGUUAGUAAUUUACCGAAGAUAAAGAAGUCUAGGCUUCCGUUGGGCAUGUACUCGUACACCAGCAUCUUCUCCUCCUCCUGCACGCAGCAACCCACGAGCUUGACGAGGUUCGUGUGCUGCAGCUUGGCAAUGAGCUGGAUCUCGUUCUUGAACUCAACAAGCCCCUGCACAGACUGCGCCGCGAGCCUCUUAACCGCCACCUCGGUUCCAUCACAAAACAUUCCCUGAAAAGAAACACAAUGGUAACAAAAAGAUUAGAGUUCAAUUGAUCACAUUACAUGGUAAACGGCGUAUCCACUUGCCUUGUACACCAGACCGAAGCCGCCUUGUCCGAGCUUGUUCUCUUCGGAGAAAUUGUCCGUGGCAGCAGCGAGCUCAGGGAAGUCGUACAAGGUGAAUUCUGAGCUGCUCUCUUCGAUCUUCCAUAGCUUCAGAGCCUCCUCUGUCUUGGAGUUGUUCCUCUUAUGUGCUUGUUCUAAUUUUGUCUUUCCUGAAUUGGAUAUUAAUUGCAGGUGAUGAGUUAAAUGGUGUCGAGAAAAAGCACGAAAUUUUCUUGCAAUGUGUUGUCUUCUCCUUACCACCUCCUUUUCUUAGCCUUCUCAUGAGUAGAAGGCAGCAAACCAAUACAGAACAGAACACCGUAAUGGACACACAUAGAAGGACUAUUAGGGUCUUUCUGUGCUUGCUUCCUGCGUGAUACGGAACAAAAUAAUUCAACAAAUUUCGUCGAAUAGUUCAGCAAAUUGAAGAGGAGGUACACAAAAUAAUUCAACAAAAUAGUUCAACUAGAAAACCUAAAAUAGUUCAACAAAUUGAAAAGGAGGUACACAGUACACUCUCCCUUACCAUUGCUUUCUGUUGGUGAAGAUGAGCCACCCUGUAAGCCAAUCCUGACGUCGGCCAUGCCGUCGUAGAACUGGUAGCUUUCAUAGCGAAUAUUGCACCGGACGCCGAUGAUGCGGCCGCCCUCACGGCCGUCGUACCACUGGCGCGUCUGCUCCUGGAGGCCCUGGAAGCAGUGCCAGCACUGCCCCGGGGAGAGGUCCGGCGUGCACUGCGCCAGGCCGUACACCGUCGGCAGCUGCGGGUUGACGUACAUAACGGCGCUGGCAAACCGGCGCACCGUGGAAUUGUACGAGCCGUACAUCGCCAUCUCCCCGAAUAGAGUGCCAACCAGGGACAGGAAGAAGCUCCGGGACGUCGCGUUCCCGCUGUCCCAUGCAGCAAACGUCGACCCGUUCACGUCCAUGGCGUUUAUGACCGGGCUGUUAUCUUCCGGCCGCCCCAGGAAGUCCUCGCCGGAGUAGCGGAGGGUGCAGAGGUCGUGGUAGAACGUCGCAUCCCUCUCGCCGGCGCAGAGCGCCCUCAGCUGCUGGAAUGCGUUGUCGAGGCAGCCAGAGCACGUGCUGGCGUCCGUGAUGUCACCGCGGCAGAGCGCGAGGGCGGAGACUUUCUCCGAGGAGGUGCCGAUGGCCGCCGAGGCGUAGAGGGAUGGAGAGGUGGACGCGUUGAUGGGGAGCUCGGCGGUGAGGCGCGCGAGGUUAGCCCCGAAGGCGUCGCUCGCCGUGUAGUUGCCGGUGGUGCCAUUGCAUGAGUACUCCGAGUAGGCGGCGGCGACGGCGCGCAGCUCUAGGAAGAGGAGAAGGAGGAGGCAGGGCAUGACGCCAACCAUGCCGGCCUCUUUCAUUGUGAUGAAAAAGGAGAAUAAUGGCACUUCCCCAUAACUUGUUCUUCUCGUUUUAAAAUUUAUAAAUGCGUCGGCAAAGUCGAAGGCAGAUGGUGGUUGGUUGCUGUCAUUUGUUCUUUCCGAUUUUUCUGCGACGGUUCGUUCAGUCAAAGGCUACAAGCAGGAAUUUGAUUACCUAGAUACCCACUAAAGCAUAGCAUAGAUGCAUGACAAUUGGCGAGUAUUCGCGAACCAAUAUGUGGUUGGAUGAUUUUAGAGAGACAGUGGUGUCUCGGUUUUAUUAGGGUUUAAGUCCUGGUGCUCGCAUUAUUUUUGGAUUUAUUUCAGCAUUUCCGGCGAUGUGCCUUUAGUGGGAUGUAAUAUUUUCGUCGACAACGAGGCGCCUAGGAUGACUUUGUAAAUCCUAAGAUAAUAUGUCGGCUCGGUCUUUUGAAGUUGCUCCUAAGGAUAGGGUGUGCGUGUAUGCGUUCAUAAGGAUGAGUGUAAGCAAGUAUGUAUGAGCGCUUGGGCCUGUACUGUGUUCAAAAAAAAUAACAAGCAUUCAUUUUACCCUGCACGUGUAAACACGGACGACCCCGUGCGACCUGGAACAACCAUGCUGAGUUGAAAGCUGAUUUUGUAAAUAUUUUUUGCAUGAUAAUACGUGGCUCAUUUAUGUAUAUCAUAAGGAUCAUACUACAAGCCGUACACACCGACCUGACAAAACUGAAAAAAUAGAAAACACUAAUUUUUACACAAAGGAACACUAGCCAAGAAGUAAAAUUACAAUCAAGACCAAAAUAUCAUAUGUGCUUAACACAAACGCACGUCGCCUUCCUCUGGCACCACCAUAGCAGCCACCAAAGAAACAAAUGACAGAUCACCUUUAUACCCGAGCUCGACGCGGCCCAAUCACCGAUAUGCAACUUUGCGGACCUCCAAGGUUGCUCACCACAGGUGAAACCAUUGCUGUUGAACAAAUCAGACCGGGCAACACCCCAGACACACCAUCGAACUCCUGAUUCUGGCACCCCGUAUGACUAAGACCUCGGAGGAGGAAACCAUGCCUGCCAUCCAUGAACUGUGAACCCAACACAAGACCCACCACCUUCCAGAUGCAGUCGAUGCAGACCACAAUCUACAUCCGCUCCUGGACUACCUCCCAAGCUCUGUGUCUGCACUGGAGCGAACGCCGUCGCAAUGGCGAAGUCCAAGGACAUAGGUCCACCAUGAGGAUGCCGCCUCCGCUACGACAUCCUUUCUUGAAUAGAUGGAUUUCCAAAUCUGUCCCAGACCAUAGGACCGAUCACCUGGUCGGAGAAGAAUCUGAAGAAUCUUUAUUCAUUGUCGUCAUCGCCGCUGCCGAAGCCAACACGACAAACAACCUAAAAACCUUAACUUCGAGAGUCUAAAUAACGAUCCAGACGCGUGUAUCUGGCGACCCCUCUCAGCACGGACGACCAAGGUCGUCGGCUCGGCGGAGGAGAGCCAACGGGGGACGGCGCUGGAAGGCUGGACUCUCCUGGCGGCGCUAGGGUUCCAGUCUGCAUGUGUCAAGAGGAAAAAGAACGAUUUGAUUACCUCUUCGUGGUCUGUGGAUAAAAAUUUAAAUUUUGAUGUUGAACGAAAAAAGAUUUUUUUUUAUCUCACUCUCUGUCUCAGCGUGUCAAACAAUCGUGUGGCUAGUUGAUGUUUAGCAAAUACUUCAUCUGUAAACAAAUAUAAGAGCAUUUAGCUCACUAAAAUAGUAAUCUAUAUGCUCUUAUAUUUUUUUUACGGAGGAAGUACAGUUCAAAGGUUACUGUCCGAAGACGGCUUGCAUGGAUGCAUCACACUAAUUAUACGAAAAGCCUAAAAAUGUGACGUCAGAUUUUUAGAAUUUUGCGGGCGAACGCUUCAUCUGCCGCUCAUUUUGAGGUACGAAUCUUGUAGCAUGGGGACCAGACACGUAAGCGCUUGGAACCGUUGGAUAAGAAAACAGUCGGCGCAAACGCUCCCUUUCCCAGCCGUCAUUUUUCCAGCAGAUUUUGUCAAAAUUGCCAUGGAUCCCUUAAAUUUAGCCAUGCCAUCAAGUCUGCAUGUUCUCCAAUUUUUGUCAGACAUGUCCAUAGAAUAUUCAGUGCACGCCGGCCAUGGUUGACGGUCUGCUCGGUUGGUUGGUCUACACUGCGGUGCACGUCCAAGAUCCAUCCACACGCCGACCUGGACUCGAUGGUUGAAUGUAUGGUCGAGCAAGACUCUUAUCAUGCCAGGCUACUGUGCGCACGGCCACUCAAACCGGCCGGUCACCCUACGUCCGGAACGCACUCAUCCUCGGCGGGGCACGUCCAUCCACAUGCCGACCUCGAUCGUUGAGGAGGUGUGUGGAAGUAUGGUCGAGUCACAGUCAUGGUGCACUCUGUGUGCGCACUGCAUGCGGUCUACAGAAUUUGCGUCUAUUUGUUCCGACGCACCACUCCUAUCAACGACGACGAACCCGGCCUAGACAGCUCGGCUAUGGCGCACCGUCCGCCGCCGUGGACGGAGACAUCGGCCUCGGCGCCUUGUUAUUUCCUCGUCAACGCCAACGUCAAUGACGACGACGCGUAGCUACCACUAUCUUGAUGAACUCUUCUCCCCCAUGGAAAUUCCUGCCUCCUCCCAAAAAGUUCCAUGGCGAGUGGUUGGUAUGUCGCCUCGGUUGGGUGGGCUGGUUGCUGUCGCACGCCCAUCGUCGUUUUUUUCCUGCUGCCCAAGAUCCUCUCUUACCUCGGCUUCGAAGCCUUCGCUCAAGUUAGAUCAUCAUAGACGUUCAACCUAACGAUGAUAAGCUACCUUGAAGGAUGGCGCCCUCGCGCCUCGACGCCAUCCUCUACGAUGGCAAGUUCCACUCCAUCACCUACACCGGCACUGUGGUGCGUGGGAACAGGACGCUGAUGCCGACGGCGUGUUCAGCAGCGCAGUGGUCGCACCAAGGCUGCUACUGCUGCCCGCCGACGCGGAUCACCGCAAGUACCUCGUGGCGGUGCCGGACGGCCAGCUGAUUUUAUGGAAAUGAGAAUAUUCGGAGAUAUAAUAUGAGAGCUAAAACUAAAAAUACCUAUGGUUUAUUAUGUUUGAUUAUUGUAUUUAUUAAAAUAUUUAUUAAAUAUAUCAUACAUGUUUACAUAAUUUUAUUCAAAAAAAUUCUGAGCUGGAGCAUCUGAGCCUGGGCUCAGACGCGGAUUUUCGUGAAUUUUAUUUUUAUUUUUAUAUAAUCAAAUUUAUGCAAAUUUUAUUUGCGGUAACGUGAGGAAUAUAACUAUUUUAUUUGGCAACACAUAUAUGCAUAUUUGUAUAUUGAACAUAUAAUUUUGUGUUUGUGUAUCACAUCAUUUUUGUGGAAGAUAGGCAUAAGGCUUACUUUUAUUACCUUGCGUGAGUAUGUCUUUUAUUACCUUGCGUGAGUAUUGUGGUAUGGGAAUUUCAGCAUACCGAUUCUGACAAAGAUGAAGACAUAUAUGUAGCCACACCUUGCGUAAAAGUAUCAGCGAUUUCAUGCAUGUACCCAAAUCAUAUGAACUUUAAAAUCUCAGGCACAAAUAGAGUAAUAUCAAACCUACCUUUGCCUUGUAUCUGAAGGCACAAUAGAGCUACGUACUAGCUGCUGCCCAGGGAAUAUUUGCCUAAUCACUCAACCUCGUUCGGCACGCCUCGGGUCGGUAACCGCCGUGCAGUCUUCUUUUGAAUACGAUCUGCAGGUUUCCUUCUUUUUAAAGUACAUGUCAGUUAGUGUUUUUAUUUUUGUGGAGAUCACUUUAGGAGCCGUAAACAUGCACACUUCUAGGUUUUCUUUCUCUCAGAAAUAUUGAAACGUCUGCUUCUUCAAGAAUAGACAUUAAAUAAGAAUUAUAACUUGGUCGUUCAAAUUUACAUGAGAGAACUUAUGUGAACAGGCCGUUAACAUGCUUUCCGUGGGCCGGCCCGCCACCUUUUGACCAAGUCAAACGGGCCGGCCUUUUCACAGGAAUGGGCCUCUGUUGGGCCGUGCCACGUGUCGACGUAUCAUAGGCGCCUUCUGUCCAAUGAGUGGAUGAAAACUGUCACAACGAUGAGCAGACACGUGUUUCCUCCAGCCAAUGAUGAUUUUACACGUGAAAAAUCCCCAUUGGUCCGGGCUGUUAACGGGUUAUCGGAUCCAAAACCCGACCCUAUAGCUUAACGGUGUUCCGUUACGGUGGAUGUCACGUGUCGGUCACCCUUGACAAAAGCACUUCUGUGACGCGCGAUUUAUCGUCAUGGAAGUGGGCACUUCCGUGAUGAUAAUUUUGGUAAUGUCAUGGAACACUUCUACGACAGCACAGGUAUGACUAUCUUGAUUCUGUCAUAAAAUCGUCAUGGAUGUACAUGCAUGACAUAAAACGCGACCUACUGUGACAAACACGUAUCAUCAUGAAAGUGUAAUAUUUUGUAGUGAAAGGUCUAAGAAUUUCAACAAAACGAUUAGAAGCAUCUUCAUCUCUAUAUUUCACAACCUUACUAGGAAAUGGCAUAGGUUUUUGAACACAUGGUUCUCUUUCUUUACCGUGUUUUCUAGCAACAAAGUCUCUUUUAUCAUAUAUUUAUUUUAUAAGGUGGGUUAUCAAGCUCUUUAUUAUUGUCUAGUGGAGAGCAUCAUUAUGAUGAUCAUUAGCAUCAUCAUUAUCAUUAUCACUAGGUGUAUGCUCAUUACCAGAUUGUGUCUCAGCAUAAAAAAUAGACAUUAUUUGGAUUCUCAUAAGGCUUUCUACAACAGUUUCACCAGAAGCAUGCAAAAUCCUUAUUCUUUUUCUUCUUUCUAGGUGAACUAGGUGCAUCAUUCUUAAUUCUCCGAGAGUCUUUCUCAAUUCUUUUAAGAUGACCUUCAGGAUGUAAAGACCACUAGUAACUACUCUAAUAGCAUGAUCAUUCAUUUUAUUAUUCAUCUCAUUAAGCAAAUCAUUUUGUGAUUUAGAAACUUGUUCCGCUGAGUUUGAACCAUAGAAUCAUAUUUACAUAAGCCUUUAACAUCAUAUUAGCAAUUCUAAAUAUCAAAUAGCUCAUGCAUUCAAUCCUCAUAGCAUUACGUUUCAAUUGAUUACUAGUUUGCAUAUUGAAGUUUUCUUCCUUAACAAUGAAAUUAUCAAAUUCAUCCAAAAAUUGACUAGGAGAUUUUUUAUAUGGAAUAUCACCCUCAUCAAACUUAUAAAGAGAAUUUGCCUCCACUACCUAUGUCGGGAUGUCAAGUCCACGCAUUUCUUCAAUAGGUGGUAAAUUCUUAACAUCUUCAGAUUUAACACCCUUUCCUUUCAUAGAUUUCUUUGACUCUUGAAUAUCUUCUCCUCUUCUUUGGAGUUGGUCUAGGCAGUGGUUCAUGAAGUGUCCAAUCAUCAGCAUUCCUCAAUAGAUUACCCAAUAAUUCCUGAGCCCGUUAAACAGUUCAUUCCCAGAAAACAUAGCCGGCACAACUAUUUAGGUAGUCCGUAGAAGCAUCAGUUAGUCCAUUAUAAAAGAUGUCAAGUAUUUCAUUUUUCUUAAGAUGAUGAUCAGGCAAAACAUUUAAUAAUUGAAGCAACCUCCCCUAAGCUUGAGGGAGAUGCUCAUCCUCAAAUUGCACAAACUUACAUAUUUCCUAUAAGGUGGCUUGUUUCUAAUGAGCAAGAAAAUAUUUUUCGGAGAAGUAAUAUAUCAUAUCCUGGGGAGUGCGCACACAACCAGGAGCAAGAGUAUUAAACCAUUCUUUAGCAUCCCCUUUAAUGAGAAAGGAAAUAGCAAAGAAUAUAGUAGUAGCAAAUUUUUCCUCAUGAGCAAAAGGGUGGCUAUGUCAUUUAAUUUAGUAAGAUGUGGCACAACAGUUUCAGUUUCAUAACCAUGAAAAUGAUCGGAUUCUACCAAAGUAAUAAGUUUAGGAUCAAUAGAGAAUUCAUAAUCCUUAUCAGUAACAAAGAGAGGAGAGGUUGCAAACUUAGAAUCAUAUUUCAUUCUUUCUAUCAUAGCCUUUUCAUUCAGCUUACAAUCAAGAAAUUCUUAAGUAAUCUCCCCAUCCAUAUCAUAACCUUGAGGUACCUUAGGCAUUUCAAAUCUAGUAGGAGAGCUAGGCAUAAUAGGUGAAUCAUAAUUUUUAGUAGUUUCUGCAGUCUCAAGUUCUUUAGCUUUCACAAUUUGUUCAUCAAGAAAUUCACCUAGUGGCACAGAUUCGUCAAGCAAAGUAUUGGCAUCAUCACAAGUUUCAUUUACAACAGAAGUAGUAUCGUCAAUUACUUGUGACAUGUCAAAAUGAAUAGCAGGUGGUGGUGUCGCAAGCCUACUUAAAACAUAAGGUGAAUCAAGUGCGGAGAUAGAUGGCGGUUCCUUACGUCCCCUCGUCUUAGAUAGUACGAUCUUGGUCUUGGUAUCUUUCCGAUUCUUCAUAGUGAUCAACAGAUAAAUAAUUCUCAAGUGAACUCAAUAAAAAGAGCUAUGCUCCCCGGCAAUGGCGCCAAAAAAAAGGUCUUGGUAACCCACAAGUAUAUGGGAUCGCGACAGUCUUCCAGGGUAGUAUUUCACCCAAAUUUAUUUAUUCGACACCAGGGGAGCCAAAGAAUAUUUAUGAGCCUUAGUAGUUGAGUUGUCAAUUCAACCACACAUGAAAAGCUAAAUAUCUGCACUAAAGUAUUUAGUAGCACAGUAGUAUGAUAGUUUCAUAAUAGUGGUAACAGUAGCAUUAGUAACGUGACAGUAAUAGUAGAAGUAUUGUAGUGAUUGUAACAGUAGCAACAACAGUAGUAACUUAGCAAAGAUCAAUAUGAGAAAAGUGUAGUCAUUGGAUCGUCGAUGGAUAUUUGUGUUGGAUGGCAUUCAUCAUGUAACAAUCACAACCUAGAGGGACACACAAUAGCUCCAACUCAUCUAUUCAAUGUUGGCAUGUAUUCCGUAUAUAGUCAUACGUGUUUAUAAUAAAAACUUGCAUGAUAUAUUUUGUCCUACCCUCCCGUGGCAGCGGGGUCCGUAAGGAAAUCUAAGGGAUAUUAAGUCCUCCUUUUAAUAGAGAAUCAGAACAAAGCAUUAACACAUGGUGAACAUGAGCUCCUUGGAUUACAGUCAUCCCCGGAGAGUAUCCCAAUUAUUGUCACCUCCGAGUCCAUGGUUCAGAAUAGUAACAAGUGCAUACAACUAGCAGAUAGGAUCAAGACCUCAAAUAUAUUGACGAAAACAUAGAGGGUUUAGAUCCAAAAUCAUGGCACCCAAUCCCUAGUGACAAGCAUUAGGCAUAGCAAAGUCGUAGCAACAUCAAUCUCAGAACAUAGUGGAUACUAGGGAUCGAGCCCUAAUAAAUUGACUCGAUUACAUGAUAAAUAUCAUCCACUUCAUCACCGUCUAGCAAACCUAUGAAGGACUCACUCCCGGGGGUUAGCAUCAUGAAAUUGUUGAUGGAGGAUGGUUGAUGAUGAUGACGGCGACGAAUCCCCCUCUCGGGAGCCCCAAAUGGACUCUAGAACAGCCCGCGUGAUGAAGAACAAGAGGUGGUAGUAGCUCCGUAUAGUAAAACAUGAUGAACCUUUUUCUCUCUUUUUUUCUCGGGAAAAAGAAUUUAUAGGCUUGGAAUUUGGUCAGACGGCCACCUGUGUGACCCACAAGGCAUCAGGGUGCGCCCUAGGGGUAGGCGCGCCCUGUUGCCUUGUGAGCAAGUGAUGGCGCCUACCCAGUGGAUCUUCAUUCCAAUAUUAUUUGUUUAUUUAAUAAAAAAAAUCUUCACAAAGUUUCGUCCGAUUUCGAGAACUUUUAUUUCUGACAAAAAACAAUGUCAUGGUAGUUCUGCUAAAAACAGUCUCGGUCCGGGUUAGUUUCAUUCAAAUCAUGCAAAUUAUAGUCCAAAAAAUAGCAAAAGUGUUUGGAAAAGUAGAUACAAUGGAGACGUAUCAGUCCACGUCCAUGAGCUGGGGUAGGUUCAACAUGGUCUUCACUUCUCAGUUCGCCGGUCCUCACAGGCACGACGAUGUCAACAUCCUGGUGGCGGGGUGUAACCUGCUUAGCCGGCUUAGAUAAUGGGGCCGACUGAGCGGACGACACUGUCUUACUCGUGGUCUUCUUUUGGUGGGUGAAACUGGUCUUGUGCUUGUUGCAUUAGCGAGGAGACAACUAAGAAAUUACUUGCCUCUUCGUCACCAGAAGGCCUCCUCUUUUGAGGAGAUCCCUCAGCCAACCAAUAAGGGGCAUCUUCAGUCCGUCAAAUAGUUAGAAAUCUUUCCAGCGAUGAACAGUCGGGUUUGUCCAGUGAGAACUCAAUUGACUUGGGGGCUACUGUCGGGGUUAUACCCGGGGUAGGUCCAAGUAUGGAAAUAUCUCGGCUAAGAGCCAUAGCCCAUCAAGGAUACGGUCUAGAAGAAUGUGGGUCAAGGGCAAUACUUCCAGCCCACAAGCAUUACGGCCCAAGAUAGUGAAAGCUAAAGAGGUUCUCAUGAUCAGGCCAAGUCAUAACAGUUGGAUCCUACACCCCCAGAUGGAGAAGGCCCAACAGUCGGUCACCAUGAAGGCGGGAGCAGUCGGACAUUCUGCAGUCGGUUGCGACCUAGGAUAAAUGACCCCCACGAUGUCUUAACUACUUAUGUUACCUAACGGUGUUAUAAUCUAGUUAAAUAAGGCAAUCACUAGCCAGAAUGACUAUGAGAAGUCGGCCAUGAACAACAUUAAUACCAGCCCGUUAUGACACCCCUCCUAGCACACUCUAUAUAAGCCGGGAGGAGGGCACCGGACUGAGGGUUGAACUUUUUCAUAGUGUACCUUACGCCAAGUUAAGAGCAUCACAGAAGUAGGGAAUUACCUCCACUAGAGAGGGUCUGAAUAUGUAUAAAUCCAUGCGUAUACUCCCAUCCGUACUGAUCGAUAGAUAUCAUUGCCUCUACAUACAAACCCCUUAUAGCAUUGUCUGGAUUAUAUCCACGACAGCUUUGGACCUGGUGUAGGAAAAGACCGAUUUAAGCGUUCCUACUCAGCUAGACCCGUAGGAGCUUUAAACAUGGAACGGGCCAUGAUUUAGGUGCAAGGCAAGCAAUCAAACAGGCCAAAACUACAUGGCGCGGCCUGACGCAAUGUAGGCUACGGCUACCAAACACGCCAAUGUGUAUGGCUCCAUUUUGUUUCAUACCGGCAUACAAGUUUUUCUUUCUCUCCCUCUCAAUGCAUGCCGUAGAUUGGCUGUUCAAUUUUUCAACGUGUGCAAUCGUCUACCUAGCAGAGUACAACGGUGCCAUUAAAUUACUAUUGAGAUCCAAUCUCUAGCAGCUCUUUUGUUUGUUUUUUUUUUUUUUUUGCACGGAGCACUUUCUGAAAAAUACCAAAAUAUAUAUGUGUAAGGCCAAAAAAGAAAACCAAAUAUGUACUGUUUAUUCUAAGUAUAUACUUGUGCUACGGAAUAUUUAUCAGAAAAACUAACUGGCAACCAAUCGCUGAGAAGGGGUGAUAAGCGAACCCUUCUUAGUGGUAGUUUUGGUUUGAGAGAUGGGAUCAAAAGAUAGCCGUUUAAAAACGAAAACUGCUGACAGAAACUAUCAUGACGCUCUGAAUAAACAGUCAUCCACUCAAACUAGAAAUGACACCGAAAUCGUUUGCAAAUGCCACUCCCUCUGACAACCGUUUGCCAGCUAAAGGGUUCUUAUUUUAUUAACUUCAGGACAGAGGUCAUAUGUGUCAGAGAGAUCUUAGGGUGUUGGAUAGUCGCAUUGUCAGUUGGCUCAUCUGUUAUGAUACAGUGAAUAUAUAAAGUUAUAUGGCUAUACAUAGGGAGUUGCUGUGAGGCACGACGAGUAGUACCAAGUUUGGAGCUUCGAGCUUAAUGGCGCAAGGUAUGAAGUGAAUAUUUGCCUCUUUCUUACUCUGUUCAUUGCGUUGAGAAAAUAUUCCUUUGUCAUUCAUUAAUUGUACGAAAGAUUCAGUGAUCCAAAUUGCGAAAUGUGUGCACCAUGUGAUAUUCCUAGCUAGUUCUAGAGUGCUGGAGUGAUAGGAGUCCGGCCCUGCUAGAGAGCCAUCACGAGCCUAUUUUGUCACUGAAAUUUUUACCUAUAUAUGUUAUGAUGUGUCUGGGAUUUGGGAUCAUAUUCUGCUAGUUAGUUUGUGUGCUGACUAGUAAUUUUUGCGUGCAGACGCAGGAGUCCCAAAUGUUGACUCGCACAGCGAUUUGGAGGCAGGGAAGAAACAAGCGCCGGCCAAACAAUCUGAGAUGGCGCCGGCUGUCUCCAUCUACAAGGUCCGUAUGCAAUUCCGUGGUUUGGACGGCAACAGCUACACGCCGCAGUAUGUGCCGAUUGGCCCGUACCAUCUAAGCUGUUCGUCCCCACGGACUCAAAAAGAGAAGCUGUGCGGUGUCUCCUUCCUCAAGAGCCUCUCGGACGAACACACCCUAGCGCGACUAGUGGACAAGUUGGAGCCACGAGCGAGGGAGUGUUACACCGACGGCGUUGGCCUGCUCACGCCGGAGCAGUUUUCCGGCAUGCUGCUGCGCGAUGGGUGCUACCUGCUUCUUCUGUUUGUACAUUAUGUGACAGGGGCAUGCAGCAAUGGCGGCGCUUCGACGGCGGCCGGUGGAGUCUCCGACAGCGCGGUGGUGCGCGACACCGUGUUCCUUGUUGAGAACCAGAUACCUCUCUUCGUGCUUGAGAAGAUCCACGAGCACAUCACAGGAGGCGCCAGCAUGUCCGUCCUCGGAAACAUCGCCGUCUCUGUCCAGGAGCUUCUGCAGGCACAACUCUACAUCAGCAAGAAGCUACGGCCGGCGCCUCAGCAGGCGUCCCACUUGCUCCACCUGGUGCAUCACUACUUUCAGCCAACCAAUCCGCCUCCUCCGGAAAUGGCAGCGAGCACGGCACGGCGCACCGGCCGGUGGCGCCGGGCGACGGAGUACGGCAGGUACGGCGGCAUGCGGUUCAAGCGCCGGGCCUUCGUGAGCGGGGAGGAGUGGACCGUCCUCGACGUGCGCCUUAAGCGAGGCACGCUGUGUGUCCCCCACCUGCGGGUCGACAGCAACACGUGGGCCGUCCUACGUAACCUGAUGGCGCUGGAGGAGCACGUCCCACGGAGGCCCGUCACGGCGUACUGCAUCUUCAUGUCGCAGGUGGCCGGUACGGUGGAGGACGUCAGGCUACUGGUUAACGCGGGGAUUGUGGAGCACUUCCUGCCGAGUGACGAGCAGGUCGCUCAAGGCUUCGCGGACCUCUGCAAUGGGGUGGUCAUGGACGUUGACAACCUUCACCGGAACUACCUCAAGCCCAUCUGGCACAAGCUGCAGGAACGCUGCCAGAGCCGCGUGUUUAGAUUCAUGGGAUGGUUCCGCCAUGACCGGCACCUCUGCAUGGCGAUAGCGUUCCUUAUGGCUCUCAUCGUCUUGGUUUGCCAAGUGACGCAGACGUUCUAUGCAGUAACCGGGGUCCGGAGGUGAACGAGGACAACGUCCCAAACACUAGAGUCUGUAUAAUUAGUUCUCAGAGCAUGAGUCGAUCAUAUCAGACGACAUUUAGGGUACGUCGGGGUCGAUUGUCUCUUGUUUAUCAUGUGUGCUUUGUUCUUGUUUUUCCUUUUGAGGAGAGUGAGCUUUAUUGUUUCGUAGGUUGAAUGAACGGUAGUCUCUCAUAGUUACUUAUUUUUCUUUUCUUCUUCGGUUCCCUCUCUUUUGAAUGGUCAGCUGGUUUUAAAGACAAUCUCGCGUAACUCUUUAUUAGCUGGUCACAAUAUUUACGGGGACGGAAGUAAGAUCACCAGAAUGGCCCAGCCAUACAUGACGGCCGGCUCCUAGCAAUUUCACUAAAUUGUGAACCUCGGUGUUGGAGCUCAUAUACUCAUGGCUAAAUAAGCAACUAGUAAAUAAACUAGAAUGGUCUAAAAUUUCACGAACAGUUGUACCAUAAACUUCCGCGCUCCCCUACUUGAUAUCAUCGAUGACAACCUUGGAAUCCGAGGCAACGUAGAUCCUUCGUACAUAAAGGUCGUCUACAAAAGCUAGAACUUCUCUUACUGCCAUGGCUUCCAGCGUUGUAGGCUCAUUGAUUCCUCCAAUAAUUAUAGCUGAAGCUCCUAUAUAAUUCCCAAGGGGAUCUCUACAAACCGCGGCGACCGACCCUGCUAAACAUAAUCUAGUAAGAGCUGCGUCAAUAUUGAUCUUGCACAUGUUUUCAGCCGGUGCAACCAAAUGAGUUGGCCUUAUAGGAAUAAGCCUUGGUAGUGCAUUAUCACCUGGAGAUCAGCUAUGAAUGAAUUCACAAAGCCGUGGGUGGCGAUAGGGGGCUGGAAGGUCUCUUCAUGUAUCACUUUCCUCCUCGCACUCCAGAUCACCCAUAGGGCAACACCCAGCCCUAUAAAAUCAUCAUGUGAUAAUAGGUCUUGCAUGUUGAAGAACCAACUUCUUGCAUUCGGGUUUUGGUCUAGAGACAUGUGUUCCACCAGGUUUCCGGAAGAUAAUGUCCAUACGCACCUCGCCCUGGCACAUUCGAGCAAAGCAAGCCUCCAAGAGUCGGAUGCGCCGCAGAGGGGGCAUGCAGGUGAUGAUGCCAUGUUGCGGCGAUGCAAUACCUCCCCUGUUGGGAUGGACGCCCGCGCUAAGAGCCAUAGGGAAACCCGGAUUUUGUUCGGCACUUGGGUACUCCAUAGUGAGGACCAUCCAUUGCUUUCAGAAUAGAAGUACGAAGCCCCUCCUGUUUCAUAUAACCAUCUCUCCCUGUUUAAUUUCGUAUUAUGCAUCAUCAUAUAUGCUGAACCGACGGUGAAAACAAAAUAAGUGACUCAACUUUGUACUGGGCCAGUAAAGGNNNNNNNNNNNNNNNNNNNNNNNNNNNNNNNNNNNNNNNNNNNNNNNNNNNNNNNNNNNNNNNNNNNNNNNNNNNNNNNNNNNNNNNNNNNNNNNNNNNNNNNNNNNNNNNNNNNNNNNNNNNNNNNNNNNNNNNNNNNNNNNNNNNNNNNNNNNNNNNNNNNNNNNNNNNNNNNNNNNNNNNNNNNNNNNNNNNNNNNNNNNNNNNNNNNNNNNNCCAGGCACCCCCGCCCGCCUCCUCUUCCCUCCGCCGUCGUCGGCGGCCGUCCCGGGCUUCGCCCAUGCGGUUGCUGGCGGCGGCGGGGCGUCCCUGCGUGCUCCCCUGCCCGGAUCUGCGCCCCAUCUCCUCCCGACGGCGACCCUUCCUCUCCAGCAUCCUCUCCUGGCGCGGUGCUCGGCCCUGGAGCUGGCCUCUGCGGCGUCGGCCAUGGCGGCUGCCGUCCCGGCCGUGCUUCGGGGUGGCUUGAGAUCCACCCGCCCGUCUGGCCGCCAUGGUGGCCUCCCUUCCAGAUCCGCGCUGGUGGCGGCCUGUGGUCCUUCUCUUGACCGGCGGGGGGACGACUAGGGGAUGUGGCCCCUCUGCUCGGCCUGGGCGUGCUGCCCCUGCUCCGGUUCUUGGGGUUGCCCUCCGGCUGGAUCUGGGGUUUUUGAGCGCCGCAGGCCCCUUUCCCCGGUGGAUGUGGUGGUGGUCUGGUCCGCCGUUCUGGCGUGGUGCCGAGGCUGCUCCCUGUGUUGGUGGAGAUGCUCGUGGUGGGUGGAUGCCGGGGCGGCGGCCCCGGGCUGUGAGGGCGGCGCCGGCUCUACGGCGAGCGGCAGCCGCGAGGGCUGUUCCGCAACCUCGGUCGUGCGGGCGACGAGGUUGUGGCGAGCGUGCUCUGUCUGGUGAAGAUCGACUCCCUCCGCUCGCAGAUGCACCCACCGGCCUGAUCCGGCCAUGGCGGCUUUGUCGCGUCAGCUCGUGCUCUCGGGUUCGGGUGGUUGGGAGUGGAGUGUGGGACCGAGGGAAACCCUUGGCCUUUGGUGGCUACGGCGAGGCCGUCUCCAUUUUCUUGGAGUCGGUCCCCUUCUUGGAGGCCUCGUCGAGAUCCCCAUCUGCUUCCUUCUUCCACGCUCCUGCAUGGGGCGAAAGUCCUAGAUCCCCUUGUGGGCGGCGGCGACGUGUCGACGUCGUUCCCUUCUUGGAGGCGUCGUCUGGGGUUCGUGGAGUGUGGAUGGUGCUUUUCUGCUUGGUGAGGGCAGUGUGGCGGCGAGAUGUUCCUUGUUCUUCGUCUUCUCCGUGCGGUCUUCAUCUUGUGUAGGCGCUCUUCAUCUUGCGUCUGGUGCCCAGGUGGUGGUGAGGUCGUGGGAUCCUAGCAGAGGUGCUGCUCUGCUCCCUCAUGCCCGAGCUGCCAGGUGGCAUUGUCCAUUCGGCUCUAGGGUGAGCACUCUACCUUCCGACGGUUCGGCGCCCUUCGAGCCAGGGCGAGAGGAUUGUUGUCUUCUUCGGAGGUAGAAGCGAGUGGCUUGUCGUCCUUGGCAUGUUCUGCGGGAGUAGGCGAGUAGAUGUUGGUUGUCGAUGCUGGUUUUCCUGCCCUCACCCUGCUGCUGGUGUGGCUUUGCUCAUGGCAUCUGACCUUGGUGAUCUUGGCUAGGCUCCUAUUUCUAUCUCCUGUUUGCCUGUAUCGCAAAUAGGUCAUUAGCUGCUACAGCUCUCUGUAUCUUUGCCGUUUCAGUUUCUAUCUUGUUGUACGCUUGCUUGUAUUCCUGGCCGGUUGAUGGCUUUGUUAAUUCAAAGCCGGGUUAGGUUCGAGCCUUUUCUCGGGCUCGGCCGACACCUUUUCUCUAAAAAAAACCGACGGUGAAAACUAGAUCACUCAACAGAAAAUCGUUGGGCUCGAGCACGGGGGCGCGCACCUGCCAAGCCUUGCCCGGCCGCUCGAUUGCCUCGCGAUUCGCAAAGUAGUUGCCCACACAAGGGCACAGUAAAUUUUAAAUUUCAACGUUGAAACUUGAUUUUUUUUUUGGGAUCUGAAAAUUCCUAUUUUCUUGCUCGCUUGUACCAAAUUUUGGAGAUAAAAUUUUAAUGGAUUUUCUCUGUCGGUCGUAGACAUAAAAUACCUGAUUUUUAUCAGUCGCUCGUACUAAGUUUCAAGAUUGAAACUUAACAUAUUUUUAAAAAUUCAUCAAAAUAUAUUCAAAAUGGAUCUUAUUUGAAUGCGGUGGUCACAAGAAACAUGAAUAUGAUAGGACAACUUAAUUUGGAAUUUUUGUUCAAAAAAUAUAGAACAUUGAAAAUCGGAAGCCAAAAUAAAAAUACCACACCAGGGAACCAGCACUACUAUUUCUUGUAUUUGUAGCUUAGGACUGCAAAGACCGCUUGCAGCAAUCCACAGGCAAAGAGGAUGGCGGUGAUAACGAAUGCUAUGGUGUACAACCCGUUGCGGCAGUGCUGUUCGCGGCACGUUCCCAUGAAUCUGUUCACCCAUUUGUUGCAGCGCAUGUCCAGGUCGUGCCAUAUGGGCUUGAGGUAGUUCUGGUCGAGGUUGUCCACGUCCAAGACCACCCCGGUUAAGAGGUUGGCCAAGUCUUGGGCGACCUGCUUCUCACUUGACAAGAAUUGUUGGACGAUCCCGGCACGAACUAAGAGCUUCACAUCCUCCACCGUGCCCGCCACCUGCGACAGGAAGACGCAGUAGGCCGUCACGGGCCGCCGUGUCAUCUGCUCCUCCAGGGCCAUCAGGUUACGUAGGAUUGUCCAUGUAUUGCUGUUGACCUGCAGGCGAGGGAUCCACAGCGUACCUACUUGAUAGCUCACGUCCAGGAUGGUGGACUCCUUGCCUUCCACCAAGUCUUCGGGCUUGAAACGUACGUUGCCGUGGCAGCGGUACUCCGUCGCCCGGCGCCAUCGGCCUGUGCGCCGUGCCGUGUUCCCUGCCCUUUCCGGAGGCGGAUUGGUUGGCUGAAAGUAGUGAUGCACCAGGUGCAGCAAGUGGGACGACUGCUGCGGCGCCGGCUGAGGCUUCUUGCUGAUGUAGAGUUGUGCCUGCAGAAGCCCCUGGACAGCAACAGAUAUGCUUUCGAGGACGCAACUAUCGGUGUCUCCUGUGACGAGCUGGUGGAUCUUGUCAAGCACCAAGAGAGGUAUUUGAUUCUCAAGAAGAAACACGGUGUCGCGCACCACCGCGCCAUCGGAGACUCCACCAGCUGCCGUCUCGGGAUAUUGAGGCGCGUUGUUGUUGGACUCGGAUGGAUCGCGCACCACCGCUUUGUCAUCGCACCUUGCUGCCGUCGAGGCGCUGUUGCCGCAUGCCGCUGUCUCAUAUUUUACAAACAGAGAUAGCAGAUAGCAGCCAUCAUGCAGCAGCAUAUGUGAGAAUGAGGACUGCUCCGAACACAAAAUGGGGUCGGGCAGAUGGGCAUAGCACCUCCUUGCUUCACCCUCUACAUUUUCCAGCUCCCGCAUCACCUCAUCCACUUCACCGUGAAACAGGUCGACGACGGCUUUCUCCUUCACGUCCGUCCAUUGGGAAAGACCUUUACGGUGGUUGUAAAGGCCGAUCAGCACGCCGUGCGGCGUGAAUAGUUGCGGACGGACCCGGGAGAUCGCUACGCGUAUGGUCGCCAUGCGCCCGGUUGGCAUGGGACUCGUCUCAGUUCCACGCCUCGCUCCUGCAGCCUCCACAUCAGGCUCCGCUUUGCAUGACAUUAGGAUGUCCUGUAUCAGCAUGCAUGCCACAAUAAUCAGAAUAUAGUGUGCAGUAUCGGUUUUUUUAGUCUAUAUGCUGCCUGCUAGGUUGCUACAUGAAUCCAUGAUCAUCUUGUCGUUAUUUUUCUGAUGACUAGCAAAAAAAGCUCGUGUGUCGUAACGGGAUAAUAAAAUUGUGGUCUUCAAAUCAAGUUCCAAAUAUUCACACUUCAUGUAUAUACACGUAUUCGAAUAUUUGUGCAUCAACCAGCAUGCAUGCGGACGUAAGACACGUGCAUUCUAACAUGCUCACAAUGAAUCGAUGUUGGACUUGAUCAUUGAUGCGUGUAUUUGUUUGAGUACAUCCUUGAUGCGUGUGUGAGAAGGAAAGAAAAGUUCAGCCUCAUGAUGGAUGAAAAACUGAAGGGCUCUAUGGCUAAUGAAUAAUUCAGAGGAACGCUUGUUCUUUUUUCAUGUUCACGAGUGACAAGGUGAGUAAUUUAUCUCAACAUUAGGGACAAUUUCAGUUACAUGCAAAAAAUCAGAGAAACAAUUAAUGAAGAGUUUUUUUUUCAUUUAUGGGUGGCAUGGUGGGUAAUUUACUUCAACUUUAUGGGCAGCUUAGGAUUAGGAUAGGUAGACCGACCAAAAAAUCGGAGAAACGCACCGUCCUUUAAUAUUAGGUAUAGAUUAAGUAACCCUAGAAGUUUUGUCCACAUUAGUGUCCGGAAACUCAUUUUAUAAAUCAAUCCUACAUUGCUUUCCCGAUAAAGUGAAAUAAUUUUAGUGAUAGUGACGCAUGUGCGAGUGUAUGAAACUUAAUUAUCCGUCUUUCAUAUCAAGUUAUAAUAUUUGAAUCUUAUUGAAAUUUUAAAACUUGUGUAUUCAAGAAUGAUCUUUUUUUCCAAAGUCCUCAUUUGAAGGAACACAACUAUCCAAACAUAACAUAGAAUAGACUUUGAGUUCAAUAGGCAAAAUAGAUUCAAAAUUGGAAGUCACAUGAAAGCACGGGAAAUUGAAAAAACUGAUAGGUGGAGCAUGCAGUCUACGAAAAAAACAUGCAGGUAUGUGACCCCCCGCCGCCUUCUCAAUAGUAAUUGGGCGUAAACCAUCCACGGAACCUGACAACUUUCCCAAUCACGGCCAAAAUGUGGGGCCCAUGAAGUGUGUGCACGAGCCACUGAGUGCCCGUGCUAAUUUCUUCCUUAGGCGACACAAAACAAACAAAGUCCAUCGAGCGUGCACAGGAUUCUGUUGAAGCGCUUGGCACAUCGUUAGGCAUCGACACGAGUAAUGUGACCAUGAAUCAUGUCCAUGCCGCGAGAAUAGACAGGAAUUAUAUCCUGACAUCUACCAUAAACGCCCUCAAUCGAGAUGGCCUAAGGCCUUGACCGUGUCUAAUGCAGAAUUUGAAUGAAUGAGUUUUUCACAUUAUGAGGCCUCAUAAUCUAACACUUUCUUGGGGAUUUAAAAAUGGUGGCAUGUUCUCUCUUUUUUAGCGAAUGCUAAUAAAAAUGUGCCAUAUUCAGAAUUUAGCAAAUGGUUUUUCACAUUAAAAAUUUCUACUCAUAGAUAGAUCGGGUGAUGACCUAGCUUCCUCUUCAUUUUAAUAGUCAUCGUUCAUGGCACUCAGUUCAUUAUGUUCAUACAUCUAAUGAUAUUGAAAUUAUCACAUGCCAGUGGAGCGGAAGUUAACUAGCUAGCACCCUUGAUGAUGGGAUAGGUAGUCUAGAUUCCUAGGCCGGGGUAAAAUAAAAGCUACUCUAGAUUUUAGUUCUCUUUAACUUGAAAGUCGUUGAGUCUUAAUAAUGGCUAGCAUCACAAGUUGGUGGGCUAAAUGGAUCGGGUUAGAGCCUCACCACCUCGAUUUAAUCUGGCAUGUCUCAUUUAAUUUGAGCAUAUCCCUUCCAUUGCUCAACUCAUGUUCUUUUUACUUCUCUCUACCUGUUUUGGGGUGCAGGAGAAUUCUUUCCUUCAUACUAUAUGUUCAUGAUAACAAAAUUUUGAAGGUUGAAAAAAAAAGUAAAAUAUUUAGUUCUUCGUCCUAUAGUUUAUCGAGUAGCUUCAUGACCAUGUAAAGCAAGUAAGCUUAAAUUUUAGCUCAUAGAUCGAUCCAGUGCUGGCCCUACCUUCUUCUUCCUUUUAGACUAACAGCUACUUUUCCUACUGUGUUGGAUAUCGUGUGACCGCAAUCUAGCAUUUUGAAUUGGAGAUAAUUUUUCAUACAAAAUAGAAAUAUCAUCAAGUAAUCACCGCCAGAACUGCAACAAAAACGUGCGUCGUCCUUUCCAGCCGAAACGUACACCCUUUCAAACAAAUAGCAAAUCCAAUACGGUAUGUUUAAAUUAUUAUGUUAUAACAUAAUGAAGAAGCUGAAUUAGGAAUACGAUUCAGUUUAAGACUAGAAAAGAAUAUGAGUACAAGUCAUCAAAAGUGAAAUUUGCAAGCAAGCAAGUGUUAAAAUCAUAAGAAAUAUAACUUUUCGUAAUAGCACAAAACAUAGGCAAAUAUUCAUGUCUUACCUUGAUCCAUUGCAACAUUGGUAGACCAAACUUCAAAGCUAAAUCACCCUCGGUUCUUCUGGUACGUGUUCUUGCUAGUUUUGUUCAUUGCAACGGUAGCUCAGCUCUAUCUAUCUACGUAUAUAUAAGCAGACCCCAUUACAGAAGUUAGUCCCGCCGAUCUAGCUUUGAUGCUGGCACAGACGCGCAAAGGAUUCCUUUGUCCUUUCCUCUGGCGCAGUCAAAAGUACAAAAACAACCGUCAACGCUGCAGGCUUAUACUCUGGGUUCUGGGAAGUUGCCGGUCUUGUUCGAGCCUCUGCUCUCUUGAUUUGCAUUUGAGAAGUACUCCCUCCUUUCCUAAAUAUAAGUUUUUAUAGAGAUUUCACUAUGAACCACAUACGGAUAUAUAGAUGCAUUUUAAGUUUAGAUUCAUUCAUUUUGCUUCGUAUGUAGUUUAUCUAGUGAAAUCUCUACAAAGACUUAUAUUUAGGAACGGAGGGAGUACUUUGAUUUGUUUCCUAGUUACGUGCGUGGUUUUGUUUUCUUGCAGGAGUCUCGUGCGUGACAGCGUGAGUUGUUAACCGAAUCUGAUAGGAAAUUAAGAGUAGCUCAUGUUAUUUUUGGGGCAAAAAAUCACUCAGAUCUACUUAGCCAAACCAGAAAUGGAGACGCUCAUAGGGAACAAAUAAAAUGCAUCAAGUAACUGGUGCUGAUUGUCUUCUUCCUUCCUAACAGGCCGAUGACAUGCCACUACAUCGCCCAAGCCAGUAUGUCAUUGUUGAACGCAGACAGGAAGUCAUUCAUGUCGGACUAUCACCCUGGACAAGAAAGCCACAUAUCCAAGAGCCAAACCUCCAUCAUUUCUCGCAUGCCUUACACCAACACUAGGGACGCAAUCUGAACCCGAUAGGCAUGUGGCUUAAUUAAUUAGUGUGUAUUCAGUGGGCCACGCAUGUGUUGAUCAAACACUACAUCGUUUAACUAAAUAUCUCUUAGUUCAGAUGCUAAGGACAAAGGGCUCACAUGACAACUAAACUGAUAGGCGCGAAUAUACAGGGAAAAGACAAGCUCACUCUCUCACACGUGAACAUAAGGGCACCUCCAACGUCAACCCCUAAAUUUUCUUCCGCAUCCAUCCGCGGAUAGGGAGGUACCAGUCCACGGACACGGAUGUGGGAAGACGUCAUCCAACCAUAGCCGCAUGCAUUUUGGCAACAGUUCGAACUAACCGGGCGAUAUUCGUUCAAACAUGGCCGGUUUUCAUAUAAACAGGGCUGAAUUUUAUAUAAACAUGACGGAUUUCAUUACAUUUACAUCAACUAAGCGGACGGCUAAUGCUCCCAGGUUGAUGCGAUGUAUUCCACCAGUUGACUGUGUAGAAGGACAAGAUAUGGGUUCUGCAAUCUCGAUGUAUUGAUCGGUGCACUAGGAACGUAUAUAUGAGUACAGAGGUGGGCCACAACCUCAACUAUACAAAGGAAACAGGUGGUGGGCCCUACACACAAAUAUACACGUACACAAUAUACUCAACACCCCCCCACAGUCGAAGCAGCGCCAGUGACGCAGAGACUGGAAGGGAACUCCUCAUAGGUAGAAGUCGGCAGUCCCUUCGUCAUCACAUCGGCGAACUGCUGAGCGGUCGGCACAUGGAGAACCCGCAUGCGUCCAAGAGCCACCUGCUCGCGCACAAAGUGAAUGUCCAGCUCGAUGUGUUUAGUCCGGCGAUGAUGAACGGGGUUGGCGGAGAGGUACACCGCAGAGACGUUGUCGCAGUAGACAACCGUAGCCUGGGAGACGUCGUGAUGCAGCUCCUGAAGUAACUGUCGUAGCUAGGUGCACUCGGCGACAGCGUUGGCUACAGCUCGUACUCAGCCUCCGCGCUAGAGCGCGAAACCGUGGGUUGUCGCUUGGACGACCACGAGACGAGUGAAGGACCGAGGUAGACGCAGUAGCCAGAGGUGGACCGACGAGUGUCAGGACAGCCAACCCAGUCUGCAUCGGAGUAGGCCACCAUCUCUAGAGAAGUGGACGCCGUAAGUGUCAACCCGAGGGACAUCGUGUAGCGGAUGUAGCGAAGGAUCCGCUUCACGAGAGCCCAAUGAGAGUCACGAAGGGCGUGCAUGUGGAGGCACACCUGCUGGAUAGCAUACUGAAGAUCCGGUCUGGUGAGAGUCAAAUACUGGAGAGCGCCGACAAUAGACCGGUAGAAAGGAGCAUCCAACGCAGGCGAACCCUCAAGAGCAGAGACCUUGGCCUUCGUGUCCACAGGAGUAGCAACAGGAUGACAGUUGAGCAUGCCAGCAUGCUUAAGAAGCUCAUGUGUAUACUUCUGCUGAUGAAGAAAGAAACCGUCCGGACGCCGAAUGACCUCAAUGCCAAGGAAAUAAUGUAGAGCACCCAGGUCCUUGAUAGCAAACUCGUCACACAGCCGGAGAGUAAUCUGCUGAAGAGCGGUUGCGGAGGAGGCUGUAUGGAUGAUGUCGUCGACGUAAAGCAGCAAAUAAGCAGUCAUGUCACCGUGACGAUAAACAAACAGUGAGGCGUCCGAGCGAGUAACGCUGAAGCCCAGUGUCUGAAGAAACCCGGCGAUCCGCUGGUACCAGGCUCGGGGUGCCUGCUUGAGCCCGUAAAGAGAGCGGGACAGCAGGCACACAUGGCCGGGAAGUGAGGCGUCGACGAAGCCGGUGGGUUGCUCACAAAACACAUGCUCCUCAAGAUGGCCGUGGAGAAAGGCGUUGGAGACAUCCAUCUGGUGAACAGGCCAGCCGCGGGAGACGGCGAGCUGGAGGACGGUGCGCAUCGUGCCCGGUAUAACAACCGGGGCAAACGUCUCAGUGAAGUCAACUCCAGCGCGCUGGCGGAAACCGCGGACCACCCAGCGAGCCUUGUAGCGCUCGAGUGUACCGUCUGAGCGGGUCUUAUGACGAAAGACCCACUUGCCGGUGAUGACGUUGGCGCGAGGAUGUAAGUGCAUCUAGUGCCCCUUAGUGAUUUUGGUGUAUUGAAGACUUAUAGGUUAAGAGACUAAUGCGUUUGUGAGUGUACACAGGUCUAUAAGUCUAUGAGGAGUUUGAUAUUUACAGAGAAAGUCGACCCCUAAAAAUGAAGUUCUUCGACUGAAGACUUUGACAUUCUGAAGACUUUCUGAAGACUUUGAAAGUGAAGAAAUUGGUGUGACCUUGAAGACUUGGUAUUCAUUUGUGGAACAUGAAGCGUGAAGACUUUUGUUUUCGUAAUUUCAUUUUCUCCUUCUUGAGUCAUAGGAAACACCGUACUGUUAAAGGGGGUCGAGGAAAUACUAAGGAAAAAUUUCCAUGUGAUGCUCAACUCAAAAUCCUACACCUACCAAUCCCUUCGAGUGAAGCCUUUGGAAAUCUCAUACAGUUUAGUCACUUUCUUCAGUGACAGAGACGAAGUUCUUCUGGUCGCUGAUGGAUUUGUUCUAACUGAGGAGUUAGGAAUUCGCCAGUGUGAAUUGCCUACACAGUGAGGAACAUGAUAGCCCUGAGGAAUUUGAGAGUCAAAUUUCCGACCGUUGUUAUGCUGCGCGCCAGCUGUCCCAAAAUAUCUUAUCCACCUAACGGUCAUAUCAUUGAAGGGCAUUUAUGUCUUAUCAUGUCGGGCUGCUCCCUAGGCUAUAAAUAGCCGCCCCCUACAACCACUAGCUGGUUGGCUGCUCCGCGAGAACUUGACACUUGUCAUUUGAGAGCAACCCAUCCUCCGAGGACUUUGAGCGAAAAUCAUCGAGUGAGGAAAAACCCAAAACCAAACCCCUACAAACCCAAAGUGAUUGAGCAUCACUGAAGAGAUUGAUCCUGAGUGGAUCCGACGCUUGUUACCUUGGAAGACUGUGCUUCUUCCAAACGGUUAGGCGUCAUGGUCUAGAGCAUCCAAGAGGAAUUGUGGAUCGCCGAGUGACCAAGUCUGUGAAGGUUUGGAAGUCGCCUGAAGACUUACCACGAGUGAUUGGACGAGGUCUGUGUGACCUUAGUUCAAGGAGAAUACGGUGAGGACUGGGUGUCCUGAGCUGCGUGCUCAGCGACUGGGUGUCCGGGACUGUGUGUCCUCGAGUUUAAAUACUCAGCCGCUCCAACCAGACGUAUAACUGAGACAGCAGUUGGAACUGGUCUACCAAAUCAUUGUCUUCACCAACCUAACUGGUUUUAUUUUCUCAACCUUUUCAUUUCCUCAUUACUGUGUUGAGUGUUUGUUCAUAUCUGUGUUUGAAGACUUCGACUGAAGACUUUCUCAAUUUCCUCAGAUCAAUUUCUUCAGUCUGUUUGUCUUCACCUUGUGUUAUCCUGUGAUUACGCUCUCUGUACUCAGUGCUUGUCUUCAUUUCAUCUUGAUGACCAUGCUUGUAUUCUGUUAUGCUUACUUCUGAGUACUUAUUCCGCUGCUAGUAGUUCUUCGCUAAGGAAUUUCCUCACUGGCAAAUUCCUCAGUGAAGAAUUCAUAAAANNNNNNNNNNNNNNNNNNNNNNNNNNNNNNNNNNNNNNNNNNNNNNNNNNNNNNNNNNNNNNNNNNNNNNNNNNNNNNNNNNNNNNNNNNNNNNNNNNNNNNNNNNNNNNNNNNNNNNNNNNNNNNNNNNNNNNNNNNNNNNNNNNNNNNNNNNNNNNNNNNNNNNNNNNNNNNNNNNNNNNNNNNNNNNNNNNNNNNNNNNNNNNNNNNNNNNNNNNNNNNNNNNNNNNNNNNNNNNNNNNNNNNNNNNNNNNNNNNNNNNNCGAUAUAACGCACUUUCAAUUGGUAUCAGAGCAAGGUACUCCCUUGUUCUGUGUGAUUUUGGUUUAACCGCCUAGAUUUUUAGUUAUGUCGACCGCAGGUAUGAUCAAGGUCUCGGCUGGGUGUCCUACCUUUGAUGGGACGGACUACCUGUACUGGAAAAAUAAGAUGCGAAUGCAUCUUGAGGCAAUUGACAACGAUCUCUGGUAUGUUGUGGAAAAUGGUGUUCCCUCUGUCUCACCCUCACCGAACACUACCGAUGUGAAGAGAUUCAAGCAACUCGACUCUCAAGCGAAGAAUAUCAUAUGUGGCCAUCUGAGUAAAGGAUAGUAUGGAAGAGUGAGUGCUUUGGAAACUGCUAAGCUUAUCUGGGAUAGGUGUCCAAAGUGAAUGAAGGAGUCUCAACUCAGCGUGACUCUCGAGUUGAUGUUCUUCGGAAUCUCUUCAACCGCUUCAAAAGACUCGACAAUGAAAAUGUCCAACAAACCUUUGAUCGCCUCACUGACAUCUCAAAUGAGCUUCAAGCCCUCGGUGCCACUGAAAUCACUGACCAUGAGGUGGUGAAGAAACUGUUGAGAUCGCUUGAUUCCUCAUUUGAUACUCUGGGACUGAUGAUACAAUAACGGGCUGACUACAAGUCUCUUGAUCCUGCCAAUAUCCUCGAAAGGCUAAAUACUCACGAGUUCCAGCUUGCUGAAAAGAGAGAUCUCUAUGGUUCGAGCUAUGGCAAACCACGUGCCCUGAAGGCCAAGGUUGUGUCUGAGUCUGAGUGUGAGGAUUCUGGUAGUAGCCUUGGUGAUCCUAAAGAAUUGAGCCAGGAGCUAGCACUGCUCGUGAAGAAAUUCCAGAAGUUCUCAAGACGUGGUCGCUUUGGAAAAUCCUCAAGAAGCAGUGAUUCCUCAUCAAGUGACUAUAAGAGAAGGCUGUGCCACAAAUGCAAGAAACCUGGUCACUAUAUUCAAGAUUGUCCUCAGUGGGAAAAGGAAUUGAAGAAGAAGAAAUACAAGGAUUACAGUUCUGAUGAUGCGAGAAGAAGAAGAAAUCAUUAAAAUCUUCGUCAUCAAAAUCCUCGAAGUCUUCAUCUCACAAGAAGAGCAGCUCCAAGAAGGCUCGGGCAUUCAUUGGCAAGGAAAUGGACUUUGAAGCUGAAUCUGAGGAACAUGAGGAAGAGGAGGCGUCCGAAGAAUCCGAAUCUGGUGUGGCGAGUCUGGCCUUUGCUACUGCUUUCGUUAGCAAGUCCAUCUUCAACACUGAAGAAACUGACCCCACUGACAAGCCUGAUGAAGAUAAUGAUGACUACGCUCCCACCUAUUGCUUCAUGGCGAAAGGUGCAAAGGUACUCAAAUACACCUCCUCUGAAUCUAGUGAAAAUGAAUCUGAUGAGGAUCUCAAGUCCAGCUACUCUAAACUUGCUAAGAUUGCUGUAAAACAACAAAGGGCUUUUGAAAAGGUUCAAAACAUGCUAGACAAAAGUGAUGAUAUGUUGGGUGAAGAAAUGGAUCGCACUAAAGCCCUGACUGAAAAUCUUCAGAGACUUCAGUCUAGGUUUGAUAACCUUCAAAGUCAUCAUAACACUCUCUUAUCUGAUCAUGAGAAACUUUCUUAUGAAUUUCUUCAAAGAAAGCAAGAUCUUGAGAAGCUAAGAGUGAGUUAUGAAGAUCUUCAGAAGGAGCGCGACUCAUUACUAGCUCAACAAAUCAGCGCUUCUCAGGAACAAUUUGAUCCUCCAUGCUUAAGUGCAUUAAACGAGAAUCUGCUAAUUCUUCACCUGAAUGUUCAAAUGCUUCAAAUGUUACAAAUUCUUCACCUGCCUCUUCUAUCACUAAUUCCUCAUCUGAGGACAUUGCUAGUAUCACUGACGAUGCAGGGCUGAAGGAAUUGUACAUGACAGGCAUGUACAAAAGCCUCAAAGGGCAUCAGACUCUCUGUGAUGUGCUUAAAAAGCAGAUCCUCAACAGAAACCCUAGGAAAGAGGGUAUUGCCUUUGAGAGGAAACUCAAUGUUGAUGGAACAUAUUGGAAGCCUGAGCAGUACUCCAAAACCUCAUGGGUUGCUGCAAAGGGACCUCCAGUUGAUCCAUCUAACUUAUCUGGCUUUACAUGUGAAUCUCCUCAUUCUUCUGAUGAGUCAUUUGACUCCAACUAUAAACUGUUCAAAAAUCAGAAUGGUGAAGUAUUUGCUAGAUAUGUUGGCACUAACUGCAGGAAUGGUUCUCCUAUGAAGAAAAUCUGGGUUCCCAAGAAGUGCCUCGAAAGUCUUCAGAUGAAUGUCCUCAUGACACCACCUGUGAAGAACAGGAACCCCAGAUCAAAUUCUUCAUAUGGACCAAAUUAUUCAUAUGGAUCCAAGUCCUCAUACGGACCAAAUUCCUCACGUGGAUCAAAUUCCUCAAAAGGAUCAAAGUCCUCAUAUGAUUAUCAUCAUGCUAAAAACUCUGUUUCGCAGGGUAGAGCUAAGGGCUAUGAAUAUGUGCAUUAUUCUUCAAAUCAUUAUGUUCAUAAGUCCUCGAAGAAUUUCUCUGCUUAUUCAUAUGCUUACCCUAACCCCUCUUAUGUGAAACGAAAUGGUUUGGCCUCUAUGCCACCAUUCUCUUAUGGUGCUCGCAGAGUGAUGGACUCUUUGCCACCCCUUCAGAUGUGGGUGGUGAAGAAAAAGAACUAAUCUCUUCUGCAGGGUCAGGUCUCCAGACGUGCUUUAAACGUCUGAAGAAUUUGCUGGGGACCUGACAAAAUUGCCUGAAAGGACGCAGGCGAAUCAUGAUGAAAUGAACCUUCAUUUCACACGUCCUCAUACUGCUAUAUCUGUUUACUGAUUGAUGAAAUUCAUCUGAUGAACUUGAUAUCAUAUUCUUCACAAAUGAAGCAUAUGAGAUUGUAAGCUACACUAAUUCAUCUACAGGAUGAUCAACCCAAAGCCACUGAGUGGGUCCUCGAUAGUGGAUGUACGAAUCACAUGACUGGUGACAAGAAUCUAUUGAUGGAUGCUCCCUUAUCACCGUCACAUCUGAAGCAUAUCAUCUUUGCUGACAAAGGCAAAAGUCAGGUAUUGGGUCUUGGUAAGGUUGCAAUCUCUAAGGAUAAACACAUGGACAAAGUCAUGCUUGUUGAGUCCUUAGGAUACAACCUCAUGUCAGUCUCAAUGCUUUGUGAUCUUGAUAUGGUUGUUGUCUUUGGCAAGUAUCGUUGUGUUGUGAUUAUGGAAGCUGACAAUUCCAAAGUCUUCGAAGGCUUUAGGAGAGGAGAUUUGUAUAUUGUUGAUUUCUCUACAGGACCACAGCCAUCCGUGUGUCUACUUGCAAAAGCUUCAGAAGGCUGGCUAUGACAUCGAUGACUUGGUCACGCAGGCAUGAGGAAUUUUCACACGCUUGCGAAGAAGCAUGUCAUUGGCAUUGAGAAUGUCAAAUUCCUCAAGGAUCACUUAUGCGGAGCCUGUGAAGCUGGAAAAAUGACCAAGGCCAAGCAUCCAGCGAAGACUAUCAUGACCACUACUCGUCCAUUCGAAUUGCUUCACAUGGACCUCUUCGGACCUAAUCAUUACUCAGCAGUCACUAAUGAUGCAUCUCUAUAUGGUUUUGUCAUUGUUGAUGAUUACUCUCGAUAUACAUGGGUACACAUUGUUACUUACAAACAUGAAGUGCAGGAAGUCUUCAAACGUGUUUCCUCGAGGGCUUCAACCAACUUUGGUGUGAAGAUCAAGCACAUCAGAAGUGACAAUGGAACUGAGUUCAAGAAUUCCGGUCUUGAUGACUAUCUUGAUGAACUUGGUAUUACUCAUGAGUUAUCUGCUCCCUAUACUCCUCAGCAAAAUGGCGUCGUGGAGCGCAAGAACAGAACUCUUGUUGAGAUGGCUCGCACUAUGCUUGAUGAAUACAAAACGCCUCAUCGUUUUUGGAUUGAUGCAAUUGAUACUGCGUGCCACAUCAUCAACAGAGUAUAUCUUCACAAAUUCUUCAAGAAGACGGCCUAUGAACUCCUCACUGACAAGAAACCCAAUGUGAGUUAUUUCAAAGUCUUCGGUGCUAAAUGUUGGAUUAGAGAUCCUCACCACAAUUCUAAAUUUGCACCGAAAGCACAUGAAGGUUUUAUGCUUGGUUACGGAAAGGACUCGCACACCUACAGAGUCUUCAACAUUGUUCUUCACAAGAUUGUUGACACUGUAGAUGUGCGGUUCGAUGAAACUAAUGGCUCGCAAAGAGAGCACCUACCUUCUGUGUUAGAUGAACCAGCACCUGAGGAUUCUAUCAAGUUCAAGGCAACUGAGGAUGUCAUUCCUACUGAAGAAUCUGCUGAAGAAUUCAUUCCAGUUCAUGAAGAACGUCGAGCUGAUGCACCUAAAGAAAAUGCUGAGGAAAAUGGUGCUGAAGAAAAUGCUGAUCAAACUCCUCAGCGACAACCAGCUCAUCCUCGCAUUGCAAAAGAAGUGCAAGUGGAGAAGAUCAUCGAUGACAUUAGAGCACCAGGUCCUCUCACACGCUCAAAAGCUUCACAUUUAUCUAACUUUUGUGGGCACUAUGCUUUUGUCUCUAUCACAGAGCCCACUAAGGUAGAUGAAGCAUUUUUGGAGCCGGAGUGGAUUCAGGCUAUGCAAGAAGAAUUACAUCAGUUCGAGCUCAACAAUGUCUGGGAACUGGUCAAACGUCCAGAUCCUCGCAAGCAUAAUAUCAUUGGCACAAAGUGGAUCUACCGCAACAAGCAAGAUGAAAAUGGCCUUGUGGUGAGGAAUAAGGCACGACUCGUAGCUCAAGGCUACACACAGGUUGAAGGAAUUGAUUUCGAUGAAACUUUUGCACCUGUUGCUAGACUUGAGGAUAUUCGCAUAUUACUUGCUUAUGCUAACCAUCAUGAUAUCAUCUUAUAUCAAAUGGAUGUGAAAAGUGCAUUCCUCAAUGGUAAGCUUGAGGAAGAAGUAUAUGUUGCUCAACCCCCAGGUUUUGAAGAUCGAAAGAAUUCUGACAAAGUCUUCAGACUUAAUAAGGCCCUCUAUGGCCUAAAGCAAGCCCCUCGGGCAUGGUAUGAUACAUUGAAGGAAUUCUUCGUGAAGAAUGGCUUCACACCCAGUUCACUCGACCCUACUCUCUUUACUAAAUCUUAUGAUGGUGAACUGUUUGUGUGCCAAAUAUACGUUGAUGAUAUUAUCUUUGGCUGUACUGACCAACGUUAUAGUGAUGAAUUUGCCUAUAUGAUGAGUGAAGAAUAUCAAAUGUCUAUGAUGGGAGAGUUGAAACUCUUCUUAGGUCUUCAAAUUCGUCAACAGAGCAAUGGUAUAUUCAUAUCUCAGGAGAAAUACCUCAAAGAUGUACUGAGGAAAUUCGGCAUGCAAGAUUGCAAAGGCGUCAAAAUUCCUAUGCCCACAAAUGGCCAUCUAUGCACUGAUGAAAAUGGUAUUGACUUUGAUCACAAGGUAUAACGCUCCAUGAUUGGUUCUUUAUUGUACUUAUGUGCAUCUAGGCCAGAUAUAAUGCUUAGUGUUUGCAUGUGUGCCCGAUUUCAAGCUGCACCGAAGGAAUCACACCAUAAGGCUGUGAAGCAUAUUCUUCGAUAUCUAGCUCACACACCAACACUAGGAUUAUGGUACCCCAAGGGCUCUGCUUUUGAUCUCAUUGGAUAUUCUGACUCUGACUAUGCUGGUGAUCGUGUGGACCGCAAGUCAACAUCUGGCACUUGUCAUUUCCUCAGACGAUCUUUGGUCUGUUGGUCCUCGAAGAAACAGAACUGCGUAUCACUGUCUACUGCGGAAGCUGAAUACAUUGCUGCUGGCUCUUGCUGUGCUCAACUGCUUUGGAUGAAGCAAACACUCAAGGACUAUGGCGUCAAUGUGAAGAAUGUGCCUCUCCUCUGCGACAAUGAGAGUGCCAUCAAGAUUGCUCACAACCCAGUUCAGCACUCGAAGACAAAGCACAUUCAGAUUCGUCAUCAUUUUCUUCGUGAUCAUGUGUUGAAGGGCGACAUCUCCAUCGAGCACGUGAAGACUGAAGAACAGCUAGCUGAUAUCUUCACUAAGCCUUGGAUGAGAAGAGAUUUAGCAAGUUGCGGUGUGAGCUAAAUAUCUUAGAAUCUUCGAAUGUUCUUUGAAAAGGACACACACCCUGACACUUAUGCAAAAUUGAUGACUUAGAUGUGCAACACAUGAAGAAACGUUUUUCUUCAAUCAAUGAAGAAUAAAACUCUAAGUGUGAAGAAAUUAAUGAAGAAUUUGAUUCUCAGAACCCUACGACAAUUGUACGCGGUGUCUGAAAUCAUCGUUCUUAUACGGUGGGUCACGCAAAGUUAAAAAUCUUUAAUUUGAGUUUUUCCUUAGUUUUGAAAUUCUUCAGUUUUUCAAAUUCUUCAACUUUGCAAAAUCUUCACUGUUUUGUCGUUUUUCUUCAUUGGCUAUAUAUGUGUAUAUAUAUAUAUAUAUAUAUAUAUAUAAGUUUAUGUCCUCUACAACAUUCACUUAUAGCUAUUUCUUCAAGUUGCUUUUUCUGCUAAGUGAAUGUGAUCGGACCCUUCCCCCUCUAUGCUAUACUCAACCAAAUCUAUUCACAAAUUCUUCAUGUGCGUUCUAUUUGAAACUCGUUCAAAAUCUUCACUGUGUCCUUGUCAGCUGAAGAAAUUGCGAACGAAACUUUAAAACAAAUCUUAUCCAAAUUUUCGGUUUUGCCGCUCAAACCGUUCCGCAUCCCACAAUGCAUUAUUCUAUUCACCCACGAUCGUACACGAUCUCAACUACACAGUACGUGGGUGACACAUGUCGCGAGAAGGAGAAAGGGCAGGGGCACGUUCGUCCCAAAUCUUCGGGCGAACAGUUUUUACCGUGUCUAUAAAUACCCCUCUCCCCUUCCUCACUUCAUUUACUCCGCUCGAUCGCUACUCUCUCACUCGAGCUCCUCAAACCCUAGCGCCGCCGCUACUCCAUCGUCACCGGUGAGGAAGAGCUUCGCUGCCUCGACCUCGUCGCCGUCGUACUCACGCCGACCGCGGAAAUCUUCACUCCGCCGCCGCCGUAGCUGUCUUCCUCUGCCAAGUUAGGGCGUGGGAGAUCUAACCUGACGAACUUCACAUCUGUUCUUCUCAGUUCGUUGUGUACUUCACUUCGGGUAAUUAAAAGUUACUUUUAUUACUCACUUUGAUUCUCAAACUUUCCUGAAAAUCUUCAAAGGUGUUUAUUCUUCAAAUCUUCACACAUAUGAACACCUCACACAUCAUAUGAUCUUGAACUAUUUCUCUAAGCAAUCAUUUUCUUCAAGAUUCCCUAAUUGUGUGGAUCUUCGAUCUGUACAACUCUGGAACCUAAGACAAGAACGCUUAGUGAAAUUCCUCAAGGUUCAUCUGGUCAAAUUCCUCAAAACUUGUUCUUUUCGAAAAACCUUCUGACAACGCAUAUGACCUCUCCAAAUUCCUCGCACCUAUACUCUGUUCACAGGUACUCAUGUCUGCUGCUGAAUCACUAGGUUCUCAUCAACUUAACUCAUUUGCAGCGUUCCUCGAAGAAAAACUGCAUACUUCUUCAGAGAAUUCGAUUGUUCAAAUUCCUCAACUGAAGAAUAUGGCAGACGGUAAGAAGUCGCAGAAAGGAGGAAAGAAACCUGAGGUUAUGACUGCGUCUGAAAUCCCUGAGGAAAUUUAUGCUAACUAUUGCACACCUGAUGAAGCAAAAUUUGGCAAAGAAAACAAAAAUCAGUGCAAGGUGCGCAUACAGAGGAUUGAACGGAGAUGGGCAAGGGAAUGGAGGGAAUACAGAUAUGUGACUCCAAAGUACAUGAGGAAAUUCGCCCUCAAUCCUCCAUGCCCAAGAGCUCCAUUGGCACCUGGCCAAGAAGCUGACCCCACCAGCAUCAAGCGUGGCGAGGACUUUCCUGAAGAAUGGGCUAAGCGCCAAGCUAAAUUGGCAAGACAAGCCAAGGAGGCAGUGAAGAAAUUCAAUGAGGAUUCUGCCACUGCUACUGCUACUGAGGCCUCGGUCAAACCGAGGAAAUCCAUGCCAAAGAAGCCUGCUCGUAAGCCAAGUGCUUCACCAACAGCGCCCUCACGGCCAAGUUCCUCAGCAAUGCCCUCACGGCAAAUUCCUCACACUGCUACUGCUCCACCAAAGUCCUCAGCAGCUCCUUCAAAGUCCUCAGCUCCUAUGCAUCUGGCUACAUGUCAAAGAACUGCUGCUUUCUCGAUUGCCUCUGGUGUUUUAGCAAGUUCCUCACCUGCACCAAUUUCCUCAUCAGGCCCCACACUGUUGAAGACUAAAGCAACAGUUAGACGCAGUCCUCGGCCAAGUCCAAAGAAGAAACAGGUCGCAUUCCAUGUGCCUUCUGAUGAUGAAGCCUCUGAUGAUGAACUUGCAGAAAUCAUCAGAGACAGACAAGUGAAGGCCGCUAGAGCAAAAGGCACAUCUGUGCCACUGCUUUUGGAUCCGAGGAAGAUCCUCGACUACAUUGACCUCUGGCACAAGGAUCCAAACACCCCAAUGCCUGAUUUUCAUCUGACCUCUGGUCAAAGUCACAUGCUGACUGAAAGUGCAACUAAUCCCCGGGUGGUUUUGGUAAUUAAUAACAACAUAUGUAUCAUUGAACUAAUAGUUACUUGAGAAUCAUUUUAGAGAGUUCAAUGAUAUGGGUAUGGCAAGGACUGAAGAAGUGGACCCCCCAAAAUGCUAAGGCAAGCAUUGGCAAAAGCUCAAGACUCCAUUUUUGGUUUAGUGAUCCAAGAUCACAUUGAGUCCAUAGGAAAAGCCAAUACUAUUAAAAGGGGAUGAGGUUAUGAUGAUGAUCUGGUUGCUCAAGUGCUUAGUGAUACAUCUCCUAAACUAUCAGCAACUUUCACUGCCAUAGACACUCAUAAGUAGUCUCGGUCCCGCCGAUAUUCCAAACUCAGUCACACCGAGAUGAACCACCUCAGCCAUAAGCCAAACCCUAGUAAACUCAGAUUUUCCGAUUCUGAACUCGGUCUCACCGAAACAUGAGUUGCCAAGUUUCUGUAACCUUCUGUCAUCAAAUCGGUGUCACCGAGAUGAUGAAGUCGGUCCCACCGAAACUGGCAUGCUCUUGUCAUUGCACGAAUCGGACUAACCGAGAUUGUAUAUUCGGUCCCACCGAAAAUCCCAACGUUCACAUUAUUUGAACUAUCGGUCUCACCGAGUUGUCCACUUCGGUCCCACCGAGAUUGCUCAAAUGUGUGUAACGGUUGGAUUUUGUGUGGAGGCUAUUUAUACCCCUCCACCCCCCUCUUCAUUCGUGGAGAGAGCCAUCAGAAAGAGGUACCACUCCUACCUUACAUUUCUGAGAAGAGAACUACCUACCCUUGUGUUGAGAUCAAGUUGCUCCACUCCCACCAUAUGAAGCUUGAUCUCUAGCCUUCCCAAGUUGCUUUCCACUCAAUCCUUUCUUCCACCACAGCCAAAUCAGUGAGGAGAGUUGAGUGUUGGGGAGAUUAUCAUUUGAAGCACAAGAGCAAGGAGUUCAUCAUCAUCUACAACAUCUAUUACCUUUUGGAGGGUGGUGCCUCCUAGAUUGGUUAGGUGUCGCUUGGGAGCCUCCGUCGUCGAGAUGUGGAGUUGAACCAAGAAGUUUGUAAGGGCAAGGAGAUCGCCUACUUCGUGAAGAUCUACCCCGAGUAAGGCUAGCCCUCCGUGGGCGUAGGCCAUGAUGGAAUAGACAAGGUUGCUUCUUCGUGGACCCUUCGUGGGUGGAGCCCUCCGUGGACUCGCGCAGCCGUUACCCUCCGUGGGUUGAAGUCUCCAUCAACGUGGAUGUACGAUAGCGCCACCUAUCGGAACCACGGGAAAAAUCACCGCGUCUCCAAAAUUGCGUUUGCUCUUCUCCACCUCUCUUUACUACAUGUGCAAUUUACUUUCCGCUGCCUAUACUCUAGAAUUGCAUGUGUAGGGUGAUGCUUGACUUGAUCAUAAUUGUGAAUCUGCCAAAAACUGUUCUUUGUCAAAAGGCAGAAUUUUUAUAUUGACAAGUAGUCUAAUCACCCCCCCCCCCUCUAGACAUACUUUCGAUCCUACAAGUGGUAUCAGAGCUUUGGUCUCCAUUGUAUUGGUUUCCAUUGCAUUGGACUCCAUAAGCUUGGUUUCACAACCUAGGAGAGUAUGGCGUCUAGUGAGGGUAAUUUUCGUAGAGGUCCUUACUUUGAUGGUACAAAUUUUGCUAGUUGGAAGCAUAAAAUGAAAAUGCAUAUUCUUGGUCAUAACCCAGCCGCAUGGGGCAUUAUUUGUGUUGGUAUGCAAGGUGAAUUCUUCGAGGAAGGAAAAGUUCCGGAUUGCGAAGCUACACCGGAAGAAUUGCGGAUGUUGCAAAACAAUGCUCAAGCUUGUGACAUUCUCUUCAAUGCCUUGUGUCCCGAGGAGUUCAACAAAAUCAGCCGUCUUGAGAAUGCAAAAGAGAUUUGGGAUACUUUGGUUGAAAUGCACGAAGGUACCGAGUCCGUGAAGGAAUCAAAGCUAGAUAUUCUUCAAGGUCAACUUGACAAGUUCAAGAUGAAGGAUGGUGAAGGAGUCGCUGAAAUGUACUCUAGGCUUGCUCUCAUCACAAAUGAGAUUGCCGGCUUAGGAAGCGAAGAAAUGACCGACCGAUUCAUCAUCAAGAAGACUCUCAGAGCUUUGGAUGGAAAGUAUGACACCGUGUGCACUUUGAUCCAAAUGAUGCCAAACUACAAGACUCUCAAGCCAACCGAAGUCAUUGGAAGAAUUGUUGCUCAUGAGAUGACACUUAAGGAUAAGGAAGAGCUUCACAACAAGUCAAGUGGUGCUUACAAAGCUACAAGUGAUGCUCCCACAACCUCAAGUGACAAGUUAGUUUCCAAUGAAGAGAUAAGCCUAAUGGUCAAGAACUUCAACAAAUUCUACAAGAAUAGAGGCAAAGAGAGAAGCUCAAAGUCUAGAUCAUAUGAUGAAAAGAGAUCUUCUAGUCGUGAUCGAAACUGCUACAAUUGUGGAAGACCCGGACACUUCUCAAAUGAGUGUACGGCUCCCCACAAGAGAAGAGAAGAAUCUCCAAGAAGAAGAAGCUCAAGAGAUGAGUCACCUCGGAAAGAGAGAAGGAGCAGAUAUGAUCGUUAUGAACGAAGACCCUCUCGGAGAAGCAAGGAUUCGGAGAGGAAAGACAAGUCAUCAAGGAGCUACACAAGAAGAAAACAUCAAGCUCAUGUAGGUGAAUGGGUCUCCGGCUCCGACUCCGCCAAUCAAUCCGAAGGAAGCUAUCACUCCGACUCCGACUACAGUCAAGAUGAAGGUGUUGCCGGUCUUGCUCUCGUAUCCUCCAACUCCAACUCCUACGACUUAUUUGAUUCACCAAAUGAGGGAAUUGGAAGAUGCUUCAUGGCUAAAGGCCCCAAGGUAUCACACCCUGAAUUCAUUGACUUCGAUAGUGAUGAGGAUGACUUGCUUGGUGAAGAUGAGCUCUUGCAUGAUAAAUCCAGUGAGCCUAGUAACGAUGAACAUGCUAGUAGUCUUUAUAGUCGAGAAGAGUCGAAUGACAAUGCUAUGAAGGAGAUUGAGCGUCUAACUAAAGAACUAAACACUCUUAAGUUAGCUCAUGAAACAACUCAAGAAGAUCAUAGAGAGCUCCUAAGAUCUCAUGAGAAGCUACGCUUCGAGAAGCUCACUCUAGAGCAAGAACAUGAGUUUCUAAAAGCAAUCAAUGACGAUCUUCGAAAGAAGAGUUCUUCAUAUCUUGCCAAACGACUUCUCUUGUCUAAUUUCUUGCCACCCAUUAAGACUAAGCAUGACAAGCAUAAGAAAAAUUCUUCCUCUAGCAGUAACAAUAACCAUGCUAAAUCCAAUGUUGUUGCUUCUAGUAGUUCUCUUGAUUCCACUAACAAUGUUUCAAGCCAAGUUACACUUGAGCAAGAGAAUAGUUUAUUGAAAGGGAUCAUAGAGAAAGGUGUCUACAAGAGCCUUGCCGGAAGCAAGAACUUUGAGGAAAUUGUUCGCAAGCAAGGAAGGCACCGGAAGAAUCAAGGAAUUGGUUUUGAGCGAAAGUUCAACGCUGAAGGCGUUGAGUGGGAAGAAGGUCAAUAUCCUACUCCACAGUUUGUUCCUCAAAAGGAGAAGUAUGAUCCUACUUCUUCCAAUGUGGAACAAGCUCAAGAUGACCUUCCACCACAAGACCACAAGCUAAAAGGCAAGGACAAGCUUGAAGAGGAGAUUGAUGCAUUUGUUGAAGCACCUCAAGCCAUGGUCAAGUGGGUUCCCAAGGAAACGUCAAGUUCUACUUCGUCAAGAUCAACUACAACCCCAAGGAUUCCCAUCAAGAUGAUGUGGAUCCCGAAGAAGAAGAACUAGAAAGUUCUUGAGGGUGACUCCGCCAACAUACUUCACUCACAUUCAUUUUGGCAAAAACUUGUGCAAUCAACUUCCACAUCGUGCACUAGUUCAUGGAGUCACAAACCCUCUUGUUGGUAAGUCAAGGGACAAGGUAAUCAUUGCUUUCAUGGACAUCAUCUAUUGUGAACUUCAAUCUAUGUCCAUGGAUAUCCUUGUUUGUUCCUUGUGGGACUAACCCAUGUAGGUAUUGAAAGUGCCCGAAUCCAAAGGAUAGCUCCCAACUCUUGAUGAUCUCCAUCAACAUUGAGCAUCCACAUCUUCAACAUCUACAUGAAGUCUUCUACGACAACCCAAGGUUAGUUUGACCCUUUAAAAGGGGUUCUCACAUCUAGGGGGAGCUUUGCUCUAAAAAUUGAGCUAAAGCAUCUUCAAAUGAUGUGAACACACCAAUGCUUUAUGUAAAAGUGGUAACCCCACUUGUGCUUAAACGAUGAGUAUGACCUAUGAUCAAAUGUUCUCAAUUGGCUCCUAAGUCAAUAUACUCAUAUAAAGAUGACCUAGUCAUCGACAAAUUGUGUGUUAGUUGCUAGAGUUUUGGUUGUGCAUGUUUGACACAUAUUUCAUUUGCUAUCUUAUUGUGUGAGCAUGUUGGAUGCAUGAUUUUACCCAUUCAAGGACAUCCAUUUGUUGUUUUGGUCGUUUUGAGUUUUAUGACCAAAUGGAUGGACAAGAAUGCCUAAGUACCUCCCCUAGCUAUCUAUGCUUUCUUGUCUCAAAUUCUAUUCAUGCUUACAUCACAAAUUUUGAACAAGUCAUUUUCGGACCCUCCGGGUGAGGAGCACUCGGAGCCACCGAUCCGUCAAGGGCUAAUUUCCAAAACCUUCUAAUUGAUUUCGGUCAGACCAACUCACUCAAACUCGGUCGAACCGAAAGCAUUCAGACUGAUCUAGGUUUUCAUCUUGGUGAAACCGAGUUGUGAUUUUCGGCGUGACCGAAGUGCAUAACUGCCUAGCAGUUAUCCAUCUCGGUGCCACCGAGUUUUACAACUCGGUCCCACCGACAGCGAAGGGGUAUAUAUUCCGAGGGCCGCGCGCGUUGAUUCCUCCUUCAAACGUUUCGCCCUCACACCCCUUGUUGCCGUCGCCUUGGUCUCCGGAUUGUCGCCGUCGUCGCCUGUGCGCCCUCGCCACAGGUCUCCGUCGCCGUCAACGGCCAUCUCCUCCGAGCCGUUGCCGCCGUAGAAAAACUCCACCAAGUUAGGGUGAGUUUUGAUCCCACUCGUGCUCCCAUCUCCGAUUCAAUGCACGUUUGGAUUGCCUAGUAUCUUGCCACGAUUGAAAUCCUCCUGUACACCAGAUUGGUUCGUUUGAACUAGAUUCGAGUAAAAGUUUUAGGGUUAGGUUUCCGCGGAACACAUCUCGGUGAGACCGAUUUUAUAUUUUCGGUAUGACCGAUUUGGCCUAUGGCCAUUGCACUGCACCCUUCGGUCCAACCGAGUUGUGCAAAAUCGGUGUGACCGAAAUGAAGAUUCUGUGAAACCCUAGUGUUUUCGGCAGGACCGAAACCCACUUCGGUCAAACCGAAAGUGGUGUGCCAAGCUCCUGUUUAACACUUCGGAUUCACCAAACCUUAAACUCGGUCUGACCGAAAUGUCUUCUGUGAAAACUUAAUACUAGAAUUUGAACUCAUUUUUUUUUUGCAAAAACUUCUGCAUUUUGUGAUGACUCUUCUUCUCUGCCUACACCUUAUCUAUUCACAGGUUGUCAGCCAUGUCAGAUGCCAGUGACAGUGAGAACAGGUCAGAGACACCCAUUGCAGACAUUCCAGAGGCAGGCACUAGUCCUGAUCCUAGUAGCUCAUCUGAUGAUGGUGAUAGGAGUACACCAAGUGGCAUGCCUCCUGCAGCCACCAGAGCUAGAAAGAAGAGGAAUUCAGAUGAUGAGGAUUCAGAUUUUGUUGUUGAGGAAGAGGUGACCUCAAAGCCUAAAAGGAAGGUUGUUGCCAAAGAGCAACAAGAUCAACAAUCUAAGAAGGGCACCAGCAAAGUCAAGCAGUCAACUGUUGCUAAGAAGCUGAAUUUGGGAGAGGCAGCUGCAAGCAAAGUGAAGAAAACCACCAAGAGAAAGAGGAUAGUGCAUGUGUCAGGAGCUAGAGCAGAUAUGUAUAUUGAUCCUCAUGCAGAUGCAGCAGUAGAGGAUGAGGAUGGGGAAGCACCCCAGCCUCCUCCUUAGAAGCCGAAGCUCAUGGGUGAUGCCAUUAAGGCUGGAGCCACAUCAAAGCCCAAGAAAUCUGCUCCAGCUAAGGCAGCUCCAGCAAAGCCUGCUGCCAAGCCCAAGAGGACCAUCAGAAACAUUCCAGCAUCUGAAAAGAACAAGGAUGAUGUGCCACCAGCUGAGUCUGACGAUGAAGGACCAGUUUUACUGAAACUUCGUCCAAAACUGCCACUCCAUAAUGAUGAUCAUCCUCAAGCUGAGGAUAUGAAGGCAAGGAAAGAUAGAGGUCUCAGGCUAUGGAGACAAACUGACCCAUAUGCCGUGAGGAGAAGAACUGCUGUAGAUCCCAGAUUUCACACCAGAGAGCAGCAGGACUUCUAUGAGACCGUGCUGAUGGACAAGAAGCCCAUAGUCGCAGACACCAGAUAUGUUGACUGGAAGUACAUUGACAGCGAAGAGCACAGAGAUUUCUUUCCACAUGUGCAUGAAAGUUUCACUGCAUGUGGAGUUGCAGAUUUUGUAGGUCAGAAAUUGACCAGUUGGAACAAUGAGAUGAUAAUGCAAUUUUAUGCCACAGCUCACUUCUACCCUGAUGGAAAGAUUAUGUGGAUGACUGAAGGUCAAAGGUUUUCUUCUUCUGUUGAAGAAUGGGCAGAAAUUCUGAAUGCUCCAGUGCAACGAGAAGAUGAUAUUGAUGUAUAUGGGAUUCCAAAGAAGAAUCAUGAAUCCAUGAAAAACAUGUACAAAGAGGUUCCAGCAGAGGAUUUGAAAAUCUGGAAGCUCGGCUCAGUCUACCAUCUCCAGGCAGGCUUACCUACCACUAAUACCAUUUUGAGGCAUACCUUGAUGCCCAAAUCUGGAGAUGAUCGCAUGAUCAGAGGAUACUCUAUCAACAUGCUGCACAUACUUGAUGAGAGAGCACCUUUCAAGGUGAUGGACUUGAUGGUAGAGACCAUUAAGAGGACUGCAGCUGACCAGAAAAGGUCAUGUGGAUUUGCCCCGCAGAUUCAGAUGCUUAUCAAUGCCAAGUUUGGCACGGGCACAUUCUUGUUGGAUAGAGAACAUUUACCGUUGCAGCCAGAGCAUGAAGACAAUGUUGUUGUGAUGGAUGAGGAGGAUCCGACAUCUGUUGAAGGUCAAGCCAAGAUCGCAGCUGCUAAGAAAGCCAAAGCUGACAAAGCAGCAGCAGCAGCAGCAGCUAAACCAAAGAGUUUCGGAGAGCAAAUUCUUGAAGCUACUCAAAGGAUUGAACAACGCCUGGCCAGCAUUGAACAGUCUCAGGAGAGCUUAGAGAGGAUUGUUGACGAGAAGAUCCACGCUCUGGACGUGAAGCUGACUGAAGUACAAGUGACCGUCAACAAGCUCGAGGCAGACAUUGAGGAAGCAAAGCAGGACAAGGCAGAGCUUAUGCGUGAGUUGCAGGAUGACUUAGUCCAGGAUUCUCAUCAACAGACUGCUCCGGUUCCCAAAGGAUCCCGAUCAGCUGCUAUUCCAGUGACUGACACCAGGACUACAGCUUCAGCACCUCCCACAGUUCCAGCAGUUGCUCCUACUCCAGCUCCAGCUCCAUUGUCCACUCCUCCAGCACAGACAUCAGCUGAAGUCUUCGCCAAUGCUGUCAUAUCCACUCUGACAUCAACCCAGACGGGAGCCGCCAGCAGAGUCCACAGUGACGCUUAGCUCUAUGCUUUUUCGAACUUUUUGGUAACUUGUUGCCAAAGGGGGAGAAAUUGUAUAGAUCAUAGGGCUUCGAGAGAGAGAGUGUUGUUGUCUUUGCGCUUUUGCUCUUUCGUUCUUUUGCGGUUUCUUUGAGAUACUUUUGGUUUUCGAGACAUUCAGUGUGUUUGAUACUCCAAUGAGUGCUUGGUCGUACUAUGCUUUAAUGUGUGCUUAAUGCUUAUCAUAUGCCAUUCCUAUCUCGUAUGACCAUUUACUCAUGUCUUGGUGAUUGGGUGCAUGCUGUUCAUUCUUAUCAUUUUGUGCGCUCCACCAAGAUGUAUGUGACAUGGAAGAGUGACCCAUGAUCCUAAUCGAUUGUGCAUUUGCAUUUGAACGCAAAUCUUAAAUAAUGCACAAAUUUAGGGGGAGCUCUUGCUUAUCACAUACUUCUCAAAGCGACGAUAUUAUUCAUUGAUUAUAUCCUUUGUCGAAGCUUUGAUCUAUAUGUUGUCAUCAAUUACCAAAAAGGGGGAGAUUGAAAGUGCAACUAAUCCCCGGGUGGUUUUGGUAAUUAAUAACAACAUAUAUAUCAUUGAACUAAUAGUUACUUGAGAAUCAUUUCAGAGAGUUCAGUGAUAUGGGUAUGGCAAGGACUGAAGAAGUGGACCCCCCAAAAUGCUAAGACAAGCAUUGGCAAAAGCUCAAGACUCCAUUUUUGGUUUAGUGAUCCAAGAUCACAUUGAGUCCAUAGGAAAAGCCAAUACUAUUAAAAGGGGAUGAGGUUAUGAUGAUGAUCUGGUUGCUCAAGUGCUUAGUGAUACAUCUCCUAAACUAUCAGCAACUUUCACUGCCAUAGACACUCAUAAGUAGUCUCGGUCCCACCGAUAUUCCAAACUCAGUCACACCGAGAUGAACCACCUCAGCCAUAAGCCAAACCCUAGUAAACUCGAAUUUUCCGAUUCUGAACUCGGUCUCACCGAAACAUGAGUUGCCAAGUUUCUGUAACCUUCUGUCAUCAAAUCGGUGUCACCGAGAUGAUGAAGUCGGUCCCACCGAAACUGGCAUGCUCUUGUCAUUGCACGAAUCGGACUAACCGAGAUUGUAUAUUCGGUCCCACCGAAAAUCCCAACGUUCACAUUAUUUGAACUAUCGGUCUCACCGAGUUGUCCACUUCGGUCCCACCGAGAUUGCUCAAAUGUGUGUAACGGUUGGAUUUUGUGUGGAGGCUAUUUAUACCCCUCCACCCCCCUCUUCAUUCGUGGAGAGAGCCAUCAGAAAGAACUACCACUCCUACCUUACAUUUCUGAGAAGAGAACUACCUACCCUUGUGUUGAGAUCAAGUUGCUCCACUCCCACCAUAUGAAGCUUGAUCUCUAGCCUUCCCAAGUUGCUUUCCACUCAAUCCUUUCUUCCACCACAGCCAAAUCAGUGAGGAGAGUUGAGUGUUGGGGAGAUUAUCAUUUGAAGCACAAGAGCAAGGAGUUCAUCAUCAUCUACAACAUCUAUUACCUUUUGGAGGGUGGUGCCUCCUAGAUUGGUUAGGUGUCGCUUGGGAGCCUCCGUCGUCGAGAUGUGGAGUUGAACCAAGAAGUUUGUAAGGGCAAGGAGAUCGCCUACUUCGUGAAGAUCUACCCCGAGUAAGGCUAGCCCUCCGUGGGCGUAGGCCAUGAUGGAAUAGACAAGGUUGCUUCUUCGUGGACCCUUCGUGGGUGGAGCCCUCCGUGGACUCGCGCAGCCAUUACCCUCCGUGGGUUGAAGUCUCCAUCAACGUGGAUGUACGAUAGCGCCACCUAUCGGAACCACGGGAAAAAUCACCGCGUCUCCAAAAUUGUGUUUGCUCUUCUCCACCUCUCUUUACUACAUGUGCAAUUUACUUUCCGCUGCCUAUACUCUAGAAUUGCAUGUGUAGGGUGAUGCUUGACUUGAUCAUAAUUGUGAAUCUGCCAAAAACUGUUCUUUGUCAAAAGGCAAAAUUUUUAUAUUGACAAGUAGUCUAAUCACCCCCCCUCUAGACAUACUUUCGAUCCUACA
rnacentral:lncRNA from 1 species